rnacentral:lncRNA from 1 species
CCAGAAGGUACAACCUUUUCCCCCUUUGUUUUAGUAUUUUGGUCACAGUCCAGACUAAAUAAAGAAAAAAAAUCAGGGCAAUUUAGCUAGACAAAAAGCCAAGGCACCCACUGAAGUCUACCAGAAAUCAUGUUCAGAAAAAUUGGUUCAGAAAAUUGGGAAACAGCUAGCAGAAUGUACCAAUGUAAGAUACUAUAUCCUCAAACAACAUUUCAGCAAUAAAAACAGGUUAUUUCAGAUUUUUCACAAUUUCUUGUGUUAUCAAAAUCUUAGCACAGACUCGAAGUCAAAGUAAAUAUUAUGGAAUCUUGAUUACCAAAGCAGAAACGAGCAACAAAGAUAAAGUAAAGUUACCUUGUCAGUUUCUUUUUGUAGUAUUAAAACCUGUAGUGAAGUUUUGAUCUGCAGUAAUUGCACAAAAGGAAGAUAAGAGUACUCAAAAUGCCCUCUCUAUCGAUAUGAAUGUAACAAAAUGCCAAUCAUUUAUUUUUUUCCUGUCAGUACUAUAUGGUCUACUAUGCUUCUGCAAAUGUUAUAGAACUCACACUUCGAGUCCCUAAUUUACGAUAAGGUUGUACAACAGGAAGUCCUAGGGGAGUUGUCCACCGCACUGGCUCAUUUUCAGACGCGAUAAUCUGGUCAGGUAAAAUGCAAAGAGAAAAUGUAAACAGAAAGUCAGUAAUGGUAUAGAAACUAGAUAAAAAAAAUAACCAAAAAAAGAAAAUCAACAUAAAGGAAAAACAAAUAAAUUGAGACAGACUCACCUUUGCACAAUCCCCAAGCCAGUUCAUGAUACUUCGUGCAGCUUCAAACAUCUCUCCUAAGGCAGUUAAGGUCACCUGAUCAAGCAACAAUAUAAAAUAUUGUCAGUGACAUGUUUUAUGAAAAGGAGUAAAGCUAAGGAAUUAUGAAUCAUCACUGUUGGGACGCUCCCCUCACACCUUUGCAGCAUAGCAAGAACAACCAAAGAUAUCUGACUCCUCUGUGAUACCACGUUUGUUUAACCUCCUCUUGAUCUGGUCUCUAGCACCAAUGUAAGUUACACCAUAUACAGAUGUCAUCACUGUCUGUUUCACCAAUUUCCUAUCCACCUAGAUGGAGUCAAACCACCAUUAGUUUGAAAGUAAAAGAACUUAUCCACAUUGAAAAAUGGCAAGGUACACCCUAUCUUUUGAAUGGGCCUAAAAAAAAGGAAAAGCAUGAAACAGUGUUGACCCAAUAGUAACUAAGCAAUCCCUUAGUGACAGGAGACCACUAUGAUCAACAAUCAAAGCAUGCAGAAAACCUGGUUAAUUAAUUCUUUUGCACGCAAUGCAUCAGGAAAAACAUCUGGAUCUUUCUGUGCAUCCCUCCGCAUGAUAUCAAGUACUCUGCAUCGCAAAAGUGCAUGUUUAUCACAGCAUCCUUUUGCAGAUAUCUGCUUGCUUCACAUCCAGAAAUGCACUACAGAAAUAUAGGAUUGAAAAAGAAAAAUUCUUGUACAGGCUUUACAAAUGUGGCUCCAAUCAAACAUAUCCAAUGAAUACUACAGGACUUUGACUACUGCACAUGAAGGGCUAACAUAUGGAUCUGGUCAUAGGCCAUGAAAUAAGAGCAUUGCUUGACUAAAGUUUUGCUUUGAUUGAAUUGAAACAAAUUUUAGUUCCUGAUUUAAGCAGAAAUAUUAACCUUCAAUUGGAUGUUACGACUUCAUUACAAAUGCCUGGAUUUCCUUGAAAGCCAGAAAACUCGGCAAUCCUUGAAAGCCAGGAAACUCGGCCAGUGAAAUACAUUCUUCUUUUAGUUUUGUGAGAGUAGGGCUUCCAAACUCUUAGUCUUUGGGAUGAUAAUGUUAAUUGCAGAUUUCUAUUCGAUCCAAUACAUGCUGGUAGGUAUGUUUCAGAAAAACUGGGACCCAAUUAGGAAGCAUUUUUGGUUUAUAUCCCUAGGAUCAUAUUUGCGGGUCAUCCUAUUAAGAGUUGGUUAUAAAUCUAAAAAUUCAGAUUCUGUCAUCAUGUAAUUAAAUGGAACUUCAGAUUUAAAGAAGGGUAUCCCUUUAUUAAGCCCACUAACCAAGAGUUUCCACAAUUUUCAGCACAAGUUUUUUAGUUUCUCAAAAAAUCUGUGUUUUCAAAUCUUCGACCUAAUCUUUAAAUCAGUCUGAGUAAAAACAACCAGCUCCGUUGGUUUGCUUCAACAAAAGCUCAUCUUAGCUCAAAUCUUUUGUACUGUAUCAUGAGGAAACCCCUUACCUAGCAGCUAUUCCCGAGUAGACAUCUGCAGGAUUCUCUCCUGCAACUAGAUUAACAGUAGCUGCUCCCAACUGUUCAAGAUUCCAAUGAUUUAACAAAAGCAGAGGGAUUCAAAAUAUAAUCAAAUGCAUUACAUUCCUUUUUCAAAAAUAAAAACGAAGUUCAAAAAAUAAAAGUUUGCAGACCACUUCUAAAAAACACGACUUGAAUUCAACAAUGAUUGGCAUCAGCAUAGUGCCUUAGGAAACGGAAAUCAGACAAACAGAUUGCACAUAUUGGGUUUUCUUUAUCAGCAGUAAUCAUAAAGAAAAGAAAAACUUCAUAACAUCAUCCAAUUCAAGUUAAGGACGUUACCUUGUCUCUUCCAAGUGCAGCGUAGUGUUGUAGGCCAUUGCAGGAACCAUCCUACAAAAAACCAUAAGAGGGAAGGGGUACAUCAGAAGGCAGAACAGGUUAUGAGAAAAAUUAUAGGCCAGAAGAACAAAGAUAAGCCCAGGGAAGAGUACUUAAGUUGAUUGUCCCACAUAGUCCAACAGUUUUUUAUGUAAUAGAACCAAUAGAAACCACUUAAGCUUAUCAUUUUAUUUGUUUUCCUAAAGCAUACAAGGUACAAUAACAAAGAAUCUUGACUCUCCUUUCACCAUUCAUCUUCCUAACACCUCUGCCUCUCUCAAACCAUUCCCUACCAUUCCAGUAAAACUGUGCUCAAUUGGGUAGGAUGCUUCACAAUCCUUAAAAAAUGUCCAUAAAAAGUUUAUAUGAGCACAAUGCAAUACAUUGAUAAGAUAUACCUGAUGAACAGGAAUAUGUGAAAUACAUGUUUCUGGCGAGGAGCUUCUCAAAGCUUCAGUUAGGUUAAUGCACACAGCCAAGAACUGAAAUGAAUCUUCUGCAUGCAACCACCAACGCUUUCCGUCAAGUGGUUUGUCUGCGGAAUCAAAUAUAGCAUCAAGGUGAUUCUCAGUAAAAGCUAUCCGUCCCUUGUAAGAUAGCUUGUCUACACCACCAGCAAAUAGAUUUGCAAUGUGUAUCUUCAGCCAGCGUAAGCCUGACUUUCCAAGAGGGCGUCCCUCUGCGAACUCCAAAAUCCCCCGGCACAGAUCUGAUCCAAGAUGGUUUAAGUAUGGGUGCAUGGGGUAGGCACGCCCACGAAAGUCAAUAUUGUGUGGAUAAUAGAAACCUUCUUCAUCUUUCAUCUUCCGUGCUACCUGGAGCCAAUUAAGAAUGAUGGCAUGAACGCCAUCAAGAAGAUUGAAAGUGUACUGUCUAAAAUAAAGUAAAUUGAGUCUUACAGCAAGUUUAAAUUCUAUGUCACAACGCUGUGCAUGUCUUUCCCUGUUCUCUUUUUUCACUCCUCUAAGUUUCCACUUCCACUUCUAAAGUAGUGCUUUAUCUUCUGUUUCUGGCUUCUCAGGUAAAGGAUCCUGAAAUGAAGAAAUUAAAUGAGAAAGGUUUUUUAGUUGCUAUCAUGAUCAAUUCUUGGAACACAAAGGUAAAGGUAAAGGAGUUUCUCAGGAAAAAAAAAAGUUACAUUGAGGAAAGUUAGAAAAGAUACUCACAUCACUGUAAAAUUAAUUCCCUAGUGUAUCCAGGGCCUGGAAAAUUAAUUCAAACAAAAGAGAAUCCUUGUUAAACCAAAAGCUAAGCUGGUAAAAUCUACACAUGUGAUAGCAUGUGAAGGUAUACACAAUUAUCAGUAUAAGAUUGUGUUCAAAGCACAUCACAUGUUAGUACCAAAAGAUGAUUUAGGUCAAACAAUAAAAUACGCAUCAGUAACCAUGCAAUGCAUCUAAUGUGUACAGACCUCAAAAACUGGUUGUAGCUGCUUCCUAGGUGCCCUCUUAACUGCUUCACGUUGCUGUUUAGCACCAUGUAUCCGCAUGACAUAGGAUGGUAAGAACAAGUGAGCUCCUUUAUCAUAACUGCAAAGGGCAUUGAGGUUAUGCUCGACACGAGUAAGAGAGAGGUAAAUAUCACAAGCUAUGACACAAUUAUCUAAGAAGAGCUUAGAACACACCAAAAAGCUACUUAAAUGCCAGGUCCUGAUUUGUUAGUAGAAGCAAUAGUGGUGUUAAGAGUUGCUACAACUACAUGGGAACCAGAAUACAACCACAAACUCAUUAAAUGCCAGAUUAAAGUAGCGUAUGUAAGGAACAUGUAUUAAGAAUUUGUAUCUUCCAAAUUUGUAUACAAGGAUCUAAAAUUAAUUUUAGUGGGGACUAUGCUAAUGUGCCUCCUGCAACUUGCAUGAUGAUUGAGUGAAAGAGCCAAGACCACUAUAAACUUGCUAGUAAACAAAGUGCUCUUUCCCCAAAACCAAUUCAUGAAAUGGUUUUCAUCUGAUGCUCAAUCUGAUCAAAUUAAGAUAUUCAGAGAUCAAUCACUGGUUUAAAUCUUUUCUUUUUGUAGAUAGAAAGUGUGCCCAGGAAUCUCAGUCCUAAUGGGCAAUUUACAACCAAAAGCGCUAGGGAGCUUAUCAGAUUUAAAGGCAAUAGGUUGAAUGGCAGAAGCUGCCAUAGAGGCCUCUUCAUAUUCCAAAGCAUGUGUAGUUUUUCAAUUGAGGAUUGUGAUCACCUAUUCAUGAAAAACUUAACCAAAGUCCAUGAAAAACAUAUCCUAACUAACUUGCCAAACAAUAAGGUUCAAAAAUCUCAGUUUGACAGCAGAGAUCCGUCUAUGCCAUUUCUCCCAUGUAAUCAUCUGUUGUCUCCUUGCGCUUCUGGCACAUUUGAAAUUUGAAAUAAAUACCUAUAUAUGAAUCAUCACCUAAAGAAACUAAACUACUUCAAUCAAGUUCUCUAUGUACUAUCCUAAUCCUAAAUUAACUACAUGUCUGACUUCACAUGAAAACAACAAUUCAAUACUCUUAUCUUUUCUUGCGCUAAAAUAAUCCACCACAGCAUCCUUGUAGAAAACCUAACACCUUUUCUUUCUCUAUAUUUUAUCUCUAACAGCCAACCAUUCUUUUCCAUGAAGUAUACCUCUCCCUUUAACAUCAAAAACAUUAUAAUAAAGAAUUCCAUAGCAAUCCCUAAAUUCUCCUGCCUGUGGCACUAAUGUUAAUUUUCCGGUAUUAGACAUGGUUGUGAUUAGCAAAUGCUCUUCAAUGUUUAAAGACAGUGUUCUCCGUUUUGUUGAGAAUCCUAGACAAAACCUUCCAUCUCAUAUCUCACAUUCACCAUGUUUUCAAUAAACACCUGCAAGACAAUUAGUUUCCCUUCCAAUGGAGGUUACAGAAAUGGAGAGGCAGAGCCUUGAGACAUGCUGAAAUGUUAAUUUCAAUUAACUGAAAUUGGGAUUGGAAUUCCAGUCUUUAUAAUCAGAGAUUCAUCCCUUCAUCUAUUAUACCAUUUUAAGCAUUUAACUUGACAUGAAAAUUGAAAAUAGCUCCAGGCAUCAAGCAGAAGUAACCAAAACACUAUGUUAAUAUUUCUGAACUUGGAAUAUAUCCAACUAAAAAAUAUAAAAUUAAAACAAGACAAUCGUGGAAAAACUGUAAAUAUAAAACAAGUUAACAUACCCUCUCCAUCUAAGUGGUGGCACUAACAUUGGCAUAUAAGGAAUCACCAUGUGCCUAGCCUGUUUGGAGAAACAACAUUUUUAUGACUUCUUGUGCAAGAAAAAAGAAUGAAAGACAAACAUCUGCAACUUAAGAGGCACCAUGGAAAUUGCCUACAAAUCUUAUCUGUUUCAGCUCUAAAAUCUAGAAACUAACCUAUCUGCUUUGAAAGUAUAUGGCACCCCGACACAAGUUCAUGUCAUAAAGAAUGAUAAAAUAUGAAAACUAGAUAUCACUAGAAAAACAAAAUAUGACAGGGUUACUCACAGUUUUCUCUAGGCCUUUGAGGACUAGAGGGUCACAUUGUAUAACACCAUAUUUUUUCGCGCCCUUCCUGUUUAAGAAAAGGCCAUUGUGCAUCAGUUAGGAGCAAUUACAAGAAAGAAAAGAUAAAUUGAGCACAUCGAGUCAAUUAAAGAAUCACUCCAUACUUAUUUUCAUAUGACACAGUUCUGAAUGUAUGUACAAAUGCAGGUCGAGGUUCAGAUGGACUAUCAGCUAACUGAUCACAGGGAGGCUGUAUAUAAGCUGUUUGUAACAGCAAUUCAAUUAGACGGCUUCCAACCUGCAAAGUGUAAGGACAGAAAUCAAAUUGGUACACGAUACAUUUUUUUUAAGAAAAUUAGCCUUUAUCAAUGAUUACAAGCACACAAACCUUAGCCCUAGCAUCUGCAUUCCAUGGUUUUGAAUCAUCCUUCCCCUUCACAAUCUUCCUCACAGCUGGCAGCUUUUGUUUUUUAAUCAAAUCAGUAACCUUUUUUCUUAGGUUUUCUUGUUCCUUCAUGACAGCAAGGGAUUCACCUUCUACACCAUUCUUGCUAUCAUUAGCCUUUUCCUUUUUCUUCCUUGUUUUCUCCAAGAUAUUGUGUAUUCUAAUAUGUUUCAUCACAGAAACUGUUACAGAUUCAGUCCUCAGUUCAAAGAAAGAGAACAAGACUGAAGAGUUAGGAGUUCCAAAAAAUGGAUUAAGAAUGGUACACCUAAAUAUCUCUUCAUUGUAUAGUUCUUUUUUUAAGAGAAAACAAGGAAAAGAAAAGAGUAAGCAACUCCCAUAGUCAGAAGAGACAGUAGAGCAAAGUGUCACGCAUGCCUUUAAAGUCUAAACCAAGAGAAAAAAUUAAACAACUUACAAAACAAAGGCACAAACAAGAACACAAAUAAUUGAAAUGAUAAAGAUAAUUGCUGUCCCCAACAGGGAAAUGCAAAAGCAUAAAUCCAUAGUGAAACAAUGUCGAAACAUUAGAUGAGCUCUGACAAAGGAAAGUUGAAUGUCACUCUUAUGAGUCUACCAUGCCCAUGCUUUGAAGAAAUUGUAGCUCAAAAAAGAAAGGUGUAAUAGAAUAUUCAGCCUAACAAGGCCCGUGAUAUGAAAAGUUUAACACUUAAUGAAAAAAUUGUAAAAACUUACUAUCUAAAGGAUCUUACACUACAUUGUUUUUCGUACCUACAUUUAGUGUCCUCCCUGGAACCAUGAACAGCAGAAGAACUUGGACUGAAAGUAAAAACUAUAGAUAUAUAAAAAAGAAAUCCAGAAAAACUCCAUUCAACAUUCGACAAAACUUUACGGAACGUAACUUCAAAAUCUAAUUUUCCAGGCAAUACUAGCUCCAUAGCUGAUUUUUAUCUCAUAAUUGUACAUAGUAACUUUCAUCUUUCUUCCUAGUUCAUCACCUCAGAUGAAGGUUGUCUAAAAGUAAAUUUAAGAAACUUUAUGUUUUCCCUUAUCUUUCAAUAUUUUUAUACGGGCACUCAUUAUCCUCUGUCUACAAAUCAAACCGCAAGUAAAAAUAAGCAAAUAAAACAUUAAAAAUUACUUACCUCCUGCUCAAUUGCAUCACCAAUCAUACAAGCAGCAGUCACAACUCUUGCACAUCCAUGUUCCCCACCUAUCAUUACCAUUGCUGCGAGUUGAUGCAUUGCAAUAACAGACAUCUUGUCAGCUGGCAACAGAUCAAAAUACGGAGCAUAACCCUGCCUACUCUUCCCCGUUCUAAUCAACUCCUGCUCUUUCGCAAUUGCAUCUGUAAAAGGCUCAAACCAACCAAGGAACAAACUCUUCAUAUAUGGCAAAUUAGGAGCCAACUUAUGCUCACACAUAUCCUUCAAAAGCUCCUUAUAUUCUUUCGUUGCCAGUUCCCAUGCUUCCGCCUCAAUCUUCACUUGCCUUCUCCUUAAGACCCUAUGCUUCCUUGACCCUAUUCCAGGGUUAGCAUGUAGCCUCCUCCUCCUAAAGUGCUCCUCUUUCUCCUCUUCUUUCCUCAUUUCUGGCAGCAAUUCAUCCGCACCAGACACAUUAUCUUCAACAUCUGUUGAUGACACUGCCUCAGCUACACUCACAUACCCUCUUGGACAAAAUCCAGCACACCGAUUCCCAUUAGUACGUUCACUAUUUCUCGAAAAAAUAGAACCGGGUUUUCCCAUAAAAUCUUCAUGGGUUGAUAUUUCGCCAAUUGCUCGAAAACUCAGUCGUGGACUUGUGUUAUUAAGCGAAUGCAACUUGAGUUUCUCAAAAAAGAUGGGUUCUUUAGAGGCUCCUAAUUUAAUAUGGAAACAAUCCUUCCAUCCGCAAGCAUGGGAUUAUCCUAAAUUUAAGAAGAAAAUCCAUACAAAGUAAAAUGUGAAUCUAAUUCCCCAAACCAAAACCAUGAGCAAAAACUACUGAAGAUCUUCAAGCUAAAGAAACUUUUGGAGGUGUAGUCGCAGCAGCCGCAGCAGGUGCUGCUGCUGCAGCACCACCUGCUCCUGCUCCUGCCGCUGCAGUUGCACCUGCUCCACCUCCUUCUGCAGUCGCUGCAGUUGUUGCUGCCGCUGCAGGUUCACCUGUUGCUGCCGCUGCAGGUUCACCUGUUGCUGCCGCUGCACAAGCAUCCGUCGUCGCUGCACGAGCAUCCGCCGUCGCUGCAAGAGCACUCGCCGCCGCUGCACGGGCACCCGCUGCACGAGCACCCGCCGCCGCUGCACAAGCGGCGGCUGCCGCUGCAGCUGCUCCUCCUCCUGCUCGACCUGCUCCUCCUCCUGCUCGAGCAGCAGCUGCUGUAGCUCAGGUAUAGUGAAACUGUACAUGGAAUCGAUGUUACAUGGGUGUUAAAAAAAACAAUUAAUAAAAUAAUAUCUAUCCAAAAAUAAAUAAAUAAUAAUAAUUACAGAUGAGGAAUAUUAAUUGAAACAUAAAUUUAAAAAAUAUUUUUAAAAAAAUAAUAAAAAGAAAGAAUUAAUUAUUACCUUUUCGAUACAGAUGAAAUCUCAACUUUAUUGAGAAUAUCCAUCCAUCUUUGUACCUUCUCCUUGUUUUCCCUGAAAUUUUCUUCAUUCUUGUCAAAGACAAUUGUGUAACUCUCUGUUUGAUCAUUUAUCUUUGAUUCUUCGACAUCAUAAGAAACUGGAAACACGGUAUCCGAUCUCAUCUCAUCCAUGAAUCCAAAAAUCUUGACAAGUUCGUUAAAGCACCAAGGUAAAGAAGCACAAUCUCUUGCAAAUAUAAUAAUUGACAACCCUGAUUCUUCAAUGGCCUCAAAGAGUCUUGAUCUAAUUGCCAUUACUUUCUCUUGUUCCUUCCUGACUGGGAUAAUAACUCUCCGAGCUAGAUCUGACUUUAAAUAGGUGAUAACAUUGCUAGUGUCUGCGGCUCUGAUGCCAGGGAAAACACUAGCCAUCCAAUGAUGGUAAGAUGAAGAAAAAGCUAAAGUUGCUUUAUAUGAAGAAGCUGUUUCUAAACUUGUAACAAUAAAAUGGGCAGAUGGUUGCGAUGUACUAUACAGAGAAGAUAACAAACAAACACCACAAUUCUUCACCUUUACUCGUCGCUCGUCGGAAUGAAAUGACAACUCAAUGUUGCUAAAGGAUCCAUGCUUCCAUUCUUUAAGCUCUUUAAGGUAAUCAAAAGAUAGAUAGAAUAGCCACACAUGAUCUGACAGAACUUGGAUAGAAUUACAACUAAUACUUAUCAACGAACGAUAAUUCUCUCUUCCAUUGGCUUUGAAAUGACAAGAAAGAGGACUUUCACCAUUUGCACUGAAUGCAACAUACGCAACAAACCCCAUGCUCCAACUAGGCACUUGCACACUAAUUGAAGAUCCCUUACUUUGAUGGUUAAACCAGCCUGGAAUUGUAUUUCCUGGAACAACGAUACCAAAUCCAGGUCUUGGAUUAGACAAACCCUGUACCAUGAAGAACCAAAAUGUUAGAUAGAUAGAGGGAGAGGGAGAGAGAUACAAAGAGGUUGAGGUAUGAUUAAGAGAAGACCUUGAGGUAUCUUUCAAGCAUGGUCAACCCCAUGUUGUCUUGGCCAUUAUGCUCGUACAAUUCCCAGCAGUUAAGACAUAUGAACUCUGAUGUUUCGAAACUGCUUAGCUUUAUCGGAUCUGGAAUUUCUUUUAGGCGUAUACAACCAUUCAAAUUUAAUGUUUGAACUUUUGAUGGAACCUCAGGCAAUGAUUCAAGCAUCCUACAAUCCUCCAAGACAAGCAUUUCGAGUCCAGAAAGCUGAUUUAUGCUUUUAGGCAGGCUAAUAAAGUUAUUCUGGCUCAGAUUUAAAGACUUCAAUGAAGAUAAGCAGCCAAUAUCUUCAGGAAGUGCCCCUUCUCUUAGAUUGCAAGCGCAUAAAUCCAAUACUUCUAAAGAACACAGACCCAACAAAGAAGGCAACCUGUGAUCCGUGGGAUUCAUAGUUAUUCUUUUGCAUCCAUCAAAAGAUAAUACUUUAAGAUUCUUUAAAAGAAAAAUGGAUGCUGGCAGUUGUCUUAUUGAAGUUCCACUUCCAUCAAACUCCUCCAAACUUUCAACUUUCCCCAAAUUCUCUGGUAUAUAUUUAAGUUUAGAGCAACCAGACAGAUCAAGUUUUUUAAGGGAUUUCAAACAACCUAUGCUACUUGGAAUGCUUUCAAGGUUCUUGCAGUUGUUCAUGCUCAAUACAUCUAAGCCAAUCAAAUGACGAAUUGAUGAAAAUAGUUCAACAAUACCAGUCUCGUCCAAACGAAGCACCAUCAAACAGUUCAUGUUUCCUACUAUAUCUGGAAACUUCUCAAGUUUUGAGCAGCCAUCAAGAAUGAAAACUUUAAGCGAUUCCAUUUCAAGAUUGUUUGGGAGAAUCCUAAUACUUUGCAGCACAAGAUUCACAUAUUGAAGCUUCUUGUGAUGUGCAAGUGAUGGAUGGACCUCAGACAAACUUGUACAACCUUCAAGAAUAGUUCUCGAGAUUCGGAAUUCCAGUAAAAUCUGGAGUCUUGAUCAGGUUUAGUGAGUUGCUGAGAUUGAUGAUUUUCAAAUUAACUGCACUCUGCAAUCAGUCAGGGAGAAGAAAUAUGGAUCUACUAUCAUACAUAUAUAGGAAAACGAUAAAAAAAAUACAAAGGUCCUUAAAUUAGGUGAUCUCACCUUACACCCAUACCAUAAUUGCUCAAUACUAUUGUUAGCCAUGUGAAGUUCAACUAGCUCAUCCACCUGUAAACCAGCUGGCAAUGAUUUUGAAGGGUAAGAAUGCCAUUCAAGAAAUCGUAGCUUAUUGGAAAGAUCUUCAGGUCCUUCAGAAAGCUGCACGUUGUUGAUUUUGAGCAAUCUUAGUUUGCUCAUUUUAGAGAAGGCUUCCAUGUUCCAUUGUGAUUCUUUUAUUUCAGGCAUGUCUAGGAAAAUGGCUUCUAUUUUUUCUUUUCCCUGUCAACCAAAAGGGGAAUACAAGUAAAAAACAAAUACAAAGUAGAGAUGGAGCGUAAAUUAAAAUAAACUUCAUGAAAUCUUAUCAGCUACUCACUGUGUUGUCCAUCAGUGCAAGGCAGACAUCCUCGUAUGUCCACAAUCUACUACGCCUUCCAGGCUCUUCAGAGGAUUCACAACGAACAAUUUCCUUGCCCAUUAUCUGUAAUAAAUUAUGCAUCCAGAUUUGAUCCCGAGAGACACUUAUGAGUGAUUUCUCAAUAAGAACUUGUGUUCCAAUAUGUGCAUGGAAUCCACAGCUGUCAAGUAUCCUUAUUAUUCGAUCUUUUUUAAAUCCCUUAAGGAAACAAGCAAUGUCUAAAAAUAUUUUCUUCUCUAAUUCAUGGAGGCCAUCAAAACUAAUGCGAAGCACAUCAAUAAUUUCACGGUCAGGAAUAUAAUUUAGUCUAUUAAUGGCACUUCCCCAUUCAAGGAUACUUCUUCCAUGCAUAAACGAACCUAUAACUUCAAGAGCCAGUGGAAGGCCAUUAGCAUAGCCCACAACUUGCUUGGAUAGUUCCACGAAAUCUUCAACAGGUUGGUCAUUUUUGAAAGCUUUCUGGCUAAACAACGUAAGAGCAUCAUCAUCAUUCAAUUUCUCAGCCUCAUAUAUUCUAGCAACACCAUUUCUAGUCAACACUUGUUUAUCUCUGCUUGUUAUGAUAAUUCUGCUCCAUGGACCAAACCAUUUACUCUCCGCAGCCAGGGAUUCUAGUUGUUUAUGGUCAUCUACAUCAUCAAGAACAACAAGAAUCUUUCUACAUUGUAACCUCCGCUUUAUCAUUUCAAUUCCUCUAGAAGAAUCACAUAUAUUAGCGCGUUCCAUUAAGAUUUCAGAAAGAAGUUGUUCCUGCAAACGACGUGGUCCAUCUUUCUCAGAAAAAACUUCUCUGACAUUUGCUAAGAAGCAGCUGCCUUUAAAUUGCCAACGAAAGCUAUCAUAUACUACCCUUGCAACAGUCGUCUUACCUAUGCCACCCAUCCCACAAAUCCCUAUGAAGAUUGCUUCGCUAACUUCUUCACCUAUAAAACCAUUUAAUAUCUCUAGACGAGAAUCUAUUCCCACUAAUGUUUUGCUAACUGGCAUAGUGACGCUUAGUUUGUAGGAUAUGUAUUCAACAAUUAUAUUAAUUGAUUCCGAUUCUUUCCUGCAUAGGAGGGUGCAAAACAUUAAUCAUGUUGUGUGCAAAUCAAAUCAGAUAGUGAUAAUGGGAAAAUAAAGAUAUAGCUCAAAAAUGUAUGGCUGCUAGCCGGAAAUUAAUACAUCAAUCUUUGAGAAAGAUAAGGCUUUGACAAUAGAUAGCUUUAAUAACAAAGAGAAAAGGAAAGAAUAAACUAAAAAAGGAACUAAGAUUGUAUUAAUGCUAAGAAUGGUCCGUACAAUAUCUAUGUUAUUGCCUAUAGAAUCACACAGUUACUAAAGAAGCAUGCAUAUAAGAACAAAAACUCUUCAUUAAGUUUGGCUUUGACAGACCAAAAGGAAAAUGGAGUUCUUCUAUCAUAUUUUUUUAUCAACCACUAAGUUAUUUUUAUAAUUAUUUUUAACAAAAAUUUCAAUUAUCUUGCAUAGUAAACUUUUAAAAAACAACUUUAAAUUUAUUAAUUUUCGAGGUUUUUCCUAUAUGCUACCCAAAAAAUAUUUCUUAGACUAACAUAGUUUAAGUGGAUGCCCAAAUCCAAUCCACGCACCUUGAGAUGCACAAAUAUCACACAUGUUAAUAUUAUUCUUUUUUGCAAAUUAAUGGAUGAAAUAAUCGUAAUAAUAGAACUAAAGUUAACUAAAUAUACAAAUUGAGAAACCAGAUGAAUAAAUGGGCCAAUAAAAAAAAGAAAGGUAGAUUUUUUUGACAUGUAAGACCUGCAUGUCUCAAGUUGCAUAAGUGAGAUCUUUAUGGGUCUAUUUGCGAUUAUGAUAGGAAUUAUGAUUCAAAGUGUUUUUUGUUUAGAAAUACAUCAAAAUAAUAUUUUUUUAUUAUUUUAAAAAAAAUUAUUUUUGAUAUCAACAUAUCAAAACGAUCUGAAAAUAUAUAUAAAAAUAAUUUAAAAAAACACGGCAAACCACGUUCCCAAACGGACUCUACAACUCGUGAAACAAUGCUAGUUUGGAAAGUUUUUUUACCCACCUAUACUAGUUUGAAAUUGUUUUUACAUUAAUUUUAUGUUUUUUUAACAAAAAGGCACCUAUCAAAAUUUAAUUCCAAAUUAAAAAGAAAAACAUAAAAAUAAAAAUAUUCACAAUAUAUAUAUAUAUAUAUAUAUAUAUAUAUAUAUCUUUUAUUUAUAAAUAGUUGGAAUUUUUUAAUUAAUUCAUGAUGGAAAAUAUUUUUAUUUUAUUUUGAAAAGUUAAAACCAAUAUAUUCAAAAACUUUGGUCAAUUUUUUAUUUCUUAUGAUGAUUUGUUGUCAUUUCUUCACAAUUUUUUAUUUUUUAAGCUAACUUUUUAUUUGUUCAUGCUAGAUUUGUUUUUCAACAUUUUUAUACAUUUUAAUUUUUCUGUUUAAUAUUUAUUUUAUUUUCAAAAUAUAAAGAAAAACCUAAGAAUAGAAAGAAGUUUUAUAUAAAGAUUAGAAAUGCUUGAUCGCAUCAGUUCAAAAUAUCAUAAAAAAAAAAAAAAAAAAAAAACAUGCAUAUGAAAAAAAUACACAUUUACUAUCAUGCUUGUUCAUCAAUGAAAAAAAUACACGUUUCCGCUCGGUUACCUCUGAGGGAUCCACAUCAUAAAACUCUGAGGGAUCCACAUCAUAAAAAACUGGCAGAACAGUUUGGCCCAUCUCUUUCAUGCACUGAACAAUCUUGACAAGUUCAUCCAAGCACCAUGGUGAAGAUGCGUAAUCUCCUGAAAAUAUAAUGACUGAAAACCUUGAUUCUUCAAUGGCCUUCCAGAGAGCAGGUUCGAUGGGCUUUCCUCUCUCGAGCUCCCUAUCAUCCAUGUACACAUCGAUGCCUCUCUGUUUCAGAUUAGAAUAUAGAUGACUAGUAAAGUUGUUCCGGGUGUCUUUGCCUCUAAAACUAAGGAACACAUCAUACAUAUACAGUGGAGGAGGAUAAGAUGAAGAUGAAGAUGAAGAUGAGGUUAUUCCUUGCACGCUGGUGGAAGCCAUGAAAAUCCCUAUAGCGAUAAACUAGUACCGUGUGUAAGGCCUGCUCCUGUGGUCAAACAUGAAACAGAAGGUAAGAUCAAGAAAUUUGGCAAUUAAAUCUACCAAUUAGUAAUUUCAAGCUGGAACAUAUCAGAAAACACCAAAUUUCUACGAGUAAUUCACGAAUCUAGACGAAACAAACCGUGUGGUAAGUGUUGGCUAAAGAGGCACAAGAUCUAGCCAAGCCCAAUGACGUCGAAUUUUUUUCCGGUUCCUUGAGGUCAAGAACUCGUACUGGUAAGUUUACACUGUAAAGAAGAUGGAGUUUCGGUGGAGAAAAAGCAAAAAGAGAAAUGAAAGGGAUAUCGAACGCGCAUUGGGCAGCAGAGGCACCUUCCUGUCAAAAGCAGGGGUUAGGCCACAUACAUCACAAUUGAGUUGAUUCAUAUUUUUUAAUGAAUUCUCAAGUCAAGCAUUCCAAGAACUUUUGUCAGGAUCUGCCACACACAUCACAAUGGAGUUUAAAAUACAUAUUCUUUAACUACUUUUGUCUCUUUUCCAGCGCAUAAAGCUUUUGCAUUCCGACAACUUUCCAACAAAAUUUUUAAAACUGACCUUGAAAUUAAACAAGAAAAAAACACCAUAAAGCAAAAGUUCUAAGGUGAAUCACAACAAUCGUGCGAAGAUUCAUAUACUGCUUGGAGUUGUUACAAUGGUUAAAAGUUAUUUAAAAAAGCUAAUUAUAUUUUAAUAUAUUUUAUAUUAAAUUAAUUUUAAUAUAAUUAUAUAAUUAUUUUUUAUAUAAUAUAAUCAUGUUAUACAAUUAAUAUAAAUAAUAUGAAAGUUAAAAGAAACAAUUUUUAGUUUUCUAUUAUAUUAUUAAAAAAUUUAGGCUUUGAGGUUUGCAGGCUUUUCUCCUUCUUGUUCUGUUUUUAAAGAGAAAAACAAAAGCCUAUUGUAGAUAAAGAAACAUUUUUUAAUCGAUUAAUUUAGUUUUUUACUUGAUAUAAUUUUUCCAAUGAACUUUUUUUUUUAUUUAAUUGAUUUUUUAGUUUUCUUGAGUAUCAAUAAUGCUUAAUAUACUGAAAAUCAGGAAACCAAAUACCUUGAUAAAGUCUGCAAAAAAGCAAAGGGAUGAUUUGAUAUUAUCAGUAAGGAUAAUCAUUCUAAAAUUGUUGCUUUUUCUUCUUUUUAGAUAUUCAAACAUAUAAAGAUUUUAUCCGGUUGCUUUAGGUCAAGAACUCGUACUGGUAAGUUUCCUGGAUUUUCCUAUGGAUCUUUUUCUUACACUGUAAAGAAGAUGAGUUUCGGUGGAGAAAAAGCAAAAAGAGAAAUGAAAGGGAUAGCGAACGCGCACUGGGCAGCAGUCAGCAGAGGCACCUUCCUGUCAAGAGCAGGGGUUGGCCCCACACAUCACAGUUGAGGUUUGCAGGCUUCUUUCUUCUUCUUGUUCUGUUUUUAAAGAGAAAAACAAAUGCCAACUGUAUAUAUACUUUCUCCUUGCAUUUGGUUUUUUUCUACAUAGAGAUGUAAAAAUAGUAUUUUAGUAGAAAAAAAUAGUAUUUUAGCUAUUCAAAUAGCUAUGCUCCAAUGACUUUAAAUUAUAAUUUGGAUGACAAAAUUUAACAAUGAAAGGCAUAAUAAAAUAUAAUCUAUAAUAAAUAUCAUAUUGAUAGCUUUGUUUUAAAUAUUUAUAUAAUUUUUUGGUCUAGUAGGAUCGAAAUGACCCUUCCAAUGUAUAAAUUAUAGUUGUUUAAAACAAUACAUUUAGUCCAAAAGUUAGAAAAUAGCUUUGUUUUAAAUAUUUAUAUUAUUUUUUUCACAUAAAAUAUAUUAAUUAACAAAAGCUAAAAUAUAUAGUGAAAUCACUGUAACUGGUAAAACACUGGAGGUUUUAUCUUUGGUUUGUUGGAAAGUAAAGUUGUUUUUUAGAGCUGUUUUGGUCCUUUGAUUUAUUUGUUCAAUUCACAUACGCACUUUGAUUUACAGUUGGUUAGAAAAAAAUAAAUUGUUCAUCUCUAUGGUUUUGGGAUUCUCAAUGAAUUGAUAAUGAGGUCAACGACAGUGACUGUAUACCUUCAUUCGACUUCAUUUUUAUCAGGUAACAGUAAUCUUUUUGUUUUCACCUAUAUGAUAUUUUAGUUUAAAAUCUAUUUAGGGUACUAAAUACUAAUAUGAACAAGCUGCUAUAAUGUUUUUAGUUUAAGAAAAAAAAAAAGCUUUAAAAACUUUAUUUUAACCAUGAUUUUUUAUUUUCAAAAUUUUUUUCAUUUAAAAAUACAUUAAAAUAAUAUUCUGAAGAUCAACAAACCAAAACAAUUUUAAAAUAUAAAAAAUAAUUUAUAUUUUUUUAAAAAUAAAAAAAUAAAAAACAUAGUUUUAACUGUAUUUCUAAAUGAUCUUUUCAAAUAAUAGCAACUUUUUAUUAUCCAAAAAAAGAAGUUUGAAUUAUCCAGAAAACCAUGACCAGAUCUGGAGAAGGGUUCCUUCACUCUAGAAGAUGAGUGGCCUUUGUUAAUUUUGUAGUCAAGUGAAAACAAACUAUAUUAGAUUCUUAGAACCCUUUCUUGAUCAAUUGGUUAAUUUCUGUUAGCCAAUGCUAUACUGUGGGCAUGAUUCCUAUUUUCUGUUAGCCAAUGCCAUUUUCAAUCAUUUUCAGCAAAAAAAAAAACCAACGAACAACGUACUAAAUGAUGCAAUCAAUGACAAAAAGUAUGAGGAUAAAGAAAGGAAUCACUAUUAAUAAUUUUGUUAGACUAUUAUGAAUGAAAGGACACUUUAAUGUAUGAAAUGCUAGCUAUAAUUAUUUCCACGAAAUGUAUGUUUCUAAAACUCAAUAUUUAUAUUUUUCAAAUCACUUCACGUACGUCUGCUACAAAGAACAUUCAUCACAUUAAAUUAAUACGACUUAAACAACUGCUACUUGGCCAAGCUGUUGGGUCACGACUUAAACAACGAAGACCAAGCUGUUGGUCUCUACUCUCUACUUCGCACGUCCUCGGGAAGCAUAUCCUUAGAAUGGAGAGCUGGCCACACGAGACAGUUGCUACCUGGCCAAGCUGUUAGGUCACGACUAAAACAACGAAGACCAAACAAUUGUUAUUAGUAUGGUGCUAUCCUUUGUCACAAAUUGUUAAUUAUAUAAUGCCUACCAUUUCUUAAUUAUAAAUUGUCAGUAAAACACAUAUCAUAACAACACCUACCUAGCUAUCUUAUAAAUUAAUAGAACACCGUAUACAUAAACAACUCAUUUUACAUGUUAUCUAUGCAUAAUAUAUCUGUUGUUGCACUCUUUCCGAGCUAAUUUCAUGUGACAUGAGAUAUACAUAAAUAUUUAAGAUUACUAAGUAACAAACACACAAAUAACAAUUCUUUUAAGUUCUUCUUCUCAUUGUUAUACAUUAUUUUUCUCAUGUGUGUUUGUUAACAUAGUCAUCACAGAGUUCCCUGUUCCAUGAAAAACUUGUUUUUGUAGGAGUUCAUGAACCACAAGCCUAACCCAAUUAGAAAAUUUCAAAAUUCAUUACCUAGGUUUAAUUUGAUGAAUUUUCAACUUCGUCAAUAACGCCUUCUGUUGGAACUAGAAGAAAAGCUAGUUUAGUCCCUUUUCUUUUCUAGUUCUUUCCAUUGAUGAUAACUUAGAAAUGACAGGACAAGGGAGAGGUAACGAUCUCCCCACUACAGGAGCACCAUCUCCUUCAACAAAUCCCUCAUUGCAUGAAAUUGCUCAGUAAAGUUAUUUUAGCCACAUAAGAAUUGAUCAGUAAGGGAAAAUAUGCAUGUUUUUUUUUUCUGUUUUAGUUUAGUUUAGUUUAGUUAUUUCUUUUUAAUGUGAAUUGAUCACAGUGUUAAUUUUAUGCUUUUAUGAGUUUAAUCUUCUAUUUAAUUUCUAAAAUGAUCAAUUACAUUUGAGGGAAAAGAAUUAAUCACUGGUAGGCCUUAAUCUUAUUUAUUCUUUUAUUUUUUAGUCCUUUUAAAUUAUUAAUCCAUUUCUUAUUUUUAUGAAUUUUUUUUUUAACAUAGAAGAGAAUAUCUCAAAAUUAAUAACCAAAAUUAUAGCAUCAAUGAGGAAAGGGCUAACGAUAUGGGAUGGAUUAAUAGAAGAAUGGUUGGAUUAAUAAAUCUCAAAGAUAGAGGCCUUAUUAAAACAAAAUCAAUAACAUAAGAACUUUAAGCUCAUUAACCCCCGUAUUACUAAAUAACGAAAGGAAAUCCCAGCCAUUUUUUAUGUAAAAAUUGAACUCUCGUAAUUGAGGCCGCUAUUUUAUUAUGUAAAAACUCACACGGAGGAAAAGAACCAACCAUCAGCGGCAUCACCCUCUUUGGGAUCUUGAUUUUCAUCGGAUUAGCACCCAGCACAUCAAGUUGGCUCGACAGGACUGCCAAGGUACUGUGAUUCUGAAUAAUUAUUUUGCUAUGCAUCAAAUAAUUGCGGCUGCAGCUGAUAAUCCACCAUAUAUUGGGUCGCAUGUGGGAUAUUUUUGUUUAUUAAUUAAUAAAAAAUAAUAAUUAUAGAGGUUUAUUAAUUAAUAAAAAAAAUACCUUCCCAAAUUCAUAUUCUAUUUAAAAGCAUGCAACAUCACAUGGGUUCUGCAGAAAUUAAUCGUGGCAGGUAACACCAAAUGGCUUCACGUGGGUUCUACAACAAUAACUCAUAGCAGGCAACAUUACAUGGGUUCACAUGGGAUCUGCAGCAAUAACUCAUGGUUUCUCAGCAUAGACAUUUUGACUUUUUCCACGCCUAUAAAAAAGGACUCCAAAUUUUUCAGAGGACAAACUAUCUUUUUCCCCAAGAAAAUUUUACUCUCUAAAAACUCAUAUUUGUAACCCAUACUCAUUCACCACUGUAACCAAUAUCUCCUGUAUUGUUCUAUAUUAUAAAUUUAAGUAAGAUUUUAGUAAUUAUAAUAUUAUUAUAAUUUAUAUUGCUGUUAUAUUUUCUGUUUUAUACAAAUAUAUUAUCUGUUUGAUCAAGGAUCCUGAUAUUACUGGUCUUGCCUUGAUCAUUCACAUCAGAAAUUUGUAUGUUUUUAUAAGUAUCCAUUUUCUUGUUACUUUAACAAAAAUCAGUAUAUAUGUUGGAAACCUGUGACUCGAUUUUUCAGAUAAUUUUCAGGUAUAACAACGAUACGUACUGAGUUUUAUUUCUUUAUUUCUUUUUUUGUGUUUAUCUGCUAUAUAUUAUUUCAAGUUGGAUGAAAACAAGCAAUAAACAAGGAAGUAAUUGGACCAACAUAAUCAUUGAAAGUAAUUCAUACAAUUCGUUGAAUAAAAAGCUAACCCUCCACAAUUCGCAGUACUCAUUCACAGUAGUAAUCACCCAUAAUCAAAAUAAGAAAAAUAAGUCCCACCAAUUUUAUAGCUCCUACAUAUUUUUUUAUUAAAAGAUUGAUCUUAAGAAAAUUAUAUAAUUAACUGAGAUUAAAAAAAAACAUUAAAUUAAAUCCAAAAACCAUUCCUCGCCACUACAACCUUAAUUUUCACAGCUCCAUCCUGGUAACAAAAUAUAAAAUGUUUUUUUUUAAGAAAAAAUAAUUAUAAAAAAUUUAAUUAAAUCCCAAACACAAUUUCAACCAUCAAUACAAACAUGAUGGAUUCCUCUAUCAUCAACCAUUUUUUUUAUAAAAUCUCAAAUAGUAAAUAAAAAAAUUCAAAACAACAUAAAAAAUGGAUUCUUUUUAAAUAUUAUCCAAAAACAAGAGAAUUUGGGUUAGUGAGUUGUGAGGGGUUAAUGAGUUUGAGGGAUCGUAUACUAUUGAUUUUGUCUUUGAAAGUUUUUGAGUCCAAUCAUUAUACUAUUAUUUGUCCAUGCCUUUGAUCUCUCCGUGGCUAACAAUGUUAUUUGCCCAAUAACUUUAAAAUAUUCUUUGGAAUAUACUUUCAUACUUAAAAAAAUAAUAAAAAAGAAAGAAUUGAUUAAGAGCUAAAAAAGGCUUUAAACAACAAAUAAAAAAGAUAAAACCAAAAACAUAAAAUUGAAACCAACAAGUCCAACCAAUUUUUUCUUUCCUUCAUUUAUAAUUACAUGUUUAUUAAUUAAAAAACAUGCAACAAAAAUUUAAUUAUGAGAUCGAGUAAAAUAAAAAAUAAAAAACACGGUAUACAUAAUUAUAUAUACAUAAAAGUCCUCGGCACUGCAACGACUACAUCAGCGGCAUCACCCUCUUUGGGAUCUUGAUUUUCAUCGGAUUAGCACACAACACAUCAAGUUGGCUGGAAAGGAGUGCCGAGGUGUGAUUCUGAAUAAUUAAUUUGCUAUGCAUCAAAUAAUUGUGGCUGCAGCUGAUAAUCCACCUGGUUUGACAUCAAAUGAUAAUUCACAUCGUUUUUUUGAAGGAUUGUGCUGCAAGUGGUAGCCGACUUGGUUGACCGAAUAGGCUGUGGACCAAGGAGAUCAAUUUCCAGGAAAUCCAUUUCAUUUGAUUGUGGUUCCUCCAGGCCACGGAUAUCUGCUGUGGAGUGUGGACGAAGGAGAUCAAUUUCCAGGAAAUCCAUUUCAUUUAAUUGGGGUUCCUGUUCAUAGACAGGGGGUGAAAGCGAAUGCAACCAUGUGCCUGAUGUGAUUGUAAUUUUGUUUUUAUUAUUAACAUGAGUAUUAGAGCAAUUUCUAUAUAUCAUGAUUAAUUAUACAGGCUUUAAAAUUAAUAAUUAUAUAAAUUAUUAAUAGCUGUAAAGUUUAUUUGAGAUAGCUAAUUGAAGUUAAAGGCAAGAUAAUUAUUAAGAGUGUUUAUUGUCCUAUUCAUUUCAUAAAAACAUAAUCUGAAAUAAACUAAAAAUCAAUUCAACCAGCUUUAAUUAGAUUCAUUUGAAAUCAAGAAACCAAACAGCUUGAUAAGACCUGCAAAAAGCUAAGGGAUAAUUUGAUAUUAAGGAUAAUCUAAUUAAAGGAAGUUUACUUUUCAAAAAAAAAAUGAGAUGAAACAAUUACAAACAUGUAGUAUAAUUUCAAUUCACAAAAGAAAAAAAAAAGGGUCAUCUCAGUGGAACAACAUAAAAAAGCAAAAGAAAGUUUUUUCAAAAGUGAAUGAAUGAUCAAUGUUUUUUAUUUUUUUCAAAAGCUUCUAUAUAAUAAUAAAUAAUAACAGGAAUAUAAAAAUAAUGACUAGUCCCUGACUUGAUGUAGUUCAAUCCGUUUUAGAAUUUUAAAACUGAAAUUAAAUCGAAUCGAAGUUUUUUUUUUUAAAAUUAGUUUUUUAAGUUUUUUUUCACACAAAAUAACGAAAAAGGUCUGCUCAGUGGGACAACAUAAAAAAGGAAACGAAAAAUUUGGUCAAAAGUGCAUAAAUGAAUUGACACAAACAUGGGUAAAUUCAGGGGUUUUGUGUUGUGCCGGUGGUGGAAACAGUUUUUGUUGCUUGUAAAUAUGCUCAAGACUUGUAUAGAGCAUCACUUUCGAGUUGUGUACGGUGAUCUUUGUGAUAUCUAUCCAUUAAUAUAUAGUAUUUAAUUUUCGAGAUGAUAUAUUAUUUUAAAUAAAAUAUGUAAUAAUUAAAAGAAUAAGAAUCAAAUUUGAUAAAUAAAAAAUUUUAAUUAAAAAAUAAUAAGAGAAAAGUAAAUAACAAUCAUAAAAAUAAAAAUAAAAAUUAAUAUAAAAAUCAAAUUAAAUCAAAUUUGAAGGGAUAAAAUUAAAAAAAAAAAGAUUCAAACAAAAUAUAUAGCAAUCAAAAGUUUGAGGAUCAAAUUUGACAUAAUUAGCAAGUAAUAUGAUAUUUCUAAAUUUUUCACAACUUUUAGAAAGUGUUUUCGGCCUAAAAUAAAAGAAAAAUACUUUCCUGAAAAUCAAGCUAAAUUUUUCGUUGAUCAGAAAGUUUUUUUUAUUGAUCAACUUUUUUAAUAAUAAAUAAACAUAAAAAAAUUUGGAAAAUAAUUUCCCAAAAACACUUUCCAAUAAACACACCCUACAUAAACAACUCAUUUUAGAUGUUAUCUAUGCAUAAUAUAUCUGGUGUUGCACUCUUUCCAAGCUAAUUUCAUGUGAUAUGAGAUAUAUAAAUAUUUAAGAUUAGUAAGUAACAAACAUACACAAAUAACAAUUCAAAAUCACACCCAUGAACAAUCACACAAUACACUCUUUUAAGUUCUUCUUUUCAUUGUUAUACAUUAUUUUAAGCAACAAUCUCUUAUCCAGGGAUUUACUAUAGUCGUAUUUGAUGGGCACAUCGCAGAAGCUUCCAAUAAAUGCAGUUUGGAGUUAUUUUAUUAUUCAUAAUAAUAAAGUGUAACAAGGGGCUCUAUAUUCAGUUAAACAAAUAGAACGCAGAAGGUGAUAAAUGUUAAUAUUUCAUUUCAAAAGCUUCAAUGUAGAUUUUUUUUUUCAAGAGCAUUUGAUGUGCAGCGUUAUAUUUAACCCCCACUCUUAUCACGUUUAAUUAGUAUUUAAAUUAAAUAUAAAUAUAGAAGUUCUUAUGAUUGAUGCUGCUAUCCACUGAGAGAUUACGAUGAAAAGAAAAGAAAUUAAACCUCGUCGUAUUAUAGAAAUACUGGGCACAACUUUUGUUACCCCUAAAUUAUUAUACAAGCUCGACUCACCAUUACCUCAUAUUCAUCCAUGUAGGUUAUGGUGAGCUGGACUCAUCUAAUAUAGUAAUAUUAACAUAAAAUCUUACCAAGUUAAAAUUUGCAAAGGUAUUUUUUUAAAAAAAAUUCUACAUGUUUUUUUUUAUCUUUCAACAUUUCCCUUCUUAAAGAUCGAGCUUCAUAAUUUAUUGAUGUUUUCUUUUUAUAAGAUUAUUUUAGUUUUAUGACCCGUAUUGCGAUUUUAGCCGGUAUUGCGAGUUUCGCAGAUUGACCUAGAUUUUUUUUUUUUUAAUUUCAUCAUUCAAUAUUGGAUUGAUUAUGAAUUAAGCUUCAUGAUUUAAUUCAGUUUAUUUUCUAUUUUUUUCAAAAAUUAUAGUUUAUGAUAACACUUUAUAUCCUCACUAACACAUAUAAAAAAGUCCUACAAAAAUAUCUAAUUAUUAACAAAAUUAUUAUUAUUAUUAUUAAACUAAUAACUAUAAAGUUCUUAUUUUAAAUAUUAUAAAUUUUUCAUUGAAUUAAAAAAAAAAACUUAGUCACCACCCUCUUAACCAAACCAAAAAACAAAAGAAAUCCAUAAAUCAAGUUUAGAAUCUCAAACUUCAAUAUUCCUAUCACAAACAACCAACUUUGAUGUUCCCAUCACAAACACUAAUUCCUCUCCCAUUGCAAUUAUUCCAUCUCAAACCUUUGACUAGGGAGUGUUUAUUUAGUUAAACUCAAUUAUUUCUUGGGUCUAGCCAGCGUUAGAUCCAACACGUGUUGGCUUGACACAUUACCAAUUAAGCUCAAUCAUGGUUAGGUCUAAUUAACGCUAGACCUAUCAAGAUUUGGAUAUGGCGGUGGCUAGACCUAGUCAUUUCUUGGGUCUAGCUAGUGCUAGAUCCACCGCGCCUAGGUCUGGCUAACACCAGACUCAAUAUGUUUGGGCUUGGCGCAUUGCUAUUUAUAAACGAAGCAAGUUCAAUUUUGGUGUAAAUAUUGAUGUAGAUUAUAUAUAUUAAUGUUUAUGUAUUUAUGUGUUUAUAUAGUUGUAAAUAUAAAUAAUAAAAAGUGUUGGCGCAUCUAAGAGAAAAGUAUAGAAGUUUAUUAAUUAAUUAAAAAAAAGUACCUCCCGAAAUUCAUUUUCUAUUUCAAAUCAUGCCUACCAAACCGACAAUUUGUUAGGCUUAUAAAAACAAACUAUUACUAAAUUAAUAUUUUUGAUAGGGUAUGGAUAUUGUGUAUUAAUAUUUACAUGUAUGUUGUGUUUGUUUAGAAUUUUGAAUAUAAAAAUGUUAAAAAUAUAUUUAACUAAAAAGAUAAAAAGAAAAUUAUAGAAUUCAAAACAUAAAUUAUAUUGUGAUAUAUUUUCUGUCUUUUUUUUUAUUGAAUUUAAAAAUAAUGAGUGAACUUGGAGCAAUCCAACCACAAAAAGAAAAUGACAUAGGGGGAGGGUAUGUACGUAGUGGGAGAAGCAACUAAAUAUAGGGGAAGAAAAAAACAUUCAGCUUAUUUACAAAUCAUUUUCAAAAGAAGGAAAAUUGAAAAACUCUAUUUCUGGCCUCUCAGGUAAAGGAACCUGAAUGAAGAAAUUAAACGAGAAAGGUUUUUUAAUUUUCCUGCAGGGAGAGAGAGAGAGAGAGAGAGAGAAACCUGAAGAGAGGAAAUUAGGGAUUAGGGAUUUGGAAGCAUUGGAAAUUUAUAUAAAAAAUAAUUAAAAAAAAAACAUUAUUAAAAGUCUAGCUAAUCAAUCAUAAGUCAUAACUUCAAAAGUGCAACGCAAAAAUUAGAGCAAUUUAAUUAUAGGCUCAAAUUGUACGUAAGAAAUUAAUCAGUUUCGGCUAUUUUAGCUUGUGACCAGCAGUACAUGCUAUACUACUAGCAGCAUCAUAUUAUAGGUUCAAUAUUUUUUGAAGCAUCUGCCUGUCCCAUAAAUCUCAAGAACAUGAACAAAAGCCAUGAACCUGGCUGCCUGCAGACAGGAAUGUUUCUGUAUCUGUUGGUAUUUAGCAAACAUAUCUGUCCAUAUAGACUUUGUUAAGCUCUAGUUUGUAAGUUUAUAUAAAUUGCUGCAAACUUCCUGUUCCCAUUUCCAUUUCCAAAGCCACGAGCUGCUCAACAACAUUGUAAUCAUUUUGCUUUCUCUUGUGAGACUGCUAUUGCUAAAAGAAUUAUCAAUAAAUAUCUUCCGAGAAGUGGUUUACAGAGAUGGACUUUCUUCCUCUUCUUCUGUUUACUCUUUCCCUUUCAUUUUUUCCCUUCCUACCAAGUAGAUAGGUGUUUAACUUGAAGAUUAUGAGGGUUAUUUUACGCCCGAAUCGUGUACAGUAUUUGUGAAGCUUAUUUUCUUAGCGAACUAUAUUGUUUUUCUUUUUGGUUUCUAGCUGUAUGGUUAUGGUGAUUAUGUCGCUUUCCAUGUCAUAGAAUCCGUGGAUAUCUGGGAAAAUCUCAUUCAUUGGGACUUCAAGCAUGCAGUUGUUGACAGCUUCCUUGAUUGUAGAUGAUGGGGAACGUUGUUUAACAAUUUGUUCUCUCUUUCCCAGUUCUCUAGUUCAAAAGAAAUGGAGAUGCCUAUCUUUAUGAUCUCGGCAGCACGCAUGGCACCUUUAUUAACAAGAAUCGGGUCAGCAAAAAUACGCUUUUUAUAUUUAAAUUGUAUGCGUUUCUUAAAAGGUCUGAUGCAAGUGAUUCACUGAUACUGUCGAGGGAACUUGUGAUGUGUGAUCCAUCACAUGUUAUCCAAUAUAAAUGUGGCAAAUAUUUGUUAGUAGUCUGUCAUACAGUUAUGUAAUCUUGCUUGAAUAGCAAGGACGCAUCAAUUGCUGUAAUGUAUCAUGUGUUGUAGGAAGUUGUCCGGAAAAUUCUUAGAGAUGCUAAGAUUCGGCAAGCCUCACUCCAACGAGCAAGGUUGGGAGCAGCUCUUGCUGAUGGUAUCUCAUGGGACAUGGGAGAAGUAGUUGCUAUUGAAGAAGCUGAGGUUAUUGUCAGUCCAUACAUUUUCUGGAUGUAAUCUUGUGAGAAUUAUUGUUUUUGGCUUUUUAUUACUGUCAGCAGAUACGACUUCUCUUUUGUCCACACUUUUCCCUAAGCUGCUCUGCAAUAAAUAUAGAACAAGUGAGAUUACCUUUGUAUGCACUUUUGUGUAAAGAGAAUUGCUUAAAACUAUUAUUUGUUCUGUAUGAAGCAUGCAUGUUGGACAAUAGUAGUGUUCAUUUAUAGUUGUCAACACUCUGCCAGCCUUACCUCCUUGUUUCCUCCUUGUACAGAAAUGAUGCUUUUUUAGAAAUCCAGAAAAAGAAAAAAGAUAAUCAUUGAGAAUUUGUUGUUCAAUCCCACCUAGGAACUUGAAGACCAACUAGUUUACGUACUCGUGUCAAAUUUACCUCCAGGUCUAUUUCAUUUUUUGGAAUUAUCUGGUAUACCAGAACUUCUAUAAAUCCUAAAUUAGACUCUUUUGCAUGAUAAAAAGCCGAUACUCUUCUCUGUUUGUUUAUGUUGUUUUGGAUAACUAGGAUGAUGUUGAUGAAGUAGCAUGGCACACUACAAAGGGCAGCUUACAGAGAAGCAGGAGAAAACCCGUGAUAAAAUAAUAAAAAGGUAAGUGGUUUUACGUUUCAUACUUCGAGUUCCUCAUUUCUAGAUAUUUGAUGUCAAACACAAUGAUGAUUUCGCUAGCCUUGAACACGAGACCAAUCUGCAUCCAGUUUUUCAAUCCCCUUCAGAUUUAUGUUCUAGUGUCAUUUAAAAUGUUCAUCCUGUUACCUAUACUCCAAAUCGAAGGGCUAUUUUUAGUGAUGACUUCUUUCCUUUUCUCUUUCUUCUCACUGUCAUGCCUUGCUUUUUCGCUGGUAUUAGAAGUGUUCAAUCUAAAUGGUUGUAUGGUUUAUUGAUGGAGAAGAAAAAACAUUUCAUCAUCGCUGCAUUAGUCGCUCAUUUCCUGAUUUUCUUGUCAGUGCUGAAUAAACUGUGCAGCUCGGAAAGGAACUAGCCUUUCUACAAUCUGAACUGGGCAGGAUCUUGUUUCUAUUGAAGAUUGCUGAUCCAUCAGGAGAAGCUGAUCAGAAAAGGGAUUCGCGAGUGAAGGAUAAGAAACCUGAUAAAGCAGAGGUGCCUGUUUCUGCCACCAAAAAGCAACCACCCACCCAGGGGACCAAAGAAAAGUAGUGCAUCGGGAAAAUUGACCGAUGUCUCCAGACUAGAUUGUCAUUGAUGUUUUUGGUGUUAAAAUGAAAAUUAUCAGGGUGUUAUAAUUAUAAAAUUUUUACUAUAUUAAAAUAGUAUUUGUAAAUAUUCAUGAUUAAUAUUCUAUUAAAACUGAACACUGAAAAAAAAAAUUAUUCUCAUAAACUGAAAUAUAAGAAAUACUUAGAAUUAAUAUGCAGAUGUUUGUCAAAUGAUAAGUAUAAUGAACUGACUCUUAAGAAAAUUUCAUAUAAAAAUAUCAUUUAUAUUCAUAGAAAGGCUCACGUGAUAAAUAUAUAAGUAAUCAUUAGAUUUGAAAUCACUAAAUUAUCAUAUAUAAAAAUUAUUAUAUUUUGAUCUUGACCACAUGUUAUCAUAAUCAAGGGUAACAAACAAUCAAAUAUUAGACAUAACAAAUAUUUCAAAAAAAAUUUGACAUCACAUUAAUCUUUUCAAGCAGUUACUCUAAAAAGUUACCUAAAACUUAUUUUAUAACUAAAACGUGCAAACACAAUAAACUCUCCUUGAACCUCAUUUAAAAACUUAUUUGAAUUUAUUAUGUUACUCACACUUGCAUCUUCUUCAUAUGGUUUAACUAAAAAGUUUUCAAAAAUUCAACAACUAAACGAGACAAAAUAGAGUCUUUCUUGAUUUUUUUUUCACAAACUCACUUGGACUUAUUGUAUAAAGUCCAUUUUCUUUCACACUAUUUUUUCUUGUUUUUAUGAUCAGGUCUUAGAGGUAAUCCAAUAAGUUAGAUAUUUCUAUUCUUAAAAAUAAAAGAACAUGAAUAUAAUUUACUAGAAAUAGUGAUGGCCAUAUCAUAUAGCCAUGACCUAUUCAAAAUGACAUAUUGUAUAUCUAUUGGAUUCAUAUCACACCAAAUUUUAUAAUGAUAAUCUAAGAAUUUGAUAGAAAAAAAAUAUAUUUCUCUGAUUGCUACUAAGGUGGUGUUAAUCCAUGAUAUGUUAUAUGACUUAUAAUAUGUAAUAGACUUUAAAUCUAAACGAGUUACAAUAUUAGAAAAUACUACAUUAAUACAACUUUUAUUAUCAAUGGUCAUUUUGCGACUUUUAUCCACACACUUGAUAUAGGUUUGAAAAAUAGCAAUCAUUCUCCAAUUUUCAGUUCUCUCGGGUAAUGUCAAGGCACAUUUGACUAUACCUAACCUAGUUGUCACAAACUCUAUAGUAUUAUACUCACGAUUGAUUCUAAAGAUAUCACUCAAGAUUGAGUCUAUAAUAAUUAUAAAUUUACAUGACAUAAAUACAAGCAACACUAGCUUAGCUUGUAGAUCACAAACAUAUCUUUUAAGUAAAAACACAAUACAAAAAUAAAGCUAUUUUUUUUAAAAAAUAUGAAGAUUAAUCAAGAUUAUAAUAUAUAUAAAAAACCUAUGAACAUGCAAUACUAAACCUUUAAAUGUAAAAGGGUCAACCAAACACUUAUCUCAACUUUUUACAAAUUUAGGCAACUUUGAUAAAUAAUAAAAAGGAUUAGUUGCUAAAUAUUAAUGACAAAGUUAGUUGAUAAGUAAAAAUAUAUAGAAUAAAAUGAAAGAUGGGAUUUUUCUCUAUUAAAUUUAUUUAUUUUAUAGGCAUAAAAAUAAUAUUAAUGACAACUUUGAAUAACAAGUACAAAAAUAGAAAAAUAAAAUUCAACUAAUCAAAAGAUUUUGUUAUUUAUCACCACCAUGCUUGACAGGAUCAUGCAAGUUAAGUUGUUAAUAAUGCAGGUAGCAACGCUCACUUAGUGUUGGAUAACUUGUCUGUUGAUGUCAUUAUUUUUUUAAAAAAAUUACUUUAAUUUUUUUACUACAAUUUUUUUAAUUAAGAUAGAAGAAAGAAGUAAAAAAAAUACAAAUAAAAAUAAUAAUUACAAAAUGGAAAUUUGGCAGAAGACUCAUUUAAUUCCAUUCUCUUUCAUGUCUCUCUCAGAGUUUGAUUUCCUGUGUUGUUAUGAUCCUCAUACAAAUGAACAGAGUAUGGCUAUUGCUGGUAUGGAUUGAUUUGUAAUGGUGAAUCUCAAAUGCGGCCAUCUGGUGGUUGUUAGUGUUUUGUUUUCUGUAUGUGGUGGUGGCUAAUGGGUGUUGCUUUGGUGGUUAAGAAGAUGCAUUGGAACUAUGGUGGGUCACAAUGAUCACAAGUCUCUUCAUUCAUUCUUGUUCAAUGCAAGAACCCAGCGAAGCCUAUUCCCAGAACAAAAUAAAUAUGCUUGCUAUACAACAGCAUUCAGAGCUGUGUCAAAACUCACAGACCAAAUGAAGAUCUUCAAUGCUUGACGACUCCUUUCUAGAUACUAUAUACAAUAGAGAGGUUAGUCUCUAGCAGGAAGUUCUUCAUUAGAUCACAGGUUUCCAUAGCCAGGCUUGGCAAGGAACAAAGAAUUAAUGACACCCAUAAAAGAAGGGGGCCACGUUGGUGUAGCAAUGAGAGGAGGAGCCCUUGCACUGAAUCAGUUAAAGAAAUAAGGUGAUUCCAACACUUCCCUCAGCUCAAAGUCUCCCCGGUCAGGCAAGGGCGGAAAAGACAACGUGGGAAAAGACUUUUCAAAGCUCUCCAACAACUGCAUACAAAUCCAACAGUAUAAAUGAUGAGUUCUGCUAAAAAAGAAAAAACCCUCAGACUUGGAUUUGACACUGCACAAUUCUUUUAAAUGCUAAUUCAAGUUGAAAUUUAUAGGCAUUUUGUUUUAUCCCAAAACAUAAUUGAAACAGCAGAUGAGAACAUAUUAUAAGGAAUGCUUUAAUUAACUGCAACAAGUGUUGUUUCUUUAAACAUAUGGUACGUAUCUCUUUUCUUUGUUUUUUUAUUCACAACCAAAACAACCGCAAUCGAAUAAAGCUAGUAAAAAAUAGUUAAUUUCCUCUUAUCCGCUCUGCCAAAUAAACUUCAAAAAUAUUGCAUUGGGUUUUUGCCUCCUGCAAAUAUAUAAUGAUGCCAAUGAAGGGGCCAUUGCCCUUAUAAGUUUUAGAACAAUAUAGCAGUGCUAAUACUUACAUUCUCCAAUAUAGGUGUUUCAUAGAGUUCAACAAAUUUUUCCCUCAGUAUCCUGUUCAUUUCUUCCACAUCACAUGCAUGCGUCCAAUAUGAAUCGUGAACUCCUGUGAUGGUAUGCCAAUAUGCAGUAAUGAGAAAUCAAAACUAGGAAUAGGACAGCAAUUGAGACAAAAUCCAGCUAUGAGUGAGAAACCUGCAAAGUUUAAGCCUGCCCCUUUGCAGGCAACUGCAGUCAUCAUCAUAUGAGAACUAUCAAGGGAAUGAACAAAAUUUGGUGGGAAAGCUGUUCCCCCUUUGUUUUAGUAUUUUGGUCACAGUCCAGACUAAAUAAAGUAAAAGAACUGCCAAACUUUGAGAUCCAAGAGCCAGAAGGUACAACCUUUUCCCCCUUUGUUUUAGUAUUUUGGUCACAGUCCAGACUAAAUAAAGAAAAAAAUCAGGGCAAUUUAGCUAGACAAAAAGCCAAGGCACCCACUGAAGCCUACCAGAAAUCAUGUUCAGAAAAAUUGGUUCAGAAAAUUGGGAAACAGCUAGCAGAAUGUACCAAUGUAUACUAUAUCUGUGAUGUUUUGUAAUAAAAAGGAAUGAGAAAAUACAAUAAAGCCCUUGGAGGCUUAAAGAGAGGGUAAAUGAUUGAAGGGUAUUGUGGUAAUUGACCAAUAGUUGAUAAAUAUAUAUAAGAAAAAAAAAAAAAAGAAUGAUCUGAUUUUGAGAGAAAGAGAGUUACGGGAGAAGAGAAGAAAAGAGGAAGAAGAAGAAAAGAAAGGAGAGAAGGAAAGAAAGGAGAAAAGAAGUAGAGGAAAUAAGUAAAAAGGUAAGAUUUAUGGUUUUAAGUGUAUAAUAUGUUAAAUUUCGGUUUUGAUUAAUUUUGAGAGUUUUGAAGUUUGUAUUUUGAGUUAAUUGAUGAAUUAGUUUGAAUUAAGGGGUUGAUUGAUGUGGAUAUUUGAUUAAUUAGUUGAUUUUGAGAGAUUGAAUUAAAGGAUAAUGAUUUUGAGUUAUGAUUUUGUUUAAAUGGUGAAAUUGUGUUAGAAAUCAGGGGAUAACAGUAGGUGAUCUGUUGAAAUUCUGAGUUUGAGGUUGAAGAUGACGAAAAUUCAGUUUGGUCCCUCAAUUUAUGGAAAUUGCAGUUUAGUCCCCGAACUUUGGAAAUUUUACAGAUUGGUCCCUGGGGCAUAAAUUGAGGUUCUGAACAGAACUGAGGAUGAUUUAAGGACAAAAUUCCAGUAUAAUUAAUAUUUUCAGUUUGGUCCUCCAAUUUGACAAAAAGUAUAAUUUGACCCUAAAAAUUUGGUAAAGUUCCAGAAUGGUCCUUGGAGCAUAAUGAUAUAUCCUGGACAGAAUUGAGGAUUAAUUAUGGACAGAAUUUCAGUAUGGUUAUAUAUUUACAAUUCAGUCCUCAAAUUUUGGUAAAAUUACGUUUUGGUCCCUGUUUUGGAAAAUUGUCGUUUUAGUCCCUAAACUUGGGAGAUUAAGCCCGGUUUAUUUUAUGCUUUGGGAUCUUUUGUUUGAUCUGUUUUUGAGUAUAUUUCAUAUAUUUAUUGUAGGUUCUCCUAACGAUCCUUAAUCGAUUUCCGGGUCUUUUGUCUGACAUUCCUUUUAGUUCUAUAUUGUCCGGGUGAGUGAAUAAUCUUUAAUAUGCAUAUAAUAUAAAUAAAUAUGUAUGUUGAUUAUACAAUGAGUACGACUAGUAAGUUUCUUGAAUAUUUAUAUAUGUUGCUUUAUUUUUCGAGUACUCAUUUAUUCUUGAAUUUGCAUUCGCAAUCUGUCAAAGUAAAUUCUAUUUGAUAUGAUAUACGUUUCUUUGAUGAUUAUGUGAAUAUCUGUUAUGCCUUGAUAUGGGACUUGUCAGUACUCCAUGCUAACGGAGAAUAGUUAGCCUGUGUGCACAUAGUAUUCUGUUACCUAGCUGGUGAGAGAGGCAUCAGCCUGUGGCAUUGAUCAUCCCAUAGUGGUCACCGACGGGUGUCAUCUGGUCACCGACGGGUGUCAUCUGGUCACCUUCGGGUGUCAUCUGAUCUCUGACAUGUAAUCCACUACGUUAUGAUAAUAUGUUACGUUAUGAUAAUAUGUUUAGUAAGUAUAUGUAUACGUAUAUGUAUAUUAAGAUAAAUCAUCUUACAAAUUAUAAUAUCUGAAAUAUCUGAAAUGUAUAUUAAAUGUUAUUCCCCUCACUGAGUUGGUUGAACUCACCCUCAUUUUUAAUAUUAUUUCAGGUUCUUAUUCUUAGUUUCUGAUAGCAGUUGGACUUUGUUGAGUGUUUCCGCUUCUUCAGUUCUGGUCGGUAUGCCUUGCUUGUUCGCGAGGUUUUCCUUUCAGUUUUGAUUUGAUGUCUUAGACGCUCCACUAUUACCUUAUUUUAAUUACGUUUGGAUUUUGACAAUGUAAAUGUAUUAUGAAUUAUUAUUUUUGUUUUAAUAACUAUCUUUCGGUUUUAUCAGUAUUUGAAUAAUAUAAUAUUUCUGAAUAUUAUGAGCCGCUGCGUAUUUUGGAACAAAUUGUUCUUUUGAUAUGUCUGUUCUGAGGCUUAGCGUAGGUGAGGUGUCCUUUCGACACCGCUCCUGCGUUGCCGGUCACGGAUCCGGGAUUCGGGUCGUGACAAUAUCCUCAAACAACAUUUCAGCAAUAAAAACAGGUUAUUUCAGAUUUUUCACAAUUUCUUGUGUUAUCAAAAUCUUAGCACAGACUCGAAGUCAAAGUAAAUAUUAUGGAAUCUUGAUUAUCAAAGCAGAAACGAGCAACAAAGAUAAGUAACGUUACCUUGUCAGUUUCUUUUUGUAGUAUUAAAACCUGUAGGGAAGUUUUGAUCUGCAGCAAUUGCACAAAAGGAAGAUAAGAGUACUCAAAAUGCCCUCUCUAUCGAUAUGAAUGUAACAAAAUGCGAAUCAUUUUUUUUUUUUCCUGUCAGUACUAUAUGAUCUACUAUGCUUCUGCAAAUGUUAUAGAACUCACACUUCGCGUCCCUAAUUUACGAUAAGGUUGUACAACAGGAAGUCCUAGGGGAGUUGUCCACCGCACUGGCUCAUUUUCAGAUGCGAUAAUCUGGUCAGGUAAAAUGCAAAGAGAAAAUGUAAACAGAAUGUCAGUUGUUGGUAUAGAAACUAGAUAAAAAAAUAACCAAAAAAGGAAAAUCAACAUAAAGGAAAAACAAAUAAAUUGAGACAGACUCACCUUUGCACAAUCCCCAAGCCAGUUCAUGAUACUUCGUGCAGCUUCAAACAUCUCUCCUAAGGCAGUUAAGGUCACCUGAUCAAGCAACAAUAUAAAAUAUUGUCAGUGACAUGUUCUAUGAAAAAGAGUAAAGCUAAGGAAUUAUGAAUCAUCACUGUUGGGACGCUCCCUUCACACCUUUGCAGCAUAGCAAGAACAACCAAAGAUAUCUGACUCCUCUGUGAUACCACGCUCCUUUAACCUCCUUUUGAUCUGGUCUCUAGCACCAAUGUAAGUUACACCAUAUACAGAUGUCAUCACUGUCUGUUUCACCAAUUUCCUAUCCACCUAGAUGGAGUCAAACCACCAUUAGUUUGAAAGUAAAAGAACUUAUUCACAUUGAAAAAUGGCAAGGUACACCCUAUCUUUUGAAUGGGCCAAAAAAAAAAGGAAAAGCAUGAAACAGUGUUGACCCAAUAGUAACUAAGCAAUCCCUUAGUGACAGGAGACCACUAUGAUCAACAAUCAAAGCAUGCAAAAAACCUGGUUUAUUAAUUCUUUUGCACGCAAUGCAUCAGGAAAAACAUCUGGAUCUUUCUGUGCAUCCCUCCGCAUGAUAUCAAGUACUCUGCUUCGCAAAAGUGCAUGUUUAUCAUAGCAUCCUUUUGCAGAUAUCUGCUUGCUUCACAUCUAGAAAUGCACUACAGAAAUAUAGGAUUGAAAAAGAAAAAUUCUUGUAGAGGCUUUACAAAUUUGGCUCCAAUCAAACAUAUCCAAUGAAUACUACAGGACUUUGACUACUGCACAUGAAGGGCUAACAUAUUUAUCUGGUCAAAGGCCAUGAAAUAAGAGCAUUGCUGACUAAAGUUUUGCUUUGAUUGAAUUGAAACAAAUUAAAGUUCCUAAUUUAAGCAGAAAUAUGAAGCUUCAAUUGGAUGUUACUACUUCAUUACAAAUACCUGGAUUUCCUUGAAAGCCAGAAAACUCGGCCAGUGAAAUACAUUCUUCUUUUAGUUUUGUGAGAGUAGGGCUUCCAAACUCUUAGUCUUUGGGAUGAUAAUGUUAAUUGCAGAUUUCUAUUCGAUCCAAUACAUGCUGGUAGGUAUGCUUCAGAAAAACUCGGACCCAAUUAGGAAGCAUUUUUGGUUUAUAUCCCUAGGAUCAUAUUUGCGGGUCAUCCUAUUAAGAGUUGGUUAUAAAUCUAAAAAUUCAGAUUCUGUCCUCAUGUAAUUAAAUGGAACUUCAGAUUUAAAGAAGAGUAUCCCUUUAUUAAGCCCUCUAACCAAGAGUUUCCACAAUUUUCAGCACAAGUUCUUUAGUUCCUCAAAAAAUCUCUGCGUUUUCAAAUCUUCGACCUAAUCUUUAAAUCAGUCUGAGUAAAAACAACCAGCUCCAUUGGUUUGCUUCAACAAAAGCUCAUCUUAGCUCAAAUCUUUUCUACUGUAUCAUGAGGAAACCCCUUACCUAGCAGCUAUUCCCGAGUAGACAUCUGCAGGCUUCUCUCCUGCAACUAGAUUAACAGCAGCUGCUCCCAACUGUUCAAGAUUCCAAUGAUUUAACAAAAGCAGAGGGAUUCAAAAUAUAAUCAAAUGCAUUACUUUCCUAUUCAAAAAUAAAAACGAAGUUCAAAAAAUAAAAGUUUGCAGACCACUUCUAAAAAACACGACUUGAAUUCAACAAUGAUUGGCAUCAGCACAGUGCCUUAGGAAACGAAAAUCAGACAAAAAGAUGGUUUUGUUUAUCAGCAGUAAUCAUAAAGAAAAGAAAAACUUCAUAACAUCAUCCAAUUCAAGUUAAGGACGUUACCUUGUCUCUUCCAAGUGCAGCGUAGUGUUGUAGGCCAUUGCAGGAACCAUCCUACAAAAAACCAUAAGAGGGAAGGUGUACAUCAGAAGGCAGAACAGGUUAUGAGAAAAAUUAUAGGCCAGAAGAACAAAGAUAAGCCCAGGGAAGAGUACUUAAGUUGAUUGUCCCACAUAGUCCAACAGUUUUUUAUGUAAUAGAACCAAUAGAAACCACUUAAGCUUAUCAUUUUAUUUGUUUUCCUAAAGCAUACAAGGUACAAUAACAAAGAAUUUUGACUCUCCUUUUACCAUUCAUCUUCCUAACACCUCUGCCUCUCUCAAUCCAUUCCCUAACAUUCCAGUAAAAUUGUGCUCAAUUGGGUAGGAUGCUUUACAAUCCUUAAAAAAUGUCCAUAAAAAGUUUAUAUGAGCACAAUGCAAUACAUUGAUAAGAUAUACCUGAUGAACAGGAAUAUGUGAAAUAUAUGUUUCUGGCGAGGAGCUUCUCAAAGCUUCAGUCAGGUUAAUGCACACAGCCAAGAACUGAAAUGGAUCUUCUGCAUGCAACCACCAACGCUUUCCGUCAAGUGGUUUGUCUGCAGAAUCAAAUAUAUCAUCAAGGUGAUUCUCAGUAAAAGCUAUCCGUCCCUCAUAAGAUAGCUUGUCUACACCACCAGCAAAUAGAUUUGCAAUGUGUAUCUUCAGCCAGCGUAAGCCUGACUUUCCAAGAGGGCAUCCCUCUGCGAACUCCAAAAUCCCCCGGCACAGAUCUGAUCCAAGAUGGUUUAAGUAUGGGUGCAUGGGGUAGGCACGCCCACGAAAGUCAAUAUUGUGUGGAUAAUAGAAACCUUCUUCAUCUUUCAUCUUCCGUGCUACCUGGAGCCAAUUAAGAAUGAUGGCAUGAACGCCAUCAAGAAGAUUGAAAGUGUACUGUCUAAAAUAAAGUAAAAUGAGUCUUACAGCAAGUUUAAGUUCUAUGUCACAACGCUGUGCAUGUCUUUCCCUGUUCUCUUUUUUCACUCCUCUGAGUUUCCACUUCCACUUCUUAAGUAGUGCUUCAUCUUCUGUUUCUGGCUUCUCAGGCAAAGGAACCUGAAAUAAAGAAAUUAAAUGAGAAAGGUUUUUUAGUUGCUAUAGACAUCAUGAUCAAUUCUUGGAAUACAAAGGUAAAGGUAAAGGAGUUUAUCAGAAAAAAAAAAGUUACAUUGAGGAAAGUUAGAAAAGAUACUCACAUCACUGUGGUCUACCAAAUCAGCAAGAUGACCUCCAUUACUCCAUAUUCUAUCAACAACACUAAGUACCCUCUUAUUUACCCUCCAUCUGGUAUUCCCUAGUGUAUCCAGGGCCUGGAAAAUUAAUUCAAACAAAAGAGAAUCCUUGUUAAACCAGAAGCUAAGCUGGUAAAAUCUACACAUGUGAUAGCAUGUGAAGGUAUACACAAUUAUCAGUAUAAGAUUGUGUUCAAAGAACAUCACAUGUUAGUACCAAAAGAUGAUUUAGUUCAAACAAUAAAAUACGCAUCAGUAACCAUGCAAUGCAUCUAAUGUGUACAGACCUCAAAAACUGGUCGUAGCUGCUUCCUAGGUGCCCUCUUAACUGCUUCACGUUGCUGUUUAGCACCAUGUAUCCGCAUGACAUAGGAUGGUAAGAACAAGUGAGCUCCUUUAUCAUAACUGCAAAGGGCAUUGAGGUUAUGCUCGACAUGAGUAAGAGAGAGGUAAAUAUCACAAGCUAUGACACAAUUAUCUAAGAAGAGCUUAGAACACACCAAAAAGCUACUUAAAUGUCAGGUCCUGAUUUGUUACUAGAAGCAAUAGUGGUGUUAAGAGUUGCUACAACUACAUGGGAACCAGAAUCCAACCACAAACUCAUUAAAUGCCAGAUUAAAGUAGCGUAUGUAAGGAACAUGUAUGAAGAAUUUGUAUCUUCCAAAUUUGUAUACAAGGAUCUAAAAUUAAUUUUAGUGGGGACUAUGCUAAUGUGCCUCCUGCAACUUGCAUGAUGAUUGAGUGAAAUAGCCAAGACCCACUAUAAACUUGCUGGUAAACAAAGUGCUCUUUCCCCAAAACCAAUUCAUGAAAUGGUUUUCGUCUGAUGCUCCAUCUGAUCAAAUUAAGAUAUUCAGAGUGCAAUCACUGGUUUAAAUCUUUUCUUUUUGUAGAUAGAAAGUGUGUCCAAGAAUCUCAGUCCUAAUGGGCAAUUUACAACCAAAAGCGCUAGGGAGCUUAUCAGAUUUAAAGGCAAUAGGUUGAAUGGCAGAAGCUGCCAUAGAGGCCUCUUCAUAUUCCAAAGCAUGUGUAGUUUUUCCAAUGAGGAUUGUGAUCACCUAUUCAAGAAAAACUUAACCAAAGUCCAUGAAAAACAUAUCCUAACUAACUUGCCAAACAAUAAGGUUCAAAAAUCUCAGUUUGACAGCAGAGAUCUGUCUGUGCCCAUUUCUCCCAUGUAAUCAUCUGUUGUCUCCUUGCGCUUCUGGUACAUUUGAAAUUUGAAAUAAAUACCUAUAUAUGAAUCAUCACCUAAAGAAACUAAACUACUACAAUCAAGUUCUCUAUGUACUAUCCUAAUCCUAAAUUAACUACAUGUCUGACUUCACAUGAAAACAACAAUUCGAUACUCUUAUCUUUUCUUGAGCUUAAACCACAGCAUCCUUGUAGAAAACCUAACACCUUUUCUUUCUCUAUAUUUUAUCUCUAACUGCCAGCCAUUCUUUUCCAUGAAGUAUACCUCUCCCUUUAACAUCAAAAACAUUAUAAUAAAGAAUUCCAUAGCAAUCCCUAAAUUCUCCUGCCUGUGGCAAUAAUGUUCAUUUUCCGGUAUUAGACAUGGCUGUGAUUAGCAAAUGCUCUUCAAUGUUUAAAGACAGUGUUCUCUGUUUUGUUGAGAAUCCUAGACAAAACCUUCCAUCUCAUAUCUCACAUUCACCAUGUUUUGAAUAAACACCUGCAAGACAAUUAGUUUCCCUUCCAAUGGAGGUUACAGAAAUGGAGAGGCAGAGCCUUGAAACAUGCUGAAAUGUUAAUUUCAAUUAACUGAAAUUGGGAUAGGAAUUCCAGUCUUUAUAAUCAGAGAUUCACCCCUUCAUCUAUUAUACCAUUUUAAGCAUUUAACGUGACAUGAAAAUUGAAAACAGCUCCAGGCAUCAAGCAGAAGUAACCAAAACACUAUGUUAAUAUUUCUGAACUUGGAAUAUAUCCAACUAGAAAAUAUAAAAUUAAAACAAGACAAUCGUGGAAAAACUGUAAAUAUAAAACAAGCUAACAUACCCUCUCCAUCUAAGUGGUGGCACCAACAUUGGCAUAUAAGGAAUCACCAUGUGCCUAGCCUGUUUGGAGAAACAACAUUUUUAUGACUUCUUAUGCAAGAAAAAAGAAUGAAAGACAAACAUCUGCAACUUAAGAGGCACCGUGGAAAUUGCCUACAAAUCUUAUCUGUUUCAGCUCUAAAAUCUAGAAACUAAUCUAUCUGCUUUGAAAGUAUAUGGCACCCUGACACAAGUUCAUGUCAUAAAGGAUGAUAAAAUAUGAAAACUAGAUAUCACUAGAAGAACAAAAUAUGACAGGGUUACUCACAGUUUUCUCUAGGCCUUUGAGGACUAGUGGGUCACAUUGUAUAACACCAUAUUUUUUCGCGCACUUCCUGUUUAAGAAAAGGCCAUUGUGCAUCAGUUAGGAGCAAUUACAAGGAAGAAAAGAUAAAUUGAGCUCAUCGAGUCAAUUAAAGAAUGACUCCAUACUUAUUUUCAUAUGACACGGUUCUGAAUGUAUGCACAAAUGCAGGUCGAGGUUCAGAUGGACUAUCAGCUAACUGAUCACAGGGAGGCUGUAUAUAAGCUGUUUGUAACAGCAAUUCAAUUAGACGGCUUCCAACCUGCAAAGCGCAAGUACAGAAAUCAAAUUCGUACACAAUACAUUUGUUCAAGAAAAUUAGCCUUUAUCAAUGAUUACAAGCACACAAACCUUAGCCCUAGCAUCUGCAUUCCAUGGUUUUGAAUCAUCCUUCCCCUUCACAAUCUUCCUCACAGCUGGCAGCUUUUGUUUUUUAAUCAAAUCAGUAACCUUUUUUCUUAGGUUUUCUUGUUCCUUCAUGACAGCAGGGGAUUCACCUUCUACACCAUUCUUGCUAUCAUUAGUAUUUUCCUUUUUCUUCCUUGUUUUCUCCAAGAUAUUGUGUAUUCUAAUCUGUUUCAUCACAGAAACUGUUACAGAUUCAGUCCUCAGUUCAAAGAAAGAGAACAAGACUGAAGAGUUAGGAGUUCCAAAAAAUGGAUUAAGAAUGGUACACCUAAAUAUCUCUUCAUUGUAUAGUUCUUUUUUAAAAGAAAAAAAGGAAACGAAAAGAGGAAGCAGCUCCCAUAGUCAGAAGAGACAGUAGAGCAAAGUGUUGCGCAUGCCCUUAACAUCUAAACUAAGAGAAAAACUUAAACAACUUACAAAACAAAGGCACAAACAAGAACACACAUAAUUGCAUUGAUAAAGAUAAUUGCUGUCCCCAACAGGGAAAUGCAAAAGUAUAAAUCCAUAGUGAAACAAUGUCGAAGGAAAGUUGAAUGUCACUCUUAUUAGUCCACCAUGCCCAUGCUUCGAAGAAAUUGUAGCUCAAAAAAGAAAGGCGUAGUAGAAUAUUCAGCCUAAUAAGGCCCGUGAUAUGAAAAGUUUAACACUUAAUGAAAAAAUUGUAAAAACUUACUAUCUAAAGGAUCUUACACUACAUUGUUUUUCGUACCUACAUUAGUGUCCUCCCUGGAACCAUGAACAGCAGAAGAACUUGGACUGAAAGUAAAAACUAUAGAUAUAUAAAAAUGAAAUCCAGAAAACCCCCAUUCAACAUUCGACAAAACUUUACGGAACGUAACUUCAAAAUCUAAUUUUCCAGGCACUACUAGCUCCAUAGCUGAUUUUUAUCUCAUAAUUGUACAUAGUAACUUUCAUCUUUCUUCCUAGUUCAUCACCUCAGAUGAAGGUUGUCUAAAAGUAAAUUUAAGAAACUUUAGGUUUUCCCUUAUCUUUCAAUAUUUUUAUAUGGGCACUCAUUAUCCUCUGUCUACAAAUCAAACCGCAAGUAAAUCUAAAACAUUAAAAAUUACUUACCUCCUGCUCAAUUGCAUCACCAAUCAUACAAGCAGCAGUCACAACUCUUGCACAUCCAUGUUCCCCACCUGUCAUUACCAUUGCUGCGAGUUGAUGCAUUGCAAUAACAGACAUCUUGUCAGCUGGCAACAGAUCAAAAUACGGAGCAUAACCCUGCCUACUCUUCCCCGUUCUAAUCAACUCCUGCUCUUUCGCAAUUGUGUCUGUAAAAGGCUUAAAUUGUUAAAACUUUGUGGAAUUAUCGAAUUACAUGUUCUGUUUUGAAAUAAUUAAUAGCUUGCUUAAUGAGUCAUUUUUAAGUUUUAUCGAUGGUAUUGCAGAGUGGUAAUUUCUGCUAAUUUAUAUAUAUUAAUUUGUAUGGACGUUGAUAAAUGAUAAUGAAUAUUUAAUAUUUAUGAGAAGUUGUGAUUGGUUUGUUGGAUAAUCUCGAGGUAAAGUAAUAUUUUUGCAAGUUUAUUUACCUAACUUAGUUAAUUAAUACAUGAUGUCAUCAUAAUUUUAUAGAGGUUCGAUAGAAGUCAUGGAUGAUCGUUCAUGGAUGUAUCUAGAUUCACCCCAAGGAUUGCGGAGGAUGGAUUAUUGUAAUGGGGUUUAAGGUUUUAUUAAUUUCGCAACAUCUAUUCCCAGAAAUUUUAUUGGAGGCGGUAUUAGGUGUCCAUGUAGGAAGCGUUAAAAUAAAAAGUAUAUGCAUCCAGAUGUUGUAAUGAUGCAUCUUCUACAGAAAGGGUUUAUGGAGGAUUAUCAGUGUUGGUAUGCACAUGGAGAGGUAUUUGUUAGUAAUAGGAGAAUGGGAGAAACGGUGGUUGGGUCAACUUCUAGUGCUAGCAACGUGCAUGAAGCAGCAAAUGACAAUACUAAUCCUUACAAAAAUAUGGUUAUGGAUGCAAUGAGAAUGAAUCAAGGUAAUGUCAGUCAAUGUCCAAUCAUAAAAGAAGAACCUAAUGCAGAGGCAGCUAGGUUUUUUGAUUUGUUGAAAGAUUUUGACGAACCAUUAUGGGAUGGCUGCACAAACCACAGUAAAUUAUCGGUCGUGGCACAAGUGUUCACCAUCAAGUCAGAUCAUGGGCUGAGUGAGGCCGGGUAUGACAAAAUUAUUGAUUGGGCAAGAAGCAUUUUACCUGAAGGGAACAGGCUGAAAGAGAACUUCUAUGCUGCCAAGUCCAUGAUGAAACCCCUUGGUUUAGGAUACUAGAAAAUUGACAUGUGCCCUAACUUCUGCAUGUUAUACUACCUUGAAAAUGCUGAGAUGACCGAGUGCAUAAAAUGCGGGCAUUCCCGUUACAAACCCAGAACUGGCAGGGGAAAAACUCUAGUGGCGUAUAAAAAACUUAGAUAUUUUCCGAUCACACCUAGACUGUAGAGGUUAUUCAUGUCACGAAGGAUUGCUGAGCACAUGACAUGGCACCAAACAUAUGAUGCGGUUGAUGGUGUAAUGGUGCAUCCUUCUGAUGGCGAAGCAUGGAAACGCUUUAACAAUGUGCAUCCUGACUUUUCAACUGAAUCAAGGAAUGUCCGUCUUGGGUUGUGUACAGACGGAUUCAACCCAUUUGGGUCAUUUGCUGCUCCCUAUUCUUGUUGGCCGGUCAUACUCACAGUUUAUAACUUGCCACUGGGAAUGUGUAUGAGGCCGGAGUUCAUGUUUUUAUCUACUAUCAUACCUGGUCCAAGUAGCCUGGGGCGGAAUAUAGAUGUUUGUCUUCAACCGUUGAUUGAUGAGCUAGCGCAGUUGUGGUCCUCCCGGAGCUCUGACUUAUGAUAUAUCGAGGAAACAAAAUUUCCUUCUGAGGGCGGCUUUGAUGUGGACUAUCAAUGAUUUUCCAGCUUAUGGAAUGCUUUCUAGUUGGAGCACACAUGGGAAACUCGCAUGUCCAUAUUGCAUGGAAAACAACAAGGCAUUCACGCUAGCAACGGAGGUAAAGCUUCUUUUUUUUAUUGUCACCGUCGCUUCUUGCCACUUAAUCACAGGUUCAGAAAGAACAGAAAAGAUUUCUUUGUUUCCCCGCGUCUUUCUGGUGAAGAAUUGCAUCAUGUUGUAUCAGAGUACGAUGACAUUGUGUUUGGCCUUCAAUCAGGUAAGCAAAAGUUUCCUGGUUUUUUUUGACCCAUAAUUGGGUAAAGCGAAGUAUCUUUUGGGAGCUUUCUUAUUGGAAGACCAAUCUUCUCCGCCAUAACCUUGACGUCAUGCACAUCGAAAAGAACGUGUUUGAGAAUAUUUUUAACACCAUCAUGGAUGUGAAGGGGAAGACAAAGGACAACAUCAAGUCUAGAUUGGAUAUAGCUUUAUACUAUAACCGUAAAAAUAUGGAGUUGGUUUAUGAGGAGUCAUAGGUCGCAAAACCAAGGGCAAGCUUCGUGUUAGAGAAAAACGCACAACUGCUAGUCUACAAAUGGCUUAAGAGUCUGCGUUUUCCGGAUGGACAUGCAUCGAACAUAUCAAGGCUUGUUAACAUAGAGGACUGCAGAUUGUAUGGAAUAAAGAGUCAUGACUACCACGUGUUUAUGCAAACACUCAUCCCAUUAGCUUUUCGUGAUUUGUUGCCAAAGGGAAUAUGGGAUACACUGACGGAGAUCAGUCAUUUAUUCAGAGAUAUACCAGCAAGUUGAAUGUUGAGCACAUUGAGAGGCUUCAAACGAAUAUCAUCGAGACACAAUGCAAACUUGAGAUGAUAUUCACUUGCCUUCUCCUUAAGACCCUAUGCUUCCUUGACCCUAUUCCAGGGUUAGCAUGUAGCCUCCUCCUCCUAAAGUGCUCCUCUUUCUCCUCUUCUUUCCUCAUUUCUGGCAGCAAUUCUUGCACUUCAUCCGCAGCAGACACAAUAUCUUCAACAUCUGUUGAUGACACUGCCUCAGCUACACUCAGAUACCCUCUGGACAAAAUCCAGCACACCGACUCCCAUUAGUACCUUCACUAUUUCUCAAAAAAAUAGAACUGGGUUUUCCCAUAAAAUCUUCAUGGGUUGAUAUUUCGCCAAUUGCUCGAAAACCAAGUCGUGGACUUGUGUUAUUAAGCGAAUGGAACUUGAGUUUCUAAAAAAAGAUGGGUUCUUUAGAGGCUCCUAAAAAGCUGCAAGUUCUUGGAAAUGAAGGGAAAUUGAGGGACUUUGAUUGGGAUUUCAAAGUGGCUUGUUUUGCGAUGUUUCUCCACAUAACUGUGGAUGGUUUAGAGAUAGAAUUGUGGGUUUCUUAUCAAAAGUAAUCAAAGGAUCAAAAUUUUUGGUAGAAAAUAUAUGGGAGCUGGCCCUCUAAUUAAAGGAAAUUAAAAAAAGAAAAAGAAAUGGAAUUGAAGUGAUUGAGAGAUGAAUUGAAAUGCGCGGGUAAUGCAGCUUGAGAAAAGAAACGAGUUCAUAGAGAGGUAUGGUAGUGGUAUUAGCAUACCGGCCGCUUUAAACCCUGCAUAAAUUGCAAGGGCUUUUCGCAAUGUAAAAGUGUUAGAGCUUGUUUAAUAUGGAAACAAUCCUUCCAUCCGCAAACAUGGGAUUAUCCUAAAUUUAAGAAAAAAAUCCAUACAAAGUAAAAUGUGAAUCUAAUUGCCCAAACCAAAACCAUGAGCUAAAACUACCGAAGAUCUUCAAGCUAAAGCAAUAGCUGGAGCAGCUGCCGCUGCUCCUGCUGCAGUUGCCGCUGCUCCUGCUGCAGCUGCCGCAGCUGCACCUGCACCUGCUCCUGUUGCAGCCGCUGCAACUGCACCUGCUCCUUCUGCAGCCGCUGCAACUGCACCUGCUCCUGCUGCAGCUGCUGUUGCCGGAGCACCUGUAGCCGCCGCUGCACGAGCACUUGCCACCGCUGCCGGAGCACCUGCCGCCGCUCAUCAAGGUCCUGCUGUUGCCACUGCCGCCGCCGCUCAUGGAGGUGCUGCUGCCGCUGGAGCACUUGCUGCAGCUGCUCCUCCUCCUGCUCGAGCAGCUCCUCCUCCUGCUCGAGCAGCUCCUCCUCCUGCGUGAGCUGCUGCUGCAGCUCAGGUACAGUGAAACUGUACAUGGAUUCGAUGUUACAUGUUUUGUUGGGUGUUAAAAAAAAAAUUAAUAAAAAAAGUAUAGAUAUAUUUUUUCAACAUGUUUUUGUAUUUAAAAAAUUCUAAGUGAAAAAAAGAAUUAUAUAUAAAUAUAAUCAAAUAAAUUAAGAAUUAUAUGUGUUAAUAAAUAAAAAAACAACUAUAAACUAUAACUAAAAAUAAAAAUGAAAAAAUUGAGAAACAAGUGUAGAUUAAAAUAUUUAAUUUUAAAAGACGAGAUAUUUACGUGAUUGUAUUUAUUAAAUUUAUUCAUUAAUUUUUUUUUAUUCAAUCAAACGAUAAUAAAAAUAGACAUACACAUCAAAUUGAUUGAAUAAAAUAAAAUAAAAUAUGCAAGGCUGCACUUGUUAGAAAUAUUAUUUGAAAAUAAAAAAUUUUAUUUUCAAGAAUAAAGUUUAUUUGUACAAAAAGUUAAAAAAAUUAUAAAUGAAUUAGAAAAACUUUCUCAAAAAUUAAAUGCAUAACUAAAAAAUGAACAAUCAUUUCAAAGAGGAUCUCUAAACAACAAAAAAAAAAAACAAGGGAUAUUAAUCUAAAUAUAAAAUAAAAAAACAUAUAAAAGGAUAAAAAAAAAGAAAAAAGAAGAAGCAAAGGUCAUUCGUUGUUGGGACUACUAAGUUAAGUGAGUCCAAUUGCCGUAUUUUGUUAAGGCCCCUACUCACUAACCUUUUUUUUUUGUUGCAAGAUGUUUGAAAAAAAAAAAAAGAUGACGGUCUUUUAUAGACUAUAUUUUUUUUUCUCUUACAAAAAAGAUGUGCAUGCAUGUUUUUUCGAUGCCAAUUUAUUUAUAAAAAAAUUUAAAUGUAAAUUUAAAAGCUCAUACAUAAAUGUAAUCAAAUAAAUUGAUAACUAUAUGAAUUAAUAAUAAUAAAAAAUAUUAACAAUAAAUAAAAAUAAAAUUUUAAAAAAUUCAAAUGUGUUAAUAAACGGAACAUUUACCUAGUUAUAUUUUUGAAUUUAUUUAUUAAAAUUUAUUUUUUUAUUCAAUUAAAUGAUAUUAAAAAAAACACACACGUAUUACAUUGAUUAAAUAAAAUAAAAAUAGAAAACAUAUUAUGCAAGGUUGCUGUAUAUAUUAUGAUAUAUGAAAAUAAUUUUUUUAUACAAAAAGAUAAAAAAUAAUUAUCAAUGAAUUAUAAUAAGUUUUUUAAAAAUUAAAUAUGAACAACACCAUAAAAAAUAAUAUCUAUCCAAAAAUAAAUAAAUAAAUAAAUAAUAAUAAUUACAAAUGAGGAAUAUUAAUUGAAACAUAAAUUUAAAAAAUAUUUUUAAAAAAAUAUAUAAAAAGGAAGAAUUAAUUAUUACCUUUUCGAUACAGAUGAAAUCUCAACUUCAUUGAGAAUAUCCAUCCAUCUUUGUACCUUCUUGUUUUCCCUGAAAUUUUCUUCAUUCUUAUCAAAGACAAUUAUGUAACUCUCUGUUUGAUCAUCUAUCUUUGAUUCUUCGACAUCAUAAGAAACUGGAAACAUAGUGUCCGAUCUCAUCUCAUCCAUGAAUCUGAAAAUCUUGACAAGUUCGUCAAAGCACCAAGGUAAAGAAGCACAAUCUCUUGCAAAUAUAAUAAUUGACAGCCCUGAUUCUUCAAUGGCCUCAAAGAGUCUUGAUCUAAUUGCCAUUACUUUCUCUGGUUCCUUCCUGACUGGGAUAAUAACUCUCCGAGCUAGAUCUGACUUUAAAUAGGUGAUAGCAUUACUAGUGUCUGCGGCUCUGAUGCCAGGGAAAACACUAGCCAUCCAAUGAUGGUAAGAUGAAGAAAAAGCUAAAGAAGCUUUAUAUGAAGAAGCUGUUUCUAAACUUGUAACAAUAAAAUGGGCAGAUGGUUGGGAUGUACUAUACAGAGAAGAUAACAAACAAACACCACAAUUCUUCACCUUUACUCGUCGCUCGUAGGAAUGAAAUGACAACUCAAUGUUGCUAAAGGAUCCAUGCUUCCAUUCUUUAAGCUCUUUAAGGUAAUCAAAAGAUAGAUAGAAUAGCCAAACAUGAUUUGACAGAACUUGGAUAGAAUUACAACUAAUACUUAUUGGCGAACGAUAAUUCUCUCUUCCAUUGGCUUUGAAAUGACAAGAAAGAGAUGGACUUUCACCAUUUGCACUGAAUGCAACACACGCAACAAACCCCAUGCUCCAACUAGGCACUUGCACACUAAUUGAAGAUCCCUUACUUUGAUGGUUAAACCAGCCUGGAAUUUCAUUUCCUGGAACAACAAUACCAAAUCCAGGUCUUGGAUUAGGCAAACCCUGUACCAUGAAGAACCAAAAUGUUAGAUAGAUAAAGGGAGAGGGAGAGAGAUACAAAGAGGUUGGGGAUUGAUUAAGAGAAGACCUUGAGGUAUCUUUCAAGCAUGGUUAACCCCAUGCUGUCUUGGCCAUUAUGCUCGUACAACUCCCAGCAGUUAAGACAUAUGAACUCUGAUCUUUUGGAACUGCUUAGCUUUAUCGGAUCUGGAAUUUCUUUUAGGCGUAUACAACCAUUCAAAUUUAAUGUUUGAACUUUUGGUGGAACCUCAGGCAAUGAUUCAAGCAUCCUACAAUCCUCCAAGACAAGCAUUUCAAGUCCAGAAAGUUGAUUUAUGCUUUCAGGCAGGCUAAUAAAGUUAUUCUGGCUCAGAUCUAAAGACUUCAAUGAAGAUAAGCAGCCAAUAUCUUCAGGAAGUGCCCCUUCUCUUAGAUUGCAAGCGCAUAAAUCCAAUACUUCUAAAGAACACAGACCCAACAAAGAAGGCAACCUGUGAUCCGUGGGAUUCAUAGCUAUUCUUUUGCAUCCAUCAAAAGAUAAUACUUUAAGAUUCUUUAAAAGAAAAAUGGAUGCUGGCGGUUGUCUUAUUGAAGUUCCACUUCCAUCAAACUCCUCCAAACUUUCAACUUUCCCUAAAUUCUCUGGUAUAUAUUUAAGUCUAAAGCAGCCAGAUAGAUCAAGUUUUUUAAGGGAUUUCAAACAACCUAUGCUACUUGGAAUGCUUUCAAGGUUCUUGCAGUUGUUCAUGCUCAAUAGACCUAAGCCAAUCAAAUGAUGCAUCGAUGAAGAUAGUUUUGUAAUGCUAGUCCCAUCCAAUCGAAGCACCAUCAAACAAUUCAUGUUUCCUACUAUAUCUGGAAACUUCUCAAGUUUUGAGCAGCCAUCAAGAAUGAAAACUUUAAGUGAUCCCAUUUCUAGAUUGUUUGGGAGAAUCCUAAUGCUUUUGCAGUCCAUAAGACUCACAUAUUGAAGCUUCUUGUGAUGUGCAAGUGAUGGAUGGACCUCAUACAAACUUGUACAACCUUCAAGAAUAAGACUCUCGAGAUUCGGAAUUCCAGUAAAAUCUGGAGUCUUGAUCAGGUUUAGUGAGUUGCUGAGAUUGAUGAUUUUCAAAUUAACUGCACUCUGCAAUUAGUCAGAGGAGAAGAAAUAUGGACACUACUAUGAUACAUAUAUAGGAAAACAAUAAAAAAAAAAUACAAAGGCUCUUAAAUUAGUUGAUCUCACCUUAUACCCAUACCAUAAUUGCUCAAAACUACUAUUAGCCAUGUGAAGUUCAACUAGCUGAUCCACCUGCAAACCAACUGGCAAUGAUUUUGAAGGGUAAGAAUGCCAUUCAAGAAAUCGUAGCUUAUUGGAAAGAUCUUCAGGUCCUUUAGAAAGCUGCACGUUGUUGAUUUUGAGCAAUCUUAGUCUGCUCAUUUUAGAGAAGGCUUCCAUGUUCCAUUGUGAUUCUUUUAUUUCAGGCAUGUCCAAGAAAAUGGCUUCUAUUUUUUCUUUUCCCUAUCAACCAAAAGGAGAAUACAAGUAAAAAACAAAUACAAAGUAGAGAUGGAGCAUAAAUUAAAAUAAACUUCAUGAAAUCUUAUCAGCUACUCACUGUGUUGUCCAUCAGUGCAAGGCAGACAUCCUCGUAUGUCCACAAUCUACUGCGCCUUCCAGGCUCUUCAGGGGAUUCACAACGAACAAUUUCCUUACCCAUUAUCUGUAAUAAAUUAUGCAUCCAGAUUUGAUCCCGAGAUACACUUAUGAGUGAUUUCUCAAUAAGAACUUGUGUUCCAAUAUGUGCAUGGAAUCCACAGCUGUCAAGUAUCCUUAUUAUUCGAUCUCUUUUAAAUCCCUUAAGGAAACAAGCAAUGUCUAAAAAUAUUUUCUUCUCUAAUUCAUGGAGGCCAUCAAAACUAAUGCGAAGCACAUCAAUAAUUUCACGGUCAGGAAUAUAAUUUAGUCUAUUAAUCGCACUUCCCCAUUCAAGGAUACUUCUUCCACGCAUAAACGAACCUAUAACUUCAAGAGCCAGUGGAAGGCCAUUAGCAUAACCCACAACUUGCUUGGAUAGUUCCACGAAAUCUUCAGCAGGUUGAUAAUUUUUAAAAGCUUUCUGGCUAAACAACAUAAGAGCAUCAUCAUCAUUCAAUUUCUCAGCCUCAUAAAUUCUAGUAACACCAUUUCUAGUCAACACUUGUUUAUCUCUACUUGUUAUGAUAAUUCUGCUCCCUGGACCAAACCAUUUACUCUCCGCAGCCAGGGAUUCUAGUUGUUUAUGGUCAUCUACAUCAUCAAGAACAACAAGAAUCUUUUUACGCUGUAACCUCCGCUUUAUCAUUUCAAUUCCUCUAGAAGAAUCACAUAUAUUAGCACGUUCCAUUAAGAUUUCAGAAAGAAGUUGUUCCUGCAAAUUACGUGGUCCAUCUUUCUCAGCAAAAACUUCUCUGACAUUUGCCAAGAAGCAGCUGCCUUUAAAUUGCCAACGAAAGCUAUCAUAUACUACCCUUGCAAUAGUCGUCUUACCUAUGCCACCCAUUCCACAAAUCCCUAUAAAGAUUGCUUCACCAACUUCUUUACCUAUAAAACCAUUUAAUAUCUCUAGACGAGAAUCUAUUCCCACUAAUUUUUUGCUAACUGGCAUAGUGACACUUAGUUUGUAGGAUAUGUAUUCAACAAUUAUAUUAAUUGAUUCCGAUUCUUUCCUGCAUAGGAGGGUGCAAAACAUUAAUCAUGCUGUGUGCAAAUAAAAUCAGAUAGUUGAUAAUGGGGAAAAUAAAUAUGUAGCUCGAAAAUGUAUGGCUGUUAGCCGAAAAUUAAUACAUCAAUCUUGAGGAGAAAGAUAGGGCUCUGACAAUAGAUAGCUUCAAUAACAAAGAGAAAAGGAAAGAAUAAACUAAAAAAGGAACUGAGAUUGUAUUAAUCACACAGUUACUAAAGAAGCAUGCAUACAAGAACAAAAACUCUCCAUUAAGUUGUUUGACAGACCAAAAGGAAAUGGAUUCUAUCAUAUUUUUUUGCCGACCACUAAGUUUUUUAUAAUUAUUUUUAACAAAAAUUUCAAUUAUCUUGCAUAGUAAACUUUUAAAAAACAACUUUAAAUUUAUUAAUUUCCGAGUUUUUUCCCAUAUGCUACCAAAAAACAUUUCUUAGACUAACAUAGUUUAAGUGGAUGCCCAAAUCCAAUCCACGCACCUUGAGAUGCACAAAUAUCACAUAUGUUAAUAUUCUUCUUUUUUUUGCAAAUUAAUGGAUGAAAUAAUCGUAAUAUAUAGAACUAAAGUUACUAAUAUAAAAUUGAGAAACCAGAUGAAUAAAUGGGCCAAUAAAAAAACAAAGGUAGAUUUGAUUAAAACGAUCAAAACGAUUUGAAAACAUUAAAAAAAAAAAUUCAAAAUAAUUCAAAAUUUAAAAAAACACGGCAAACCACGUUCCCAAACGGAUUCUACAACUCGUGAAACAAUGCUAGUUUGGAAAGUUUUUUUACCCACCUAUACUAGUUUGAAAUUGUUUUUACAUUAAUUUUAUAUUUUUUUUAACAAAAGGCACCUAUCAAAAUUUAAUUCCAAAUUAAAAAGGAAAACAUAAAAAUAAAAUAUUCACAAUAUAUAUAUAUAUAUAUAAAUUUCUCUUUAUUUAUAAAUAGUUGGAAUUUUUUAAUUAAUUCAUGAUGGAAAAUAUUUUUAUUUUAUUUUGAAAAGUUAAAACCAAUAUAUUCAAAACAUUUAGUCAAUUUUUUAUUUCUUAUGAUGAAUAUGUUGUCAUUUCUUCACAAUUUGUUUUUAAGCUAACUUUUUAUUUGUUCUUGCUAGAUUUGUUUUUCAAAUUUUUUAAAAAAAUUUCAUUUUUCUAUCUGAUAUUUUUUUUAUUUUCAAAAUAUAAAGAAAAACCAAAGAAAACAAAGGAAUUUUAUGUAAAUAUAAGAAUGCUUGAUCACAUAAGAUCAAUAUUUCAUAAGAAUUAAAUUCUAAAAAUCAUGCAUAUGAAAAAAUAUACAUUUACUACCAACUGUUUCAUCAUGGAAUCCAUAAUUUUAUCAUUCAUUGAAUAUUAUUUACCAUUUUUUUUAUUAACAAAACUCAAAGAACACUAAAGCAUUUGCUAAUUGAUUUGCGAUUAAGAAUAUAUAAUAAAUUGAAAAAUAAAUUUUCUAGUGUGAACAAAACAUUCAAAAAAGAUUAAAAAAAAACAAACAAAAGGAUUUUCAUUGGUAAAUAAAUGAAAAAUUAGCAAGAAAUUUGAGAUUUUUUCUUUAAUUUUUUGUUCAAUAUGUAUUUCUUAAAAACUGUAACAAUUGAAAUUUGAGACGUGCUCCUCUUUUAUUUUAAAAGUCAAAAUUAAAGAAAAAUUAGUUAGAUCAUAGAGAAAAGAGUCGUUAAAUAGCUAUUUAAUGGAUAAAAAACAUAUACUAAUAAUUAUUUAUUCAAGAAUUAGUUUUGAAAUUCUUGUUGUAUUGUGAUUAUUUUGAUAUUUAAUUACACGUUUUAAUUGAAAAACAUUUUAAAAAAUAUAAAAGAAGCAAAGUUGAAACACUACAGGGUGAAUUUGAGAAUAAAAAGUUGUAGGUAGACGAUUUACCUAUUCCGGACGUCCCAGCCUGAUAGAUUGGCCACCGUAGAGAGACAAUCUUUCCAGUUCCGGACCUUCUCCAAGUUUUCCUUGAAAUUUUGUUCAUGCUCACCGAAGGCUUCCUCGUAUUUCCGUUUCCGCUCGGUUACCUCUGAGGGAUCCACAUCAUAAAACUCUGAGGGAUCUACAUCAUAAAAAACUGGCAGAACAGUUUGCCCCAUCUCUUUCAUGCACUGAACAAUCUUGACAAGUUCAUCCAAGCACCAUGGUGAAGAUGCGUAAUCUCUUGAAAAUAUAAUGACUGAAAACCUUGAUUCUUCGAUGGCCUUCCAGAGAGCAGGUUCUAUGCUCUUUCCUCUCUCGAGCUCCCUAUCAUCCAUGUACACAUCGAUGCCUCUCUGUGCCAGAUUAGAAUAUAGAUGACUAGUAAAGUUGUUCCGAGUGUCUUUGCCUCUAAAACUAAGGAACACAUCAUGCAUAUAUAGUGGAGGAGGAGAAGAUGAAGAUGAAGAUGAGGUUAUUCCUUGCACGCUGGUGGAAGCCAUGAAAAUUCCUAUAGCGAUAAACUAGUACCGAUCCCUUCUGGCCUCAACUAGCUCGCUUGGUUCAGCAAUUGCUUUCCACGCUAUUUUGUAUAAGGCCUGCUCCUGUGCUCAAACAUGAAACAGAAGGUAAGAUCAAGAAAUUUGGCAAUUAAAUAUAGUAAUCUACCAAUUAGCAAUUUCAAGCUGGAACAUGUAUAAUUCUACUUAGAAAUCAGAAAACACCAAAUUUCUACGAGUAUUUCACGAAUCUAGACCAAACAAACCGUGUGGUAAGUGUUGGCUAAAGUGGCACAAUAUCCAGCCAAGCCCAAUAUUUUUUCUUCUUCUGGUAUCUUAGUAACCAACUUCCAAAGCCCUUUUCUUUCUUUUUAUUCCAAUGACUUCGAAUUUAUUCCGGUUUCUUGAGGUCAAGAACUCGUACUGGUAAGUUUCCAAUGAUUUUCUUACGGAUCUUUUUCUGACACUGUAAAGAAGAUGGAGUUUCGGUGGAGAAAAAACAAAAAGAGAAAUGAAAGGGAUAUCGAACGCCCCAUUGGGCAGCAGAGGCACCUUCCUGUCAAGAGCAGGGGUGGGCGACGACUCCUUUUUUUGCUAUAUUUAACAAAAAGAUUUUGUUUUUGAUAUUGGGGGAAAUGAAAAUUUUAUUGGAGUCGCCAUCUAGUAAUAUAAGGGAACUAGAAAUCCCAAAUUAGACACUGGUCUCAUAGAUUCGGGUACUGGGUUAGUUAUGAUUAAGGGAAGGUAGACACCACUCUUAAAACAUCCUUUCAAAAGAAAGGUUACCCUUACUUGUGUGUUUUUUAUUUGAUUCAAAUGCUAUUAUAUUUCGAGCUUAUUUGCAAAUUUUGAUUUUUUUUAAAAAAUGGUUAACGCCGGUCCCUAAAAAUAGGAGACACGUUAAAAAUGACAUCAGUCCCUAAAAAUAGGAGACUCGUCGAAAAUAUCAAUGUUAUUUACGUCUGAGUUACCAAAAGGAAAUUAUAAAAAUAAUCCAUAUUUGGUAUUUAAACUUUUGACAUCGGUCCUUUUCAGUAAAAAGAGACAUGUCGACAAACAAUAUUCGUUUAUAAAACAAAUUUUAUUUUGAUAUUAUUGAGAAAUGGGUAUAACCAUAUUCGAGAAUUGGGCUGUGGACCCAUGAACGAUAACAUGAUAAGAUGGGUGUUGGACCCGCAUCGUUUUUCCUUUUAUACUUUUUUUUGUUUUAUAACGUGCAAGAAAAUUUACAUACAAAAUAAAAAAAUGUUAGAAAUCUCAAAAAAAAUUAUCUGAAUGCCACUGUAUAGGUAAAAGACUAAAAUACCCUCGGAUUCUAGAAAAAUUAUGAAAAUGCCACUGGCAGUGCAUAUGGCUCAUACGCGGUUACUGUUGACGGCGGCAAAAUUUUCCGGCAAGAUUUCUGGCCAACCGAUGGUCGAUCCUGGUAGAUCUGAGGUCAAGGAUUCUGAUGGUGGUGGUCUUGACGGCCGUUGAUGGCUGAUGAGGGAGAAUAGACAACUUGAAGCUUCGGUGGUCGGCGAUGAUUGCGACCUUUUUCCGGCCAGAUGAGGCGGAGAAAACUAUGAAAACCACGGGGUUUUUCUUUAUAGCAGGGGAGAAACCUUUCUGUGGUGGUGCGGAGGCUGAAGACGGCCGGAAAGUGGAGAUUGGAUGAGAGAGAGGGCGUUGCCGGCGAUAGGAGAGAGAGAGUCCAAGAUUACGCUACGGUGUGAACGCAUGCAUGGUACACCGGUACCGCUGAACACUGUGCGCUGUUGGAUCUCGGACGAAACGACGGAUGGCUGUGAUUGGUUAGAUCUGCAGGUUGAUCGGACGGUCUGGAUGAACGGAGCUUUGAUCUGGUGUGGCGCGGUGCACCGAAAGCUCGGUACAUCGGAUGACGUGGCACAACGGGAUCAAAUCUUGGAUUAUUUCAAGGGCAGAGAUGUGUCGGGAUAUAUUUGGUAUUUUUCAAAUUGUUUUUUUUAAAAGACAAUAUCCUACUCUCGUGAAGAAAAGUUAAAAAAAAUGUGAACAAUAUCAAAUCAAUUCUUUCUCUUCUUUUCUUUUCUUUUUUUUUUCUUUUUUUUUUUUUGCCCUCUACUCUCAUGGCUAUUUAUAGUCAAUGAGCAGGGGACAACAAAUUUAAUUCUGAAGAAAUAAUUUGCAUCGCUGCAACUAACAUUACCUAACCUUACCUAAUAUAAUAAAUUUUUGAAUUAUUAAUUUUUUUUUUAUUAUAUAUUAUAAUAAAUAUUUAUAUGGGUAAAACUAAAAAAUUUAAAUCAGUAUUAGAAAAAGCCCGUUUCAACCGCUAACACAAAAAAACAUUUGAUGGGUAUCAACCCGGUGAACCGUGUUUUGACUUUUGACCCGAAAUAGCCUGAAAAUUCAUUUUUUACCCCGGUCGACAUGGUUUGACCCAUAUUAAUCCAGUGGACUCGGUUUUGACCGAAAAUGAUGGUUUUGACCCGAAACGUCAUGAAAACUCAUUUUUUACCCUGGUCGACAUGGUUUGACCUGUAUUGACCCGGUGAAAUCGGUUUUUAUGAAAAAUGACGGUUUUGACCGAAAAUGACGGUUUUGACUCGAAACGUCAUGAAAACUUUUUUUUACCCUGGUCGACAUGGUUUGACCCGUAUUGACCCGGUGAAAUCGGUUUUUAUGGAAAAUGAUGGUUUUGAUCGAAAAUGACAGUUUUGACUUGAAAAUCAUAAAAACUCAUUUUUAUCCUGAUUGACAUGGUUUGACCCGUAUUGACUUGGUGAAAUUGGUUUGUGGUCGGAAAUGACGGUUUUGACCCGAAACAGUCCGAAAUCAUUUUUAACCCUGGUCGACAUGGUUUGACCUGUAUUGACUCGGGUGAACUCGGUUUUGGUCGGAAAUGAUGGUUUAGACCCGAAACAACCUGAAACUUAUUUUUUACCCUAGUCGACAUGGUUUGACCUAGUGGACUUGGUUUUGAUGGAAAGAUGCGGUUGACUUGAGAAAAAUAUAUUUUUGAAUUUUAAACUUUUUCUUAAUUUUUUUGGAUUUUUAUAAAUAAUAAUAGAAAUAAAAUAACAUUCAAGAAAAAUCUUGAUGAAUCCAAAAUUGGGUUAUAACACACAUCACAGUUGAAAAGUAUUUUUUAAUGAAUUUUCAAACUAAUAACUUUUAAAUAAUAUUUAUGUAGUUUUAUUUAUUAAGGGUAGAAUAGUACUUUCAAUUUAACCUAUAUAUACUUUAUUUAUAUUUAGGUUAAGUUAAUGAACUCAUAAUAUACAGAUACAGAUUAUUCAGAAUUCUAGCCUCCCUUUUUGUAUUUGAUCUUAAUUAUUUCAACAUUGUAUUAGAGUUGGUUUUAUGAAACGAAGCUUAAUUCUAAACACAGCUUCACGGAUUCAAUUGUUUUUUUUUAGUGAUAUUUUGUCUUCCACUUCUGCAAAUUUUGGUAUUUCGAUAAUUUAUGUAAUUAGUUUGGUAUUUCGACAGUUUCUGCAAUUAUUUUGGUAUUUCGUCUUCCCUUUAGCUUCUGCAAUUUGAUAUUAACGUUCAAUUUUUGCAAAUUCUGUUUUGUGUUUUGGAGUGAUUGUAUAAUUUCGAGAAGAUAUUUGUUUAGUUUCUACAAUCUCUAUUCAGAUUCUGCAAAUUGGUAAUUAGUUUUCCACUGCUCUUGCAUUCUAGUUCUUUGUGACUGUUGAUUAUGGCUACUGAAAGAGAUGAUUAGCUUCAGUCUAUGAGUGUGAGGUUGGAUGGGAAGAACUAUUCGUAUUGGAGUUAUGUAAUGUGAAAUUUCCUUAAGGGUAAGAAGAUGUGGGGGUAUGUUAGUGGAACUUAUAUGAUACCUAAGAAUAUUGAGGAGGGGGAUGUUGUUUUAAUAGAUACAUGGGAAGCAAAUAAUGCAAAGAUUAUUACUUGGAUCAACAAUUCUAUUGAGCAUUCGAUAGGUAUGCAGUUGGCGAAGUAUGAGACAACAAAAGAGAUUUGGGAUCAUCCGCAAAGGAUUCACACAAUCAAAUUUUGCAAAACAGUAUCAAUUAGAGAAUGACAUACGAGCUCUUCAUCAAAAAAAUAUGAGUAUUCAAGAGUUUUAUUAUGCUAUGAUAGAUCUUUGGGAUAAAUUAGAUCUUACAGAAUUGAUAGAAUUAAAGGCAUGUGGUGCCUAUAUUGAGCGUAGAGAGCAGCAGCGAUUGGUACAGUUUUUAAUAGCACUUCGCAGUGAUUUCAAAGGACUUAGAGGUUAAAUUCUGCAUCGUUCUCCACUGCCUUCUAUUGACUUUGUUGUUAGUGAGUUAUUGGCUGAAGAAAUAUGUUUUCAGUCUUAUUCUGAAAAGGGAAUUUUUUUUGCUUCGAAUCCUUCAAUAUUAGCAGUGCCUUCUAAGCCAUUCUCUAAUCAUCAGAAUAAGCCUUACACAAGGGUUGGCUUCGAUGAGUGUAGUUUCUAUAAGCAGAAAGGUCAUUAGAAGGCUCAGUGUCCCAAAUUGAGACAACAAAAUUAAGCUUGGAAGUCUGGCAAUCAGUCACAAUCUAAUGCUCAUAGACCACCUCAGGGUUAUAAACCACCACACCACAAUACUGCAGCAGUAGCUUUCUCAAGCUCUAUUACCGAUCCUAAUAUUUUGGCUGAGUAAUUUUAGAAGUUUCUCUCCUUGCAGCCAUAAGCAAUGUCCGCUUCUUCUUCCAUAGGUCAGUUGCCUCAUAGUUCCUCAGGUACGUCAAAUUCUGAAUGGAUCUUGGAUUCUAGUGCUUCUCAUCAUAUGUCUCUAGAUUCCUCAUCUUUUACCUAUGUGUCCCAUUUGUCCUCCAUUCCUGUUAUGACUGCUGAUGGCACUCCUAUGCCCUUAGCAGGUGUUGGUUAUGUUGUCACACCUCACUUGUCUGUCCCUAAUGUUUAUCUAUUCCAAAACUCAAAUUGAAUCUUGCGUCUGUUGGUCAAAUAUGUGAUUCUGGUGAUUAUUUAGUCAUGUUUUUUGGUUCGUUUUGUUGUAUACAAGAUCUGCAGUCUCAGAAGCUGAUUGGGACAGGCCGUAGAGAGAAUGGACUAUAUAUUUUAGAUGAGUUAAAAGUGCAGUUACUGCUGCUGCCACUACCGUUGAUUUGUCUUCCUUUCUUUUGAGUCUUUCAUCUUCUAGUUUUUAUUUAUGGCAUUCUCGUUUAGGUUAUGUUUCAUCUUCUCAUUUGAGAUUUUUAGCAUCCACAGGAGCUUUAGGAAAUUUGAAAACUUGUGACAUUUUUUAUUGUAGUGGAUGUAAAUUGGCAAAAUUUUCCGCUUACCUUUUAAUCGAAGUAUUUAUGUUUCUUCUUCACCAUUUGAUUUGAUUUAUUCUGAUGUAUGGAGACCUUCUCCUGUUGCCACAAAAGGAGGGUCUCAAUAUUAUGUCUCUUUUAUUAAUGAUCAUACUCGUUAUUGUUGGGUUUAUUUAAUGAAACACCGUUCUGAAUUCUUUGAGAUAUAUGCAGCUUUUCGAGCUCUUAUCAAAACUCAACAUUCUGCUGUGAUUAAAUGUUUUAGGUGUGAUUUGGGUGGGGAAUACACCUCUAAUAAAUUUUGCCAAUUGCUUGCCCUAGAUGGAACCAUCCACCAAACUUCAUGUACAGAUACUCCUGAGCAAAAUGGUGUUGCUGAAAGAAAACAUAGGCACAUUGUUGAAACUACUCGUUCUCUCUUGUUGUCUGCCUUUGUUCCUAGUGAGUUUUGGGGAGAAGUUGUUCUUACUGCUGUAAGUUUAAUUAAUACAAUUCCAUCUUCUCAUAGUUCGGGUCUAUCUUCUUUUGAAAAGUUAUAUGGGUAUGUUCCUGAUUAUUCCUCAUUUAGAGUCCUUGGUUGUACUUGUUUCGUUCUUCGUCCUCAUGUAGAACGAAGUAAGCUAUCCUCUCGAUCCGCUAUUUGUGUUUUUCUAGGCUAUGGUGAAGGUAAAAAGGGUUAUCAUUGUUUUGAUCCAAUAACUCGGAAACUUUAUGUGUCUCGUCAUGUUGUCUUCCUUGAGUAUAUACCUUUUCUAUUCCAUCCACUACUUAUAACCUGACUAAAUCUGAUGUUAUUAGUAUAGAUCCGUUUUCUGAGGAUUCUGAUUAUGAUAUCUCUCGCUAUGUUCGAUCAAUUUGUACACAUAACUAUGUAGGUACUGGUACUUUACUCUCUGGCACACCUGAAGCUCCAUUCUCAUCUACAGCCCCUUAAGCUUCAUCUGAGAUUGUGGAUAUCCACCUCCACGUCAGUCCAUCUGUAUUUGUAAGUCUACAAAACUACCAAAUUUUGCUUAUUCUUGUUAUUCUUCAUCAUUUACUUCCUUUUUAGCUUCUAUUUGUCAUAACCCAAUUUUGACCUUUUUUUAUUAUUUUUAUUAUUUUAUUUUUAAAAAUGAUGAAAAACAAGUAAAAAUAAAUAAAUGAAGAGUGAAUUAAAAUUUGAGUUAAGGGCAACACGAUUGGAAGUUUAAAGAUUUAAUUAAACUCUUGACUAGUUUAAUUAAUUAAAUCAAAGGCUUAAUUGGAGAAUUGAUUUAAUUAAAAUUUAGAUGAUUUAAUUAAAUCAAGAGUUAAUUGAAGAAUUAAUGAGUUUGAUGACUUAAUUAAACUUUGAUUUAAUUAAUUAAAGGAAUCAGGGGUUUAAUUGAAAAAAUACCAAAGUUUGGAGCUGAUUCAAGGAAAAAUUGCUAGAAAAUUAAAGUCCAAUGACCAAAUUAAAUAGUCCAAAAAACCCAGGAUUGUUGUGUAAAUGGCACUAUAAAUCAAGGAUUCAAUUGAAUUAAUCCAAGGGUACAAUUAGAAAUUGAUUAUUAAUGAUUAAGAUCUCAAUUGUGAAGUUUAGAACAUCUAGGGACCAAAGUGAAAAUUGCCUCAAACACACAAACGGCGCCGUUUGGAAGCUGUGUUCUUCAUCCCUUCCAUUGCACACGAAGAAAAUCGUUUCAACAGAAAAUCUGCAGCAAAUCAUGGACCACGAUCCCGUUCGUGGGGGGGAUGGUUGGGGAAGCUCUCUGGCAUUGUUCCCAGAGAAAAAAGGAAGAACACAGAAAAAAAGACCUAGGUGACAGAGGAUCGAAAACACAGACUAAGAAAAGGAAGGAGCAAAAAGCCAUUGUUCCCAGCUUUGCUUUCGUAGAACGCAAACAAAGUGAACGAAAUAAAGCACAAUAGAGAGAGGGAGAGAGAUCAGAGGAGACGAAUGAACCCAUAGAAGUAAAGAAAGAGAGGGCAGGGAGAAGGAAGACCAGAGGAACACCAAAAGGAAAACAGAGGAGGAGAAAAUAGCAUCAGCCGGCCAGCCCUCCAUCACGUCUCCAUCUCCCUGCUUCCAAGUAAGUCUCUCCAGCUUUGCAAAAUAAUUCGCCCACACUGUACAAUUUUUUUUUUAUUUUAACGCUUUGAUUACUAGGGACUAGUAAUAAGCUGGUUAGGGGGUGUGAUUAGUACUUAAAAGUGCAUAUUUAUCAAGGUUUUAUAUCAUCAUUUUGCACUUAAAGUAUCAAUAACUCCUUAACUAAAACAUGUUUUAUAAUAACAAGUCUAAUACUAUAAAAUGCCUUAAUAUAUGGUAAAUGUUCAUCUUAAAUGCAGGCCUAUCAUAUAAAACAAAGGAUUGAUUGAUGAGUUCAAGUAUGGGAAAUUGAAAGGAUAAAGAGAGGGCCAAACUUAAAAAAGAAAUGUUGGUGCAGUCCAAACUGGAACAUUGUUCGGUAAUUGGGUCAUAUCUCGAGUUUUAGGUGUCCAAAUGACCUCCAAUUUUUACACAGAUUCAGUAAGAUAUAGGCCUACAACUUUCAUUUUUUCAUCAAGAUCUAAGAAAGCCGUUUUCAAGUCCAAAUUAUAGCAACAACGGAGAAGUCCAAAUCUGUCCUGCAGCCAGAACACUGUUCAGUGUUUGGCCCAUAUCUGGAGUUCUAGAAGUCCAAAUGACCUCUAUUUUUUUUUCCUGGAAAGCUGAGUCAGUUUCCUACAACUUUCAUGUUUCAAUUGGACCCAGUUCUGAUGCUAGCAUCUUUAUUUUAUUCAGACAAAAAGAUAAGGAUUUUCACAAAGUCAAGAGUUGGCCACCCACUCAACAAUUUGUCAUAAAUCAAUAAUUCGAAUUUUGGCCUAUAAAAGGAGGCAUUUGCCAUGUAUUUAGGGGCUUGGUUGUUCAGAUCAAGUUCAUGCUCUUUAUUUCUCUCUUUAUAUUUUUUUUGUAAUUUUUAAGUUUUGCUUUCAUUAAUAUCUUGUUUAUGCUUUUCAUUUCCUUUCCUUUCCUUAGUUAACUUGUAUCUUAUUUAUGUUCUUGUUUUGUUUAUUUAUGUUUCUCUUCUUCAUUAUGUUUAGCUAAGUUUAUUAUGUCAAGGUGAAAAGGUAACACUAAUGGUGUAAAAACAAGUAUAGUGUAAAUUCAACAUGGACUUAAUGUUUAAUAUUAACAUGUCUUAUCUUUUUAUCUUACUAAUUCUUAAUACCUUGCUUGUUAAAUGAUUAAUCUAGAUUUGUGUUGUAUAAUACUUGGUACAACAAAUGCUUGGCACUCUCAUAGCCCAACCGUAUGGUAUUACCUACAACUCGGCUAUGAAAGGAACUUGAUUUGUUGUUAACAUCAAUUAACAUCAUGAAUUCCUGACAAUAUUUAAAAGUUUGGUGUUAUGUAAAUAAGAUAAUUAAUAUGAUCAUGUUAAUAAUUUAUAAUGAGCUAUUAAUGACAAAUCAUCCGACUGGAACCUCCUUCGUAUGUAGUUUUCAAAUUGAGUAAUAAGAGUUUAUACUAUACUUGUUUGAAAUACCAUUGGUGGAUCCUCUAACCUUGACAUUUGUUUUUAUCAUUGUUUAAUCCUUACAUUAAUCUUCCAUCUCAAAGUUCUCAUUAAUUUCUUCCUCCUCUUCUUUUUAUUACUACUACUACUACUACUACUACUACUACUACUAGUAUUAUUAUUAUUAUUAUUAUUAUUAUUAUUGUCGCACCCCAAAAAAAAAUCAGCGCGCGGCAUCGGCUGGCGAUUUAAGUCUUGUUGUGGUUUGCUGGAAUUUGGUUCGUUGGAGUCGCCACCUAGUAAUUGAUUGCGGGCUACUAGGAAACCGGAUGUACUGGUCUUGUCAGAGAUUCGCGGGUAAGGGACUGGUUGUGGUUAGGGAAGGUAUUAGCACCCCUAACGCACCCUACCUGAGGUAAGCUGCUUCGUGAAUUUGAUGUGUUAAAGAAGUUUUAAUAAUUUGUCUUUUCAUCGGAAAUUAGAAAUAUCACUUACGUAUAAGUUAAUAAUUCCUAACCGUGAUCCGAUCAAAAUAUUAAAUUCUUCUUUAAUAUAUUUGCAAUUUUAUCAUCAUUAAAAAUAUAUACAAAUAAAUAAAACAAAAUACAAACACACACAUUCACUUUCACUAUUUUUAUUUCUUUUCUUUUCUUUUCCUUUUCUUUUCUUUUCUUUUACAUCCAUAUUUACAAAAUACAAUACUAAAUAAAAAAUUACAUCAACAACUCAAAAUUACAAAAUAAUCCCUAAAAUUCAUAACUGUGCUGGGACGACCUUCUGGGACCUCAGGAACAUCGGCGGAGCGUCUUCCCACGCGCCACCGCCACUGGCGGCGCGUGGGUUCACGCGCCGCAGGAAAAAAAACGCAGCAGGGGAGACCUUCCCUUCUUCCUCGCCGGCGGUGACUACUUCCUCUACCUGCAACAAGAAACGCAAAAAGGGGGCCACAAACAAUUGAUUUUAGAUUUUAAUUCCUUUGUUUUUGAGAUCCACUUCGGUCUCUUUCUUCUCUUUUUUUUUUCAGAUCUGCCUCCCUCCUUUCUCCUCUUUUAGAUUUGUUUCCUUUUUCCUUCUUCCCGGUUCGCUGUUAUUUCCUUCUUCAGAUGGAAGAUCUGGUGGAGGCGGGUCGUGGUGGCGAGGCCAAGGGGGGAACGACCGUGCGUGGGCUGCUGCUGUGUGGUCUUCACUCCGGUCGGUGGCAGCGGUGGUUGGCUUUUGCUGCCGGUGUCCGGCCGCAGAGGGAGAGGCUGUCUUGGGGCUGCUCUGGGUCGAUUGCUCUGACCACUGCUACUGGAGGAACACGGCGCUGCUGCUCGAGGAUGGGGCCGCCGCUGCUGUAUACCGUUUGAGAUUAGAGGAGCGGCGGCCGGUCUCUGUCGGGUGGAGCUGGAGACCGUGAGAAGAAAAUGGGAAGCUUAGCUAAACAUGGGUGGUGGCUCCGGUGAGGAAAAUGGAGAGUGAGACUUGACCGGCUGAAGGGAGAAGAAACUGAAAAUAAAAAGGGGGGGGGUCGGCUGCAGAGAAGAUGAGAGAUUAAGGUGGCCCGGGGAAAAAAAAAUGGCCAGCGGGAGGGAGACGGCUACUGUUUUUUUUGUUUCAAAGGGGUGAAGGAGAUGGUUGGACCGUGGGUUCAAAUGUGGGGGUCAGAUCCAGAAGAGAUGGGGGCGGCGGUUUCCAGAGAAAAGAGAAAGGGAGGGGGCUGCACCCUUUUGAAAAAGAUAGGUUUUUUUGUAUUUUUUUCUGAUAUUUCAAAACUACCCCCUUUUUUGCAAGUGUUGGAAACCAGUAUUUAUAGGCAAAAAAUAUUGCCAAGUUUUUCAACUUGGUCCCUCAACUUCUUUAUUUUUUUGUAAAUUUUGAUUUUUCUUAUUUUUUUGUAUUUUUUGAAAACGAGCAAUAUCAACAUCGACUCAAAUGAGGAAAAUCAAUGAUUUAAAAAUGACGCGUGAAAAGUCGAACGCGUUUGAAAAUCUUUUUUUUUUAAAAUUAAAUUCUUUUUUAGACGACAUUGAAAAUGCUAAAAUGAUGAAAAUAUAUUAAAAAACAUAUUUUUUGGAUUUUCUUUGUUUUUCUCUAUUUUUGAUUUUUUGAAAAUAUAUCAAAAACAUGGGUCAAAAAUUGGGUAGCAACAGAUGCCCCCUCUUUACAAUGCUUACGAAGCAAAACUCCUCAAAAUUUUACAGAGUAAGCUUUGUAAAGAAAACAAAAGGAAAAUGAUUUCAUUAUCUUGGGCGACCUACCCACACACUCACAUUGAUCUAUUUUCAGGGGCGACCGGCCCACACACUCACACUGGUCUACUUUCACGGGCGACCUGCCCAUAUAUACUCAAAGUGGUCUAUUUUCAGGGGCGAUCUGCCCACACAUACUCACUCUGGUCUAUUUUCACGGGCGACCUGCCCACACAUACUCACUCUGGUCUAUUUUCACGGGCGACCUGCCCACACAUACUCACUCUGGUCUAUUUUCACGGGCGACCUGCCCACACAUACUCACUCUGGUCUAUUUUCACGGGCGACCAGCCCACACCCUUACACUGGUCUAUUUUCACGGGCGACCUGCCCUUUUAAUUGGGUUUACCUGAGAUCCCAUCUGGCGACCUCAUUCAAUUGGAACGAAAAUAUUGUGUAACUCGGUUAACCUGAAAUCCCAUCUGGCGAUUCCCUUUAACCAAAGCUACAUGAGAUCCCAUCUGGCGACCUCAUUCAAUUGGAACUAAACUGUGUGUAACUCAGUUAACCUGAAAUCCCAUCUGGCGAUUCCCUUUAACCAAAGCUAACUAAGAUCACAUCUGGCGACCUCAUUUAACCAAAACAAAAGAAUGCGUAAAAAAUGGUCUCAUUGUACGGGUGACCUACCCAGAAAAAAUAAUGGUCUCAUUGUACGGGUGACCUACCCAGGAAAAAUGAUGGUCUCAUUGUAGGGGUGACUUACCCACGAAAAAUGAUGGUCUCAUUGUAUGGGUGACCUACCCAAGAAAAAUGAUGGUCUCAUUGUAUGGGUGACCUACCCAAGAAAAAAUGAUGGUCUCAUUGUAUGGGUGACCUACCUAGAAAAAAUGAUGGCCUCAUUGUAUGGGUGACCUACCCAAUGUGGAAAGAAGCGGUCUCGUUGUGAUGGGUGACCUACCCAAAUGGAAAAAAUGUGAAGUGCGGUCUCAUUGUAAUGGGUGACCUACCCAUGUGGAAAGAAUAUGAAAAAGUGGUCUCGUUGUGAUGGGCGACCUACCCAAAUAGAAAGAAUGUGAAAAAAAACGGUCUUAUUAUGAUGGGCGACCUACCCAGAUGGAAAAAAAAUAUGAUGAAGUGGUCUCGUUGUGAUGGGCGACCUACCCAAAAAGAAAGAAUAUGAAGUGCGGUCUCAUUGUAAUGGGUGACCUACCCAAAAAUGGAAAAAAUAUGAAAUGUGGUCUCGUUGUAAUGGGUGACCUACCCAAAUGGAAAAAAUAUGAUGAAGUGCGGUCUCAUUGUCAUGGGUGACCUACCCGGAUGGAAAAAAUGUGAAGUGCCAAGUGUGAAAAAUAGGACUUACCUGGCGAAGUCUUUGAGGGGAUGACAGAAGAAGGGCUGGAAAACUUGGUGUUUCCUGAUAAUUCUCGAUCAUAGGGUUUGAAAACUCGAUGUUUCCUGACUGCAAGGGUUGAAAACUCGAGGCUUCCCGAUUGCAAGGUUGAUCUUUUCAUUUCUUUGGGAUUUUCCUAAUGGUAAGGUUUAUCCCAUCUUCUUUUUAUUCCAUGAUCAAAAUCGAUUCUUUAUUAUUAUCACCACCAUGCUUCCUUCUUUUUCCACCAUCUUGCUGGACCUCAUUAAGGGUUUUCCUGUAACAAUUCAAAAAUAUGUGUAAAUUUUUUUUUUUUUUUUAGGUUAGAUGAUAUGCAUGCAUCCUUACCUGAUUCGAAAUAUAGGUCCCCAUUUCUUCAUGGUGUGUUUCUUUUCUCAAACGUUGGAGUGUUGGUAGUGAACUUCAAUGGCUUUUCGCUCUUGCUUACUCGAGUCAUCUCUUGUGAUUUUGACCUCUAGGAAAGACUUGAUACCAUCAUACUUCUUUGUCCUCUGCCUCUUUAUCUCAAGGGUUGCCAAUUUUGCUUGACAUUUUCUUAGAAUGGGAAUCAUGGAGCCAGCCCUAUCAUAUGUUUCGUUAUUGCCCCCUAGCUUGAUCAUGCCCCAAGUGUUCAAUUCAGGUUUGGGGAUGAGGCUAUGUGAAUGUAGGUUUGACAAGGAGGUGUUUUCAUGCAGAAUUUUUGGAAUUCCAAAGCUAUUCCAGACACAAAAAUUAUUUUGACAUCGAUUCAAAGCAAACUCAAAAAUUCAAGUGAUUCCUAUGGAGAGGUUAUCAGAAGUGAUGAAAACUUUUUGUUUUGGCUUUUGGUAAAAAAUAUGAAGUGACCUCUGGUUUGUCAGAAAAGGUUUAAAUUUCAAUUUGAGGGUUAUUGAGAACCGAGGUUCAAAGCAUUUAUUUUAUUUGCAUGAAUAAUGAUUUGGUUCACAUGAGAAAGCAUUGCCUACCGAUCCAGAUUGCUUGCCUUUGAUAAGAAAGGGCUUGAUUAGGCAUGUAAUGUAGGCUUGGGCUCUUGGUUAUGAAGAAAAUGAUAUUUGUAGGCUCAAAAGGUGUUUAAGGGAUUUGAAGACUAAGGAUCACUUGUGCUUGUUUCUUGACCUUUUGUCAUUUGACUGUCUUUCGAAAAUUGUCUGUGCCCCCUUGUGUUGGGAUUGGGCUUGUUCUCUUUGUUUUUGUUUUCUUCAUAUGGUUUUGAGCAUUAUAAUAUUGUUUUUUUUUUUUAAUGCUCAAAACUCUUGAUCCUUUGGAUUUUUCUUCAUGCCCCCUAACUUUGUUUGGGCACCUUUGAUGAUUGAGAAAUUUCUUUUAUGCCCCCUAGUAUUGCUUGGGCAUUUUCCAUCAUUUAGGUUUUCUCUAUGUCAUCGCACUUGCCCCCAGUGUGGGGUGUGAUCCUAGCCAAGGUUAUUUUUUCAAGAAAUAUUUAUUAGGCUCAAAAAGGGACUACAAAUGAUAUAUUUAAGCCUUGUGAAAGAAUUAUCAAGGAUGGCCUUUCUUCAUCUCAAAUGCAUGCAUUUAGGAUCGGUAAGUCUUGCUUUCAUGCGAGUAUGCAAAGUGAUUUCUCAUUAUUCAUGCAAUCAAAACUCAGCUUUAGAGUCACUCCAUGGUUUUUUUUUUUUUCUAGGUGUAUGGUUACCUUUCUAAGGAAUCACCUGAAUUUCCAGAACUCGUUUGUUUUGGACAAACAUCAACAUGAUUUCAGUUUCUGUACUAAACUUUGAAUUCCCAAAAAUUCUUGUGAACAUGUGCGAUUAUGCAUAGUUUUGAAAGAAAGGAAAACACACCCAAAGAUUCUUGGUGUGAUGGUUUCAUGCUUAAAGAUUAUGCUCAAUAUGUUAUUUGCAUGAAACAACAACAAAAAUGAAGGUAUGUUAUAAACACAUGAUCUUAUUAACAAGAAAGGCUCAUUUGACAAGGAAAGUGUUGUGCAAUUUUGAGCCAAACAAAAAUCAAGAAAUUUUGCAGGCAUGAUCAAACUAAGGUUUAUUAUUAUUAUUAUUAUUAUUAUAUUACUAUUACUAUUAAUAUUAUUGUUAUUGUUGUUGUUGUCUUGUUAUUUAUAAUUUAUACAAUUAACCUCUCUGUGGUUCGACCCCGGUCUUGCCGGGUUAUUUAUUAUUUCGACACUCCUGUACUUGGGAGAAGACAUCAAUCUUUUGGUCGUGUUAAAUCUCUAUUGACCAGUUAGGGUUCCUAGUGACCACAAUACUGAUAUUACUCAGGGAACAAGAUGCCAAAAAUUUGUUCUUUAAAAAUAAUCAAGGAUAAUUUUUAAGGCUGCGCGAUGUUGGGUGUGACAGAAUGACGACUCCACUGGGGACUAAUGGACUAAGCUUUGCCUUUUGUUUAUCAAUUGCUAUAAUGUUUGUUAUGUUAUGUUUAUUUGUUUAUUUUUCUUGAAUUUACUGCUUUAGCAUGCAUCCAUGUUAUAUUGUCAUGCAUCACGUUGAGAGCACACACCUGAAAAUCUAGGAUAGGUGGGAAAGUAACGGUACCCCAACGGCUUUAGCCUGGGUAAGACUCGUGAAACCAUCCAACUCUCGUUUGAUCGUUUACUUGGAAGUGGUUGAUAUGCCAAACUGAUAUUACUCAGGGCCUCUAUUUUCAUACUACUUGUAAGCCUCAUAUCAACCUUCCAUGGACGAUCACUGAGCAUGCAAGAGAUCCUUCAAAACUAGAUAAUGACCAACCUUUUGAUGCACUCAACAAUUAGGAUCUUUCUAUUAAGUUGUCAUCCCGUGAAGGGCGAGUCUACAUUUCAUACGCAUUUUUUUAAUUGCUUCAACAUUUUUGACAUAAUUGUAUGAUUUACAUAAGGGCAGGUUGAAAUAUAGGUUCCCCAUUGAAACCCAUUCGAGAAAAGGACAAAUGGAAGAUGAAGAAAGAGCCCAGUUGGAAGCCCAACAUCAAAAAGAGGUGGACAAUCUUAAAGAAGAAGUCGCAAGGCUUAGUAGUCUACUCGAGCAGGCCUUGAGAGAUAAAUUAGGAAAAGCAACACUUAUAGCUCAGCCUGAACCUAUGCUUGUAAAUCCCUUCAAUCCACAGAAUCUGGGGAAAUGGGUUGUCAUCUGAUUUUCAACAAGCCAUGCAUUUUCAACCAGCAUACCCCACGAGAAUGUCGUUUACCAUUGAUUCUACAGAGAAUGAAUCUCAAAAGGGCAAAAUAAUAAAAGAAGAUGAUCUGAACAAAUUCAUUACCUUAGAACAAAGGAUGAGGGCAUUUGAGGGAAUUCGCCUAUAUGAUCUUAUAAAGGCUGGUGAGAUGUGUUUGGUGCCUAAUGUUGUCAUUCCCAAAAAGUUUAGAGUGCCAGAAUUUAUCAAAUAUAUGGGAACUCAAUGCCCUAUAACUCAUCUCAAAGCAUACUGCAACAAAAUGGCUGAGGUGAUUGAUGAUGAGAAACUGCUGAUUCAUUUCUUUCAAGACAGCUUGAGUGAUGUUUCCCUCACUUGGUAUAUGCGGUUGGACAAUACCAAGGUUAAAAAAUGGAAGGAUUUAGUUGAUGCUUUCAUGAGGCAAUAUAAGUAAUAUAGACGUGGGCCUUGAUCAUUUAAGCUUGCAAGCUAUGGAGAGGGACAACAAGAAGUCCAUAAGGGAAUACGCCCGAAGAUGGAGUGAGGUAACUGCACAAGUUAACCCUCCCAUGUUGGAAAAAGAAAUGAUUAGUUUAUUUUCCAACACCUUUAAAGCUCCAUGUUGCUACCCAAACCCAUGUUUUGAUAAUUUUUCAUAUAAAAAUCCAAAAUAGAGAAAAAAACAUCGAAAAUCCAAAAAAUACUUUUUAAUAUAUUUGCGUUGUUUUUAGCAUUUUCAGCGUCGUCUAAAAAGAAUUUAAAUUUUUUAAAGGUUUUUGGAACGCGUUCGACUUUUAGCGUGUUAUUUUUAAAAUCAUUGAUUUUCCUCAUUGAGUCGACGUUGAUAUUGCUCGUUUUCAAAAAUACAAAAAAAUUUAAGAAAAAUCAAAUUUACAAAAAAAGAAGAAGUUGAGGGACCAAGUUCGGAAACCUGGCAACAUUUUGCCUAUAAAUAAUAGCUUCCAACACUUGCAUAGGGGGAGGGCAAUUUUACACAUUUAGAGGACACAAAAAUACCCAAACCCUAAACCUAACUCGAUCUUUUUUUCAAACAGCCGCCCCCCCGGCUUGCUUGAAUUUUUUUGCUCCCCCACACAGACCCCUCUAACCGGGACAGCCACAGCCGCCUCACCAUCUCCUCCCACUCUCCCUUGCCCUCCGCCAAACAAACCAGCCGCCACUUUCACUUUCCCCUCUCUCAGCCGAUCCCUCAUCUCCUUUUUCCUACAAACCAGCAAUACACCCGAACAAACCCCCACACACGGCCUCCUCCCCAUUUACCCUUUUUCCCCUUCAACCAGCAGACGACAGCAACCAAGAGGCAGGAGCCACUCCCUGCUCAACAGCAACCCCUCUCUCUGUAAAAAAAAUUUCCAUUGAAAAGUUAACAGUGCUCACAUUUUUUUUUUUCCAUUGAAAAGUAACUUUUAAUCCGAUCCACAACAAGAACUAGACAAGGACACGUUAUUUAUUGGAAGAACACGUGGUGCUAUGUUUUCUCGAGAAUGCUUCGAUAGUCAGAAAAUCAAGGGCCACCAUUCAUGUGCAUCCUAACACCUUUUUUCUUCAGUAAAAACAAAUCCUCAAACUCGUCCUAAUAUCUUCUGGAGACCUACUUCUAACUUCAAAAUCUAUUACAAUCCAAUAUAAUCGGUCUUAAAUUGAAAUCAAUGUUUUGAAAAAAAAUAUAUGAUCUAGGCUUCGAUCUAUCUAUAGUAAAACAUCAUGGUCUUUUAUUUCUUUAUUAAUUCUAAUAAAAAUAAUAAUGUUUUUAUUAUUAAUUUUUAAUAUACUAGCUAGUGCUUGUAUAACAAAACUGAAUCCAACCUCUUGGAUAAUGUAGCUAGCCACCAUAGCUUGAACACUAAGUUCAAACCCAAUAUUUGUUUAUUCUUCUGGUAUCUUAGCAACCAACUUCGAAAGCCCUUUUCUUUCUUCUUAUUCCAAUGACUUCGAAUUUUUUCAACAGGUUGCACGGUCUCGGAGAAAAUAGGCUGGGGACCAAGGAGAUCAAUUUCCAGGAAAUCCAUUUCAUUUAAUUAGGGUUCCUGCAGACCAAGGAGAUCAAAUUCCAGGAAAUCCAUUUCAUAGUCAGGGGAUGAAUGCGAAUGCAACGCCAUGUGCCUGAUGUGAUUGCAAUUUUGAGGUAGUUGGGUGGUUGAAGUUACAGCCAAGGUGAUUACAAUUUUGAGGUAGUUGGGUGUUCAUGUUUCGGAUCGAUCCAAUUUAGAUCUAAGAAAUUCACCAAACCAGGACAAUAAUUUUUUUAAAAAAUCAAAAAUCAAUUCAAAACAACCUCGUUCAGUUGGUCAAAAUCAGGAAACCAAAUACCUUGAUAAAGUCUGCAAAAAAGCAAAAGUCGUUCAAAUAUUUUAAAUUAUAUUUAUCUUUCAGUUUUUCUUGAUUUAGUCUUCACUUUACAUCAAUAUUAUAUUCUAACAUUUAUUUUUCUAUAUAAUUCUUGAUAUCACAUGCAUCAAUUCUUCUAUUAACAAUAAAAAAAUAUAUGUAGGCUUCGAUCUAUCUAUAGUAAAAACAUCAUGGUCUUUUAUUUCUUUAUUAAUUUUAAUAUUCAUUAACAAUAAUAAUGUUGUUAUUAUUAAUUAUUAAUUUUUAAUAUACUAGUGCUUGUAUAACAAAACUGAAUCCAACCUCUUGGAUAAUGUAGCCACCAUAACUUGAACACUAAGUACAAACCCAAUAUAUAUUUUUUCUACUUCUGGUAUCUUAGUAACCAACUUCGAAAGCCCUUUUCUUUUCUUUUUAUUCCAAUGACUUCGAAUUUUUUCCGGUUUCUUUAGGUCAAGAACUCGUACCGGCAAGUUUCCUGGAUUUUCUUACGGAUCUUUUUCUUACACUGUAAAGAAGAUAGAGUUUCGGAGGAGAAAAAGCAAAAAGAGAAAUGAAAGGGAUAGCGAACGCGCACUGGGCAGCAGUCAGCAGAGGCACCUUCCUGUCAAGAGCAGGGGUUGGGCCACACACAUCACAAUUGAGUUGAUUCAUGUUUUGUAAUGAAUUUUCAAGUCAAGCAUCUAUUUUUUAAAAGUAAAUAAGGACAUUUUACAUACAAUAAAAAGUAAUUACGUUGAACCUUGAUCAUUAUAUAUAUAGUUUAAUCAUUUUAUUUCUAUUUUUUAAAGAAAUUAUGAUUUAUGAUAACAUUUUAUGUCCUCACUAACAUAUAAAAAAAUCAAUAAAAAAUAUCUAAUUAUAUACAAAAAAUAUUAUUAUUUUCAAACUAAAAACUAUAAAGCUAGCUCUUAUAUUAAAUAUUAUAAAAUCUCAUUGAUUUUAUUUUUUUAAAAAAAACUUAGCCACACACUAUUAACUGAAUCUAAUUAACAAAAAAAAAAGAAAUUCAUAUUAAAUUGAGUUUAGAAUCUCAAAUUUUAAUAUUUUUUUAACAAACAGUCCAACUUUGAUUUUCUCCAAUAAAAAAAACCAAUUCUUCUCGCAUUGCUAGCAUACCAUCUCAAACCUAUUGUUGUAACCCAUUUUUGGAUCCCCACAUAAAAAAUAAUAAAAUACAAAAAAAUCAAAAAAAUACAUUAUAAAAAAAUAUAACAGUGAAAAAAAUGCCAGAGCGCCCUAAAAAUGCUCAAAAAUUGAUUGAGGAUGUUCAAAAUAAAAAAUUAAUUUUUGACAGUAUAUCAUUGACUGAUAAGAGCCCUGAUGAUAAAAACAAAUUCAAUUUGAGGAAGAAAAAUGCAAAAUUAGAAGUUUAUGGACUCAAUUAAAUUUUAUUGAAGGUUUAAUUGAAUUUAUAGAGGUUUUAAUUGCAAAACAAUUGAUUUUGGACUUAAUUUGGGCUUUAAUUAGAAGAAAUUAAUUUUCUGGGGUCAAAUUAUAAUUUUUGGAAGUUAAAUUGGUCAAAUCAGGGGCUUAAUUGCAUAAAUAUUGAAGUUUAAGGCCAAUUAGGGACUUAAUUGAAGAAAUCCGAGACUAGGGACCAAAAUGUAAAACGCGCGCAAAUUGAGGGCUUAAUUUUAAAUCUGACGCGUUCUAGCGCCAAAAUCCUUUUAAAUGAAACGACGCGUUUUGACCAAAACGACGCCGUUUCAAGCACUGUUUAUUAAAAAAAAAAAAGAGAAAACGCAAAACGGUGCUGUUUUGAAACGGCACCAUCGUCUUCUUCCCUGCGCGCGCAGAGAACAGCGGAGAAGAAUUUUUUUCUUCUCCACUUUUCGCCGAACUUUCUUUCCCAUUUUUUACGCAAUAAGACACCCACCAUUCGGCGCCCACUUGCCUCCUUUUUCUCCACUGAUCGAUAGUCGAGGGGGCGGCCAACAGUGGCCGCCCCACCGUGACGUCCUGCCCCUGUUUUUGCCUAUAAAAACAGGGGAAGCAGACCAAAGAAAAGAGAGAGAACAGAAGGGAUAAGAGAGGGAGAAGAGGGAGAAGACCGAGAGAAGAGAGGAGAGAAGGCAGAGCAGAGAAAAGAAGAAGCAGAGAAGAAAACGAAAAAAAAAACACAGAGGAGAGAGAGAGAAGGAAAACCGCAGGCCACCGUGCCUCCGCCACCAUCGCCACCGUGCCUACACCGCCAGCAGCACCGCCUCGACGCCACCGCAGGUAAUCUCCCGUUGCCCCGUCUCCUUCUCCUUUUGCAGCUCCUUUUUUUUUUUCAUGCAACGUGAAUUAAUUCACGUUCUGCAGCAGUUGAAGGAGGCUGGUUACUGUGCUUAGGCACAGUAACCAGCCCAUUUGGUAAUGGGCCGGGUCCGGCCCAUUUCAAAUUGUUUUUAUUAGAAUUUUUACAAUUUUUUCAGCACAUUUUUUUAUCAAUUUUGCUUAAUAUCGGUUUGUAUUUUACAUCGUAAAAAUAUAAAUCUGGUAUUAAAAUACCCGGUUUUCGUCCCACGGUACUGUUCACAUUCAGAAAGAAAAAAAUAAAAAAUAAUUGUUUCAGCAUUUUAUAAUUUUUCCGCGUAAUUUUUUAUGUCAUUUUGAUUAAUAUCGGGCAGUAUUUUUACAUCAAAAAAUAUAAAUCCGGUAUUAAAAUUCCAAAAAAUACAAAACAAAAUUAAAAAAAAAAUAAAAAAAUGUUUUUGUGCAUACGGCCAAGUGUCUCAAAUCUAAAAAUCAUAUCAUAUUUUUCAUAUGUCAAAAAAAAAAUAUUUAGCAUGCAUUUUGGCUUUAAUAACCAAUUUAUUAAAGUCAAGAGAACAUUGGCCAAAAUCUCAAAAAUAAUAAAAUAUUUUGUUUUGUUUGAUUUUAGUAUCAGGGAUUAUGAAUUUAUACGUAAAUCGUAUUCCUGAUAUUAAAAAGAUAUUUUCUUUGGACGACUUCAAAUUGUUAGUUUUUUACCCGAUAAAGAUAAGGAUCUCCUUACAGAGGAGGACUUUUCUUAAACCAUAAACGAACCAACAAUUCAAAAACCACAACACGAUUUUAGAUUUUUAUCAGACAUCAAAACAAUGCAGCCUACCUUAGGUAGGGCGUAGUUGGGGUGCUAAUACCUUCCCUUUACGCAACCAGUCUCCGUACCCCAUCUCUGAGACUAGUUAGGGUUCCUAGUAACCAGAAUACUAGGUGGCGACUCCCAGUCCAUAUUUUCACAUGUAUAGACAAGAAUUCCUUGUCUCUCCCUAUUUUCAAGGAAUAAAUAUUCCGAUUUUUCCUUGAGGGUGGACGAUCGCCGCGCCGCCGCACACGUGCGACACCUAUGAUUAUAAACAUAUCAAAACAAUUCAACAACAUAAAAAAAAAAAAAUUCAAACGGGUCAUGAACUGCUUUCCCAGCCAAAUUUGUAAUGCAGGAUGUUGUUUGUAAUGCUUCUUGUUUUUUGAAUCAUCAAUAUCCAAAUGAUGUGGAUGAACACACUAUGUAUAUAUAUGGAUUGUGUUGCUCUCGCUAUUUAAGCUGCUUCGCGAAUUUGAUGUGUUAAAGAAGUUUUAAUAAUUGUCUUUUCAUCGGAAAUUAGAAAUAUCACUUACGUAUAAGUUAAUAAUUCUUAACCGUGAUCCGAUCAAAAUAUUAAAUUCUUCUUUAAUAAAUUUGCAAUUUUAUCCUAAAAAAUAAAUAAAUAAAAUAACAAAAUUCAUAAAACAAAUACAAACACACACAUACACUUUCACUGUAUUUCUUUUCUUUUCUUUUCUUUUCUUUUGUUACAUCCAUAAUACAAAAUAAAAAAUACAAAAUACAAAAUACAAAUACAAAAUAAAUAAAUAAAAAUUACAUUACAUAAUUUAAAAUUUACAAAAACAGUCCCUAAAAUUCUAGAAAAUUGCAGGGAAGGACUUCUGGGGGCUGUAUGAACAGUCCCUAAAAUUCGUCCCUUGCUCCUGCAACUGAGAAGAAGUUGUGGUUGUCCAAAGGCGAAAGGAAAAUAAGGGCUGAGUUGGGAGGAAGACGAUCUAGUAACGGGGUGCUGGUGUUGGGAGAUUAUAGCAGUGAUGGGGGAUCGGCUAUGGGUUUCUUUUUUUUCAAGGCUGAGGGCCGCCGGCUGGCUUUCGUUGGCUGGGAGUUGGGUUUCCCUGAAGGCGCUGCUAUUGAGAAUAUAAAGGAACGGCCGGGGAUUGGAGAAUGAUUCAAACCGGGGAGGGGCUGUUUGGCCGGUUUUUGCAGGGGAUAAGAGCGGGUUGGUGUUUUCGUUUUGGUUUUGGCCGGGGCUAGGAGAAGUCAGGGGGCUCCAGUGUGAAAAAAAAUUCAAAACCGAGAGCCUAGGGGGGCGGCUGUAGAGGCAGCUGUGAGGAGAAGAUCAAAAACCAAGAGGGGUGGCCCGCGGCUCCCUUGUUAGAGAUAGACUUAGGGUUUUCUUUUUUGUAUUUUUGGUGUUUCCAAAAUUAGCCCCCAACCUUUUUUGUGUUGAGGAAACCAGUAUUUAUAGGUAAAAUGUUGCUAGGUUUUUCAACUUGGUCCCUCAACUGUUUUUUUUUUUGUAAAUUUUGAUUUUUCUUAUUUUUUUGUAUUUUUUGAAAACGAGCAAUAUCAACGUCGACUCAAAUGCGGAAAAUCAAUGAUUUUAAAAAUGACGCGUGAAAAGUCGAACGCGUUUGAAAAAUUAAAUUCUUUUUUAGACGACGUUGAAAAUGCUAAAAUGACGAAAAAUAUAUUAAAAAACAUAUUUUUUUUGGAUUUUCUUUGUUUUUCUCUAUUUUUGGAAUUUUUGAAAAUAUAUUAAAAACAUGGGUCAAAAAUUGGGUAGCAACAGAUGCCCCCUCUUUACAAUGCUUACAAAGCAAAACUCCUCAAUGUUUUGCAUAGUAAGCUUUGUAAAGAAAAACUUGUAUUUCUGUUUGCUCAAUAUCUACUUCAUCUAAAAACCUUAAUCUGUUCUUCGUUUUUUUUUUUUUUCAUUAUCCUGAGAUCCCAUCUGGCGACCCCUUUUAACCGAACCAAAGAAUGUGUGUAGCUCAGUCAACCUGAAAUCCCAUAUGGAGAUUCCCUUUAACUAAAGCUACAUGAGAUCCCAUCUGGCGACCUCUCGACUGACACGAAAAUAUGUGUAACUCAGUUAACCUGAAAUCCCAUCUGGCGAUUCCCUUUAACCAAAGCUACAUGAGAUCCCAUCUAGCGACCUCAUUCAACUGGAACGAACAUAUGUGUAACUCGUUUAACCUGAAAUCCCAUCUAGCGAUUCCCUUUAACCAAAGCUACAUGAGAUCCCAUCUGGUGACCUCAUUUAACCAAAACAAAAGAAUGUGUAAAAAAUGGUCUCAUUGUAAUGGGUGACCUCCCUAAGAAAAAUGAUGGUCUCAUUGUAUGGGUGACCGGCCCAAGAAAAAUGAUGGUCUCAUUGUAUGGGUGACCGGCCCAAGAAAAAUGAUGGUCUCAUUGUAUGGGUGACCGACCCAAGAAAAGUGAUGGUCUCAUUGUAUGGGUGACUGACCCAAGAAAAAUGAUGGUCUCAUUGUAUGGGUGACCGACCCAAGAAAAAAUGAUGGUCUCAUUGUAUGGGUGACCGACCCAAAUGGAAAAAAUAUGAUGAAGUGGUCUCGUUGUGAUGGGCGACCUACCCAAAUAGAAAGAAUGUGAAGUGCGGUCUCAUUGUAAUGGGUGACCCACCCAAAAAUGGAAAAAAUAUGAAGUGUGGUCUCAUUGUAAUGGGUGACCUACCCAGAUGGAAAAAAUAUGAUGAAGUGGUCUCGUUGUGAUGGGCGACCUACCCAAAUAGAAAGAAUGUGAAGUGCGGUCUCAUUGUAAUGGGUGACCCACCCAAAAUGGAAAAAAUAUGAAGUGUGGUCUCAUUGUAAUGGGUGACCUACCCAGAUGGAAAAAAUAUGAUGAAGUGGUCUCGUUGUGAUGGGCGACCUACCCAAAUAGAAAGAGUGUGAAGUGCGGUCUCAUUGUAAUGGGUGACCCACCCAAAAUGGAAAAAAUAUGAAGUGUGGUCUCAUUGUAAUGGGUGACCUACCCAGAUGGAAAAAAUAUGAUGAAGUGCGGUCUCAUUGUCAUGGGUGACCUACCCGGAUGGAAAAAAUGUGAAAAGUGCGGUCUCAUUGUCAUGGGUGACCAACCCAACUGAAGAUGUGAUAUGAGAAGUGUGAAAAAUAGGACUUACCUGGCGAAGUCUUUCAGGGGAUGACAGAAGAAGAGCUGGAAAACUUGGUGCUUCCUGAUAAUUCCCGAUCAUAGGAUUUGAAAACUCGGUGUUUCCUGACUGCAAGAGUUGAAAACUCGAGGCUUCCCGAUUGCAAGGUUGAUCUUUUCAUUUCUUUGGGAUUUUCCUAAUGGUAGGGUUCAUCCCAUCAUCCUUUUAUUCCAUGAUCAAAAUCGAUUCUUUAUUAUCAUCACCACAAUGCUUCUUUCUUUUUCCAACAUCUUGCUAGACCUCAUUAAGGAUUUUCCUGUAACAAUUAAAAAAAUAUGUGCAAAUUUUUUUUUUUUUUUGAGGUUAGAUGAUAUGCAUGCAUCCUUACCUGAUUUGAAAUAAUAGGUCCCCAUUUCUUCAUGGUGUGUUUCUUUUCUCAAAAGUUGGAGUGUUGGCAGUGAACUUCGAUGGCUUCUUCGCUCUUGCUUACUCGAGUCAACUCUUGUGAUUUUGACCUCUAGGAAGAAAUUGAUAUCAUCAUAGUUCUUUUUCCCCGUCCUUUACCUCAAGGGUUGCCAACUUUGCUCGACAUUUUCUUAGAAAAUGAAUCAUGGAGCCAGCCCUAUCAUAUGUUUUUUUAUUGCCCCCUAGCUUGAUCAUGCCCCCAAGUAUUCAAAUCAAGUUUGAGGAUAAGGCUAUGUGAAGGAAGGUUUGACAAGGAAUUGUUUUCAUGCAGAAUUUUUGGAAUUCCAAAGCUAUUCCAAACACAGAAAUCAUUUUGACAUCGAUUCAAAGCAAGCUCAUUUUGAAGAAAUUCAAGUGUUUCCUAUGGAGAGGUUAUCAGAAGUGAUGAAAACCUUUUUUUUUUUUUUUUUUUUGGCUUUUGGUAAAAAAAAAAUGAAGUGACAUCUGGUUUGUCAAAAAAGGUUUAAAUUUCAAUUUGAGGGUUAUUGAGAACCGAGGUUCAAAACAUUUAUUUUAUUUGCAUGAAUAAUGAUUUGGUUCACAUGAGAAAACAUUGCCUACCGAUCCAGAUUGCUUGCCUUUGAUCAGAAAGGGCUUGAUUAGGCACGUAAUGUAGGCUUGGGCUCUUGGUUAUGAAGAAAAUGAUAUUUGUAGGCUCAAAAGGUGUUUAAAGGAUUUGAAGACUAAGGAUCACUUGUGCUUGUUUCUUGACCUUUUGUCAUUUGACUGUCUUUCGAAAAUUAUCUAUCGUGCCCCCUUGUGUUGGGCUUGGGCUUGUUCUCUUUGUUUUUGUUUUCUUCAUAUGGUUUUGAGCAUCAUAAUAUUGUUUUUUUUUUAUGCCCAAAACUCUUGAUCCUUUGGAUUUUUCUUCAUGUCCCUCUAGAUUUGUUCGGGCACCUUUGAUGAUUGAGAAUUUUCUUUUAUGCCCCCUAGUAUUGCUUGGGCACUUUCGAUCAUUGAGGUUUUCUCUAUGUCAUCGCACUUGCCCCUAGUGUGGGGUGUGAUCCUAGCCAAGGUUAUUUUUCAAGAAAUAUUUAUUAGGCUCAAAAGGGGACUACAAAUGAUAUAUUUAAGCCUUGUGAAAGGAUUAUCAAGGAUGACCUUUCUUCAUCUCAAAUGCAUGCAUUUAGGAUCGAUAAGCCUUGCUUUCAUGCGAGUAUGCAAAGUGAUUUCUCAUUAUUCAUGCAAUCAAAACUCAGCUUUAGAGUCACUUCAUGGUUUUUUUUUUUUUUAGGUUUUUCUAGGUGUAUGGUUACCUUUCUAAGGAAUCACCUGAAUUUCCAGAACUCGUUUGUUUUGGACAAACAUCAACAUGAUUUCAGUUUCUGUACUAAACUUUGAAUUCCCAAAAAUCCUUGUGAACAUGUGCGAUCAUGCAUAGUUUUGAAAGAAAGGAAAACACACCCAAAGAUUCUUGGUGUGAUGGUUUCAUGCUUAAAGAUUAUGCUCAAUAUGUUAUUUGCAAGAAACAACAACAAAAAUGAAGGUAUGUUAUAAACACAUGAUUUUAUUAACAAGAAAGGCUCAUUUGACAAGGAAAGUGUUGUGGAAUUUUGAGCCAAGUUACCAACAAAAAUUGGAAUAGGUUGAAACAAAAAUGAAGAAAUUUUGCAGGCAUGAUCAAACUAAGGUUUUUCUUUUUUCUUUUUUCUUUUUUUGCAGAAUAGGCUCCAUUAUGCACCGGUAGUGCAAUUCCCUUUGGUUAGCCUUCCCACCAAAGCUUUUUGUAGAAAAUACAUGAUGCGCCGAGGCUCUUGACAAAUUUUGCCCCCAAUUUCUUCGGGCUGAGUCAUUGUUGGGUUUUGAAUAAAGAUGAUAGGUCGGUUGGAAGAAACUUCCCUAGAGUUAUUUUUCAGUAUCUACUCGAGUAAGCUAGAAGCAAGUCACACAUGUCUUCAAAAAUUACGACGAGCAUAUUCUUCAUCUUCAGAGUUUUUCUUCAUUCAAAGUCGGGUGUUGUAGACUCGUAGGGGACCUACUUUUCAUUCUGGUGCAUGCAUGACAAAUGUAUGAACAUGUAAUCUAUAUGAUGAACUCACCCUUCGAGAGGUGACAAUAUGGUCGUAACUCUUGUAUGAUGGAGCAAGAAUCGUGAUUUUUGCCCAAACUUUACAAUGAAAAUUUUCGGAGUAACGGCCAAUGUGUCACCCAUAAGUCUUGAGUUCAAGAUGCUUCAAGAAGAGUUUGUUCUUAUGCAAAAAACGAUAGCACAUACAACCUAAGGACAAGUUCUAUUCAUUAUGUGAACAUGGGUAGGUCUUCUAUCUGGUCUCAAAAGGGUCUCAUAUCUGUCCAGUGACGUUCUUCGUAAAGACAGUAUGGGGGCGUUGCAAGGAAUGGUUAAGGCACGUAUACCCACCAUUACCAAGCAGGCACUCAGAUAUGAGUUGGGUGUUUCACGCAUCUGAACCCUGACCAAUAGCCUUAGGGCAGAUCACUAGUUCCCCACCUAACCUAGAAGCUUGUGUGUGCUUUUAAAAAUAAAUACAGGUGAUGCAUGAAUCAAUUGUAUAAAAUGCAUGGAAAAAAAAUAUUAACAAAAAGAUAAAAAUGCAAAAAACUUAAACACAUCAAAUACACAAAGCUUAGUCCAAUAAUGUUAGAAACAAUACCUUCCCCAGUGGAGUCGCCACUUUGUCGCACCCAAAAACAAAAUCAGCGCGCGGCAUCGGCUGACGAUUUUUCUCUCGUUGUUAUUGUUUUUGCUUGAAUUUAGUUCGUUGGAGUCGCCACCUAGUAAUUGAUUGCGGGCUACUAGGAAACCGGAUGUACUGGUCUUAUCAAAGAUUCGCGGGUAAGGGACUGGUUGUGGUUAGGGAAGGUAUUAGCACCCCUAACGCACCUUACCUGAGGUAAGCUGCUUCGCGAAUUUGAUGUUUUAAAGAAGUUUUAAUAAUUGUCUUUUCAUCGAAAAUUAGAAAUAUCACUUACGUAUAAGUUAAUAAUUCUUAACCGUGAUCCGAUCAAAAUAUUAAAUUCUUCUUUAAUAAAAUUGCAAUUUUAUCAUUAAAAAAAUAUAUAUACAAAUAACUAAAACAAAAUACAAACAUCCACAUUCACUUUUACUAUAUUUUUCUUUUUUUUUCUUUUCUUUUACACCCAUAUUUACAAAAUAUAAAUUACAAAAAAAAUGAAAACUAAACAAAUAUUACAUUAAACCAUUUGGAAAUUACAAAAAUGACCCAAAACAAAUUCAGGAACAAUUCUGGGCUGCAUUCUGGGCUGCCUGAACAGUAGCGGCGCGUGAACCGCCCCGAAAAUCAGGCAGUGUGAGGGGGCUGUAAUGCUUCCUCCUCUCUUCAAUCUCUUGUUGUCCGUCACCUGCAAAUCCAAAAAACAACACAGCAAGGGCAGUCGAUUUUAAGUUUUUUUUUAGUUUUUCAAAUCUGUUUUUUGUUCUUUCUUUCUUCUCCGAUCUGCUCCUUCCUCUUCUUCUUCAGAUCGUCUUCUCCCCGGGUCAGUUCGUUAGGGUUUAUGUCUUCUUCUCUGCUUCCGGUGGUGGCGAGGCCAAGGGGGAACGGCUGCGCGGGUGCUGCUGGUGGCCUGUGAUGGUGCGGUGGAGCUGUGAAGGAGAGGGGACCGUGGAUCUGCCACCGUUGAAAAGGGAAGAUCUGUUGCUUGCUGCUGGUUGCUCGACCGCCGCUGGAGGCUGAUUGAAGAGGUGGUGUCGCCGUGUUCGGCGGUGACAGGAGGAGCUGUUGUGGUCGGCCGGUUGGAGAAGAAAAAAUCAAAGCCAAGGGGAAGGAGAGGAUGAGCGGCGGCUGCAAGCGGGGAAAGGAAGAAAAGCUUUUUGGGUGAUGACGGGGGGGGGGGGCUUUGGGAGAUGACAGUGAAGAGGCUGGGUUGUGUGAUCGGGAGAGGAGGAAAUACCGUGGGAUGAGCGGUGGUUUCCGGAGAGAAAAAAAAAGUCGUGAGGGGGCGGCUCCUUUUGUUAGAGAUGGGUCUAGGGUUAGAGAUUUUUUUGUAUUUUUUCAGAUGUUGUCAAAAUUGCCCCCUCCCUCUUGCAAGUGUUGGAAACCAGUAUUUAUAGGCAAAAAAUGUUGCCAAGUUUUUCAACUUGGUCCCUCAACUUCUUUCUUUUGUAAAUUUUGAUUUUUCUUUUUUUUUUUGUAUUUUUUUAAAACGAGCAAUAUCAACGUCGACUCAACAAGGAAAAUCAAUGAUUUUAAAAAUGACGCGUGAAAAGUUGAACGCGUUUGAAAAUCUUUUAAAAAUUUAAAUUCUUUUUUUUAGACGACGUUGAAAAUGCUAAAAUGACGAAAAUAUAUUAAAAACAUAUUUUUUUGGAUUUUCUUUGUUUUUCUCUAUUUUUGGAUUUUUUUGAAAAUAUAUCAAAAACAUGGGUCAAAAAAUAGGUAGCAACAGAUGCCCCCUCUUUACAAUGCUUACGAAGCAAACUCCUCAAAAUUUUGCAUAGUAAGCUUUGUAAAGAAAACAAAAGGAAAAUGAUUUCAUUAUCUUGGGCGACCUGCCCACACACUCACACUGAUCUAUUUUCACGUGCGACCUGCCCACACAUACUCACUCUAGUCUAUUUUCACGGGCGACCGACCCACACUCUCACACUGAUCUAUUUUCACGGGCGACCUGCCCACACAUACUCACUCUAGUCUAUUUUCACGGGCGACUGACCCACACUCUCACACUGGUCUAUUUUCACGGGCGACCUGCCCUUUUAAUUGGGUUUACCUGAGAUCCUAUCUGGCGACCUCAUUCAACUGGAACGAAAAUAUUGUGUAACUCGGUUAACCUGAAAUCUCAUCUGGCGAUUCCCUUUAACCAAAGCUACAUGAGAUCCCAUCUGGCGACCUCAUCCAACUGGAACGAAAAUAUUAUGCAACUCGGUUAACCUGAAAUCCCAUCUGGCGAUUCCCUUUAACCAAAGCUACAUGAGAUCCCAUCUGGCGAUCUCAUUCAAUUGAAACAAAAGAAUGUGUAAAAAAUGGUCUCAUUGUAUGGGUGACCUACCCAAGAAAAAAAAAAGAUGGUCUCAUUGUAUGGGUGACUUACCCAAGAAAAAUGAUGGUCUCAUUGUAUGGGUGACCUACCCAAGAAAAAAUGAUGGUCUCAUUGUAUGGGUGACCUACCCAAAAAAAAAUGAUGGUCUCAUUGUAUGGGUGACCUACCCAAGAAAAAUGAUGGUCUCAUUGUAUGAAUGUAAAAGAACUUAUCCACAUUGAAAAAUGGCAAGGUACACCCUAUCUUUUGAAUGGGCCAAAAAAAAGAAGGAAAAGCAUGAAACAGUGUUGACCCAAUAGUAACUAAGCAAUCCUUUAGUGACAGGAGACCACUCUGGUCAACAAUCAAAGCAUGCAGAAAACCUGGUUAAUUAAUUCUUUUGCACGCAAUGCAUCAGGAAAAACAUCUGGAUCUUUCUGUGCAUCCCUCAGCAUGAUAUCAAGUACUCUGCAUCACAAAAGUGCAUGUUUAUCACAGCAUCCUUUUGCAGAUAUCUGCUUGCUUCACAUCCAGAAAUGCACUACAGAAAUAUAGGAUUGAAAAAGAAAAAUUCUUGUAGAGGCUUUACAAAUUUGGCUCCAAUCAAACAUAUCCAAUGAAUACUACAGGACUUUGACUACUGCACAUGAAGGGCUAACAUAUGGAUCUGGUAAUAGGCCAUGAAAUAAGAGCAUUGCUGACUAAAGUUUUGCUUUGAUUGAAUUGAAACAAAUUAAAGUUCCUAAUAUAAGCAGAAAUAUUAACCUUCGAUUGGAUGUUACUACUUCAUUACAAAUGCCUGGAUUUCCUUGAAAGCCAGAAAACUCGGCCAGUGAAAGACAUUCUUCUUUUAGUUUUGUGAGAGUAGGGCUUCCAAACUCUUAGUCUUUGGGAUGAUAAUGUUAAUUGCAGAUUUCUAUUCGAUCCAAUACAUGCUGGCAGGUAUGUUUCAGAAAAACUGGGACCCAAUUAGGAAGCAUUUUUGGUUUAUAUCCCUAGGAUCAUAUUUGUAGGUCAUCCUAUUAAGAGUUGGUUAUAAAUCUAAAAAUUCAGAUUCUGUCCUCAUGUAAUUAAAUGGAACUUCAGAUUUAAAGAAGGGUAUCCCUUUAUUAAGCCCACUAACAAAGAGUUUCCACAAUUUUCAGCACAAGUUUUUUAGUUUCUCAAAAAAUCUGUGUUUUCAAAUCUUCGACCUAAUCUUUAAAUCAGUCUUGAGUAAAAACAACCAGCUCCAUUGGUUUGCUUCAACAAAAGCUCAUCUUAGCUCAAAUCUUUUCUACUGUAUCAUGAGGAAACCCCUUACCUAGCAGCUAUUCCCGAGUAGACAUCUGCAGGCUUCUCUCCUGCAACUAGAUUAACAGCAGCUGCUCCCAACUGUUCAAGAUUCCAAUGAUUUAACAAAAGCAGAGGGAUUCAAAAUAUAAUCAAAUGCAUUACUUUCCUUUUUCAAAAUUAAAAACGAAGUUCAAAAAAUAAAAGUUUGCAGACCACUUCUAAAAAACACGACUUGAAUUCAACAAUGAUUGGCAUCAGCAUAGUGCCUUAGGAAAUGAAAAUCAGACAAACAGAUUGCACAUAUUGGGUUUUUUUUUAUCAGCAGUAAUCAUAAAGAAAAGAAAAACUUCAUAACAUCAUCUAAUUCAAGUUAAGGACGUUACCUUGUCUCUUCCAAGUGCAGCGUAGUGUUGUAGGCCAUUGCAGGAACCAUCCUACAAAAAACCAUAAGAGGGAAGGGGUCCAUCAGAAGGCAGAACAGGUUAUGAGAAAAAUUAUAGGCCAGAAGUACAAAGAUAAGCCCAGGGAAGAGUACUUAAGUUGAUUGUCCCACAUAGUCCAACAGUUUUUUAUGUAAUACAACCAAUAGAAACCACUUAAGCUUAUCAUUUUAUUUGUUUUCCUAAAGCAUACAAGGUACAAUAACAAAGAAUCUUGACUCUCCUUUUACCAUUCAUCUUCCUAACACCUCUGCCUCUCUCAAUCCAUUCCCUACCAUUCCAGUAAAACUGUGCUCAAUUGGGUAGGAUGCUUUACAAUCCUUAAAAAAUGUCCAUAAAAAGUUUAUAUGAGCACAAUGCAAUACAUUGAUAAGAUAUACCUGAUGAACAGGAAUAUGUGAAAUAUAUGUUUCUGGCGAGGAGCUUCUCAAAGCUUCAGUUAGGUUAAUGCACACAGCCAAGAACUGAAAUGGAUCUUCUGCAUGCAACCACCAAUGCUUUCCGUCAAGUGGUUUGUCUGCAGAAUCAAAUAUAUCAUCAAGGUGAUUCUCAGUACGUAAAAGCUAUCCGUCCCUCAUAAGAUAGCUUGUCUACACCACCAGCAAAUAGAUUUGCAAUGUGUAUCUUCAGCCAGCGUAAGCCUGACUUUCCAAGAGGGCGUCCCUCUGCGAACUCCAAAAUCCCUCGGCACAGAUCUGAUCCAAGAUGGUUUAAGUAUGGGUGCAUGGGGUAGGCACGCCCACGAAAGUCAAUAUUGUGUGGAUAAUAGAAACCUUCUUCAUCUUUCAUCUUCCGUGCUACCUGGAGCCAAUUAAGAAUGAUGGCAUGAACGCCAUCAAGAAGAUUGAAAGUGUACUGUCUAAAAUAAAGUAAAUUGAGUCUUACAGCAAGUUUAAGUUCUAUGUCACAACGCUGUGCAUGUCUUUCCCUGUUCUCUUUUUGCACUCCUCUGAGUUUCCACUUCCACUUCUUAAGAAGUGCUUCAUCUUCUGUUUCUGGCUUCUCAGGUAAAGGAACCUGAAAUGAAGAAAUUAAAUGAGAAAGGUUUUUUAGUUGCUAUCAUGAUCAAUUCUUGGAACACAAAGGUAAAGGUAAAAGAGUUUCUCAGAAAAAAAAAAGUUACAUUGAGGAAAGUUAGAAAAGAUACUCACAUCACUGUGGUCUACCAAAUCAGCAAGACAGCCUCCAUUACUCCAUAUUCUAUCAACAACACUAAGUACCCUCUUAUUUACCCUCCAUCUGGUAUUCCCUAGUGUAUCCAGGGCCUGGAAAAUUAAUUCAAACAAAAGAGAAUCCUUGUUAAACCAGAAGCUAAGCUGGUAAAAUCUACACAUGUGAUAGCAUGUGAAGGUAUACACAAUUAUCAGUAUAAGAUUGUGUUCAAUGAACAUCACAUGUUAGUACCAAAAGAUGAUUUAGUUCUAACAAUAAAAUACGCAUCAGUAACCAUGCAAUGCAUCUAAUGUGUACAGACCUCAAAAACUGGUUGUAGCUGCCUCCUAGGUGCCCUCUAAACUGCUUCACGUUGCUGUUUAGCACCAUGUAUCCGCAUGACAUAGGAUGGUAAAAACAAGUGAGCUCCUUUAUCAUAACUGCAAAGGGCAUUGAGGUUAUGCUCGACACGAGUAAGAGAGAGGUAAAUAUCACAAGCUAUGACACAAUUAUCAAAGAAGAGCUUAGAACACACCAAAAAGCUGCUUAAAUGCCAGGUCCUGAUUUGUUACUAGAAGCAAUGGUGUUAAGAGUUGCUACAACUACAUGGGAACCAGCAUCCAACCACAAACUCAUUAGAUGCCAGAUUAAAGUAGCGUAUGUAAGGAACAUGUAUGAAGAAUUUGUAUCUUCCAAAUUUGUAUACAAGGAUCUAAAAUUAAUUUUAGUGGGGACUAUGCUAAUGUGCCUCCUGCAACUUGCAUGAUGAUUGAGUGAAAGAGCCAAGACCACUAUAAACUUGCUAGUAAACAAAGUGCUCUUUCCCCAAAACCAAUUCAUGAAACGGUUUUCAUCUGAUGCUCAAUCUGAUCAAAUUAAGAUAUUUAGAGUGCAAUCACUGGUUUAAAUCUUUUCUUUUUGUAGAUAGAAAGUGUGUCCAGGAAUCUCAGUCCUAAUGGGCAAUUUACAACCAAAAGCGCUAGGGAGCUUAUCAGAUUUAAAGGCAAUAGGUUGAAUGGCAGAAGCUGCCAUAGAGGCCUAUUCAUAUUCCAAAGCAUGUGUAGUUUUUCCAAUGAGGAUUGUGAUCACCUAUUCAUGAAAAAGUUAACCAAAGUCCAUGAAAAACAUAUCCUAACUAACUUGCCAAACAAUAAGGUUAAAAAAUCUCAGUUUGACAGCAGAGAUCUGUCUGUGCCAUUUCUCUCAUGUAAUCAUCUGUUGUCUCCUUGCGCUUCUGGCACAUUUGAAAUUUGAAAUAAAUACCUAUAUAUGAAUCUUCACCUAAAGAAACUAAACUACUUCAAUCAAGUUCUCUAUGUACUAUCCUAAUCCUAAAUUAACUACAUGUCUGACUUCACAUGAAAACAACAAUUCGAUACUCUUAUCUUUUCUUGAGCUAAAAUAAUCCACCACAACAUCCUUGUAGAAAACCUAACACCUUUUCUUUCUCUAUAUUUUAUCUCUAACUGCCAGCCAUUCUUUUCCAUGAAGUAUACCUCUCCCUUUAACAUCAAAAACAUUAUAAUAAAGAAUUCCAUAGCAAUCCCUAAAUUCUCCUGCCUGUGGCAAUAAUGUUAAUUUUCCGGUAUUAGACAUGGCUGUGAUUAGCAAAUGCUCUUCAAUGUUUAAAGACAGUGUUCUCCGUUUUGUUGAGAAUCGUAGACAAAACCUUCCAUCUCAUAUCUCACAUUCACCAUGUUUUGAAUAAACACCUGCAAGACAAUUAGUUUCCCUUCCAAUGGAGGUUACAGAAAUGGAGAGGCAAAGCCUUGAAACAUGCUGAAAUGUUAAUUUCAAUUAGCUGAAAUUGGGAUUGGAAUUCCAGUCUUUAUAAUCAGAGAUUCAUUCCUUUAUCUAUUAUACCAUUUUAAGCAUUUAACUUGACAUGAAAAUUGAAAACAGCUCCAGGCAUCAAACAGAAGUAACCAAAACACUAUGUUAAUAUUUCUAAACUUGGAAUAUAUCCAACUAAAAAAUAUAAAAUUAAAACAAGACAAUCGUGGAAAAAAUGUGGUGGCACCAACAUUGGCAUAUAAGGAAUCACCAUGUGCCUAGCCUGUUUGGAGAAACAACAUUUUUAUGACUUCUUGUGCAAGAAAAAAGAAUGAAAGACAAACAUCUGCAACUUAAGAGGCACCAUGGAAAUUGCCUCCAAAUCUGAUCUGUUUCAGCUCUAAAAUCUAGAAACUAACCUAUCUGCUUUGAAAGUAUAACAGGGUUACUCACAAUUUUCUCUAGGCCUUUGAGGACUAGAGGGUCACAUUGUAUAACACCAUAUUUUUUCGCGCCCUUCCUUUUUAAGAAAAGGCCAUUGUGCAUCAGUUAGGAGCAAUUACAAGGAAGAAAAGAUAAAUUGAGCACAUCGAGUCAAUUAAAGAAUGACGCCAUACUUAUUUUCAUAUGACACAGUUCUGAAUGUAUGUACAAAUGCAGGUCGAGGUUCAGAUGGACUAUCAGCUAACUGAUCACAGGGAGGCUGUAUAUAAGCUGUUUGUAACAGCAAUUCAAUUAGAUGGCUUCCAACCUUCAAAGUGCAACGACAGAAAUCAAAUUCGCACACGAUACAUUUGUUCAAGAAAAUUAGCUUUUAUCAAUGAUUACAAGCACACAAACCUUAGCCCUAGCAUCUGCAUUCCAUGGUUUUGAAUCAUCCUUCCCCUUCACAAUCUUCCUCACAGCUGGUAGCUUUUGUUUUUUAAUCAAAUCAGUAACCUUUUUUCUUAGGUUUUCUUGUUCCUUCAUGACAGCAGGGGAUUCACCUUCUACACCAUUCUUAGGUUUUUUAAUCAAAUCAGUAGCCUUUUCUUGUUUUCUCCAAGAUAUUUUGUAUUCUAAUCUGUUUCAUCACAGAAACUGUUACAGAUUCAGUCCUCAGUUCAAAGAAAGAGAACAAAACUGAAGAGUUAGGAGGUCCAAAACAUGGAUUAAGAAUGGUACACCUAAAUAUCUCUGCAUUCUAAAGUCCUUUUUUUAAAAAAAAAAAAAAAAGGAAAAGAAAAGAGGAAGCAACUCCCAUAGUCAGAAGAGACAGUAGAGCAAAGUGUCAUGCAUGCCUUUAACGUCUAAACGAAGAGAAAAACUUAAACAACUUACAAAACAAAGGCACAAACAAGAACACACAUAAUUGAAAUGAUAAAGAUAAUUGCUGUCCCCAACAGGGAAAUGCAAAAGUAUAAAUCCAUAGUGAAACAAUGUCGAAACAUGAGAUGAGCUCUGACAAAGGAAAGUUGAAUGUCACUCUUAUGAGUCCACCAUGCCCGUGCUUUGAAGAAAUUGUAGCUCAAAAAAGAAAGGCGUAAUAGAAUAUUCAGCCUAAUAAGGCCCGUGAUAUGAAAAGUUUAACACUUAAUGAAAAAAAUUGUAAAAACUUACUAUCUAAAGGAUCUUACACUACAUUGUUUUUCGUACCUACAUUUAGUGUCCUCCCUGGAACCAUGAACAGCAGAAGAACUUGGACUGAAAGUAAAAACUAUAGAUAUAUAAAAAAGAAAUCCAGAAAAACCCCAUUCAACAUUCGACGGAACGUAACUUCAAAAUCUAAUUUUCCAGGCACUACUAGCUCCAUAGCUGAUUUUUAUCUCAUGAUUGUACAUAGUAACUUUCAUCUUUCUUCCUAGUUCAUCACCUCAGAUGAAGGUUGUCUAAAAGUUAAUUUAAGAAACUUUAUGUUUUCCCUUAUCUUUCAAUACUUUUAUACGGGCACUCAUUAUCCUCUGUCUACAAAUCAAACCGCAAGUAAAAAUAAGCAAAUAAAACAUUAAAAAUUACUUACCUUCUGCUCAAUUGCAUCACCAAUCAUACAAGCAGCAGUCACAACUCUUGCACAUCCAUGUUCCCCACCUGUCAUUACCAUUGCUGCGAGUUGAUGCAUUGCAAUAACAGACAUCUUGUCAGCUGGCAACAGAUCAAAAUACGGAGCAUAACCCUGCCUACUCUUCCCCGUUCCAAUCAACUCCUGCUCUUUCGCAAUUGCAUCUCUAAAAGGCUCAAACCAACCAAGGAACAAACUCUUCAUAUAUGGUAAAUUAGGAGCCAACUUAUGUUCACACAUAUCCUUCAAAAGCUCCUUAUAUUCUUUCGUUGACAGUUCCCAUGCUUCCGCCUCAAUCUUCACUUGCCUUCUCCUUAAGACCCUAUGCUUCCUUGACCCUAUUCCAGGGUUAGCAUGUAGCCUCCUCCUCCUAAAGUGCUCCUCUUUCUCCUCUUCUUUCCUCAUUUCUGGCAGCAAUUCUUGCACUUCAUCCGCACCAGACACAUUAUCUUCAACAUCUGUUGAUGACACUGCCUCAGCUACACUCACAUACCCUCUUGGACAAAAUCCAGCACACCGAUUCCCGUUAGUACUUUCACUAUUUCUCAAAAAAAUAGAACUGGGUUUUCCCAUAAAAUCUUCAUGGGUUGAUAAUUCGCCAAUUGCUCGAAAACUCAGUCGUGGACUUGUCUUAUUAAGCAAAUGGAACUUGAGUUUCUCAAAAAAGAUGGGUUCUUUAGAGGCUCCUAAAAAGCUGUAAGUUCUUGGAAAUGAAGGGAAAUUGAGGGACUUUGAUUGGGAUUUCAAAGUGGCUUGUUUUGCGACGUUUCUCCACAUAACUAUGGAUGGUUUAGAGAUAGAAUUGUGGGUUUCUUAUCAAAAUCAAAAGAUCAAAAGUUUUGGUAGAAAAUAUAUGGGAGUUGGUCCUCUAAUUAAAGGAAAUGAAAAAAGAAGAAGAAAUGGAAUUGAAAUGAUUGAGAGAUGAAUUGAAAUGCGCGGGUAAUGCAACUUGAGAAAAGAAAUGAGUUCAUAGAGAGGGUAUGGUAGUGGUAUUAGCAUACCGGCCGCCCUAAACCCUGCAUAAACCUUCUUUGGGGUUUUUGGCUAAAUCGUCUUGUUUGUUUCUCUCUUUUCACUACUUGUGUUGCCAUGAAUCGACUAGAAGGGGCAUUUGUAUGAUCUCAAAAGUUUCCAAGGGCUUGGGGUUAUAAAAUUGCAAGUCAUGUGUGGAUUCUUAAGAUAAAGUUGGGCCAAUUUGAAAUAACAAAGAAAAAUAAUUUUGGCAUAUAAUUUUAUUAAUCUUUAUUGUUUGUAAUUUGCAGAGCAUAAUUAGGAAUGUAGAAUUAAAUUUUAUUAUUUUUGUCUCAAACCAGUUACAAACGAAGCAAGUCCAAUUUUGGAGUAAGUGAUUAUAUAUAUUAAUAUUUAUGUGUUUAUAUAGUUGUUAAUAUAAAGCUAUUAAUAAUAAAAAUUGUUGGUGCAUCUAAGAGAAAAGUAUAGAAGUUUAUCAAAUUGUCAUGCUUAUAAAAAAAAAUUGUUACUAAAUUAAUUUUUAUUAAAUUAUUGAAUUGAAUUAAUUAUUUUAACAGUUAGAAGAUAUUAGUUUUAAAACAUAGUUAUUGUAUUUAAAUUUUAAUCAAAAAUUAAAUUGAUUAGUUAAGAUUUUGUUGAAAAAUAGUUUUUUGCAUGAAUAUUAAUUAUAACAUAAAAUAUUAAAAUAUUUAAAAUUAAUUAUAGAUAAAUAAAAAAAUAAUUUCAAAGAAUUCUAAUGAAAUUGAUGUAAAAAAAAUUCAUAUUGAUAAGAAAUUAUUGGUUUUAUCUUUGAGAAAUAUAUAUUGUUUUUAAUUUAAAUCUAACACAGACACCAAAUCUAGAGUUAAAAAAAUACGUUGUCAAAAAACUAUAUCAAUCCAAUAGCUUAACCUGAUAAGUAAGGUCAUCCUUAAGUGAAAGCUUUUUGAGCUUGAAACUUGCACAUAUUCACAUUAUCUUGUACUUUAAUACUUAUCAAAUAAAUGGAGAUAAUAAAAUUUAAAUUUAUGACCGUAUACCACGUCAAAAAACCAAUUCAAUCCAUAAAAAAUUUAAAAUAUAAUUUAUAUUAUUCUUUAAUAUAAGUGAAACCAAAAUAAUGGUUGAAAUUUUCCAAGGAUGGGCUUUCCGCAAUGUAAAAGUUUUAGAUCUUGUUUAAUACGGAAACAAUCCUUCCAUCCGCAAACAUGGGAUUAUCCUAAAUUUAAGAAGAAAAUCCAUACAAAGUAAAAUGUGAAUCUAAUUCCCCAAACCAAAACCAUGAGCAAAAACUACUGAAGAUCUUCAAGCUAAAGCAACCGCUGGAGCAGCUGCUGCAACUCCCGCUGCUCCUGCUAUAGCCGCUGCGGCUGCAGCUGCACCUGCUCCUGAUGUAACCCCUGCAGUUGCUGUUGCCAGAGCACCUGUUGCCGCCGCUGCAAGAGCACCUGCCGCCGCUCAUCGAGGUGCUGCCGCUGCUGCUGCUAGAGCACCUGCUGCAGCUGCUACUCCUCCUGCGUGAGCUGCUGCUGCAGCUCAGGUAUAGUGAAACUAUACAUGGAAUCGAUGUUACAUGUUUUGUUGGGUGUUAAAAAAAAAUUUCAACAUGUUUUUGUAUUUAAAAAAUUCUAAAUCAUAAAUAUAAUCAAAUAAAUUAAGAAUUAUGUGUGUUAAUAAAAAAAACAACUAUAAACUAUAACUAAAAAUAAAAGUGAAAAAAUCAAGAAACAAGUGUAGAUUAAAAUAUUUAAUUUCAAAAAACAAGAUAUUUAUGUGAUUGUAUUUACUAAAUUUAUUAAUUAAAACAAGUUUUUUAUUCAAUCAAACGAUAAUAAAAAUAGAUAUACACAUCAAAUUGAUUGAAUAAAAUAAAAAAAAUAUGCAAGGCUGCAAUUAUUAAAAUAUUAUUUGAAAAUAAAAAAUUUAUUUUCAAGAAUAAAGUUUAUUUGUACAAAAAGUUAAAAAAAUUAUAAAUGAAUCAGAAAAACUUUCUCAAAAAUUAAAUGCAUAACUAAAAAAUAAACUAUCAUACAAAGAGGACCUCUAAACAACAUAAAAAAAAAAAAAAAAAGAGAAGGGAUGUUAAUCAAAAUAUAAAAUAAAAAAAACAUAUAAAAAAAAAAAGAAGAAGCAAAGGUCAUUCGUUUUGGGCUACUAAGUUAAGCAAGUCCAAUUGCCGCAUUUUGUUAAGGCCCCGCUCACUAACCUUUAAUUUUUUGUUGCAAGAUGUUUGCGGGAAAAAAAAAGAUGACAGUCUUUUAUAGACCAUAUAUUUUUUUCUCUUACAAAAAAGUUGUGCAUGCAUGUUUUUUCGAUGCAAAUUUAUACAUAAAAAAUUUAAACCGUAAAUUAAAAAGUUCAUACAUAAAUGUAAUCAAAUAAAUUGAUAACUAUAUGAAUUAAUAAUAAUAAAAAUAUAUUAACAAUAACUAAAAAUAAAAUUUUAAAAAAUUCAAAUGUGUUAAUAAACGGAACAUUUACCUAGUUAUAUUUUUGAAUUUAUUUAUUAAAAUUAAUUUUUUAUUCAAUCAAAUGAUAUUAAAAAAAACACAUACGUAUUAAAUUGAUUAAAUAAAAUAAAAAUAGAAAACAUAUUAUGCAAGGUUGCUAUAUAUAUUAUGAUAUCUGAAAAUAUUUUUUUAUACAAAAAGAUAAAAAAAAUUAUCGAUGAAUCAUAAUAAGUUUUUUAAAAAUUAAAUAUGAACAACACCAUAAAAAUUAUAUCUAUCCAAAAAUAAAUAAAUAAAUAAAUAAUAAUAAUUAUAGAUGAGUAAUAUUAGUUGAAACAUAAAUUUAAAAAAUAUUUUUUAAAAAAUAUAUAAAAAGGAAGAAUUAAUUAUUACCUUUUCGAUACAUAUGAAAUCUCAACUUUAUUGAGAAUAUGCAUCCAUCUUUGUACCUUCUCCUUGUUUUCCCUGAAAUUUUCUUCAUUCUUAUCAAAACAAUUGUGUAACUUCUGUUUGAUCAUCUAUCUUUGAUUGUUCGACAUCAUAAGAAACUGGAAACACAGUGUCCGAUCUCAUCUCAUCCAUGAAUCCGAAAAUCUUGACAAGUUCGUCAAAGCACCAAGGUAAAGAAGCACAUCUCUUGCAAAUAUAAUAAUUGACAACCCUGAUUCUUCAAUGGCCUCAAAGAGUCUGGAUCUAAUUUCCAUUACUUUCUCUGGUUCCUUCUUGACCGGGAUAAUGACUCUCCGCGCUAGAUCUGACUUUAAAUAGGUGAUAGCAUUACUAGUGCCUGCGGCUCUGAUGCUAGGGAAAACACUAGCCAUCCAAUGAUGGUAAGAUGAAGAAAAAGCUAAAGAAGCUUUACAUGAAGAAGCUGUUUGUAAACUUGUAACAAUAAAAUGGGCAGAUGGUUGUGAUGAUAACAAACAAACACCACAAUUCUUCACCUUUACUCGUCGCUGGUAGGAAUGAAAUGACAACUCAAUGUUGCUAAAGGAUCCAUGCUUCCAUUCUUUAAGCUCUUUAAGGUAAUCAAAAGAUAGAUAGAAUAGCCAAAUAUGAUCUGACAGAACUUGGAUAGAGUUACAACUAAUACUCAUCGGCGAACGAUAAUUCUCUCUUCCAUUGGCUUUGAAAUGACAAGAAAGAGAAGGACUUUCACCAUUUGCACUGAAUGCAACACACGCAACAAACCCCAUGCUCCAACUAGGCACUUGCACACUAAUUGAAGAUCCCUUACUUUGAUGGUUAAACCAGCCUGGAAUUUCAUUUAACUGCGAUACCAAAUCUAGGUCUUGGAUUAGGCAAACCCUGUACCUGAAGAACCAAAAUGUUAGAUAGAUAAAGGGAGAGGGAGAGAGAUACAAAGAGGUUGAGUAUGAUUAAGAGAAGACCUUGAGGUAUCUUUCAAGCAUCGCCAACCCCAUGUUGUCCUGGCCAUUAUGCUCGUACAAUUCCCAGCAGUUAAGACAUAUGAACUCUGAUCUUUUGGAACUGCUUAGCUUUAUCGGAUCUGGAAUUUCUUUUAGGCGUAUACAACCAUUCAAAUUUAAUGUUUGAACUUUUGAUGGAACCUCAGGCAAUGAUUCAAGCAUCCUACAAUCCUCCAAGACAAGCAUUUCGAGUCUAGAAAGCUGAUUUAUGCUUUCAGGCAGGGUAAUAAAGUUAUUCUGGCUCAGAUCUAAAGACUUCAAUGAAGAUAAGCAGCCAAUAUCUUCAGGAAGUGCCCCUUCUCUUAGAUUGCAGGCGCAUAAAUCCAAUACUUCUAAAGAACACAAACCCAACAAAGAAGGCAACUUGUGAUCCGUGGGAUUCACAGCUAUUCUUUUGCAUCCAUCAAAAGAUAAUACUUUAAGAUUCUUUAAAAGAAAAAUGGAUGCUGGCGGUUGUCUUAUUGAAGUUCCACUUACAUCAAACUCCUCCAAACUUUCAACUUUCCCCAAAUUCUCUGGUAUAUAUUUAAGUUUAGAGCAACCAGACAGAUCAAGUUUUUUAAGGGAUUUCAAACAACCUAUGCUACUUGGAAUGCUUUCAAGGUUCUUGCAAUUGUUCAUGCUCAAUAGACCUAAGCUAAUCAAAUGAUGCAUCGAUGAAGAUAGUUUUGUAAUACCAGUCCCAUCCAAUCGAAGCACCAUCAAACAGUUCAUGUUUCCUACUAUAUCUGGAAACUUCUCAAGUUUUGAGCAGCCAUCAAGAAUGCAAACUUUAAGUGAUUCCAUUUCUAGAUUGUUCGGGAGAAUCCUAAUGCUUUUGCAGUUCACAAGAUAUAUAUUGAAGCUUUUGUGAUGUGCAAGUGAUGGAUGGACCUCAGACAAACUAGUACAACCUUCAAGAAUCAGGUUCUUGAGAUUCGGAAUUCCAGUAAAAUCUGGAGUCUUGAUCAGGUUUAGUGAAUUGCUGAGAUUGAUGAUUUUCAAAUUAACUGCACUCUGCAAUCAGUCAGGGGAGAAUAAAUAUGGAUACUACUAUCAUACAUAUAUAGAAAACGAUAAAAAAAUACAAAGGCUUUAAAUUAGUUGAUCUCACCUUAUACCCAUACCAUAAUUGCUCAAAACUACUGUUAGCCAUGUGAAGUUCAACUAGCUGAUCCACCUGCAAACCAACUGGCAAUGAUUUUGAAGGGUAAGAAUGCCAUUCAAGAAAUUGUAACUUAUUAAAAGAUCUUCAGGUCCUUCAGAAAGCUGCACGUUGUUGAUUUUGAGCAAUCUUAGUCUGCUCAUUUUAGAGAAGGCUUCCAUGUUCCAUUGUGAAUCUUUUUUUCAGGCAUGUCCAGGAAAAUGGCUUCUAUUUUUUCUUUUCCCUGUCAACCAAAAGGGGAAUACAAAUAAAAAACAAAUACAAAGUAGAGAUGGAGUGUAAAUUAAAAUAAACUUCAUGAAAUCUUAUGGAUAAUGUUCUCUAUCAGCUACUUACUGUGUUGUCCAUCAGUGCAAGGCAAACAUCCUCGUAUGUCCACAAUCUACUACGCCUUCCAGGCUCUUCAGGGGAUUCACAACGAAUAAUUUCCUUACCCAUUAUCUGUAAUAAAUUAUGCAUCCAGACUUGAUCCCGAGAGACACUUAUGAGUGAUUUCUCAAUAAGAACUUGUGUUCCAAUAUGUGCAUGGAAUCCACAACUGUCAAGUAUCCUUAUUAUUUGAUCUCUUUUAAAUCCUUUAAGGAAACAAGCAAUGUCUAAAAAUAUUUUCUUCUCUAAUUCAUGGAGGCCAUCAAAACUAAUGCGAAGCACAUCAAUAAUUUCACGGUCAGGAAUAUCAUUUAGUCUAUUAAUCGCACUUCCCCAUUCAAGGAUACUUCUUCCAUGCAUAAACGAACCUAUAACUUCAAGAGCCAAUGGAAGGCCAUUAGCAUAACCCACAACUUGCUUGGAUAGUUCCACAAAAUCUUCAGCAGGCUGGUCAUUUUUGAAAGCUUUCUGGCUAAACAACAUAAGAGCAUCAUCAUCAUUCAAUUUCUCAGCCUCAUAAAUUCUAGCAACACCAUUUCUAGUUAACAUUUGUCUAUCUCUGCUUGUUAUGAUAAUUCUGCUCCCUGGACCAAACCAUUUACUCUCUGCAGCCAGGGAUUCUAGUUGUUUAUGGUCAUCUAUAUCAUCAAGAACAACAAGAAUCUUUUUAUGUUGUAGCCUCCGCUUUAUCAUUUCAAUACCUCUAAAUGAAUCACAUAUAUUAGCACGUUCCAUUAAUAUUUCAGAAAGAAGUUGUUCCUGCAAACGACGUGGUCCAUCUUUCUCAGCAAAAACUUCUCUGACAUUUGCUAAGAAGCAGCUGCCUUUAAAUUGCCAACGAAAGCUAUCAUAUACUACCCUUGCAACAGUCGUCUUACCUAUGCCACCCAUUCCACAAAUCCCUAUGAAGAUUGCUUCGCCAACAUCUUCACCUAUAAAACCAUUUAAUAUCUCUAGACGAGAAUCUAUUCCCACUAAUUUUUUGCUAACUGGCAUAGUGAUGCUUAGUUUGUAGGAUAUGUAUUCAACAAUUAUAUUAAUUGAUUCCGAUUCUUUCCUGCAUAGGAGGGGGCAAAACAUUAAUCAUGUUGUGUGCAAAUCAAAUCAGAUAGUGAUAAUGGGAAAAUAAAUAUGUAGCUAGAAAAUGUAUGGCUGUUAGCCAGAAAUUAAUACAUCAAUCUUUGAGAAAGAUAGGGCUCUGACAAUAGAUAGCUUCAACAACAAAGAGAAAAGGAAAGAAUAAACUGAAAAAGAAACUAAGAUUGUAUUAAUGCUAAGAAUGGUCCGUACAAUAGUUAUCUUAUUGCCAAUAAAAUCACACAGUUACUAAAAAAGCAUGCAUACAAGAACAAAAACUCUCCAUUAAGUUUGGUUUUGACAGACCAAAAGGAAAAUGGAGUUCUAUCAUAUUUUUUGCUGACCACUAAGUUAUUUUUAUAAUUAUUUUUAACAAAAAUUUCAAUUAUCUUGCAUAGUAAACUUUUAAAAAACAACUUUAAAUUUAUUAAUUUUUGAGUUUUUUCCCAUAUGCUACCCAAAAAACAUUUCUUAGACUAACAUAGUUUAAGUGGAUGCCCAAAUCCAAUCCACGCACCUUGAGAUGCACAAAUAUCACAUAUGUUAAUAUUCUUCUUUUUUUUGCAAAUUAAUGGAUGAAAUAAUCGUAAUAAUAGAACUAAAGUUAACUAAAUAUAAAAAUUGAGAAGGAAUUGUGAUAGGAAUUGUGAUUCAAAGUGUUUUUUUGCUUAGAAAUGCAUCAAAAUAAUUUUUUUUUUUAAAAAAUUAUUUUUGAUAUCAGCACAUCAAAACGAUUUGAAAACAUUAAAAAAAACUAAUUUUAAAAAAAUUCAAAAUUUAAAAAAACACGGCAAACCACGUUCCCAAACGGACUCUACAACUCGUGAAACAAUGCUAGUUUGGAAAGUUUUAUUACCCACCUAUACUAGUUUGAAAUUGUUUUUACAUUAAUUUUAUAUUUUUUUAACAAAAAGGCACCUAUCAAAAUUUAAUUCCAAAUUAAAAAGAAAAACAUAAAAAUAAAAAUAUUCACAAUAUAUAUAUAUAUAUAUAUAUAUCUUUUAUUUAUAAAUAGUCAGAAUUUUUUUAUUAAUUCAUGAUGGAAAAUAUUUUUAUUUUAUUUUGAAAAGUUAAAACCAAUAUAUUCAAAAAAUUUAGUCAAAUGUUUAUUUCUUAUGAUGAAUAUGUUGUCAUUUCUUCACAAAUUUUAUUUUUUUAAGCUAACUUUUUAUUUGUUCAUGCUAGAUUUGUGUUUCAACUUUUUUAAAAAAAUUUCAUUUUUCUAUUCGAUAUUUUUUUUUUUCAAAAUAUAUAUAAAGAAAAACCAAAGAAAACAAAGGAAUUUUAUGUAAAUAUUAGAAUGCUUGAUCACAUAAGAUCAAUAUUUCAUAAGAAUUAAAUUCUAAAAAUCAUGCAUAUGAAAAAAUAUACAUUUACUACCAAGUGUUUCAUCAUCGAAUCCAUAAUUUUAUCAUUCAUUGAAUAUUAUUUACCAGUUUUUGAUUAACAAAACUCAAAGAACACUAAAGCAUUUGCUAAUUGAUUUGCGAUAAAGAAUAUAUAAUAAAUUGAAAAAUAAAUUUUCUAGUGUGAACAAAACAUUCAAAAAAGAUUAAAUAAAAAACAAACAAAAGGAUUUUCAUUGGUAAAUAAAUGAAAAAUUAGCAAGAAAUUUGAGAUUUUUUCUUUAAUUUUUUGUUCAAUAUGUAUUUCUUAAAAACUGUAACAAUUGAAAUUUGAGACGUGCUCCUCUUUUAUUUUAAAAGUCAAAAUUAAGGAAAAAUUAGUUAGAUCAUAGAGAAAAGAAUCGUUAAAUAGCUAUUUAAUGGAUAAAAAACAUAUACUAAUAAUUAUUUAUUCAAGAAUUAGUUUUGAAAUUCUUGUUGUAUUGUGAUUAUUUUGAUAUUUAAUCACACGUUUUAAUUGAAAAAUAUUUUAAAAAAAUAAAAGAAGCAAAGUUGAAACACUACAGGGUGAAUUUGAGAAUAAAAAGAUGUAGAUAGAUGAUUUACCUAUUCCGUAAGUCCCAGCCUGAUAGAUUGGCCACCGUAGAGAGACAAUCUUUCCAGUUCCGGACCCUCUCCAAAUUUUCCUUGAAAUUUUGUUCAUGCUCACCGAAGGCUUUCUCAUAUUUCCGUUUCCGCUCGGCUACCUCUGAGGGAUCCACAUCAUAAAAAACUGGCAGAACAGUUUGGCCCAUCUCUUUCAUGCACUGAACAAUCUUGACAAGUUCAUCCAAGCACCAUGGUGAAGAUGCGUAAUCUCUUGAAAAUAUAAUGACAGAAAACCUUGAUUCUUCGAUGGCCUUCCAGAGAGCAGGUUCUAUGGUCUUUCCUCUCUCGAGCUCCCUAUCAUCCAUGUACACAUCGAUGCCUCUCUGUGCCAGACUAGUAUAUAGAUGACUAGUAAAGUUGUUCCGGGUGUCUUUGCCUCUAAAACUAAGGAACACAUCAUACAUAUAUAGUGGAGGAGGAGAAGAUGAAGAUGAAGAUGAGGUUAUUCCUUGCACGCUGGUGGAAGCCAUGAAAAUCCCUAUAGCGAUAUAGUACCAAUCCUUCUAGCCUCAACUAGCUCGCUUGGUUCAGCAAUUGUUUUCCACGCUCCUGUGGUCAAACAUGAAACAGAAGGUAAGAUCAAGAAAGUCGGCAAUUAAAUCUACUAAUUAGCAAUUUCAAGCUGGAACAUGUAUAAUUCUACUUAGAAAUCAGAAAACACCAAAUUUCUACGAGUAUUUCACGAAUCUAGACCAAACAAACCGUGUGGUAAGUGUUGGCUAAAGAGGCACAAUAUCCAGCCAAGCCCAGUAUUUUUUCUUCUUCUGGUAUCUUAGUAACCAACUUCCAAAGCCCUUUUCUUUCUUUUUAUUCCAAUGACUUCGAAUUUUUUCCGGUUUCUUGAGGUCAAGAACUCGUACUGGUAAGUUUCCAAUGAUUUUCUUACGGAUCUUUUUCUUUACACUAUAAAGAAGAUGGAGUUUCGGUGGACAAAAAACAAAAAGAGAAAUGAAAGGGAUAUCGAACGCGCAUUGGCCACACCCAUCACAAUUGAGUGAUUCAUAAUUUUUAAUGAAUUAUCAAGUCCAUAUUAUUUAACAAAAUUUGUCUCUUUUCCAGCGCAUAAAGCUUUUGCAUUCCAAGAACUUUGCAUUAAUAUGUGCAUGCAAAAGUUCCAAGGUGAAUCACAAAAAUCGUUAAUUAUUGUCUACAUAAAAAUAGUUAAAAUGAAAAUAAUAAGAAUUUAUAGAAAUAUUUUUAAGAGCAGGGGUUGGGACACACACAUCACAGUUGAAAAGUAUUUUUUAAUGAAUUUUCAAACUAAUAACUACAAAACUCUUACAUUAAAUAUUAUAAAUUCCAAUUGAUUUUUUUUAAAAAAUAAACUUAGGCGCCACCACCCGAUGAACUGGAACUAAUUAACGAAAAACAAAAAAAAUAUUCAUAUUAAAUUGAGUUUAGAAUCUCCAACUUUAAUAUUUUUAUCACAAACACCCAACUUUAAUUCCUCUCCGAUCCCAAAUACCACUUCUUCUCCCAUUCCCAAUAUCUAAUCUCAAACCUUUUAACAACGGUGCUUGGAGAUAUUAUAGCAGCUAUUUUUUUAAAAUAUGUUUUUUUAAAUAUAUUAAAAUAAUUUUUUUAUUAAUUUUUUAAAAAAUAAUUUUGAUUUAAGUAUGUUAAAACAAUUUAAAAAUAUAAAAAAGUUAAUUUAAAAAAAUCAAAUUUCCAAACGGUCUGAAACUGCUUUUCCAAUCCAACUUUUUGGGAUAUUAAUUCAAUCUCUUUAAGCACUCUGCUACACAAAUCAUUAGGAUUAUUCUUGAGGUACCAACACUAUUUUUAUAGAAAGGCCUUAUUGAAAUAAUCAAAUUCUUUAAAACUUAUGUCGUCGUAAGCUUUUAUUUUAACGGAUAUUUCCAACUUCUCCGGUGCACCUUCCAAUUUUCCAUAGAUUUAUAAGUUUCCGAUUAAAAACUGGUAAGGAAUAAGAUACACAAUUUGCCGCCGCCAUAGCUUUCAAUAACACUUCCCUUGGUGAUGCCAUUUUUUGCUUUCAAGAUUGUAGUUUUUCUCCAUUUCUAUCAAUACAAAAACCUCAAUUCUUGAUCGCCCUCACCUUGUCAGAAACCUUAACCAAUGAACUAGCCCCUCUGUCAUCGUUGCAACAACUCCACUCCUUCACUCCAACCCAAAUAGCCACAUCAAACCACCACAACAUCCACCACCCACACCAGCAGCCCCAACAGCCACUCUACAAUCACCUCUUUCCCUCUCGUCAACAAUUCAAUAAUUAUAGCUUUGUUGUUAGUAGGUCUUUUCUUUUUAUUGCUCCCCCAAAAAUUGGUCCUUCAAUAAAUUUUUUUUAUUUUCAUCAUUGAGCCUUUAAUAAAAGUUUUAUUUCUUUUUAAUUUAGUCCUUCAAUUCUAAUUUAUAAUACAUUAUACUUUUUAAUUUGGUCCUCAAUUUAUAUUUUUGUUUCCUUUUGCCCUUUUGUAUACGUGUUAUUUCUUUUCAAUUUAACCUUUCAAUUUUGAAUUUUCACAUAUUCUUUUUUUUAUUUGAUCUAUAUUCUUUGGAUUUUUUUUUCCUUAAUCUUUUAUAAAGUUUUAUUGGCUUUUAAUCUCACCAUUCAUCCAGUUUAUGGUGGAUUAUUUUUUUCAAUUUUAUCUUCAUUAUUUUUUAUUUUUGUUUUUGUUCAAGUUUUUUUCUUUUCAGUUAACCUUCAAUUGAAAAUUUUAGUUAUACUCUAAUUUAUUUUAUAUUUUGAUUUUUUCCUUAUUUUUUUAUUAUUUUUUUUAAAUUUUAAUAUAUUAGUGUUGUAUAACAAAUUGAAUCCAACCUCUAGGAUAAUGUAGCCACCAUAGCUCGAACACCAAAUGCAACUCAUAAAAAUGGUUCUCCGUCCAAUAAUGAAAAUUCUUAACGCCGCUAAUCAUUAAUGAAUCCCAGCCAUCAUCUCCCGAGACUUUCUACCCGUAAUGAAGAUAGCAUAGACGAAGACUCCAAGAGAUAAUCCAAUAUUUCUUCUGCUGAAGCACCAUUAAUUGCCUGCCUCAACUGUAAUGUGGUUGAUGUUAAUCUCCGAGGCCGACGGCCCAAAUACUCACAAAGGAGGAAGAGAACAACCAUCAGCGACAUCACCCUCUCGCGACCUUUAUUUUCAUUGGCUCAAAGUAUAAAUUUUGAUGGAUUAGCACAAACACAUCAAGCAGUUGGUUGGAAAGGAUUGUCAAGGUGUAAUCAUGAAUACGUUUCUCUCACAUUGGUGGAUGCCGUUGCAAGAGCCAAUAUAUAUAUGAUAGUUGGAAGUAUCUCCUAUAAUUAAAAAAAAAUUGAAUUUUAAAUAUGCACCUCGAGUUAGUUAUGCAAAGCCACGUCGUCCUUGUGUAUUAUUUUUUAUGAAAGUUACUUUAUAUAUAUAUUUAAUUCUAAUUUUUUUAUUGCUGUUAAUUAUACUAUAUUUUUUAAAAAUUUCUUUUGAUUAAAAAAAAAUAUAUUUUAACGUUGGUUCCCAAAAAUUGAACACACGUUGAUUUUAUUGUUUAAAUUUAAUAUCAAUUCUAAAAAAUAUAUGAUAAUAAAUAUGCAUAAAAGAGACUUUCAUAACCAUGAGCUUAUUCUUCAUUCAACUAAAUCCUUUACCACAGUUUUUAGUGGAGCUAUGUUUUUUUUUUUUCCAUCAUCCCUGUAUGGCUAUAUGACAAGUUGGUUAAUCUAUUAUAUAUAUAUUAUAAUUAAUGACAAGCCCAAGCAUUUAUUCCUUAACAAACAUAUAAUCAACAUAAAUCUAUGCAUUCAACCAUCAUAAUAUCAAUAAUCCACCUUCACAUAUACCAAUUCUACUCUUCCAAGAAAAACAUGAAAAGCAACAUGAUGGAUCAUCAUGGAAAGUUUUCUUACACUUAGAAAAUAUGAAGAAUCAAAAGCCAAAACAAAUUGAGUCAAGUUCUCCUCCACCCCUCCCUCUUUUCUUUUCUUGUUGACAGUAAUCGAGAGAAUUAUAUAUAAGGCAACCCCAUUGAGUAGGUGGAGCUAAAAGAAAGAUAGAAUACAAGGGGAACUUGUAAAAAAAAGAACUAAGCAACGAUGGACCUAAUUAGUUAAUUCAGUUCAUUAUAAUUUAGGAUUUCUAAAACGAUCUGGUCUGUAGUUGAAAUUUUUAACUGAAGACUUCAACUAAAAGCUAAACGGUAAAAGGUGAGAUAAAAUUCACAUCCCAAUCUGGAGCCUUAGACUUGAGAAUUAGAUGGUUGCGUGCUAUCCAGAUUGACCAGUAUAGACCUUUACAAAGAAGGGUAAUGGCACGACGUUGAAAAUUUCCAUGAUCAAGCCGACCAUUCAACCUGAACGACCGAGCCAGUUCAAGAAUCUACCCUAGAGAAACCAUGUUAUAGGACACAUAUGGAAAAGAUGAUUUAUUGUCUCAAUUUCCUUGCAGUAGAAAGGGCAAAGAGCUUCCUUAUUAAUGUCCUCCUCUCAGCUAUAAAACAUUUGUACUAAGGCUGCCAUUUAGAAGGAGCCAUAUGCCCACAUCCACUUUUGGAGGGGCAUACCCUUUCCAAAGCAGAACAGGGAGGGUGAUUUUCUGUAGCCGAGAGACUAUCAAAGAAGAGGCAUCUUGAGUGAACUGAGUAGAGUCAGAGGUGUGGAAUUUCCAUAUCUUGCGGUCUUCACCAUCAGAGAAGACGAGACCAUGUUGCACCUCUACAAUCAAGCUCUCCGUAUGUAGAUCUCACAGGGUCGAAGGGGUCUUCUCCAAGUCAGGUUGAGCAAAGUAUCUAUCGAAUUAUAUAUAUCUGCAAGGCUGGUUGUUUGCUGCAGGGAGAGGUUAUAAAGUCUGGGGAAUAAGAGCUAGAGAGUGGUUGCAGAGCCUAGCCAACAGUCAGUCUAAAACUGGUGCUCCUCCUGUCACUCACCUUGAACCCGACAUUGGGAUGUAGAGGAGUGGCUAUGCUUUGAUUCGAGGAGAUUGACAAAACCAUGUCAUGCUAAGUUGGAGAUAAAGAACCUGCAAACACAAAAAAGCAUUUGUAAAUGAGGCUGGUAUUUUUGAAGUAUGUAGUCUUGCCAAAUUUUGUUGUGGAGGGAUCCCAUCUGAGACCGCUAUAGGAUUUACUCUUGAUUACCUCGUGCCAAGCCACCUUAAAAAUGCCACGAGGGUUUGAGGUUCCCUUCCAAAGAAUGAGUGGAUUAUAGAGAAGAUGACUUUAGUAAUUCCCUUUGGUAUAGCAAAACCAGGCACGUAGUACAAAGAAGCGAGCUCAAGACUGAUUUAAUUAGACAUAUCCUCCCAGCCAUACUCAGAAAUUUUGUUUCCAAGUGCUUAGCUUUGCUUUGAUUAUGGACAACACUAGUUUCCAAGUUGAGAGUCUGCUGGGAUUGGCUCCAAGAGGUCCAGGUAUCUGACCAGGAAAGUAUCGCUAUGACAUAAAACCAAGGUUGUCAAUUCUGUUCCGGUAAGUGUUUUAUUUUUUCAAUUAGAAUGGAAUGUUUCAGUUGUUGUAACCCAUUUUUAGGUCCCCACAUAAAAAAUAAUAAAAUACAAAAAAUCAAAAAAAUAUAUUAUAAAAAAAUAUAACAGUGAAAAAAUGUCAGAGCGCCCUAAAAAUGCUCAAAAAUUGAUUGAGGAUGUUCAAAAAUAUAAAAAUUAAUUUUUGACAGUAUAUCAUUGACUGAUGAGAGCCCCGAUGACAAAGAAAAAUCAAUUUGAGGAAGAAAAUACAAAAUUAGAGUUUAUGGACUCAUUAAAUUUUAUUGAAGGUUUAAUUGAAUUUAUAGAGGUUUUAAUUGCAAAAAAAUUGAUUUUAGAGUUAAUUUGGGCUUUAAUUAGAAGAAAUUAAUUUUCUGGGGUCAAAUUAUAAUUUUUGGAACUAAAAUUGGUCAAAUCAGGGGCUUAAUUGCAUAAAUAUUGAAGUUUAAUGGCCAAUUAGGGACUUAAUUGAAGAAAUCCGAGACCAAGGACUAAAAUGCAAAACGCGCGCAAAUUGAGGGACUUCUUUGAAUCUGAUGCGUUUUGGCGCCUUUUCCUUUUAAAUGAAACGGCGCGUUUUGACCAAAACGGCGUCGUUUCAUCCACUGUUGCAAAAAAAAAAAGAAAAGAAGCCCAAAACGGUGCCGUUUUGAAGGCACUGUAGGUCUUCUUCUUCCCCUGGACGCGCGAGGCAGGGGAAGAAGAAGAUUUUUCUUCUCCCUUUUCGCCUACUUUCUUUCCCCUUUUUUGCGCAAAAAGACGCCCACCAUUGCCUAACGUUUAUCCUUUGAAACGGUAGUGGAGGGGGCGGCCAACAGUGGCCGCCCCACCAUGACGUCUCCCUUGUUUUUUGCCUAUAAAAACAGGGAAGAACCAAAGAAGGAGAAGAAGAACAGAAGGGAGAAGAGAGAGGGGAGAGAAGGAGAGGACCGAGAGAGAGAGCAGAAGAAGAAAAGAAAGAGGUUCUCACCUCUGCACCGAAGAAGAAAAACAAGGGAGAGGCUGCCACUGCCAUCGCCAGCACCGUCUCCGCCUCCGCUGCCACCAGCAGUCACCGGCGUCGCCGCCUCUCCAGGUAAACACUGCCCCCUUUUAUUUUUAUUUUUGUUUCUUCCCUCGCCAUGCAGGACGUGCACGGUGCACGCCUGCAGGCGAGGUGAAGCUGCUAAGGUGGGCUGGGCCCGAGCCCAGCCCAUGCAUUUGGGCCAGGUUUGGCCCAGCCCACUGAAAUGGGCCGGGUCCGGCCCAUUUCAAUCCAUUUCAAAUUUUUUUUUUUAAUAUAGAAUUUUUACAAUUUUUCCAGCACAUGUUUUUAUCAAUUUUGCUUAAUAUCGGUCUGUAUUUUACAUCGUAAAAAUAUAAAUUCGGUAUUAAAAUACCCGGUUUUCGUCCCGCGGUACUAUCUUUAUCCAAAAAAUUAAAUUUUAACAGCCCAUAAACUUUCACAACAUGGUCAGCUAGGUGAUCGACGAUGACAUUCAUGGCUUUCCUUGUCAUAUAUACUAUGUUGUACUCAGCUAGUAGAACUUGCCAUUUUUCAAUUCAACUCGAUAGAUAGGGGUGGAUUCAGUAGGUAUUGCUUGAUUUUCGUGAAAGCUUCUUCACAUUCUUAUUCCAAAUUCCAAGAUUCUUCUUCCUUAACAAUUAAAGAUGAGGUCAUAAGUCGUGGUUAAUUGGGAUAUAAAUUGAGCAAUGUAAUUCAACCUUCCCAAGAACCUCCUUACAUCCUUCUUAGGCAUAGGUUGAAUAACCUUUACUUAAUCAGGGUCCACUUCUAUCCCUUUGUCACUCAUCAUAAAUUCCAACAACUUCCUAGAUUUCACCCCGAAUGAACACCUUGCAUGGUUAAACCUCAACUUGUACUUUCUUAGUCUUUCAACUAAUUCCUUCAAUAUUUGGACAUGAUUCUCUCCUUCUCUAGGUCAUGUCAUCCAUGUAUACUUUAAUCUCUUUAUGCAUCAUGUCGUGAAAUAGAGUCAACAUAGCCCUUUGGUAGGUGCCCCCAACGUUCUUUAACCCAAACGGCAUGACCUUGUAGCGGGUUUCCAAGCUUGUUCAUGUUGUUCGUUUUUGUGAAUCCCCUAAUGUUAUUUUCCUACCAUUCUUCCUCUUCUACAACUAAUAUGGAUUCUUUAAAGUCCAGCCAUUCAUUCUUAGUGUAAAGUGCAGGUGUAGUUAUGGAAGAUUCGUUUUGAAAAGAAAAAUGAUGUGUAAAAACACCAAGAUGAACUUUUGAAAAGGCAUUUGGAACCUCAAUUUUAAAAGUUGAAAAAGGAAAACAACACAAUAUCAUGAUCAAAUAAGCAUUGUUGAUUAAAUUUUGAACACCAAUGGAGCUUCUUGGGUCUCCCAAUUCUAGAACAUCUCUCCCUUGGCUAGCUUUUGAAUAAAGGUCUUGAGAUUCAAGAUGCUUUGAGCUUAGGCUUGUUUGGAUGCAGAUGCAUACAUCCUAAGGAUAGGCUCUAGUUCCUUUAUUGAGACAUUGGGUAGGUUUACUACUGGGUCUCUAAAAGAAGGUCUAGCAGAUAGUGGGAUGGUACGUGUACCAAUCACAAUCAGUCUAAACACUCAGCAAAGAGUUGGGGUUUACACAAACUUAAACCUUGACUCAAGUCAUAAGGCAAGCUGCUAGUCCUCCACUUAAUCUUAAAGUUACAUGUGUGUGCCCUCCAAAAUAAUAAUAAUAAAGUGAUGCAUGACUAUGCCAUGUAUGAUAGAAUGUAAAAUGUAUGCUAAAGCUUUUAAACAAAGAAAACCAUUCAUAGUAAAAAAAGAAAAACAACAACACAUAGCAUAAUAAAAAAAAAUUACCAAGCUUAGUCCUAGGGUCCCCAGUGGAGUCGCCAUUCUAUCGCACCCCAUAAAAAUUCCUGGCGCGCGGCAUCGGCUGGCGAUUUUUCUAGUAUGUUGCGUUUGCUUUGAAUUCGUUCGUUGGAGUCGCCACCUAGUAUUUUGGUCACUAGGAACCCUAACUGGUCUUUCAGAGAUUCUAAGGUAAGAGACUGGUUGCGUAAAGGGAAGGUAUUAGCACCCCUACCCUAAGGUAAGCUGCUUGGUGUUUGGUUUGCUCUAUAAUUGCUAUGGUAUUGGUGUUUUCUAAUCCCAUCAAUUUUCCUAGGUUUGAUUCAAAUAAAAUUUAUUUGGAUAGAAAUCCAAGGAGAUUCCAUGUGCUUUGAAAGCUCAUUUUUCCCUUAGUAUUUCAAGAGUUUGAGACUCGUAAAUCGCAAGAAGGAGGGACAAAAAAUUUAGAAAUCUAAGGAAAUUCAAAGCGCUUUUAAAAGCCUCCUUUCGCCUUAGUAUUUCAUACUUUCAUGGCUCGUAAACCGUGGAGUAAAAAAAUUUAAAGUUUUGAAAUGUCCUCGAUUAUAAUCAAGGCUUCUUUCAAGGAUGUGUGCGGAUUUACUACUCCCAAUAAUAUUUUGGAUAUUCGUCCUUUAAGGAUUUCUUUAUCCAAACAUUAGCGAUGAAUAAUAGAUGAAUUCCCCCCCCCAUAAAAGAUUUUUAUAGUUUUUGGAAUAUUGGCCAAUACCCUUUGGAGUUCUACAAACAUGUUGUAAAAUCCAGAAAUGAAAGAAAACAAUUUUUGUGGUGUUUAAGAAAUCCAUGCGAAAACACAUUUUCAAAACUUCCAAUAUUUUUUGUAUAUAUAAAAAAAACAUUUAAAACAUGUUAGGGUAUUGGCCGUAUGCAUGAAAACAAAACAUUUUUUUUUUUAAUAAACAUUUUUUUUGUUGACGAAAACCAGGUAUUUUAAAUGCUAGAUUUCUAAUUUUACCAAAAAGUACACAUGCCUUACCCGGUUACUGUUCAAGUGAAUUAAAUUUCUUAAAUGCAAGAAUGCAUGCAAAAGCUGGGAAUAAAAGGCUUACCUGUUAGACAACGGCUGGAGGCGAAAUGGAGGGAGAAGACUGAACGCUGCUCACGAAGAAACGCCCCUGCUCGCUGGCUGAAAGAUGAUUGUCUCAAUGGUGGCCCUUCAGUGUUGCUACUACCAGUGCCACUUCUGCAGGGAAGAGAAGGAUGUUGCUGAAGGAGUAACCUAUGGCUGAAGAAAAAAAAUUUCUCUGCUGCUGCUGGCCUGCGUGCUCAAAGUGGCUGAGGGGUAGAAGAAAACAACGGGAAAAGGCUGGAAUCGGGGAGAAAGGAGUCUUGGAGCUGUGGUCGGGUGUCUGUGACGGUGGUUAGUGGUGGAGUUGGAGGAAGAUGGCGUCGGUUUCCUGUUGCAGAGGAAGAAAGAAAAAGAAGAAAAAUCUGCAGAAAUUGGGCGAAAAUGCUGGUUUUUGGCUGACUUUGGACCCGAAUUUAUUCUCCCUCAGAUCAUCAAAUCCGACUCUAUUUAUAGGCUGUGGAAGAGGGAAAUCUUGUCUACGUUGGGGAAAAAUUUCAGCCCUUGAUUCAGUUGGGAAGCAUCUCAACCGUUGGCUCAAAGUGUGCACCUCGAGCUGCCAAAUUUGGCAGCUCAAGGCUGUGAACUGCCCGAGGUGGCCACUUUGAGCCACUCAACGGAGCCGUUUCUAACUUUUCCGACCCGACCGGACCAUUCUCCGGGAUAAAGGGGUUUCAUUUGGACAUGUUGGUGCAAGUUUUGUCGGAUUUGGAGACCACACGAGCCGGAAAACGCGCCUGGAAAGCAGCCACUCAGGCAGCUUUUUGAGGAAGAAAGUGAACAGUAAAUUAAGGCACCUUUUCCAAAUUGGUCCCUGGUUUCGGAUUUUCUCAAUUAAGUCCCUAAUUGGCCCUUAAACUUCAAUAUUUAUGCAAUUAAGCCCCUGAUUUGACUUAAUAAAAUCCUAAAAAAAAUAUUUUGGCCCCAGAACUUAAAUUUCUUCUAAUUAAAUCCCAAAUUGACUUAAAAAUCAAUUUUCCUUGCAAUCAAAUCCUCUAUAAAUCCAAUUAAAAAUCCAAUUAAGUCCAUAAACAUCCAAAUUUGGGCUUUUCUCCUCAAAAUAUAAAUUUUCCUUCUAAACAGGGCCCUCAUCCUUCAAGAAUAUACUGUCAAAAAUGCAAUCUUUAUAUCUUUAUACUCCUUGACCAAAAUUCUGACCAUUUUCUAAGUGCUUUUGCCUUCCGUUAUUUUUCUAACCUCCUUUGGCUAUUUAUUUUAUUUUUAUUUUUGUGGGGACCCGAAAAUGGGUUACAACAGAUAGAAUAGCCAAAUAUGAUCUGACAGAACUUGGAUAGAGUUACAACUAAUACACAUCGGCGAAGGAUAAUUCUCUCUUCCAUUAACUUUGAAAUGACAAAAAAUUAAGAGAAGGACUUUCACCAUUUGCACUGAAUGCAACACCCGUAACAAACCCCAUGCUACAACUAGGCACUUGCACACUAAUUGAAGAUCCCUUACUUUGAUGGUUAAACCAGCUUGGAAUUUCAUUUCCUGGAACAACGAUACCAAAUCCAGGUCUUGGAUUAGACAAACCCUGUACCAUGAAAAACCAAAAUGUUAGAUAGAUAGAGGGAGUGGGAGAGAGAUACAAAAAGGUUGGGGUAUGAUUAAGAGAAGACCUUGAGGUAUCUUUCAAGCAUCGUCAAUCCCAUGCUGUCUUGGCCAUUAUGAUUGUACAAUUCCCAGCAGUUAAGACAUAUGAACUCUGAUCUUUUGGAACUGCUUAGCUUUAUCAGAUCUGGAAUGCAACUCCGGGCUCGACUUGGCAUUGAAUGGCUGAAAGCAAUUCUAGUGUCUGCGACUCUGAUGCCAGAGAAAAAAUUAGCCAUCCAUUGAUGGUAAGAUGAAAAAGCUAAAGAAUCUUUAUAUGAAGAAGCUGCUGCUUUGCUUGUAACAAUAAAAUGGGCAGAUGAUUGUGAUGUAAUAUAUAGAGAAGAUAACAAACAGACACCACAAUUCUUCACCUUUACUCUUCGCUCGUAAGAAUGAAAUGACAACUCAAUGUUGCUGAAGGAUCCAAGCUGCCAUUCUUUAAGCUCUUUAAGGUAAUCAAAAGAUAGAUAGAAUAGCCAAAUAUGAUAUGACAGAACUUGGAUAGAGUUACAACUAAUACACAUCUGCAAAGGAUAAUUCUCUCUUCCAUUGGCUUUGAAAUGACAAAAAAUUAAGAGAAGGACUUUCACCAUUUGCACUGAAUGCAACACACGCAACAAACCCCAUGCUCCAACUAGGCACUUGCACACUAAUUGAAGAUCCCUUACUUUGAUGGUUAAACCAGCCUGGAAUUUCAUUUCCUGGAACAACGAUACCAAAUCCAGGUCUUGGAUUAGAAAAACCCUGUACCAUGAAAAACCAAAAUGUUAGAUAGAUAGCGGGAGAGGGAGAUGUCAAGAUAUCAAAUGCUCUGCCUCAGCCACCUCAGCUUCAGCCACUCUACUUUAGCCACCUGUCAAAGAGAAUAGAGAAUAUAAUGGUUAGCAAGUUUGUUAAUAUGGUUAGGCAGUUAAUGAAUUCUGUUACAGUUGAGUAGAAAACGUAACCAAGCUUCUCAUCUUCUGUUGAUAUAUAAAAUGAAUGUAACAGUGCUGGGAAUGUAUCAAGUGAAUAAAACAUAUAUACAUUUUCUUCUUCUUCCUCUGCAUUACAACAAUAUCUUUCUCUACUUCUAUUUUGCUUCUUGUUCAUCUCUGUAACAAUUCUUGCUAGUCUUUCAUGGUAUUAGAGCUUAGGAUUGUUAGUAUCUUGUGAUUUUGUGAUUUCUCUGCUUCUAAUCUCUGUUUUUGGCGUUAUUAUCACCAUAUUCAAUAAAAAAAAACCGAUAAUAAUGAUAUGCCUAUCAUCUGUUUGAUAUAUUGUCAAACUGAAAGACUUCUCGUCAAACACUCUUCUCAAACCUGUGAUUCUCUUCCUCUUCUGUCACUUGAACUUCGAAAAUGGUAACAACUUCUCAACUACAGAUUCUCCAAUCUCCCAUUACCUCUUUACUUCGUACAGUUUCAACAGCAGUAAUCAUUAAAUUGGAUGACACAAAUUACCUCAUCUGGAACUUUCAAAUGCAAAUUCUACUGGAGAGUCAUGGUAUUUUAGGAUUUGUUAAUGGAUCAAGAAAGUAUCCACAUCGGUUUGAUGCAGCUUCUGAUAUUGAAGGUGCUGAAACUAAUGAUCAUAAAAUUUGGAAAAUGCAUGACCGGACAUUAAUGCAAUUGAUUAUUGCUACCCUCUCUUCAACUGCAAUCUCCUAAGUUAUUGGAUGUGUUAUCUCUCAUGACAUGUGGAUUCAACUGAAGGAUAGAUUUUCCACAAUUACCAAGGCACGGAUUUUUCAGAUGAAAAGUGAGCUUCAAACCAUCAAGAAGGGCUCCGAUACUGUGACUCAAUAUUUGCAGAAAAUCAAAGAUGCUCGGGAUCAUCUUUCUAUAGCAUGGGUUUAUUUUGAAGAUGAUGACAUUGUCAUCUUGGCUCUCAAUGGUCUUCCUUCUGAUUAUAACACCUUCGGUGUAUGGUUCGCGACCGAGACAAUGUGUUAUCUCUUAUAGAUUUUCGGUCUCAAUUGUUGGCUGAAGAAGCUACUAUUGAGCAAACUUAUUCUACUGCUUCGUUUGUUCCUGCAAUGAUGGCUUAACAUCAAGUAUCUCCUGGCAAAGCUCUUGCUCUUGAUGAAGGUAACUCUCAUUCUCAUCCUUCUAGCUCUAAGUCUGCUCCACCUCCUGGUUUCCAUGGAGGAUUUAAUGGUCAUAACAGUGGAUUUCAUGGUUCCAAUGGUGGAUACUUUGGCAAUCGGGGGUCUCACUUUAAGGGACGUGGCAGAGGACGUCAUUAGUAUCAGUUCAGUCCACGUCCUUAUCAGGUUCCACCUACGUCUCACCCUGGUAUUCUUGGUCCUGGCAUUGACAUUCCUAUAUGUCAAAUUUGCACUAAGAAAGGUCAUGUAGCUGCUGAUUGUUAUCAGCAUCACACUCUACCUUCUAAUUUUGCCUCUUCCAUUCAAUGUCAAAUCUGUUGGAAAUUUGGGCACAUUGUUGUUCAGUGUUACCAUCGAGGUAAUUUCAGCUAUCAAGGUCAGCCUCCCUCCAGUAAUCUUAGUGCUAUGCAUGCUGCGUUUCCACCUCCUUCUCCUCUGGAACAAUUUUGGGUGGCUGAUACUGGCGCCACAACACAUAUGACCUUUGAUUUGGCUCAACUUAAUCUGGCUGCACCUUUCUCAGGAGCUGAUACUGUUACCAUUGCAGGAGGUUCAGGUUUGACCAUUUCUAAUAUUGGUUCUUCUAUUCUGGAUGUCCCUCAUUGCUCCUUACAAUUAAAGCAAGUUUUGCAUGUGCCAAAACUCUCUCAACACUUGUUAUUGAUUCAUAAGUUGUGCAAAGAUAACACUACCAUUUUAUUUGUGAUGCUUUUGGUUUUUGGAUUCAGGACAAAAUCACGGGAAAUGUCCUCCUCAAGGGACUGUGUAGAGCUGGGUUAUAUCCUAUUCCUUUCUCUUUUUCGUUUCCUUCAUAAUCUCUCUUUCCAAAUAAUCCGGUUUGUUAUCUUGGUAAACAGGUCAACACAAGUCUUUGGCACAAGCGUUUUGGUCAUCCUUCUAACAUAGUCACCUCUACUCUGUUAAAACAAUCCCAGAUUUCUUUCACCUCAGACACAUCCAAAUUUGUUUGUACCACUUGUUUAGAAGGUAAACUUGCCAAACUUCCUUUUCUUUAUCCGGCAGUUAAAUUUGUUAAACCUUUAGAAGUCAUUCAUAGUGAUGUUUGGGGGCCUUCUCCCACUGUAUCUGUUGAAGGUUUCAGAUAUUAUAUUAGCUUCAUUGAUGAAUGUACUCAAUUUACUUAGAUUUUUCCAAUGAUUAAUAAAGGAGAGGUUUAUUCCAUUUUUUGUUUACUUUCAUACCUUCUUAGUUACUCAAUUUCUACUACUCUUCGAGUCUUUCAGAGUGAUGGGGAUGGUGAGUAUCUUAGUAAUAAAUUCAAACAUUACCUCCUUACCAAGGGUAUUAUCCAUCAAAUGUCUUGUCCCUAUACUCCGGAACAAAAUGGCCUUGCUGAGCAUAAACAUUGGCAUAUUUUAGAAACAACCAUCACUCUAUUACAAACUGCCCAUUUACCUCUGAAAUUUUGGUUUCAUGCUUGUGCUACUUCCAUUUAUUUGAUUAAUAGAAUGCCCUGUCAAAUUCUUCAACACAAAUCACCAUAUUUCCUGCUAUAUGGUUUUCCACCCGUUGUUAAUCAUCUGUGAAUUUUUGGUUGUGCUUGUUUUCCUUUACUCAAGCCUUAUAAUUCUAACAAGCUUCAGCCCAAGACUUCCACUUGUAUUUUUCUAGGGUAUGCAGGUCAGUGUAAGGGGUAUAUUUGUUUUUCUAUUCGCACCAAUCGUUUCUUUGUCACUAGACAUGUUCUAUUUGAUGAAUCCAUGUUUCUUUACUCUCAUGUGCUUCAUGUAUCCCCUUCCACUUCCUCGUCCCCUUGUCUACAUCCCAUUGUGUUCCCUCUUAUUUCUCCUCCUCCUCCAGUGGCUGCAUCUCAGACUCCACUAUCUUCCAGUUCCUCUUCUCAGUCUGCUCUAUCUCCUAGUUCCUCCACACAGCCUACACUGUCUCCGCCUCUGCCCACUCUAUCACCUACACAGUCUCCUCUCCUUGUUGAUCCUGACUUCCAGCCUGAGAAUCUAUGUGUGGUCUUACCUCUUUCCCCGCUAAAUCUUCAUCCCAUGACCACCAGGUCUAAGAAUGGUAUCUCCAAAAGAUGGGCUUACUCUGCCUCUGUCUAGUUUGUUGCUUCUUUUCAGGUUGAACCCCAUUCCUUCAAGGUUGCUUCCACCAUUCCUGAAUGGCAGUCUGCUAUGUGGGAGGAGCUUGAUGCUCUUCAUGCCCAAGGUACUUGGGACUUGGUGCCUCUCCCACCUGCCAAAAAUCUUGUUGGCUAUAAAUGGGUCUACAGAAUAAAAAAGAAUACGGAUGGUUCUAUCGCUAGGCAUAAAGCUCGGUUGGUGGCCAAGGGUUUCAGUCAAGAGGAAGGUAUUGACUAUAAUGAAACCUUUAGUCCUGUCAUGAAACCUACUACAGUUCGUUUGGUCCUUGCUCUUGCUGCUCAGUUUAACUAGUCUUUACGGCAGCUUGACGUUACCAAUGCCUUUUUGCAUGGUCUUCUGAAUGAGGAGGUUUAUAUGGCUCAGCCCCAAGGUUUUGUGAGUAAGAUUCAUCCUUCUGACUUUGUUUGCAGACUCAAGAAGUCGUUAUAUGGCCUUAAACAGGCUCCUCAUGCCUGGAAUGAACGCUUUACCAGUUUUUUUUACCAAGUUUGGGAUUUCAAGCAUCUUCUUCUGAUCCAUCUUUGUUUGUUCAACAUUCUUCUCUUAGUGUUGUGAUUUUGCUACUCUAUGUUGAUGAUAUCAUACUUACUGGUAGUCAUGCUUCUCUUCUUUCUUCAGUCAUUGCUGCCUUGAGUUAAGAAUUUGAUAUGAAGGAUCUCGGUAGGUUGCAUUAUUUUUUGGGAUUGUAGAUCUCUUAUCUCCCUUCCGGUUUGUUUGUGUCCCAGACAGGUUACAUCACUGACUUACUUGGUAGAGUUGAUUUAUAGCUUUCCAAAUCUUGUGAUACUCCUUGUCUUCCUCAUCAUCAUUUGCUCAAGGAUGAUGGACAACUCUACUCUCAUCCUCAACAGUAUCGAAGCAUCAUUGGCGCCUUGCAGUAUCUAAUGUUCACAAGGCCUGAUAUUGCCUUCUCUGUGAACCAGGCUUGCCAAUUUAUGCAUAAUCCCAUGCAUUCUCAUGUUGUUGCUGUGAAACGGAUCUUGCGGUAUCUUAAAGGUACCCUUGAUGUUGGUCUUCAUUUUCAUGCUGGUCCUCUUUAUCUACAAGCUUAUAGUGAUGCUGACUGGGCCGGUGAUCCCAAUGAUCAACGUUCUGUCUUUGGCUCUAUUGUCUUCCUCAGCUCCAAUCCUAUUUCUUGGGCUUCUAAGAAACAACAUACUGUUUCUCGUUCCUAUACUUAGGUUGAGUAUCGCGCUCUUGUGAUUGCUACUGCUGAACUUGCCUGGAUUCACCAACUUCUCUAUGACGUUCACAUUCCUUUACAUAUCCCUCCGAUCAUUCAUUGUGAUAAUAUCUCAGUUAUUUCCCUUGCUUCCAAUCCUGUUUUCCAUUCCAGAAUGAAGCAUCUUAAAUUGAUUAUCAUUUUGUUCGCGAACGUGUUAUCAAAGGUGAUUUAUUGGUUCAACAUGUCUCUUCUGCUGAUCAAUUUGCUGAUAUUCUCACUAAAGGCCUUUCCACUCCUUUAUUUCGGCGUCACUGUUUCAAUAUUAUGCUUGGUUCCUCCAAGCAUAUGAUUGCGGGGGAAUGUCAAGAUAUCAAAUGCUCUGCCUCAGCCACCUCAGCUUCAGCCACUCUACUUCAGCCACCUGUCAAAGAGAAUAGAGAAUAUAAUGGUUAACAAGUUAGUUAAUAUGGUUAGGCAGCUAAUGAAUUCUAUUACAGUUGAGUAGAAAACAUAACCAAGCUUCUCAUCUUCUAUUGAUAUAUAAAAUGAAUGUAACAGUGCUGGGAAUGUUCAAGUGAAUAAAACAUAUAGACAUUUUCUUCUUCUUCCUUUGCAUUACAGCAGCAUCUUUCUCUACUUCUAUUCUGCUUCUUGUUCAUCUCGUAACAAUUCUUGCUAGUCUUUCAGGAGAGAGAUACAAAAAGGUUGGGGUAUGAUUAAGAGAAGACCUUGAGGUAUCUUUCAAGCAUAGUCAACCCUAUGUUAUCUUGCCCAUUAUGCUCAUACAAUUCCCAACAGUUAAGACAUAUGAACUCUGGGAUUUUGGAACUGCUUAGCUUUAUCAGAUAUGGAAUUUCUUUUAGGCUUAUACAACCAUUCAAAUUUAUUGUUUGAACUUUUGAUGGAACCUCAGGCAAUGAUUCAAGCAUCGUGCAUGUCGCACGUGUGCGGCGUCGCGGCAAUCGUCCACCCUCAAGGAAAAAUAUAAUGGAAUUUAUUCCUGGAAAAUGUGUAGAGACGAGGAAUUCUUGUCUCUUAUCAGUAAAAUAUAGACUGGGAGUCGCCACCUAGUAUUCUGGUUACUAGGAACCCUAAUUGGUCUCAGAGAUCGGGUAUGGAGACUGGUUGCGUAAAGGGAAGAUAUUAGCGCCCCAACUACACCCUACCUAAGGUAAGCUACAUUGUUUUGUCUGAUAAAAUCUAAAGUCAUGUUGUGGUUUCUAAUUGUCAGUUCGUUUACGGUUUAAGAAAAGUCCUCCUCUGUAAGGAGAUCCUUAUCUUAUCGGGUAAAAACCUAACUAUUCUAAGUCGUCAAAAGAAAAAACCUUUUUAAUAUCGGGAAUACGUUUUACGUAUAAAUUCAUAAUCCCUGAUACUAAAAUCAAACAAAAUAAAAUUUUUGUUGCUUUUGAAAUUUUGGCCAAUGUUCUCUUGACUUUAAUAAAUUGGUUAUUAAAGCCAAAAUGUAUGCUAAAACAUUGUUUUUUGGUGUAUGAAAAAUACAAUAUGAUUUUUUAGUUUUGAGACCUUGUACGUAUGCACAAAAACAUUUUUUCUCUUUUUUCACAUUUUUUUGUAUUUUUUGGAAGUUUUGACGAAAACCGGGUAUUUUAAUACCGGAUUUUGUAUUUUAACUACAUAAAAUACCACCCGAUAUUAAUCAAAAUGACAUAAAAACUACGCGGAAAAAUUAUAAAAUGCUGAAACAAAAUUUUUUGAAUUUUUUCUUUGAAAUGGGCCGGGUUAGUCCCAACUACAUGGGCUGGGCUCGACCCAGCAAACAUUAGCUGGUUACAGUGCAUGAGCACAGUAACCAACUUCUCCCCGCCUGCAGACGUGCACUGAGCACGUCUUGCAUGGCGAGGGAAUAAGUGAAUGCCAAGAUAAAAGGGGGGAGGGUUUAUCUGGAGUGGUGGCGCUGCCGGUGGUUCGCGGUGGCUGGCGGUGGCUCUGUUUUUUCCUUCUCUCUCUCUCUCUCUCUCUAUUUUUAGUUUUCUUCUCUACUGCUUCUUCUUCUUCUUCUUCUUCUUAUUUCUCUGUUCUUUUUUUUUUUUUUCUGUCUCUCUCGCCUCUCUACUCUCUACUCUCUUGUCUCUCUUUCUGUCCCUCCUCUCGGUCCGUUCUCUUCUCUUUUGGUCUCACCUCCCCUAUUUUUAUUGGAGAAAAACAGGGGAGGGACGUGGUUGGGGCGGCCACUGUGCUGCCGCCCCUUCAACACGUGGAAAGUGGGCAAGUGGGUGUCCUUGGUCGGCGUCUUUUUGAGCAAAAGCAGGAAGGGAUGUCAGUGAAAACUAGGAAGAAAAAAUCUUUUUCUUCCACUGCCUUGCGCGUCCAGGGGAAGAAGAAGACCCACAAUGCCGUCAAAACAACACCGUUUUGGGCUUCUUCUUCUAAUUUUUUUUUUGGUGAACAAUAUAUGAAACGACGCCGUUUUGGUCAAAACGCGUCGUUUCAUUUAAAAGGAAAAGGCGCCAAAACACGUCAGAUUCAAAGCAGGCCUCCAAUUUGCACGCGUUUUGCAUUGUAGUCCUUGGUCUUGUAUUUCUUCAUUUAAGUCCCUAAUUUUCCAUCAAACUUCAAUAUUUAUGCAAUUAAGCCCCUGAUUUGACCAAAUUAACUCUAAAACAAUAUAAUUUGACCCCAGAACUUUAAUUUCUUCCAAUUAAAGCCCAAAUUAGCUCCAAAAUCAAUUUAAUUGAGUCCAUAAACUUCUGAUUUUGGACUUUUCUUCCUCAAAUUGAAUUUUCUUUGUCAACAAGACUCUUAUUAGUCAACAAAAUAUUGUCAAAUUUUAAUUUUUAUAUUUUUGAACAUCCUCAAUCAAUUUUUGAUCAUUUUUAGGGCACUUUGGCAUCCUCUUCUCACUGUUAUAUUUUUUUGAUAAUAUUUUUUUUUGAUUUUAUUGUAUUUUAUUAUUUUUUGUGUGGGGACCCAAAAAUGGGUUAAAAUGGGUUACAACAAUGCAAUCCUCCAAGACAAGUAUUUCCAGUUCGAAAAGCUAAUUUAUGCUUUGAGGCAGGCUAACAAAGUUAUUCUGGCUCUGAUCUAAAGACCUCCAAGAAGAUAAGAAGCCAAUAUCUUUAGGAAGUGCCCCUUCUCUUAGAUUGCAAGCGCAUAAAUCCAGUACUUCUAAAGAACACAAACCCGACAAAGAAGGCAACCUGUGAUCCGUGGGAUUCACAGCUAUUCUGAUUCGGGACAAUAAAUAAUAAAAUUAAAGCAAGAAAAAAAGAAGCUUUUAGAGAAAGAAAGAAGCUAAAGAAGAGAAGAAAAGGGGUUGGAGAUAUGCAAAGUCUACAAUAUUUUCAUUAAUCAUCCAAAAUUGUCUCUCAAGAUGACAAAGAAACAUAUAAAUAGUAAACCCUAAAACAUCCCGCUAUUGGGCUCGGCCCAUCAAAUCAAACUGUUUAACAUAAAUAAUAAAAUAACAAUAAGCAGGCCCAAAUGGGCUAAAUAAAUAAAAUAGCAAUGAAAUAGACCCAAAUGGGCUUCGUCUCCCAACCAAAGCUUGACAGUUGAGCCAUCCUCCGUUGUCUCCGUCAAUAUACUCGUGUAGUUUGUGGUAUGGGUCUGGUGUCCCCACCAACUCUCCCGGGGUUAGAGAAACUCGACCCCGUCAAGUGUCGAUUGAGGGCUGAUUUGAAAUUUAGCGCGUUCUGGCGCCAUUUUUAAAUGAAACGGCGCGUUUUCUCCAAAACGACGCCGUUUCAUACAUAAAAAAAAAGAGACCGAACGGUGCCGUUUUGAACGGCACUGUUCCCCUUUCUUCUUCCCCUCCCCCGAACCUGCAACAGGAAGGGAGAAAUGGUUUUUUUCCCUUAAACCUGCCUCUCUGUCCUCGAGCCCACCAACCCGAAGCACUGGACCACCGACCAAACUCAAUGGCCGACCACCGGCCGCUCGCCCUGCCGAAAGCAAGGGAGCGGCGCUUUGCUGUCGCGGGUGGUGGCCGAUCAUUCGCCCGCGAAACCCUCUCCCAGGCACACUAACAAUGGUCCCAACACCCUCUCUCUCCUAUAAAUAGAGAAAAGACCGAAAGAAAGAGGGGAGGAUCCGAGAGGAAGAGAGAGAACGAACGAGAGAGAGGGAAAAGAAGGAACAAACGGAAAGGAAUAAAAGAAAAAAAAACUGAGAAGGGACAGAGGGAACUAUUGAAAACGAGAAGAAAAGAGGAGAGGGGGAAGAAAUCUCUCUUGCCGCCGUUUGAACAGCAGCAACACCGUCCGGAGCCGCCGUCAACGAGCCACGCCAGGUACACGCCCUCCCCCCUGCAUUGCCUUUAGCCUUAUACUUGUUUCCUCCUGCAUGCAGAAUUGUUCUGCAUGCAGGAGACGGGGGGGAGAAAAAUAAUUCUCCCCCCGUUGGACGUCAUUAGCUGGGCCAGACCGUUGCUGGCCCAACCCCACAUGUCUUGGCCGGGUCGGGCCCAGACUGAAGAGAUAGUUUUUUUUAUCGGCCGAGAUCGGCCCAAUCUCCUGUUUGGGCCGAGAUCGACCCAAGUUUUGUUGGGGCUGGGUUUGGCCCAUUCACUUGGGCCGGCCUAGCCCAGCCCAUAUUAUAUUAUAUAUUUUAAUAUAUUAUAUAUAUAUAUAUUCUUAAAAAAAUAUAUUCCAAAAGUCCUUAAAAAUAUUGUUGAUUUUUAUUAGGGUGGAUUAAUAUUGAGUUAUAUUUUUAUACCGUAAGAAUACAAACCCAAUAUUAAAAUACCUGAUUUUCGUCAAAGCAUAAAAAAAUAAUAUUUUCCAAAAAAAUUGUUUUUAUUUUAAAAUACGGCCUAGUCUCUCUAAUAUAUAUAUAUAAAUAUUAUAACAUCAUAUUUUCACAUAACAAAGGAAAUUUUCAAAACAAUAUAUGUAUUAGCAUGCAUUUUGGCUUUAAUAACCAGUUUAUUCAAGCCAUGAGAACUAGGCUAAUAUUUCAAAAAUUCUAAAAAAAAUCUUUUUGUUUUCUUUUAGUAUUUGAGAUUACGAAUUUAUAUGUAAAACGUAUUCCUAAUAUUAUUAUUAAAGUUUUGGUAUAGACAUUAGAACGGUUAGGAUUUUACCCGGUAAGAUAAAGACCUUCUUACCAAGGAGGAUUUUUCUUGAACCAUAAACAGACCAACAACUAGAAGUACAAUAACACCUUAGUUUUUAUCAGACAAUAAAACAAUGCAGCUUACCUUAGGUAGGGUGUAUUUGGGGUGCUAAUACCUUCCCUUUACGCAACCAGUCCCCGUACCCGAUCUCUGAGAUCAGUUAGGGUUCCUAGUGACCAAAAUACUAGAUGGCGACUCCCAUUCCAUUUUCCACCCACAAAAGACAAUAUUUUCUUGUAUCCCCAUAUAUAUAGAUAAAUUUACAUUGUAGAUAAGAAAAAUGGAACAACUAUAUUAUUUUCGCCGCGACGCCGCACACGUGCGACAAAUAGUCUUAGGUUCAGGCCAAUCUACAAUCGCUUGGACUUUUUGGGGGUCAACAGAGACUUCUUUCCAUGACACUAUAAACCCUAAAAAGACCAUUUGAUCUGUAAAGAAGAAACACUUUUUGACAUUGCAAACAAACUUGCCUUUCUUAGGGUGGUACAAACUUGAAUAAGAUGAUCGAAAUGCUCUUCCUUGGUUUUGCUAUAAAUGAGAAUAUCAUCAAAGUAUACCACCAAGAACUUUCCCAUAAAUGGCCGAAGCACUUGUGUCAUUACUCUCAUAAAAGUGCUUGGUGCAUUGGAAAAGGCCAAAAGGCAUGACUAGCCAUUCAUAUAAACCAUCCUUAGUCUUAAAUGUCGUUUUCCACUCAUCUCCCGGACAUAUCCUAAUCUGAUGAUACCCACUCUUCAAGUCAAUCUUAGAGAAGAUCUGGGCUCCUGCCAUCAUAUCUAGCAUGUCAUCCAAUCGAGGAAUUGGAAAACGAUACUUGAUUGUAAUCAUAUUGAUGGCUCGACUAUCUACACACAUUCUCCAUGAUCCAUCUUUUUUGGGCGUUAACAGUGUAGGUACUGCACAAAGACUCAAACUCUCAUAUAAAUCCCUUUUGUAACAACUCACAUACUUGCCUUUGCAAUUCAGCAUGUUCACUCGGGUUCAUCCUAUAGUGAGGCAAGUUUGGUAAUGUGGCCCUAGGGAUAAAAUCUAUGGCAUGUUGAACAUCACGCAUAGGGGGUAAAGCAUCAGGUAGUUCAGAAGGGAAAACAUCUAGAAAUUCUUUCAACACUUCUCUUACCUCUUCAGGUGGCUCCUCUAAAAAGUCUUCUACAAUCUCUUUAGCCACUAUAGCAAACACGACAGACUCCUCACAAAUCUCCUUAGCCACUAUAGCAAACACGACAGACUCCUCAAAAAUCUCCUUAUCAAACUCCCUAAGACUUAUUAUGUUAAGCCCUCCUUCUUUCAGUUUAUUCUUCUUCUGACUAUUAUCAUUAGACCUUGGAGGUAAUCCAAUAAGUUGGAUUAUUUUACCUUAAAAAGUGAAUGAACAAGAAUUUGAUCGUUCAAAGAUUGUAACGUCCAAAUCAUAUAACCAAGGCCUACCCAAAAUGAUGUGCCCUACAUCCAUGGGAAUGACAUCACACCAAAUUUCAUCAUGUUAGUAAAAACUCUUAAUGGGAAAAAGACAUCUCUCUUUGACCGCUAUAGAUGUAUCAUUAACCCAAGACACACUAUAGGGUUUAGGGUGUGGAACAGACUUAACCCUAAGCAGGAUACACUACCCGAGGAAACUGCAUUGAUACAACUACCACUGUCUAUGAUAAUCUUACACCCUUUAUCUCCACAUUUAAUUUAAGUGUAAAAAAUAACAGUCCUUCUCCAAUCCUCAGUUCCUUUAGACUGUGUUAAAGCACAUCUAACCACAGUUAACCUGGUUGUCUUGAUUUGAGUGGAUAUAGACCUAACACAUCCUAGCAAGUUAGAUUCAUCAUCCUCAUCAUUUAGAUCUUGAAAAUCAUCGGGAUUGGGUUCAUAUAUCUUAUCAUCAUAAUUAUCUUCUUCACCCAUAUCCUCCUACCCCUUGAUGAACAAAGCCUUAUUAGGGCAGCUAAAGGAAAUAUGACCAAAACCCUGACACUUAAAACACUGAAUUCUUGAAGUUUUAGGUGCUUCAUGAAAAAUACCCUUACCCUUGUCUUCUCUAGGUAUCUGGGAAAUCAAAGGAUUGGGUUUACAAGGUGGGGCACCUAAUAUGGAGUUAUUACUACCAGGUUGAGAUCUAGAAGGGGUAUUAUGAGUGUCCUGAAGUCUUGUCCACUGGCUUUUUGUGACCAAGUCAUAAUUUUGUACUAGGGUAUAAGCUUCAUCAAGGGUGGAAACACCCCUAAGCACAACCUCUCUUCUAAGGGAAGAGGCAUAGUACAGAUGCCUUUUAUUUCUUUACUUUCGGCAUUCCAACGGCAGAGGCAAAGCAAUAGCCAAAAUGGCUUUUUGCUUUGUCAAGAGCCAUUUCUACAUUUAACUGUAGAAAUGGCCAACGGCUAUCAACAACUUUUUUUUUUUUUUUAAACAUAGAAAAUUUUGUCUAGAAAUACAUGAAGAAAAAACUUGUAGUUUUAAAUUUUGUAUUGUGCCUCACCCUUCUCUCAAAUUUUAAAAAACAAGAAUCGAUUAUUCUCCGUUAAUUAUUAACAUCGGUUGUGUUAAUUAGCUGAAAUUAAAAGGUAUGCUUGUUUAAAAGCUUUUUCUAUUUUCGUUUUAAUAUCUCUUGAUUUUUUAGAACUUUUGUUGUUAAUUUAAUAUUUGUGAUGAGUUUUAUUUCUUUAUUAUUUUAUGUUUUUAAUAUGGGUUAAGUAAGACAAUUUUUAUUUAUGUUGUUAUCUUUGAUAAAAUUGAGAGAAAUUAAUAAUGGUAGUUGAUAUUGAUAAAAAGAUAGAGUUGCAUAUUUAAAAUUUAUUUUUGAUUGUCUGUUUUAAUUUGAGGUCAAUUAUAUUUUGUCUUCUUGAAAAUAUAAUUAAACCAGUAUAUCGAUUCUCUUUUAGUUUCAAAAAAUGGUCAAAUUGUUAUGUUAGAACAAGUAGAAGCCAAUGCUUAUUAUUAAUUCGCAUGUAUGAAAACUACAAAAUUGCUAAACAUUGAAUGUGAGCUUCUUGUUAUGAAAUUGAUAUCAAUUCGUAAUACUUUUAUAAGUUUGAAUUUGAAUUUACUUUUAAAAAAUUAAAUUUUUAACAAUAACAUAUAAAACUUAAAAUUAAAAAUAUUCAUAUAAAUAAAUUUUAAAUUAUAUUUUUUAACUUUUAUACUACUUCAUUAAUUUUAUAUUACUUUUAUAAAUUACUCAUAUUAAUUAUAUAAUUAAUAACAUCAUAAUUAUAUUAUAUAUAAAAUAUCUAAAUUAGUUAUAUAAUUAUAUUAAAAUUAAUUUAACAUGAAAUAUAUUAAAAUAUAAAUGGCUUUUCUAAAUAGCUUGUUACCAUUGCAAUGCAUAUAAUACAAAAAGCUAUAUUUACAUUAUUCAAAAAGCUAUUUUCUUCAUUUGGCUCUUCAAAAUGGCAUUUCCCAUUGGAGAUGCUCUAAGGUCAUCGUUUAAGCCUUUUCGAAAUCUGCUUAGGGUUAUCACUUCAUCCUCCCUAACAGCACACCGCAUCCUAUACUCAUCAAAUUGUGCCACAUAUUAAUUAGCAGACUUGCCUCCUUGCCUCAAGUUAUUCCAUUGGUCCAAAAGAUUUCCUCUAUAAGAACGGGGCAAGUACUUUUCUUCUAACUUAGUCUUCAUUUCAACCCAAUCAGUAAGAAGGGGUUGACCUCUCCUAAUCAAAGACUCUUCUACACUUUUCUAAUAGAGCUUAGCGAUUCCACUAAGUUUCAUCUUUGCAAAUCUUACCCUUCUAUUCUUAGAUAGACUAUACCAGCCAAAAAAUUGAUCCAUGUCACAAAUCCAUCUAUCAAAAAUCCACGGGUCAAGUUAACCCUCAAAAGUUGGGGCUUUCUACCUUGAUAUGCCUCAUGACUCGCUCGUCAGUGUCAUCAUAGUCGUGAUGGCCCUAAUUGCGGUUGUAUUGACGAUUCUAGGAUGAACUGGUCUUUGACGGUAAUCAUUGGAACACUCACUGUCAUUAGGGUCAUCAAAGUCAUUAUGACCCUGGUGUUGGUUAUGGUGGCGGUUCCUACGAGGAACUGGUCUUUGAGGAUUCCUAUGGUUGUUGUUGUAACCCAUUUUUAGGUCCCCACACAAAAAUAAAAAUAUAAUAAUGACAAAAAAAAUAAAAAAUAAUAAUAAUAAUAAAUAAAUAAUAAAAUAAUAAUAAUAAAUAAAUAAAUAUAUAGCCAGAAAAAAUUAGAAAAAAUAAUAGGAGGCUAUGCACUUUUUAAACAAGGUUGAGUGGUUACAAAGAAGGUAUCAUAAAUCGGUCAAAGAUGAAAUUUAAGAAAAGCUACCCCUGAAGUAUAACCUUACCUCUAGAUAGCAUAAUGAAUUGAUAAAUCACCUGUAAAUUUCUUUCAAGAUAAAAAUAGAGUUUAUCAAUCCUAACAAUUUGCAUUUUGAAAUGAGAAAAAUUCAUUAUCCCUUCACUCUCUAAAGAGUUUAUCGUUGGUGGUCCCGUUUGAGCCGGAAUGAAUUUCUUCUUUAAAAACCCGAACUAGGAUCACACACCACACUAGGGGCAAUAAAAGAUAUUUCAUGAAAAGUUUUAAAACGGGAUGAGAGUUCGUAGAUUUGAAAAACAUAAGUUAAAGCAUUUGACAAAAGCAUGACAAAGAAGGUAAUGACAAGUCAUACAUUUUGAAAAAAAAGCUACUUGUAAAAAGUCGAAGACUUCUUCUCAAAGAUAUGAUAGGUAAAAAAUAGGCAACACGAGAAAUGAAUCCAGCAUACGACUUCAAAAGUAAGCUCAUGUCAAGAGAGAGUUUCGUGAAAUAGAAGAAGAUGAUGGGACCUAUAUUUCAAAACUAGGUAAGAAUGCAUGCAUGACAUCUAAUCAUAAAUCAUUGCAUAUGCUUUUGAAUUGUUACAGGAUGAAUCCUUAAUGUAAUCCAACAAGAUUGUGGACGAAGAAAGAAUCAUUGAGUUGAUGAUAGCAAAGAAUCACGGCUUUGAUUCUGGAACAACAAUAAAGUGAGAAGAACCUAUUAAGAAAUUUUUAAAAGAAAACGAAAGGUUCAAACCCUGCCAUCAGGAAGAAAGAUACCGAUGUCAGCUUUGGUUAAAGGAGGUCGCUAGAAGGGAUCUCAUGUUUCAGCUUUGGUCAAAGGAGGUCACCAGAAGGGAUCUCGUAUUUCAGCUUUAGUUAAAGGGAAUUACCAGAUGGGAUUCCAGGUUGUCCGAGCUACAUAUAUAGUUUUUUGGUUAAAAGAGGUCGCUAGAAGGGAUCUCAUAUUUCGGAUUUGGUUAAGGGAGGUCGCUAGAAGGGAUCUCAUUUUUUCAGCUUUGGUUAAAGGGAAUCGCCAGAUGGGAUUCCAGGUUGACCGAGCUACAAAUAUAGUUUUUUGGUUUUGGUUAAAGGAGGUCGCCAGAAGGGAUCUCAUAUUUCGGAUUUGGUUAAGGGAGGUCGCUAAAAGGGAUCUCAUAUUUCAGCUUUGGUCAAAGGAGGUCGCCAGAAGGGACCUCAUAUUUCAGCUUUGGUUAAAGGAAAUCGCCCGAUAGGAUUCCAAGUUGAUUGAGCUACAAUUAUAGAUUUUUGGUUUUGGUUAAAGGAGGUCGCCAGAAGGGAUCUCGUAUUUCGAUUUUGGUUAAAAGAGGUUGCCAUAAGGGAUCUCAUAUUUCAGCUUUGGUUAAAGGGAAUCGCCAGAUGGGAUUCCAGGUUGACCGAGCUACAAAAAUAGUUUUUUGGUUUUGGUUAAAGGAGGUCGCCAGAAGGGAUCUCAUAUUUCGGAUUUGGUUAAGGGAGGUCGCUAGAAGGGAUCUCAUAUUUCAGCUUUGGUUAAAGGGAAUCGCCCGAUAGGAUUCCAAGUUGAUUGAGCUACAAUUAUAGAUUUUUGGUUUUGGUUAAAGGAGGUCGCCAGAAGGGAUCUCGUAUUUUGAUUUUGGUUAAAAGAGGUCGUCAUAAGGGAUCUCAUAUUUCAGCUUUGGUUAAAGGGAAUCGUCAUAUGGGAUUCCAGGUUGACCGAGCUACAAAUAUAGUUUUUUGGUUUUGGUUAAAAGAGGUUGCCAGAAGGGAUCUCAUAUUUCGAAUUUGGUUAAGGGAGGUCGCUAGAAGGGAUCUCAUAUUCUAGCUUUGGUUAAAGGGAAUCGCCAGAUGGGAUUCGAAGUUGAUUGAGCUACAAUUAUAGUUUUUUUGGUUUUGGUUAAAGGAGGUCGCCAGAAGGAAUCUCAAGUUAACCCAACCGUAACACCGAUAUUAGCUUUGGCUAAGGAAAAUCGCCAGAUGGGAUUUUAGGUUGGUCAAACUACAAAUAUAGAUUUUUUUUUUGGUUAAAAGAGAUCGCUAGAAGGGGUCUCUGAUGGAAUUCCAUGUUAAUCAAACUAAAGUAAGAAUUCAGAGGAUCGCCAGAUUGGGAUCUCGAGAUGACUAAGUUUUGAUCAUAGUUUUUGGGCUGAGGAGGAUUGCCGUAAAGACAAAGUGUCGGAUCGAUCAAACUUUGACAAGAUCAGUUUCGGAAGUUCAGUUUUGGUUUAUCUUUAUAAAACUUACUCCGCAAAACCUCUGCUCCAUAAGUAUUAUAAGAGGGGGCAUCUGUUGUAACCCAUUUUUGGGUCCCUACACAAAAAAUAAAAAUAUAAUAAUAAUAAUAAUAAAAUAAAAUAAAAUAAAAUAAAAUAAAUAAUAAAAUAAUAAUAAAUAAAUAUAUAGCCGGAAGAAAUUAGAAAAAAUAAUAGGGGGCAGGGGCACUCAGAAAAUGGUCAGAAAAAUUGAUUAAGGAGGUUAAAAAUACAAAGAUUGAAAUUUUAACAGUAUAUUCUGGAAUGAUGAGAGCCCUGUUGGAAAAGAAAAUUGAAAUUUGAGGAGAAAAGUCCAAAAUUGGAUGUUUAUGGACUUGAUUGGAUUUUAUUGAAGGUUUAAUUGAAUUUAUAGAGGGCUUGAUUUCAAGAAAAAUGGAUUUUUAAGUCAAUUUGGUCUUUAAUUUGAAGAAAUUAAAGUUAUGGGGUCAAAUUAUAAUUUUUAAGAGUUGAUUUGGUCAAAUCAGGGGCUUAAUUGCAUAAAUAUUGAAGUUUAAUGGCCAAUUAGGGACUUAAUUGAGGACCAAAUUGGAAAAGGCGCGUAAAUAUAGGGGCUGUAAUUAACAAAAUCAGGGGCCAAAUUGAAGAAAUUGGAGGUUUAUUGAUCAAUUGAGGGUCAAAUUGCAUAAAUCAGAGGCCAAGGAUCAAAGUGGAAAAGGCAGCCAACUAUAAGGGCGGCGAUUGAAGUUUUCAGGGAUGCAAUUGAAAUGAACAAAAGAUAAUUAAGGACUGAUUUGGAAGUUGACGUGUUGGCACCAUAUUUAAAUGAAACGGCGCGUUUUGUUCAAAACGACGACGUUUCAUGUUGAAAAAAAAAGGAGAGGACAGAACGUUGUCGUUUUGAACGACACUGUUCCUCUUUCUUCUUCCCCUGGACGUGCAUCAGGGAAGAGAAAGCGUUUUCUUCCUAUUUCUUCACACGCCACAUGCCUGCCACCUCCCAAAACCCCACACACUCUCAUUGUCGCACGUCGGAAAAUCCCGCGCGGCAUCGACUGAUGAUUUUUCUCAUUGUUGCAUUGUUUGCUUGAAUUUGGUUCGUUGGAGUCGCCACCUAGUAAUUUAUUGAAGGCUACUAGGAAACCGGAUGUACUGGUCUGUCAGAGAUCGCGGGUAAGGAACUGGUUGUGGUUAGGGAAGGUAUUAGCACCCCUAACGCACCUUACCUGAGGUAAGCUGCUUUGCGAAUUCGAUGCGUUAAAGAAGUUUUAAUAAUUGUCUUUUCAUCGAAAAUUAGAAAUAUCACUUACGUAUAAGUUAAUAAUUCUUAACCGUGAUCCAAUCAAAAUAUUAAAUUCUUCUUUAAUCUUUGCAAUUUUAUCAUAAUUAAGAAAAUAAAUAAGACAUUCAUAAAAAAACAAAUACAAAAAAAAAAAACAUUAGUCUUCUUCUCCUCUGUUUCGGGUUGUAGAUCGGGCAGGGCUGAUGACUGAUGGUGAAUCGGUGGACGGCGCUGCUGCUGGAGGAAGAAAGCGGACUGGUUUGGGAUCUGUGGGUGCUGUUGCCGGGCUGCUAUCGGGCGGCUCUGAUCCGGCCUUGGUGAGCUGGCCGGCUGGCAGUGAAGGAGAUCACCUGCGGCUGCUGGGACCGAAGGAGAAGAAGGAGCUGCUGAGGGGAAAGCUGGGAGACGAUGGUUGUCGUUGAAUUAGGAGAGACGAGACAGAUUUGGGAGCCGUUGUGGGCACGAUGACGGUCGGUCUGUGAUGGGAAAAUGGAGAAGGGCUGGAGGUUUAUUUGUGGCAGGGAAGAGGUGGUCGGCGGGAGGAGAUGAAGGGGACACGGCUGUUAGGAAAGAGGGGUUGUAUUGGCCGGUUGCUGAGGGGAAAAAGAAAUUCCAACCGGCUCCGGGCUGCUGUUUAGCCGAUUGAGGGGGAAGAAAAACAAAGGGUGGGGGCUGCUGUGUUUGGCUCUGGGUGAGGGAGAAGAGAAAAAAUGAGCGGCUGUUUGGGGGAGGGGCUAUUUGGCCGGUGGAGGGGCGCGUCCGACUGGCCUUGGUUUGAGAAACGAAGCUUUGGCCGGGCUGUCGGUGGAAAACAAUUCAAGCCAGGGGAGGGCCUGUUUGGCUGCUGUCGAAAGAAGAGAAAAAAGGGUGGGGGGCGGCUGUGUCUUUGUUUUUUAGGGUUUCUGUUUUUUCUUUGUAUUUUCUCUUGUUUCAAAAUUAACCCCCCUCUUUUGUGUGAGUUAAAGACUAGUAUUUAUAGGCAAAAUGUUGCAAGGUUUUUCAACUUGGUCCCUCAACUUCUUCUUUUUUUUCUUUUUAAAUUUUGAUUUUUCUUAUUUGUUUUUGAAUUUUUUUGAAAACGAGCAAUAUCAAUGUCGACUCAAUGAGGAAAAUCAAUGAUUUUUAAAAUGACGCGUGAAAAGUCGCACGCGUUUGAAAAUUUAAAUUUUUUUUAAACCACGCUGAAAUGCUAAAAUGACGAGAAUAUAUUAAAAAACAUAUUUUUUUGGAUUUUCAUUGUUUUUCUCUAUUUUUUGAUUUUUUUUGAAAAUAUAUCAAAAACAUGGGUCAAAUAUUGGGUAGUAACAGAUGCCCCCUCUUUACAAUGCUUACGAAGCAAAAAUCCUCAAUGUUUUGCAUAGGAAGCUUUGUAAAGAAAAACUUGUAUUUCUGUUUGAUCAAUAUCCACUUCAUCAAAAAAACUUUACUCUGUUCUCUUUCUUUCUUUUUUUGUCUCUCUCUCUUUCUCUCUCUUUUUUUUUUAUUAUUAUCCUGAGAUCCCAUCUGGCGACCUCCUUUAACCAAAACCAAAGAAUGUGUGUAACUCGGUCAACCUGAAAUCCCAUAUGGAGAUUCCCUUUAACCAAAGCUACAUGAGAUCCCAUCUGGCGACCUCAUUCAACUGGAACGAAAAUAUAUGUAACUCGGUUAACCUGAAAUCCCAUCUGGCGAUUCCCUUUAACCAAAGCUACAUGAGAUCCCAUCUGGCGACCUCAUUCAACUGGAACGAAAAUAUUGUGUAACUCGGUUAACCUGAAAUCCCAUCUGGCGAUUCCCUUUAACCAAAGCUACAUGAGAUCCCAUCUGGCGACCUCAUUCAAUUGGAAUGAAAAUAUGUGUAACUCGGUUAACCUGAAAUCCCAUCUGGCGAUUCCCUUUAACCAAAGCUACAUAAGAUCCCAUCUGGCGACCUCAUUCAAUUGGAACGAAAUAUGUGUAACUCGGUUAACCUAAAAUCCCAUUUGGCGAUUCCCUUUAACCAAAGCUACAUGAGAUCCCAUCUGGCGAUUCCCUUUAACCAAAACUACAUGAGAUCCCAUCUGGCGACCUCAUUCAACUGGAACUAUAAAACCAUGUGUAACUCGGUUAACCUGAAAUCCCAUCUGGCGAUUCCCUUUAACCAAAGCUACAGGAGAUCCCAUCUGGCGACCUCAUUUAACCAAAACAAAAGAAUGUGUAAAAAUGGUCUCAUUGUAAUGGGUGACCCACUCAGGUGGAAAGAACAUAAAAAAACGGUCUCAUUAUGAUGGGUGACCUACCCAGAUGGAAAGAAUAUGAAGUGCGGUCUCAUUAUAAAGGGUGACCUCCCCAUGUGGAAAGAAUAUGAAAAAGUGGUCUUGUUGUGAUCGGCGACCUACCCAAAUAGAAAGAAUGUGAAGUGCGGUCUCAUUGUAAUGGGUGACCAAAAACUUGACACGACCAAAAGAUUGAUGUCUUCUCCCAAGUGCAGGAGUGUCGAAGUAAUAAAUAACCCGGCAAGACCGGGGUCGAACCAUAGAGAGGUUAAUUGUAUAAAUUAUAAAUAACAAGAAAACAACAACAACAAUAACAAUAACAAUAACAAUAACAAUAAUAAUAAUAGUAAUAGUAAUAGUAAUAGUAAUAGUAAUAUUAAUAUUAAUAGUAAUAAUAAAAAUAAUAAAAGAAGAAGAAGAAGAAGAUGAUGAAGAAAUUAAUGAGAACUUUGAGAUGGAAGAUUAAUGUAAGGAUUAAACAAUGAUAAAAACAAAUGUCAAGGUUAGAGGAUCCACCAAUGGUAUUUCAAACAAGUAUAAUAUAAACUCUUGUUACUCAAUUUGGAAACCACACACAAAGGAGGUUCCAAUCGAAUGAUUUCUCAUUAAUAGCUCAUUAUAAAUUAUUAACAUGAUCAUAUUAAUUAUCUUAAUUACAUAACACCAAACUUUUAAAUAUUGUCAGGAAUUCAUGAUAUUAACUGAUUUUAACAACAAAUCAAGUUAUUUUCAUAGCCCAGGUGUAGGUAAUACCAUACUGUUGGGCUAUGAGAGUGCCAAGCAUUUGAUGUACCAAAUGUUAUACAACACAAAUCUAGAUUAACCAUUUAACAAGCAAGGUAUUAAGAAUUAGUAAGAUAAAAAGAUAAGACAUGUUAAUAUUAAACAUUAAGAUCCAUAUUGAGUUUACACCAUGUUCUUACACCAUUAGUGUAACCUUUUCACCUUGACAUAAUAAACUUAGCUAAACAUAAUGAAGAAGAGAAACAUAAAUAAACAAAACAAGAACAUAAAUAAGAUACAAGUUAACUAAGAAAAGGAAAGGAAAUGAAAAGCAUAAACAAGAUAUUAAUGAAAGCAAAACUUAAAAAUUACAAAAAAAAUAUAAAGAGAGAAAUAAAGAGCAUGAGCUUGAUCUGAAAAACCAAGCCCCAAAAUACAUGGCAAAUGCCUCCUUUUAUAGGCCAAAAUUCGGAAUUAUUGAUUUGAUGACUAAUUGUUGAGUGGGUGACCAACUUUUGACUUGGUGAAAAUCCUUAUCUUCUUGUCUGAAUAAAACAAAAAUGCUACCAUCCGAACUGGGUCCUCUGGUAAACAUGAAAGUUGUAGGAAAUUGACUCAACUUUCCAUGAAAAAAAAGUAGAGGUCAUUUGGACAUCUAGAACUCCAGAUAUGGGCCAAACAGAACAGUGUUCCAGUUUGGACUGCACCAACAUCUCUUUUCUAAGUUUCACCCUCUCUUUAACUUCACAAAUUUCAGUAGUUGAAUUCAUCAAUCAAUCCUUUGAUUUAUGUGAUAAGCCUGCAUUUAAGAUGAACAUUUACCAUAUAUUAAGGCAUUUUAUAGUAUUAGACUUGUUAUUAUAAAACAUGCUUUAGUUAAGGAGUUAUUGAUACUUUAAGUGCAAAAUGAUGAUAUAAAACCUUGAUAAAUAUGCACUUUUAAGUACUAAUCACACCCCCCAACCAGCUUAUUACUAGUCCCUAGUAAUCAAAGAGUUAAAAUAGAAAAACAAUUUGCAAGUUCCACAAAGCAAGGCAUUCAUCAUUCAACUUCCAUUAAUCUAUCCAGAUAAACAAACUCUCAUUAAAUUCAUUUAUCUGCUCAAUACCUCUUAAACAAGAUAUUACUAAACCUUUCUUUUGUGCUCAAAAUAUCAACAUAUAGUUAUGGGGCUUUACUUGGAAGAAAAACAAAUUUUUGUUCUAAUGUUUAAGGCUAACUUCCUUAGGUUAGGAUUAUUAUCUUUUUUUUGUUUUUUUAUAUAUAUAUAUAUACAUAUAACUUAAAACACAAUGCAUCUUUAACCCAUGUAACGAGCUUUUGGCUAAUGACUCCCAGACCAGUUGGUCUUAGGGCAUUAGGUGUUGAGACACCCCUACGAGCUUAGUAACUCGGGUUGCAGAUACUGAUACGCAGAUAGUGCAAUGUUUGAUUCCCUUAAGCUUUUCUCCUCAACCCAUGUAACAAGCGUUGGGCCAAUAGCUCCCAAGUCAGUUGACUUUAGGGUAUUAAGUGUUAAAACACCCCUUCAGGCUUAAUUGCUUAGGUUAGGGAGGCUACGGAACCAAACUUAUCUACCUUUUUAUUAUCAUUAUUUUUUUGUUUUUUUUAUUAUUAUUAUUUUGGAAAUUAUAUACUAUCCCUUUCCUUUAGUUGUUACCUUUAACAAAAGAACAUAAAUAAUAUAAUAAUCCAAUAUGCAACCCACAAUCAUAUGUUAUAGUGUGUGUGUGAAAAUGAAGAUUUAAGAAUACUUGUUAAAUGAGCAUAUGAGCAGAAUCAAGUGCUAACAAUAUGAGAGUUUGUAAACCUGAAUAUUUCAAGAAGUAUUCUGAUAGACCUUGCUAAGAAUGUCUACUAAGAUGCGUCUCAAGAGUCCUUUUAACAAAAGAACUCCUUUUACUCUGCCAUCCUAGUAACAACAGUUUUGCAAAUAGUUUAUGAAAUAGAAAACACAGUUUUUUUUUUUAAAUAUCAACUACUACCCUUUCCCCCCAACCAAAAUGAGACAUUGUCCUCAAUGUCCUAAGGUAGAAAGAUGGAGUAUAGAAGACAUCACCUGAAACAACGAACACUAACAAACCUGAAACACAAUUAAACAAAUAUAAGAAAUAACAAAACAUAAUAAUAAAAACAAAAGACACAAAGUUUUUACAAACUAAGGCUCAAAUCCAAUUUAAGCUUUUUACGGCUUUCCGUAGUUGACCAAUUUAUACGACUCAUGGAGGGAUCAAUUACAGGGAUGAAAGAUUGUAGUUGGUCAAUCAAUUGUUCAGCAGUAGCAGCAGAGAUUAUGAUUUGUCGUGCCAAAGAUGUUAGAAAUUAUUGUUCCACAGCUUGAUCAAGAAAAGAUAACAAAUUAUCAUAAAAACCAUUAACAUUUAACAGACCUAUGGGUUUAUGGUGAAUGUGCAGUUGGGCCCAAGAGGAAAUAUGAAAGAUCUCUUCCAAUGUGCCCAGACCACCUGGUAAGGCAAUGAAGGCGUCAGCAUGGUUAAACAUUGUAUUCAUUUGAUCAGACAUUGUGGAGACCUGUAGUUCCUCUCCAAUUGUUUUUCCAAUGAUGUCCUCUUUUGCUAAAGCUUUUGGGAUGACCCCCAAAACUUGACUGCCUCCUAAGAAUGCAGCUGUUGACACACUCCCCAUUAACCCAAGGUUGCCUCCCCCAUAUACUAAAUGAAUCUUUCUCUCAGCUAGUAUCUGACCAAGAUGAUUUGCGGAUUCUAUAAACUCUUUUUCUUUCCCAGGACUAGAUCCACAAAAAACACAAAUAUUUUUUAUUUUAAGAGCUGAGGAUCCUACCAUUUCAAGAAGUGUUUAUACUUGUAGAAUGUAUGGGUUGAGUAGAAAUGAAGGGAAGAAGAAGAAGCUUUUAUAGAUGAGAAAAAGGAAAUGCAAUCAUAUCACCUAUAUGGAAGCUAGCUGGAGUCUCUCUCUCUUUCUUUUUCUUUUUUUUUUUGAAAAAAAAAUGUAAAAAAUGUGUAUGUACAGGUAGUUGUGCUUGUGGCUCACAUAUUCCCUUGGUUUUACGUCCAAGAACGGCUUAAACGCCCUCUAUGGGUCGAGGAUAGGCUUCCCAUCCAGUUUUCUUAAAAACUAGCAAAAAGGGUCUUUUUUUUUUAGUCAGAUUCCCAAGACUAUGAUGAGCAUGUUCUUUAUGAAAAUGAGGCCAUAAAUCAUGAACUGCACGAUGCACAUCUCCACUAUGAUGAGACUUAAGAGUCAACAGAAGAUUAUCUAAAGACUCUCUAUGCUUUGAAAUAAAUCCCACCUUUUGAUAAUUUUCACAGGUUUUGCAGAAUGCAUAUGAGUGCUUGAACAUGGUGGGCCAGUAAAAUGCACUUUGUAAGAUUUUUGCAGUCAUCUUUUUUGACAAGAAAUGAUCCCCACGUGCCUCAGAGUGACAAAAUUUAAUGACACUACUUACCUCAUUGUCGGGAAUGCAUCUUUGAAAUAUUUGAUCAGGACAAUAUUUGAACAAGUAAGGGUCAUCCCAAUAAAGGUUUUGCACGUCGCUCAAAAACUUUCUUUUAUCUUGGUUAUCCAAAUGAGCUGGCAAAAAUCCUGAAGCAAGAAAAUUGUUAUUUUUAGCAAGCCAAGGCAUUGAACUAAGAGAAAGUAAAGAUUCAUCAGGAAAGUAAUCAUUGAUUGGUGUGAUGUCGAAUCUAUUGUCAACUUUGAUAAAUGAUCCGCGACAACAUUUUCGGUGUCUUUUUCAUCAUCGAUUGCUUCUUGUUUGGUCAUGGCAUGAGGAAAUGAAAGUGCUGGCAGGGAAUCGGCCUUUUCUUUACAAUGUUCAUAUUCAACCCCUUCCUUACCACUGCGAAGAGUGAUGUCUGAUUUAACUUGAUCCAUGUGUUGACUUCUGGAACUACUUGCAUUUACAUUGUAUUUCUCCUUUGGAUUUUGUUGUGGUUGAGAUGGAAACGUAUCGUUCUCCUGAAAACAGAGAGCAGAUGUUAACUUUGCAAGAGUAUCUUUAAAACCUGUCAUGCUUUGAGCAAGUUGAGUGUUGAUUAUCUCUUGCUUUUCAAUGAAUGAAUGCAAUGUUUCCUCAAGAUUUCUUCUAGAAGGUGGAGCAUAAGGAGGUGCAUAUCCAUGAAAAUUUUGGAAAUUAUGGUGUGCUUGAAACGAUGGCUGUGAAGUUUGUGCAUUAUUGUUAUCACUCUUCCAACUAAAAUUUGGGUGAUUUCUCCAACCAGGAUUGUAUGUUUGCAAGUAUGGGUUAUGAUUGGGCCUUUGGAAACUGUUUAAAGCAUGAGCUUGUUCAUGGAGGCAUUCCUUGAAAGAAGGCAAAGUUGGACAAUCAUUGGUUGCAUGUUCAUUUGUUUCACAGAUUUGACACACAAUGUCUUGAACAAAUUUUAAUUGACCACUCCUUUUCAAUUCUAGUGCCUCGACUUUUCUAGCUAAAGAUGCAGUGGAUUGGAGGUCAUGAUCUUCCCUAAGGUUAUACAUACCUCCAUUAGAUGUAUGAGGUUGAGUUUUACCCGGUGCCUCAUAAAUACCUGUGGUGUCCCAAUUUUGAGCAUUUUCGACUAGCAAGUCUAGGUACUCCAUUGCUUCAUUAGGGUCUUAUCUUCAAAGGUUCCAUUGCACAUCAAUUCAACCAUUUGCCUAUCUCUAGGUGUUAAACCUUCAUAAAAAUGUGAAACCAAUCUCCAUGUUUCAAAACCAUGAUGUGGGCAAGUAUUAAGCAAAUCUUGAUACCUAUCCCAACAUUGGUAAAAUGUUUCUCCUGGUUUUUGAGUGAAAGUUGUGAUUUGUCUUUUGAAAGAGUUUGUUCUGUGAGAUGGAAAAAACUUCUUUAAAAAUUGUUGUUGCAAUUCAUCCCAAGCACGAAUGGAUCCUGGUCUCAAAUUUUGUAGCCAUGUUUUAGCUUUAUCUUUUAAAGAAAAAGGAAAAAGCUUUAAUCUGAUGGUGUUCAUGCUACAAUUUGAGUCAUUAUAAGUGGUACAAACUUCCUCAAAUUCUCUCAAAUGCAAGUAUGAAUUUUCUAGAUCUAAGCCAUGAAAAGAAGGUAAAAGUUGAAUAAUGCCUGGCUUAAAAUUAAAAUGAGAUGCAUCAGGAGGAAAAAAUAUACAUGAUCGCGCAAUUGUUCUUGUUGGAUUCAUGUAGUCUCUAAGUGUUCUAACCCGAUUAUUCUCAUUAUAAAGCGAUUGAUUAUCCUCUUCGGCCAUGUUUUCUAAAAACGAUGAGUAUACUUUACAAAGUUUAUCAUUUCAUGUACGUGACCAAACUCUCAUGCACGUGUAGAAAGAAAAUAAAAGGAAGAAGAAAACAAAACAAAAAGAAACAAAACAAAAGAAACAAAGUUAGAAAAAAAAUAAAAUAAAUACUAUAAUUUAUACAAGAAUUUACCUCCCCGGCAACUGCGCCAAAAACUUGACACAACCAAAAGAUUGAUGUCUUCUCCCAAGUGCAGGAGUGUCGAAGUAAUAAAUAACCCGGCAAGACCGGGGUCGAACCACAGAGAGGUUAAUUGUAUAAAUUAUAAAUAACAAGAAAACAACAACAACAAUAACAAUAACAAUAACAAUAACAAUAACAAUAACAAUAACAAUAACAAUAACAAUAACAAUAACAAUAACAAUAAUAAUAAUAAUAAUAAUAAUAAUAAUAGUAAUAUUAAUAUUAAUAGUAAUAAUAAUAAUAAUAAAAGAAGAAGAAGAUGAAGAAAUUAAUGAGAACUUUGAGAUGGAAGAUUAAUGUAAGGAUUAAACAAUGAUAAAAACAAAUGUCAAGGUUAGAGGAUCCACCAAUGGUAUUUCAAACAAGUAUAAUAUAAACUCUUGUUACUCAAUUUGGAAACCACACACAAAGGAGGUUCCAAUCGAAUGAUUUCUCAUUAAUAGCUCAUUAUAAAUUAUUAACAUGAUCAUAUUAAUUAUCUUAAUUACAUAACACCAAACUUUUAAAUAUUGUCAGGAAUUCAUGAUAUUAACUGAUGUUAACAACAAAUCAAGUUAUUUUCAUAGCCCAAGUGUAGGUAAUACCAUACUGUUGGGCUAUGAGAGUGCUAAGCAUUUGAUGUACCAAAUGUUAUACAACACAAAUCUAGAUUAACCAUUUAACAAGCAAGGUAUUAAGAAUUAGUAAGAUAAAAAGAUAAGACAUGUUAAUAUUAAACAUUAAGAUCCAUAUUGAGUUUACACCAUACUUGUUCUUACACCAUUAGUGUAACCUUUUCACCUUGACAUAAUAAACUUAGCUAAACAUAAUGAAGAAGAGAAACAUAAAUAAACAAAACAAGAACAUAAAUAAGAUACAAGUUAACUAAGAAAAGGAAAGGAAAUGAAAAGCAUAAACAAGAUAUUAAUGAAAGCAAAACUUAAAAAUUACAAAAAAAAUAUAAAGAGAGAAAUAAAGAGCAUGAGCUUGAUCUGAACAACCAAGCCCCAAAAUACAUGGCAAAUACCUCCUUUUAUAGGCCAAAAUUCGGAAUUAUUGAUUUGAUGACUAAUUGUUGAGUGGGUGGCCAACUUUUGACUUGGUGCAAAUCCUUAUCUUCUUGUCUGAAUAAAACAAAAAUGCUACCAUCCGAACUAGGUCCUCUGGUAAACAUGAAAGUUGUAGGAAAUUGACUCAGCUUUCCACGAAAAAAAAGUAGAGGUUAUUUGGACAUCUAGAACUCCAGAUAUGGGCCAAACAGAACAGUGUUCCAGUUUGGACUGCACCAACAUCUCUUUUCUAAGUUUCACCCUCUCUUUAUCUUCACAAAUUUCAGUAGUUGAAUUCAUCAAUCAAUCCUUUGAUUUAUGUGAUAAGCCUGUAUUUAAGAUGAACAUUUACCAUAUAUUGGGGCAUUUUAUAGUAUUAGACUUGUUAUUAUAAGACAUGCUUUAGUUAAGGAGUUAUUGAUACUUUAAGUGCAAAAUGAUGAUAUAAAACCUUGAUAAAUAUGCACUUUUAAGUACUAAUCAGUGACCUACCCAAAAAUGGAAAAAAACAUGAAGUGCGGUCUCAUUGUAAUGGGUGACCUACCAAAAGAUGGAAAAAAUAUGAAGUGUGGUCUCAUUGUAAUGGGUGACCUACCCAAAUAGAAAGAAUGUGAAGUGCGGUCUCAUUGUAAUGGGUGACCUACCCCAAAAUGGAAAAAUAUGAAGUGCGGUCUCAUUGUAAUGGGUGACCUACCCAGAUGGAAAAAAUAUGAUGGAGUGCGGUCUCAUUGUCAUGGGUGACCUACCCAGAUGGAAAAAAAUGAAAAACGUCUUAUUAUGAUGGGCGACCUACCCAGAUGGAAAGAAUGUGAUAUGACAAGUGUGAAAAAUAGGACUUACCUGGCGAAGUCCUGAGGGGAUGACAGAAGAAGGGCUAGAAAACUUGGUGCUUUCUGAUAAUUCCCGAUCAUAGGGUUUGAAAACUCGGUGUUUGCUGACUGCAAGGGUUGAAAACUCGAGGCUUCCCGAUUCCAAGGUUGAUCUUUUCAUUUCCUUGGGAUUUUCCUAAUGGUAGGGUUCAUCCCAUCUUCUUUUUAUUUCAUGAUCAAAACCGAUUCUUUAUUAUCAUCACCACAAUGCUUCUUUCUUCUUCUUUUUUCACCAUCUUGCUGGACCUCAUUAAGGAUUUUCCUAUAACAAUUCAAAAAUAUGUGCAAAUGUUUUUUUUUUUUUUAGGUUAGAUGAUAUGCAGGUAUCCUUACCUGAUUUGAAAUAUAGGUCCCCCCCUCUUUGAUGCUCCAUCGUCAUAGGGUGCCCUUGUUUGCAUCCCAAAGCUUUCUUUGUCCUUCUGAUGCAUUGACUCAUUCAUGUGCUAGUCAUCCACUCAGCUGUAAAUGCAGUGCCCAUCCCGGGCUGUCUUUGACAAUUACUGCUCGCAUCGUUCAUCAAGCUUGACCUUGCCCCUAAGUGUGGUGGUUGCUUGAUCAUCAUGAAGGAUUUUCUCUCCUGGUUCUUCUGAGAAUUAUCUUCUGAUUGAUUGUGUGCAUCAUGCCAACACCCAUCAAGAUUGUUAAUCAGUCAUGAACUUACCUUCGGUUGAAACACCAUUCAAGUAUAUAUGGUCACCAGCCUUCAUGGAGCUACCAGUCGUGCCGACAUGCAUCUCAUACUUUGGCAGGGAAAGGCUCAUCGUUGUAAGCUCAAUGCUUUCCUCAAAAAGUUCUUCUCACCCAUCUAAUCAGAUCUUGAAAAGAAAUGUAUUGGCAUCAUCAAUGAUGUUCAUGUUAUCACCCAUAUUCAUGCGGUGAAGUGUGCAUUUGAGCUUCAAAACAAAUGGUCCCACAGUCAGUUGGUGGGUGCAUCCUUCAAGCAUUCAUGCACAUACAACUAUGUGAUAACAUCGUUCAAAAGUCAUAACCAUGUUGAAGAUGAUAAACCAAGAUGAAAAUAUGAAAAUAUCCUUCUAGUGCAGUGUUGCUCAUCAAUUGCUGCUGAAGUGCACUUGAUCAUGGAUUGUCUUUGAACAACAUUGCCCCCAAUAUGAUUCGUAGGUUCGUUCAUCGAUUUAUACUCAAGAAGGUUUUUCCUUAUCAUUGUCAGAUGCUAAACAUAACUUUGAUGAACUUUGACGACUCAUCAUCUGAUUCUUUCUUUGCCCCCAGGUGAUCAGAAUGUUGUUUGUGUAUUUUCUUCUAAGGGUCCACUGUAUUGCCCCCAGGUGAUCAGAAUGUUGUUUGUUUUUCUUCUAAGGGUCCACUGUAUUGCCCCCAGGUGGUCAACUUUCAAGGAGUUUUGAGAAGAGUUGAUGUCAUUUCAUGUCAAGGAUUCCGCAAACUCAACGAGUGUUCUUCUUUGUUUGACAACCUUUCUUGUUCUAGAAUCAAAUCUCAUACUUCAAAGGUCAUGUCUAUUCAAGUCUAAUUGUUGAAAUGAAAUCAAAGAGAUAUCAUUUUUUGAAAAGUAUUUUUGAAAUUCAAGCUUCUUUGGUCAAAGACCCAAGACACGUCAUUCAAUGUAGUCCUUCGAUUGUCUUGUAUUUUGAAAACAGAAAUCGACUUGUUGUAAGAUUAAAAUGGUCUUUCCCAUGGUUCUUUAUAUCCACUUUAAACUCUGAUUUUGGGUAUAUCUCUUUUUUUUUAUGGUUUGUGAUGAGGUGAUAUUUUUGUGAACUUCAAAUGACUAGAUGCUCAAGCUUGAUCAAGAAAGGUUGUUUCUUUUCUCAGUAUUUAUUUUAUCAGCAUGCAUAAUAACCAAUAGCUUAAUUCAUGAAGUCACGACCCUUAUGGAAAAGCUCUUCAAGUUUUGAGAGCGCCAUUUAUCGGUUCAGAUUGCUUACUUGAUCAAAAAGGGCUUUUAAAAAGCACGUAAUGUAGGCUAUGGUUCAUGGCUAUAAAAGAAAGGAAUUUCAUAGGCUCAAAAGGUGUUUGAGGGUUUCAACGACAUAGGACCAACAUUAACUAUUCAUCGAUUCUCUUUCUCUUGUUGUCAUUGUAGAGAAAGUGACAUACAACCUUGUUAAUCUCAAAUAUCAGAAUUCUCUUAACAUAGGUCAUAAUGCAAAUCCAACUUUUUCUUUGAUGAAUAACUAAUCUAAUUUUUUUAUUUUUUUUGAAGACAUUAGAGGCUCUAUCUAAGACACACCAAAAGAUAUGAAGCAUCGAUUUUUCUAGUGUUGACUUUUGGCAUUUGCUGUCUUUUCUCAAUUUGAAAAUUUUCUUGCCUCUCUUAGAAUUGAUAGGCAUUCUCCUUCUUUUAUCUUUAACUUGUCUUUAAGUGAAGGCAAUUUCAACUCAUAGCCUUCCUCAAAAUUUUCUUAUAUGCCCCUAGUCUAUGUGUUUUCUUUUAGCCCUCUCUCAAUCAUUGGACUUUUGUUCUAAGCCUUCCCUUUAUCCAUUAAUUAUAUUAAUACCUUCAAAAUAUCUCUCAUUUGCCCCUAGUGUGGGGUGUGAUCCUAGUCAGGGUUUUUAUGAAAAGAAAAGUCUAUCCAGCUCAAAAUGGGACUACAAGGGAUAUAAUCUUUAGAAAGUGAAGGGAUAUCAAAGACGGCCUUUUCUCAUUUCAAGCAAGGUCGGUUAGAACCGAUAAAUUUUGACCCCAUCCAGUGAAUGAUUGAGACUUGUAAGAAUCAUGAUUCAACGAGUCCAUAACUACUGAAUCCACUACAUGUCAUUAUGCAUACUGCUAAAACUUAGCUAUAUAAUGUGUGGUUCAGUUUCAAGAGGUAUGAGUUCAAAAUUGUUUGGUCACCUCAUGUCAUUUUCAAGCAUCGAGUCAUUUCUGCAAUCAAAAUAAUUUUAAUCUUCAGGAUUGAUUAUCCUUAAUUUUGCAUGUUGGAGUUUGAUCAAAAUAUUUUAUCAAAAUACCCUUUGAAAGAAGUAUCUCUUGAUUUCAAAACAACAAGAAGACAAAGGGAAUACCUGUUUCAUUCAAGGAUGAGAUGCGCCCCAAAACAAAAUGCAAAACUCCAUAACAAUAUGAAUGACAGCUCAUCACCAUUCUUGAAUCAGCUUUUCUGGCAAUAUCUGUGUUUUGCCAAGCACCUUCAAUCAAAUGUCAUUCUGAAGAUUUUCGGGAGGCAAUAUAGCCAAUGACACCCUCCUUCACAAACUCUACUUGUCUCUUGCUCUCCAACUUCAGGACUCGCUUCUUGAAAUUCUUGCAACUGUUCAAUUGAAAUGGUUGAGGACUCCACCAUGACAUCACAUCUCUUGUAUGGAUUAUACCACAUGGCAAAUGAACAUCUAUCUUUGGCAAAGACAUUGGAGUAGUCAAUGAUACAGGGAGACUUGGCUAGACCACAUAAUCAAGGUUUCCCACCGUCAGAGUCUUCUUUUGAUUCAUCUCUCAUCAUUGUUCUGGAAUCCUUGGCAGAACCUUCAAUCUUUCCUCUCUUCAUAACUUGUUCAAUUUCGUCAGCAAUCCUCACAACAUCAUGUCAAUCUUCCAAUGUUGUUGUGGUUUGAGGAUUGUUGGAACCCUCUUAAUAUCUAGGUAAUCCUGGCAGUGCCCAAAACAAAAGGGUGUGGAAUCACACAUUGUCAAAAUUAGAAGAGAACCCGAUGAAUCUACAACAUCUUCUAUUUCCUCUUUGAUUCCUCAUUGACGGUGCAGCAAACAACUACUUUUGUGUUUUAAUGCCAAUACUGGAAGGAAACAAUUAUGGACAAUUUGAAACCCCUGCAUCCCUUCUUGGAUUUCCCACUGCAUAUCCACAAACAGAUUCCUGCCGAGAGAUCUCUGCUACAUUGAAGUUUGAUAUUUGCUCAUGUUUUUUCAAACAAAGUUUGGCUCUUCAACCUGCUACAGUUUCUUCGUGCUAAAAUUGAUGAGAGAAAUAUUUGUAGCAUAUGCAAUUAGUAAAUCCCUUCUUGCACUCUUAACUUGCAGCAUCAUAAACAGAUUUUUGUAGAGAGAGCUCUUCUGCCUACUACUCAUAUUUUCAGACCAGGUCUGACUCUUCUGCCUACUACAAUGUUUUGCUGGUGCCACUGGUGGGAGAAAGUUUCAAAGUAUAUGAAAAUACUACAUCCCCUCUUGCAUUCCCCACUAGCAGAUCCAUAAAUAAAUCUCUACAAAGAGAGCUCUACCACGUAGAAGUUCAGUGUUUAAUCAUGGUUUUUUUUUUUUCAGACCAACAUCUUGUGCUGCUGAAAUGGAAUUGAGCUCAUAAUUGGGGUAACUUCAAAGAAGCCUAAUGCACCAUGUACAUGAGGCUAGUAGUCGUUUGGUUACAUUAGAUGAUGUGGAGGCGAUGAACACUUAACAGUGCAACUGGACAAGAAUCAGAGUUGUCAUUAGUUGAUGACUGAAGGCAUUGUUGCUAUUGUUCAUGACUAAAAAGGAGAAAUACAGCUUCAAUUGGACGUGAACAAGCAAUGUUCCCACAGAAGACUGUGCAAACACUCUCUUUCCAUUUGAUGCUCAACACUUGUUCGAGCAAAUCUGAGUCCAGCUACUUCACCUUUGAUGCUCUCAACCUUAAUCUGAUAAUGAGACUCUAUCUGACACCUUUCUUCACUUCCAUUAUCUUUCUUCAAUCACGUGCAGCACAGCUUGUGUGGGGGACCUACCUUUCAACCCGGUUCAUACAUGAUAAAUGUAUGAACAUGUAAUCUAUAUGAUGAACUCGCCCUUCGAGGGGUGACAAUACGGUCGUAACUCUUGUAUGAUGGAACAAGAAUCGUGAUUCUUGCCCAAACUCUACAAUGAAAAUUUUCGGAGUGACGGCCAAUGUGUCACCCACAAGUCUUCAGUUCAAGAUGCUUCAAGAAGGGUUUGCCCUAAUGCAAAUAACGAUAGCACAUACAACCUAAGGACAUGUUCUAUUCAUUAUGUGAACAUGGUAGGUUUUCUAUCUGGUCUCAAGAGGGUCUCAUAUCUGCCCAGUGACGUUCUUCGUAAAGACAAUAUGGGGGCGUUGCAAGGGAUGGUUAAGGCAUGUAUACCCACCAUUACCAAGCAGGCACUCAGAUAUGAUUUGGGUGUUUCACGCAUCUAAACCUUGACCAAUAGUCUUAGGGCAGAUCGCUAGUUCCCCACCUAACCUAGAAGCUUGUGUGUGCUUUCAAAAAAUAAAUACAGGUGAUGCAUGAGACAAUUCUAUAAAAUGCAUGGGAAAAAAAAUUAACAAAAAGAUAAAAAUACAAAAACUAAAACACAUCAAAUACACAAAGCUUAGUCCAAUAAUGUUAGAAACAGUACCUUCCCCAGUGGAGUCGCCAUUCUGUCGCACGUCGGAAAAUCCCGCGCGGCAUCGACUGGUGAUUUUUCUCAUUGUUGCAUUGUUUGCUUGAAUUUGGUUCGUUGGAGUCGCCACCUAGUAAUUUAUUGAAGGCUACUAGGAAACCGGAUGUACUGGUCUGUCAGAGAUCGCGGGUAAGGAACUGGUUUGGGAUCUGUGGGUGCUGUUGCCGGGCUGCUAUCGGGCGGCUCUGAUCCGGCCUUGGUGAGCUGGCCGGCUGGCAGUGAAGGAGAUCACCUGCGGCUGCUGGGACCGAAGGAGAAGAAGGAGCUGCUGAGGGGAAAGCUGGGAGACGAUGGUUGUCGUUGAAUUAGGAGAGACGAGACAGAUUUGGGAGCCGUUGUGGGCACGAUGACGGUCGGUCUGUGAUGGGAAAAUGGAGAAGGGCUGGAGGUUUAUUUGUGGCAGGGAAGAGGUGGUCGGCGGGAGGAGAUGAAGGGGACACAACUGUUGGGAAAGAGGGGCUGUAUUGGCCAGUUGCUGAGGGGAAAACGAAAUUCCAACCGGCUCCGGGCUGCUGUUUAGCCGGUUGAGGGGGAAGAAAAACAAAGGGUGGGGGCUGCUGUGUUUGGCUCCGGGUGAGGGAGAAGAGAAAAAAUGAGCGGUUGUUUGGCCGGUGGAGGGGCGCGUCCGGCUGGCCUUGGUUUGGGAAACGAAGCUUUGGCCGGGCUGUGGUGGAAAACAAUUCAAGCCAGGGGAGGGCCUGUUUGGCUGCUGUCGAAAGAAGAGAAAAAAGGGCGGGGGCGGCUGUGUCUUUGUUUUUUAGGGUUUCUGUUUUUUCUUUGUAUUUUCUCUUGUUUCAAAAUUAACCCCCCUCUUUUGUGUGAGUUAAAGACCAAUAUUUAUAGGCAAAAUGUUGCUAGGUUUUUCAACUUGGUCCCUCAACUUCUUUCUUUUUUUCUUUUUGUAAAUUUUGAUUUUUUUUUUUUUUUUGAAUUUUUUGAAAACGAGCAAUAUCAAUGUCGACUCAAUGAGGAAAAUCAAUGAUUUUAAAAAUGACGCGUGAAAAGUCGCACACGUUUGAAAAUUUAAUUUUUUUUUUAAACGACGCUGAAAAUGCUAAAAUGACGAGAAUAUAUUAAAAAACAUAUUUUUUUGGAUUUUCAUUGUUUUUCUCUAUUUUUGGAUUUUUUUUGAAAAUAUAUCAAAAACAUGGGUCAAAAAUUGGGUAGUAACACUCAUGAUGAUAAACCGAGGGAGUCAGCAAUAGGGCGGCAACCCGCUGUUGUGGCAGGGCAGCCAGCCUUCAUCCCCAGGCGCUGCCAUAGGCGGCAAUAGGGACGCCCCCGCUCCCUUUGCCCUAUAAAUAUGACCAAGCACCAGCACACGGGGAAAAAAAAAGAGGGUGAGGAGAGAACGAGCCAAAGAGAGAAAUGAAAUAAAGAGAGAAAGGAAAGAGUAAGGGGAAGCUUGAAACCGGGAGGGAAGUUUUUUAAAACAAAACCGAGAGGACAAAGGGAUAAUCACGGGUAAACGAAACAUAGAAAGAAAAAAUGAAAAACCAGAGGAGAGGGGAAGAGGAAGAAAUCUCUCUCUCUCUCCGCCGCUUGAACAACAACAUCACUGCUUGGAGCCGCCGUUCGUGAGCCAUGACAGCGCCACUGCCUCCACCACAGCACCCCAAUGAAGCAGUCAGGACAGCAAAGCAUCGCCUCCUCCGCGCCAGGUAACUCUUCCUUCCUUGCCGCCUGUAUUUAAUUCUCGGCUUCAUUUCCUCCUGCAAAUAAUUCCCCUCCUUGUUUUUACCUUCCUGGGCCAGGCCGAUACCAGGCCGACCCAGUCCAGAAGAAGCAGAAUGAACUGUUGGGCCGAUAUCGGCCCAACCCCAUUUUGGGCUGAGAUCGGCCCAACCUUUUUGGGGAUGAGUCCGGCCCAGUUAUUUGGGCCGGCCUAGCCCAGCCCACCUAAUAUUAUAUAUUAUAUAUUAUAAUAUUUUAUAUUAUUUAUAUAUAUAUAAAAAAUAAAAAAACAAUCUGAAAAAAUCUUUGAUUUUUUUUUUAUUUUCCUGCAUAUUUUUAUCAAAAUUGCUUAAUAUUGGUUUGUAUUUUUAUACCGUAAAGAUACAAAUCCAGUAUUAAAAUACUCGAUUUUCGUUAAGACAUCAAAAAAACAUAAAAUUAAAAAACAAAAUUUAAAUGCAUACGGCCUAGUCUCUCCAAAUUAAAGAAAAAAAAUAAAUCAUCACAUCAUAUUUUCCUAUAACAAAAAAAUCAUAUAUUUUUUUACGCAUAAAACAAAAACAUUCAAAAAGGUUUUAGCAUGCACCUUGGCUUUAAUAACAAGUUUGUUAGAGCCAUGAGAACUCGACCAAUAUUUCAAAAAUUCUAAAAAUAUAUUUUUUGUCUUUUUUAGUAUCUGGGAUUACGAAUUUAUACGUAAAACAUAUUUCUGAUAUUAAAAAUAUGAUUUUUUUGUAUAGACGUUAGGACAGUUAGGAUUUUAUUCGAUAAGAUAAGGACCUUCUUAUUGAGGAAGACUUUUCUUGAAUCCUAGACGGACCAAUAGUUAAAUAACACCAUAGCUUUUUAUCAGACAAUCAAACAAUGCAGCUUACCUUAGGUAAGGCGUAUUUGGGGUGCUAAUACCUUCCCUUUACGCAACCAUUCCCCGUACCCGAUCUUUGAGACUAGUUAGGGUUCCUAGUGACCAAAAUACUAGGUGGCGACUUCCAUUCCAUUUUUCACUGAUAACAGACAAGAAUUUCUUGUCUCCCCAUAUUUGCUAGAUAUAGAUACAUAUUUUAGACUUGAAGUGGAAUAUUUCGCCGCGACACCAUACACGUGCGACAGUUGUCAUUAGAAUGCUCAGUCUCACUAGACUGUCUUAUUUGCAAAGUUUCUAUGUACUCCAUCCUCCCAGAAAGGUUGUUCAUUUGAUUGGACAUGUUACUCAUUUCCGUACGCAUAAGUUGUAAUUGUUCUUGAAUAUCUCUAAGAACAUUACUAGAGUUCGGGUCCAUGAUAGCUAUGACUUCUAGAUUGUGUACUAGACGAUCACUACGUAAAUGCAUGGAAAAAAUAAUCCUGAGACUGAGAUCACAAAAUAACACUUGCAAGUAAAACGUAAAAUAAAAUUAUAGCUAAUAAUAAAAUAAUAAUAAUAAAGAAAAUAAUUUUUUUAAAAAUAAUUUUAUUAUGAUUAUUAUUAUUAUCUUGGAAACUAAGUAAUGACAGAUUAAACCAGGAAAAUGCACACGCAUGCAAUGUAAGUCCUCUAAAUGCACACAAGUAAUCUAAACACAAUGUUUUAGUUUUCCCACUAAUUUAACCAAGCUCCAUAAUAAUUAAAAGGAUCAGAUCUUCAAUGGCUCAAAAUUAAGGUAAUUCAAUUUAAAAAUGGGCUAUGUAAUUUAGUUAUGGGCAAGCACAAAGAAUAAUAUUAAUGCUAAAUCUUGGUUAACAAGUGUAAACAUACCAGGAAUGAUGAUUUUCAAUAGGUAAAAAAUUCUGACUGGAUGAUGUGGCAAUUAAGGCUUACGUGGCAGCUGACAUGGCAGGCUAUGCUGGUAAGGCAGAUGAUGUUGCAGGAUACGCUGAAGUGGCUGGAACUGAUGUCGUGGCAGAUGACAUGGCAAGAACUGGUGAUGUGGCGGAUGACGCGGAUUCUCUAACGUGGUUGGGUUAAUUAUUUUACCAGCUUCUGUUUCUGUCUUCCCUACCUCCUUACUUCUUAUUGCUGGCAACGCAGUGUGACUGCUGAAGACGAGGACCACUGCAGUCUGUUGAGGGUGGUGGUUGCCGCCGGUCGGCUCUACUGCUCUGUCUGUUGCUCAUGGUGGUUGUCGAUGGUACUGUGCACGGUGCCAGCUGAAGCUCAAUCGCUGGUACCGAAGAGGACGACAAUGGCUGAGGCGCUACCUUUGCUGGGAGGAACCAUUAGUCGGUACUGGCAGUGAUAGGUUUGUGGGUGGCUGUGGCUGAUGGUUUUGUGCCGAUGGUUUGGCUGCUGAAGUCACAGGUCUGUUGUGGUUCUGUGGUCCUGUGGAGGCGCCGCUGAAUACGAUUUGAUGUAAUCUGUUGGUGGCAUGGGGAGUGGCCUUCUGUAGGAGAAUCUGUCGUCGUGGGUCUUGGUGUGACCAGCGUUGAGGUAGAGUUUCCAAUCGGCGUUGAUGCACACAAUUUUGAUGAUGAACAAUGAUUUUUUUUUUUUGUAAUCAACACAGUAGGUGUUUUUUUUUUUUUUGAAUAGUUAAUGAAUUUUUUUUUUUUUAGAUCAAACCAAAUCUAGGGUUUAGCAUAAACAUUGUGGGUCGUUUAAUUGUAAGAACAAUUAAAACCCUAGCUCUGACAUUAAAUUUGAUGCGGGACAAUAAAUAAUAAAAUUAAAGCAAAAAAAGAAAGAAGCUUUUAGAACAAGAAAGAAGCUAAAGAAGAGAAGAAAGGGGGUUAGAGAUAUGCAAAGUCUGAAAUAUUUUCAUUAAUCAUCCAAAAUUGUCUCUCAAGAUAACAGAGGAACAUAUAAUAGUAAACCCUAAAACAUCCCGCUAUUGGGCUUGGGCCAUCAAAUCAAACUUUUACCAUAAAUAAUAAAAAAACAAUGAGCAGACCCAAAUAAGCUAAAUAAAUAAAAUAGCAAUGAAAUAGACCCAAAUAGGCUUAGUCUCCCAACCAAAACGUGACAGGCUGAACCAUCCUACGUCACCUACAUCCAUAUACUCAUACAACUUGUGGUGUGGGUCUGGUGUCCCACCAUAUUCUUUUGCACCCAUCAAAAGAUAAUACUUUAAACUCUUUAAAAGAAAAAUGGAUGCUGGCAGUUGUCUUAUUGAAGUUUCACUUACAUCGAACUCCUCCAAACUUCCAACUUUCCCCAAAUUCUUCCAAUUUUUAAGUUCAGAGCAGCCAGACAGAUUGAGUUUUUUAAGGGAUUUCAAACAACUUAUACUACUCGGAAUGCUUUCAAGGUUCUUAUAGUUGUUCAUGCUCAAUAGACCUAAGCCAAUCAAAUGAUGAAUCGAUGAAGAUAUUUUAGUAAUACCAGCCUCAUCAAACAGUUCAUGUUUCCUACUACAUCUAGAAACUUCUCAAGUUUUGAGCAACCAUUGUUGUAACCCAAUUUUUGAUUCACUAAGAUUUUCUUGAAUGUUAUUUUAUUUAUAUUAUUUUUCAUAAAAAUCCAGAAAAUAAAAAAAAAAGUUUAAAAUUCAAAAUAUAUUUUUCUCGAGUCAACUGCAUCUUUCCAUAAAAAUCGAUUUCACCGGGUCAAACCAUGUCGACCAGGGUAAAAAAUUAGUUUUCAUGACGUUUCGGCUCAAAACCGUAAUUUUUUAUCAAAACCGAGUCCACCGGGUCAAUACGAAUCAAACAAGUCGACCAGUGUAAAAAGUGAGUUUUUGUGACGUUUCGGGUCAAAACCGUCAUUUUUAGUCAAAACCGUCAAUUUUCAUAAAAAACCGAUUUCACCAGGUCAAUAUGGGUCAAACCAUGUCAAGCAGGGUAAAAAAUGAGUUUUCAUGACGUUUCGGGUCAAAACCGUUAUUUUCGGUCAAAACCGUUAUUUUCGGUCAAAACCGUCAUUUUCGGUCAAAAACCAGUUCACCAGUUUGAUACCCAUCAAAUGUUUUUUUUGUAUUUCAAUAUAACUUUCGGUAAUUAAAAUUGGUUUUAAAUGGUUGAAACAGGCUUUUCUAAUACUGAUUUGAGUUUUUAGUUUUACCCAUUUAAUAUUUAUUAUUAUAUAUAAUAAAACAAAAUUAAUAAUGCAAAUUUCUUUUGUCAUAGCAGGCAGGGCAGUUGUGCCGACAGUUUUUUUUCUUACAAUCAGAUAAUGAUAAGAUUUUAUGUCCCCUGCUCAUUGGCUAUAAAUAGCGAGUGAAAAUUCGCUAGAAAAGAGAAGAAAAGAGAGGAGGAUGAAAAAAGAAAGAAAGAAAAGAUAGCAUCACUGUUUGAAUUUUUUUUAGUUUUUCUUCGCGAGAUUAAGAUAUUGUUUUUUAUUAAAAACAAUUUGAAAAAAUACCAAAAAUAUCAUAACCGUUCGAUUAAUCGUGUUAGUUCUGGACCUUUGAUUUAAUAGGAUACAAAAGGGCUCACUACACUACAUUAAAACCCAAACCCAUCUUAGCCUUUGAAAUAAUCUGCCCUUUGAUCCCGUUGUGCCACGUCACUCGGUGUAUCGAGCUUUCGGUGCACUGCGCCACACCAGAACAAGCCAAUCACUGUCGAACGAUUGUUUCAUCCGAGAUCCAACGGCUCACAGCCUUCAGCUGCACCAGCGUACCAUGCUAGCAUUCACACCGUAGCAAAACCUCAAAGCCUCUCUCUCCUCUCGCCGGCAACUCCCUCUCUCUCAUUCGAUCUCCCAUUUCCGGUCGUCUUAAGCCUUCGAACCACCAUAGAACGGUUAAUAGCCUCCUAUGAAGCAAACCCCCGGCUAUUUUUAGCGUUUUCGCCGCCUCAUCUGGCCGAAAAAAGGUCGCGAUCUUCGUCGGCCACCGACACUUCAAGUCGACCAUUCUCCCUCGUCAGCCAUCAACGACCAUUGAGACCACCAUUAUCAGAAUCCUCUACCUCAGAUCUACCAUAAUCGACCAUUCGUUGGCCAGAAAGCUCGCCAGAAAAUUUCACAGCUGCCAACAGUAACUGCGCGUGAGCCACACGUGCCGCUAGUGGCAUUUUCGUAAAUUUUUGAGAAAUCUGAGGGUAUUUCAGUCUUUUACCUAUACAGUGGCACUCAGGUAAUUUUUUUUGGAUUUCUAACAUUUUUUUAUUUUGUAUAUAAAUUUUCUUGCAUGUAAAAAAAACAAAAAUAAAACCAAAAACAAGUAUAAAAGGAAUAACGACGCGGGUCCAACACCUAUCUUAUCAUGUUAUUGUUCGUGGGUCCAAAGCCCAAUUCUCGAAUAUGGUUAUACCUAUUUCUCAACGAUAUCAAAAUAUUUUUUGUUUUAUAAAUGAAUAUUAUUUGUCGACACGUCUUUUUUUACAGAAAAGGACCGAUGUCAAAAGUUUAAAUACCAAAUAUGGAUUAUGUCCAUAAUUGUUUUGGUAACUCAGACGUACUUCUCCUUUUUAGGGUUAAACAUCACUAUUUUAGACAAGUCUCCUAUUUUUAGGGGCUGAUGUCAUCCAUUUUUUGAUGCAUCUCCUACGAAUAUUGUCUUUCAACAUGUCUCUUUUUACAGAAAAGGACCGAUGUCAAGGGUAUUUAUACCAAAUAUGGAUUAUGUCCAUUAUUUCCUUUUGGUAACUCAUACGUAAAUCUCCCUUUUAGGGAUAAACGUCGAUAUUUUAGACGAGUCUCCUAUUUUUAGGGAUUGAUGUCAUUUUUAACGUGUCUCCUAUUUUUAGGGACCGACGUUAACCAUUUUAAAAAAACAAAAUUGCAAAUAAGCUCGAAAUAUAAUAUCAUUUGAAACAAAUAGAAAACACACAAGUAAGGGUAACCUUUCUCUUGAAAGGAUGUUUUAAGGGUGGUGUCUACCUUCCCUUAAUCAUAACUAACCAGUACCCGAAUCUCUGAGACCAGUGUCUAAUUUGGGAUUUCUAGUUCCCUCAUAUUACUAGAUGCCGACACCAAUAAAAUCUUCAUUUCCCCCAAAUCAAAAAAAAAUCUUUUUGUUAAAUAAACAAAAAAGUGGAGCCGUCGUCCGACGUCGUGUAUCGACAUUUAUUAUUGUGGUAAUAUUAUUGUUAUAACAAUUAUUUUUUAAAAUAUUUUUUAUUUAAAAAUACAUUGAAAUAAUAUUUUUUAAUUUUUUAAAAAUUAUUUUUGAUAUCAAUACAUUAAAAUAAUAAUAAAAAAACUUAAUUUAAAAAAAAAAAAUAAACUUAAUUUUUUAAAAAAUAUUUUUAAUAUAUAAAAACAAAGAGACAAUCUACCCGACAACCUUCAAAUCAUUAGGAAAGGCGGCAUCUUUAAUUUGUUACUUUUACGUAAAAAGUGUUAGUUUUUUCCUUCUCGAAAACAGAAAACCACCUUCGAUGUGCAACGCAACAUUUCAUGCCCCAAGUCAGCUAGCUGCUGUCAAAACCCUGAAAUAUUGGAAAUUAAAGUUUGCUGGUAGUAAUUUUUGGUUCUAUCUUUGGUGAACACCUUGGAUUCAAUUUGCCAAAUUCUCAGUUAUUCUUGAAUUAAUAUAAAUUUUGCAACUCAAGAUAAUUUUUUAUUUUUUUUUACAAAGACUUAUUUUUCAAGUUGAUACAAUGAAUGAAUUAAAGAGUUUUUCAAUUUUCCUUCUUUUGAAAAUGAUUUGUAAACAAGCUGAAUGUUUUUUUCUUCCUCUAUAUUUGUGGUUGGAUUGCUCGAAGUUCACUCACUAUUUUUAAAUUCAAUAAAAAAUGGUGUUUGAUUAUUAUUAUUUUAAAAUAAAAAAAUAAAAACAACAAAAACAGAGAAAAUGUAUGUACAUAUAAUUUAUGUUUUGGAUUUUAUAUAUUUCCUUUUAUUUUUUAGUUAAAUAUAUUUUUCUUUUUUUUACUAAACAAACACAACAUACAUGUAAAUAUAAAUUCAAAAUAUCUUUACUCUAAUAAAAAAAAUUAAUUUAGUAACAAUUGUUAUUAUAAGCCUACAAAUUGUCGCUUCGGUAGGCAUGCUUUUCUAUGUAUUUCUUUAUUAAUUAAUAAACUUCUAUACUUUUCUCUUAGAUGCACCAACAAUUUUUAUUAUUAAUAGCUUUAUAUUUACAACUAUAUAAACACACAAAUUGUCGUUUGUAACUGGUUUGAGACAAGAAUAAUAAAAUUUAAUUCUACAUUCCUAAUUAUGCUCUGCAAAUUACAAACAAUAAACAUUAAUAAAAUUAUAUGCCAAAAUUAUUUUUCUUUGUUAUUUCAAAUUGGCCCAACUUUCUCUUAAGAAUCAAAUUUUGAGAAAUAGUGGUGGAUUUUGUCCAAGAGGGUAUGUGAGUGUAGCUGAGGCAUUGUCAUCAACAGAUGUUGAAGAUAAUGUGUCUGGUGCGGAUGAAUUGCUGCCAGAAAUGAGGAAAGAAGAGGAGAAAGAGGAGCACUUUAGGAGGAGGAGGCUACAUGCUAACCCUGGAAUAGGGUCAAGGAAGCAUAGGGUCUUAAGGAGAAGGCAAGUGAAGAUUGAGGCGAAGCAUGGGAACUGACAACGAAAGAAUAUAAGGAGCUUUUGAAGGAUAUGUGUGAGCAUAGAGUUGGCUCCUAAUUUGCCCAUAUAUGAAGAAGUUUGUUCCUUGGUUGGUUUUGAGCCUUUUACAGACACAAUUGCGAAAAGAGCAGGAGUUGAUUAGAACGGGGAAGAGUAGGCAAGGUUAUGCUCCGUAUUUUGAUCUGUUGCCAGCUGACAAGAUGUCUGUUAUUGCAAUGCAUCAACUCGCAGAAAUGGUAAUGACAGGUGGGGAACAUGGAUGUGCAAGAGUUGUGACUGCUGCUUGUAUGAUUGGUGAUGCAAUUGAGCAGGAGGUAAGUAAUUUUUAAUGUUUUAUUUGCUUAUUUUUACUUGCGGUUUGAUUUGUAGACAGAGGAUAAUGAGUGCCCGUAUAAAAGUAUUGAAAGAUAAGGGAAAACAUAAAGUUUCUUAAAUUUACUUUUAGACAACCUUCAUCUGAGGUGAUGAACUAGGAAGAAAGAUGAAAGUUACUAUGUACACAGGGGCGGAGCUAGGAUUAUUUGUUAGGGGAGGCCAUAAUUAAUAUAAUAAAAUAUAAUAUUUAUUUUAAUUUAUUAUAUAUGAGUUGUAAAAAAAGCAUGUAUAAUUUAGUUUUAUUUAAAUAACUUACUACAAAUAUAUAAUGAUCUUUGUAUAAAGUAAAAGGUUCGUAACAAUAUCAAAUUGAGUUAAAAGCAACGAAGUUAAUUUCAUCUUCAUAAUAUGUUCAUCACUUUAAUGUUGUUAGUCUUUAUAUCUAACAAAUAUAAUUAUACAAAGUAUAUAAGAAACAUUACCUAAAGCGAAGUAUUAUUUAUGUUCGAUAAACUUUGAAAUAAAGCAAAAAAAUAAUAAAGAAUGAUUCUCACUAAUCAACACGGGUUCUUUGUAAAUUGAAGUGCAUUGGAGUUGCUCAACUAUAACUUUAACAUUACACACUGGAGUUGGUUCACUAGGUUGCAAGUUAUCAAUAUUUUUUUUCAAAAAAAAAAAUCAAAUUCUUUUUAUUUUAUUCAUGGUUCAACCUAAAAUCAAAACAUAUAUCGUGAGAAAAAAUUGAUAAUUUGGAUGGCUCUGCUAAAAACAAAACAUAAAAAAAUCCAAGUAUAAUCAAAACAAACCAAUAAAAAAUAUAUAAUUAAUUAGAAAAAAAAAGCAUUAUAACAAGAAUUCAAAAAACAAUUGGUAAAACUAACAAAUCUAAGAAAAAAAAUAAAGAGAAAAUGGUAGAAUUAUAUAUAAAAAAACACCUAUCAAAUUAUUAACAAACAUCUCAAAACAAAACAAAAUAGAUUUUAAAAUUAAGUUACCUUGUUUUAUUUGAUGAAAAAUAAAUUAAUUGAUGGCUCUGCUUCAAUAUUUUCAUUGAAAAUUUUUACUUGUGAUUUAUAUUUAUAUUUUUGUUUUUGACCUGCUGCAAAAUUUAUUGUGCAAAGUAAUGAUUUUAUAUUUACUGUAUUUAUAUUAGAGCUGCGCAAAUUAAUUCAAAAAAAAUCAAGUUGAAAAAUCACACUUAAUUACGGUAAGAAAACUCACAUUUGUAGAAUAAAAAACCUCCUCCACACUUUAUAUAUAUAAUAUAUAUAUAUAUAACCUAGUAUGGUUUUGGAAAGACAACGUCUUGGUUUUGUUUUAUCUCACGUCUUACAUUUUGUACAUAAUGCUCAUAUGGCACUAAGUCAGGAGAUGCAUUAGUAUUAUCAACAGGGGCGAAGAUGCAUUAUAUAUGCAAGCAUGGAUGGAAGUAGAGGGGGGGCCCGGGCCCCUGCUUGCCCCCCCUUCCCUCCGCCCCUGUAUGUACAAUUAUGAGAUAAAAAUCAGCUAUGGAGCUAGUAGUGCCUGGAAAAUUAGAUUUUGAAGUUACGUUCCGUAAAGUUUUGUCGAAUGUUGAAUGGGGUUUUUCUGGAUAUCUUUUUUAUAUAUCUAUAGUUUUUACUUUCAGUCCAAGUUCUUCUGCUGUUCAUGGUUCCAGGGAGGACACUAAAUGUAGGUACGAAAAACAAUGCAGUGUAAGAUCCUUUAGAUAGUAAGUUUUUACAAUUUUUUAUUAUGUGUUAAACUUUUCAUAUCACGGGCCUUAUUAAGCUGAAUAUUCUAUUAAGCCUUUCUUUUUUGAGCUACAAUUUCUUCAAAGCAUGGGCAUGGUGGACUCAGCUGUGAGGAAGAUUGUGAAGGGGAAGGAUGAUUCAAAACCAUGGAAUGCAGAUGCUAGGGUUAAGGUUUGUGUGCUUAUAAUCAUUGAUAAAGGCUAAUUUUCUUGAACAGAUGUAUCAUGUAAGAAAUUGAUUUCUGUCCUUGCACUUUGCAGGUUGGAAGCCGUCUAAUUGAAUUGCUGUUACAAACAGCUUAUAUACAGCCUCCCUGUGAUCAGUUAGCUGAUAGUCCAUCUGAACCUCGACCUGGAUUUGUACAUACAUUCAGAACUGUGUCAAACGAAAAUAAGUAUGGAGUCAUUCUUUAAUUUAUCUUUUCUUCCUUGUAAUUGCUCCUAACUGAUGCACAAUGGCCUUUUCUUAAACAGGGAGGGCGCAAAAAAAUAUGGUGUUAUUCAAUGUGACCCAUUAGUCCUCAAAGGCCUAGAGAAAACUGUGAGUAACCCUAUCAUAUCUAGUUUUCAUAUUUUAUCAUCCUUUAUGACAUGAACUUGUGUCGGGUGCCAUAUACUUUCAAAGCAGAUAGGUUAGUUUCUAGAUUUUAGAGCUGAAACAGAUAAGAUUUGCAGGCAAUUUCCAUAGUGCCUCUUAAGCUGCAGAUGUUUUUCUUUCAUUCUUUUUUCUUGCACAAGCAGCAACGUGAAGCAGUUAAGAGGGCACCUAGGAAGCAGCUACAAGCAGUUUUUGAGGUCUGUACAUAUUAGAUGCAUUGCAUGGUUACUGAUGCAUAUUGUAUUGUUUAGACUAAAUCAUAUUUUGGUACUAAGAUGUGAUGUUCUUUGAACAAAAUCUCAUACUGAUAAUUUUGUAUACCUUCACAUGUGUAGAUUUUACCAGCUUAGCUUCUGGUUUAACAAGGAUUCUCUUUUGUUUGAAUUAAUUUUCCAGGCCCUGGAUACACUAGGGAAUACCAAAUGGAGUGUAAAUAAGAGGGUACUUAGUGUUGUUGAUAGAAUAUGGAGUAAUGGAGGCUGUCUUGCUGAUUUGGUAAACCACAGUGAUGUGAGUAUCUUUUCUAACUUUCCUCAAUGUAACUCGUGCUUUUUUUUGUAGAAACUCCUUUACCUUUAUGUUCCAAGAAUUGAUCAUGAUUACUAUAGCAAUUAAAAAACCUUUCUUGUUUAAUUUCUUCAUUCUGGUUUCCUUUACCUGAGAGGCCAGAAACAGAGUUUCUUAAUUUUCCUUCUUUUGGAAAUGAUUUGUAAAAAAACUGUGUUUGGAUUGCUCCAAGUUCACUUAUUUUUUUAAAAUUCAAUAAAAAAAGACAGAAAAUAUAUCACAAUAUAAUUUAUGUUUUGAAUUCUAUAAUUUUCUUUUUAUCUUUUUUAUAUUUAAAAUACUAAACAAACACAACAUACAUGUAAAGAGAAGCCAUCGCCGGACGUCGUGCAUGGACAACCAUUAAGAGUGAAAACUUUAAGCGAUUCCAUUUCAAGGUUGCUUGGGAGAAUCCUAAUACUUUCGCAAUUCACAAGAUUCACAUAUUGAAGAUUCUUCUGACUUCCAAGUGAUGGAUGGACCUCAAACAAACUUGUACAACCUUCAAGAAUCAGACUCUCGAGAUUUGAAAUUCCAGUAAGAUCUAGAGUACUGGACAGUUUAGUGAGUUGCUGAGAUUGAUGAUUUUCAAAUUAACUGCACUCUGCAAUCAGGCAGGAGAGAAGAAAUGUGGAUGCUACUAUCAUACAUACAUAGAAAAACAAUAAAAAGAAAUACAAAGGCCCUUAAAUUAAUUGAUCUCACCUUAUACUCAUACCAUAAUUGAUCAAUACUACUAUUAGCCAUGUGAAGUUCAACUAGCUCAUCCACCUAUAAACUAGCUGGCAACGAUUUUGAAGGGUAAGAAUGCCAUGCAAGAAAUCACAACUUAUUGGAAAGAUCUUCAGGUCCUUUAGAAAGCUGCACGUUGUCGACUUUGAGCAAUCUUAGUCUGCUCAUUUUAGAGAAGGCUUCCAUGUUCCAUUGUGACUCUUUUAUUCCAGGCAUGUCUAAGAAAAUGGCUUCUAUUUUUUCUUUUCUCUGUCAACCAAAAGGGGAAUAUAUGUAAAAAAAUCAAAUACAAAGUAGAGAUGGAGCAUUAUGAAAUAAACAUUAUGAAAUCUUAUGGAUAAUGUUCUCUAUCAGCUACCCAUUAAAAAUACUAUUAUUUAUAUUAUAAAUAUUAUUACCCCAAACCAAAACCAUGUGCAAAAACAAGGACCACUACUAGCAUGAUUAAAAUCCUUGCUAUGUUUUUUCCCUCGUGUUCGCUGCUUUGAUGAACAUGCAAACAAGAAGGAAGAUCACAUGAUGUCUUGCAAUCACUGCUCACUGUACUUUGAUGGUAAUUAACAAGGGAAAAAAAUCAAGAGCUGAUAAGAAAUUAGAUCCAUGGAAAACUGACGAAGAUCUUCAAGCUAAAGCAAGUUAGAUUCCUAACCAAAACUCAUACUGCUGCUCCAGCUGCUCAAGCCGCUGCUCCCCAAGCCGCUGCUAAUCAAGCCGAUGCUCCCGCGCCAGCGGAUGCUGAUCAAGCCGCUUCUCCAGCGCCAGCCGCUGCCCCCGCACCAGCCGCUGCUCUCUCGCCGCUGCCUCUCCCGCUCCCGCUGCGGCCCAGCUCCCGCAGCCUCCGCCACUCCCGCAGCCGCUGCUUCCGCAGCUGCUCGCAAUUCUGGAUCCAAUGGAUCCGCUCCUCGAGCAGCUGGAGCCAUCCCUGCCGCCGCUCCUCGAGCAGCUGGAGCCAUCCCUGCCGCCGCUCCUCGAGCAGCUGGAGAUGCUGGAUUCGCUGCUGCUGCUGGUGGAGCUGGAGCUGGUGGUGCUCGAUCUGCCGCUGGAUACACUCGAUCUGCCGCUGCUGCGUUGCUGGAGCUCCUAUGCCGCUAAGAGUGAGAAGGAGAAGUCAGAAGUGCUCUGUGUGUGUGUAUAUAUGGCUUGGCAUAAUGGGAAUUUUUUCAAACUUUCAAAUUAUUAAUGCAUUUUGGGAAGGAGUGAACAGUAUCCCUCCAGACCCAAAUGAAUAAAAGAAAUUUAUAUCUUUCGGUUCAAGUAAAAUUGUCAUAAAAAAUAGAUUAGAUAAAAAUCACGUGAAAAUUAAACAUUCUUUUUCCCAUUAAACUAUACAUGGAAUUAAUUAUUGUUAUUUUAAAAUUCAAAUAGUAUAAAGUUUAAAUUUUUCAAUUAUGAAAUGAAUAAUUUACUAUAUAAUUUAAAACUCAUGUAAGUAUUUAACAAUUCAUGACUUUCAAAAAUAUAUUUCCUAAUGGUCAUAAAAAUAAAUAGAUUAGAUUUGUUAACAUUAAGUUCUGAAAGCAACACUAAAUAGAUUAGAUUUGUUUCGUUUAUUACCUUUUCAAUGAUCUCGUUCCAGAUGAUAUCUCAACUGCACUCAGAAUAUUCAUCCAUCUUUGUACCUUCUCCUUGUUUUCCCUGAAAUUAUCUUCAUUCUUAUCAAAGACAAUUGUGUAACUCUCUGUUUGAUCAUCUAUCUUUGAUUCUUCGACAUCAUAAGAAACUGGAAACACAGUGUCCGAUCUCAUCUCAUCCAUGAAUCCGACAAUCUUGACAAGCUCUUCAAAGCACCAAGGUAAAGAAGCACAAUCUCUUGAAAAUAUAAUAAUUGACAGCACUGAUUCUUCAAUGGCCUCAAAGAGUCUUGAUCUAAUUGCCAUUACUUUCUCUGGUUCCUUCUCGACUCGCAUAAUGAAUCUCGGGGCUAGAUCUGCGACUUUGGUGAUAGGGAAGACAUUGGCCAUCCAUUGAUGGUACGACGAAGAAAAAGCUAAAGAAGCUUUAUAUGAAGAAGCUGCUUCUUCGCUUGUAACGAUAAAAUGGGCAGAUGAUUGUGAUGUAAUAUAUAGAGAAGAUAACAAACAGACACCACAAUUCUUCACCUUUACUUGUUCCUUGCAAGAAUGAAAUGACAACUCAAUGUUGCUAAAGGAUCCAUGCUUCCAUUCUUUAAGCUCUUUAAGGUAAUCAAAAGAUAGAUAGAAUAACCAAAGAUGAUCUGACAGAAGUUGGAUAGAGUUACAACUAAUACACAUCGGCAAAGGAUAAUUUUCUCUCCCAUUGGCUUUGAAAUGACAAGAAAGAGAAGGACUUUCACCAUUUGCAUUGAAUGCAACACAAGCAGCAAACCCCAUGCUCCAACUAGGCACUUGCACACUAAUUGAAGAUCCCUUACUUUGAUGGUUAAACCAGCCUGGAAUUUCAUUUCCAGGAACAGCAAUACCAAAUCCAGUUCUUGGAUUAGACAAACCCUGUACCAUAAAGAACCAAAAUGUUAGAUAGAUAGAGGCAGAGGGAGAGAGAGAAAAAAAAAGUUGGGGUAUGAUUAAGAGAAGACCUCGAGGUAUCUUUCAAGCAUGGUCACCCCCAUGCUGUCUUGGCCAUUAUGAUUGUACAAUUCCCAGCAGUUAAGACAUAUGAACUCUAAUCUUUUGGAACUACUUAGCUUUAUCGGAUCUGGAAUUGUUUUUAGGCUUAUACAACCAUUCAGAUUUACUGUUUGAACUUUAGAUGGAACCUCAAGCAAAGAUUCAAGCAUCGUGCAAUCCUCUAGGACAAGCAUUUCCAGCUCAAAAAGUUGAUUUAUGCUUUGAGGCAGGCUAACAAAGUUAUUUUGGCUCAGAUCUAAAGACUUCAAUGAAGAUAAGAAGCCAAUAUCUACAGGAAGUGCCCCUUCUCUUAGAUUGCAAGCGCAUAAACUUAGUACUUCUAAAUAACUCAGACCAGGCAAAGAAGGCAGCACAUCUAUUCUUUUGCAUCCAUCCAAAGAUAAUACUUUAUGUUUCUUUAAAAGAAAAACGGAUGCUGGCAGUUGUCUUAUUGAAGUUCCACUUACAUCAAACUCCUCCAAACUUUCAACUUUCCCCAAAUUCUCUGGUAUAUAUUUAAGUUCAGAGCAGCCAGACAGAUCAAGUUUUUUAAGGGAUUUCAAACAACCUAUGCUACUGGGAAUGCUUACAAGGUUCUUGCAGCUGUUCAUGCUCAAUAGACCUAAGCCAAUCAAAUAAUGAAUUGAUGAAGAUAGUUUUGUAAUACCAGUCUCAUCCAAACGUAGCACCAUCAAAUAGUUCAUGUUUCCUACUAUAUCUGGAAACUUUUCAAGUUUUGAGCAGCCAUCAAGAGUGAAAACUUUAAGUGAUUCCAUUUCUAGAUUGUUUGGGAGAAUCCUAAUACUUUUGCAAUUCACAAGAUUCACAUAUUGAAGCUUCUUGUGAUGUGAAAGUGAUGGAUGGACGUCAGACAAACUUCUACAACCUUCAAGAAUUAGACUCUCGAGAUUCGGAAUUCCAGUAAGAUCUGGAGUCCUGGACAGUUUUAGUGAGUUGCUGAGAUUGAUGAUUUUCAAAUUAACUGCACUCUGCAAUCAGGCAGGGGAGAAGACAUAUGGAUACUUCUAUCAUAUAUAAAUAGGAAAACGAUAAAAAAAAAUAAAAAAAUAUAAAGGCCCUUAAAUUAGUUGAUCUCACCUUACACCCAUACCAUAAUUGAUCAAGAGUACCGUUAGCCAUGUGAAGUUCAACUAGCUCAUCUACCUGUAAACCAGCAGGCAAUGAUUUUGAAGGGUAAGGAUGCCAUUCAAGAAAUCACAACUUAUUGGAAAGAUCUUCAGGUCCUUCAGAAAGCUGCACGUUGUCGAUUUUGAGCAAUCUUAGUCUGCUCAUUUUAGAGAAGGCUUUCAUGUUCCAUUGUGCCUCUUUUAUUCCAGGCAUGUCCAAGAAAAUGGCUUCUGUUCUUUCAGUUCCCUGUCAACCAAAAAGGAAUACAAGUAAAAAAACAAAUACAAAGUAGAGAUAGAGCGUAAAUUAAAAUAAACUUUAUGAAAUCUUAUGGAUAAUGUUCUAUAUCAGCUACUCACUGUGUUGUCCAUCAGUGCAAGGCAGACAUCCUCGUAUGUCCACAAUCUACUGCGCCUUCCAGGCUCUUCAGGGGAUUCACAACGAACAAUUUCCUUACCCAUUAUCUGUAAUAAAUUAUGCAUCCAGACUUGAUCCCCAUAGAUACUUAUGAGAGAUCUCUCAAUAAGUACUGGUAUUCCAAUACCUGCAUGGAAUCCACGGCCGUCAAGUAUCCUUAUUAUUCGAUCUUUUUUAAACCCCUUCAGGAAACAUGCAAUGUCUAAAAAUAUUUUCUUCUCUAAUUCAUGGAGGCCAUUGAAACUAACGCGAAGCACAUCAAUAAUUUCACGGUUAGGAAUCUCAUUUAGUCUAUUAAUCGCACUUUCCCAUUCAAGGAUACUUCUUCCAUGCAUGAAUGAACCUAUAACUUCAAGAGCCAGUGGAAGGCCAUUAGCAUAACCCACGACUUGCUUGGAUAGUUCCAUGAAAUCUUCAGCAGGUUGGUCAUUUAUGAAAGCUUUCUGGCUAAACAACAUAAGAGCAUCAUCAUCAUUCAAUUUCUCAGCCUCAUAAAUUCUAGCAACACCAUUUCUAGUCAACACUUGUCUAUCUCUGCUUGUUAUGAUAAUUAUGCUCCCUAGACCAAACCAUUUACUCUCCGCAGCCAGGGAUUCUAGUUGUUUAUGGUCAUCUACAUCAUCAAUAACAACAAGAAUCUUUUUACGUUGUAACCUCCGCUUUAUCAUUUCAAUUCCUCUAGAAGAAUCACAUAUAUUAGCACGUUCCAUUAAGAUUUCAGAAAGAAGUUGCUCCUGCAAACGGAGUCGUCCAUCUUUCUCAGCAAAAGCUUCUCUGACAUUUGCUAAGAAGCAGCUACCUUCAAAUUGCCAACGAAUCCUAUCAUAUACUACCCUUGCAACAGUCGUCUUACCUAUGCCACCCAUUCCACAAAUCCCUAUGAAGAUUGCUUCGCCAGUUUCUUCACCUAUAUAACCAUCUAAUACCUCUACACGAGAAUCCAUUCCAACCAAUUUUUUGCUAAUUGUUGAUAGAGUGAUUCUUAGUUUGUACGAUAUGUAUUCAGCAAUUAUUUGAAUUAAUUCUGAUUCAUUCCUGCAUAGGAGGGUGCAAAAUAUUAAUCAUCCAGUGUGCAGAAAUCAAAUCAGAUAGUGAUAAUGGGAAAAUAAACAUUAGCAUAUUGUAGCUCGAAAAUGUAUUGUUGUUAGCAAGAAAUUAAUACACCAAUGUUUGAGAAAGAUAGGGCCCUGAUAAUAGAUAGCUUCAAGAACAUAGAAGAAAAGGAAAGAAUAAACUGAAAAAGGAACUAGGAUUGUAUUGAUGCGAAGAAUGAUUCGUACAAUAGCUAUCUUAUUGCCUAUAGAAUCACACAGUUACUAAAUAAGCAUGCAUACAAGAACAAAAGCUAGGAAAUAAAAUAUCCAUUAAGUUUGGUUUUAACAGACCAAAAGUCAAAAGGAAUUCUAUCAUAUUUUUUGUCGACCACUAAGUUAUUUUUAUAAUUAUUUUUAACAAAAAUUUCAAUUAUCUUGCAUAAUUAUAUGCUUCUCAAGUGGUUGCGCAAAUUCAAUCCACGCACCUUGAGAUGCACUGAUAUCACAUAUGCUUCUCACAACUCAAAUUUUCACAACCCAUUUCUUCGUCUUUCUUCUCUAUUUAAUAUUUUAUUUGGUCUUUCAAUUUGUAUACAAUCUUAAUAUUAAUUUCAAUAUAAUGAUCAUUUCAUUAAUAUAAACUUAUUUUUAUUUAAGUUGGGCAAAAACAUAAAAAUAUUUUAGGCAAAAAUUAACUCGUUUUUAGCGAUUGCAUUUGAAAUAAAUAUUAACUUUAAUUCAUAUAUUUUUUGUGUGCAAAAGAAUAGAUGAAAUGAUCGUCAUAUUGGAACUAAAGUUAACUAAAUAUAAAAAUUGAGGGACCAAACCAACAAAAUAAAAAAGAAAUGAAGAUUUUUUUGACAUGUGAAGACCUGCAUGUGUCAAGUUGCGUAAGUUGAGACCUAUGCUAGUUUGAAAAAGUUUUUUCCCACCUAUUAGUAUUUUGAGAAAUAAUUUUUUUCAUGGGAAAAAAUUAAUAUAGCUUGUAUGUCAUACCUUAAAAACUGAACCAUAGAUGAUAAACUAUUAAAAUUACUAAUGAUAAGUUGCCACUUGUUGAAAACUUCACUUUAAUGUGUAGUUCUUUAACUAGAUUUUUGGCCUCAAGGGUUGGAUUAUAUUUUUUUAACCUUUUAAAAAUAUAAAUAUUUGAAAGUAAAAAAAUUCAACACAUGCUAGAAAAAACACUUUUAAAAUAUUAAGAUAAUAAUAUAUUGGAUGAUAUAUUUAUUUAAAAAUAUAAUUGUGACGACAACACACUAGAUCGACCUAGAGUAACUUUGGUUAACUUGGAAACUCGCGAUCCGAAACACAAAUCCAUGAAAACUACGUGGAACCAUAUCAAAAUAAAAUUGCGCCCGAUUUCAAUCAACCAAAUAUUUAAAUCUAAACAUAAAAACAUUAUUCAAUUAAAAAAGGAUUUUAAAAAAAAUAGCAGCUAAAUUUAACAAAGAAUGAGAAUAAAAGACUUAAGAUAACCCUGAUUAUUUUUAAAUUUAUUUAAAAUCUUAUAGAAGCAAAUAAAAAAAAUUAAUAGAGCUUAGUCUUUAAUUAAAUUAAAUAUUGAAUAAUGAAACUGGAAAAAAAAUGAGUUUUUUUUUUUAAAAAAAAAAAAAAACAAAGCUAGACAAAUCUCCUAAAUCUAGGUUAGUGUCUCAAAUUCUCAAUCCGUUAAAUCCUAAAUCCAGACUCAACCAAAAACUUAAUUCAAUGUUAAAGUAUGAAAUCAGAAAUAAUAUAUAUAUGCCAAAUAAAUAAUAAUAAAAAGAAUGAGAAUCAAAUCUAAUAGAUUAAAAAAUUUAAAAGUAUAAAAUUAACAACAAAUUUCAAUUCUAAAAAAUAAUUCAAAUAAAAAAAUAUCAAUUGAAAGAAAAUAAACCAAAUAUAUAGAAAGAAAAACUAGAUUUAAAGGUUACUAUACAAGUUUAGAAGGUCAGGUACGGAAUUCAAGUAUAAAGACAAAAGAAAAGAAAAGAAAGUUAUUUGGUGCCAAACCAUAAAGAAUUACUCCACACAUGCAACACAAAGAGGUAGGUCAUGUUAUGGUGAAUCAAAAAACAUCAAUGAAGGGCUUUUCAUGGGUGUCAUAAGCCAUUGCUCAUGCUGCUUAAAUAAGUAGUUUAUUGUUUUUAGAAGAAAAAUUAGUAAAUUCAUUGUUACAAUCCAUUAGUAAAAGAAAGACUGAUUAGUACUUAAAAGUGCAUGUUUAUCAAGGGUUUAUAUCAUCAUUUUGCACUUAAAGUAUCAAUAACUCCUUAACUAAAGCAUGUUUUAUAAUAACAAGUCUAAUAUUAUAAAUUACCCUAAUAUAUGGUAAAUGUUCAUCUUAAAUGCAGGCAUAUCACAUAAAUCAAAGGAUUGAUUGAUGAAUUCAACUACUGAAAUUUUGAAGAUAAAGAAGGGUGAAGCUUAGAAAAGAGAUGUUGGUGCAGUCCAAACUGGAACACUGUUCGGUAAUUGGGUCAUAUCUCGAGUUCUAGAUAUCCAAAUGAUCUGAAAUUUUUACAGAGAUUUGAUAAGACAUAGGCCUACAACUUUCAUUUGGACAUCAAGAUCUAAGAAGGCCGUUUUCAAGUCCAAAUAAUAGCAACAACGGAGAAGUCCGAAGCUGUCCUGCAGCCCAAACACUAUUCAGUGUUCAGCCCAUAUCUUGAGUUCUAGAAGUCCAAAUGACCUCAUCUUUUUUUUUUUCUGGAAAGCUAAGAGAAUUUCGCAGAACUUUCAUUUGGACAUCUGGACCCAGUUCUGAUGCUAGCAUUUUUGUUUUAUUUAGACAAGAUGAUAAGGAUUUUCACUAAGUCAAAAGUUGGCCACCCACUCAACAAUGAGUCAUCAAAGCAAUAAUUCCGAAUUUUGGCCUAUAAAAGGAGGCAUUUGCCAUGUAUUUAGGGGCUUGGUUGUUCAGAUCAAGUUCAUGCUCUUUAUUUCUCUCUUUAUAUUUUUUGUAAUUCUUAAGUUUGCUUUCAUUAAUUUCUUGUUUAUGCUUUUCAUUUCCUUUCCUUUCCUUAGUUAACUUGUAUUUUAUUUAUGUUCUUGUUUUGUUUAUUUAUGUUUCUCUUCUUCUUUAUGUUUGGCUAAGUUUAUUAUGUCAAGGUGAAAAGGUUACACUAAUGGUGUAAGAACAAGUAUGGUGUAAACUCAAUAUGGACCUUAAUGUUUAAUAUUAACAUGUCUUAUCUUUUUAUCUUACUAAUUCUUAAUACCUUGCUUGUUAAAUGGUUAAUCUAAAUUUGUGUUGUAUAAUACUUGGUACAACAAAUGCUUGGCACUCUCAUAACCCAACCGUAUGGUAUUACCUACACCUGGGGCUAUGAAAGGUACUUGAUUUGUUGUUAACAUCAAUUAACAUCAUGAAUUCGUGAUAAUAUUUAAAAGUUUGGUGUUAUGUAAAUGAGAUAAUUAAUAUGAUCAUGUUGAUAAUUUAUAAUGAGCUAUUAAUGACAAAUCAUCCGAAUGGAACCUCCUUCGUGUGUGGUUUCCAAAUUGAGUAAUAAGAGUUUAUACUAUACUUGUUUGAAAUACCAUUGGUGGAUCCUCUAACCUUGACAUUUAUUUUUAUCAUUGUUUAAUCCUUACAUUAAUCUUCCAUCUCAAAGUUCUCAUUAAUUUCUUCCUCCUCUUCUUUUUAUUGUUAUUAUUAUUACUACUAAUAUUAUUAUUAUUAUUAUUAUUAUUAUUAUUAUUAUUUACAUUUUUGUUAUAUUUUAUGUAUGUUAAGUAUGCUCUGUGUUUGAUCAAGGAUCCUGACAUUGUUGGUCUUGCCUUGUUCAUUCACAUCAGAAAUCUGUUUAUAUUAUAUAAUAUAUCUCUUUGAUCUUUCCAUAAACUCAGUAUAUAGGCUGGAAACCUGUGACCCGAUCUUUUAGAUCAUUCUCAGGUAUAACAACGCCACGUACUGAGUAUUAUUAUUAUUAUUAUUAUUAUUAUUACUAUUAAUAUUAUUAUUACUGUUAUUGUUAUUAUUAUUGUUGUUAUUUAUAAUUUAUACAAUUAACCUCUCUGUGGUUCGACCCCGGUCUUGCCGGGUUAUUUAUUACUUCGACACUCCUGCACUUGGGAGAAGACAUCAAUCUUUUGGUCGUGUCAAGUUUUUGGCACCGUUGCCGGGGAGGUAAUUUCUUGUACAAAUCAUAGUAUUUAUUUUGUUUUCUCUUUUCACUUUUCUUGUAUCUAACUUUGUUUUUCUUUUUUUUUUUUGUUUCUUUUUCUUUUGUUUUCUUCUUCUUCUUUUUUAUUCUCUUCUACACGUGCAUGAGUGUUUGGUCACGUACAUUAAGUGGUAGACUUUCUAGGGUAUCCUCAUCAUUUUCAGAAAAUAUGGCCGAAGAAGAUAACAAUCACUUCAUAAUGAGAAUAAUGAGAAUAAUAUGAGAACCGUGUUAGGACACUUAGAGACCACAUGAAUCCCACAAGAACAAGUGCACCCUCAUGCAUAGUUUUCCCUCCUGAUGCAUCUCAUUUUAAUUUUAAGCCAGGCAUUAUUCAACUUUUACCUUCUUUUCAUGGCUUAGAUCUAGAAAAUCCAUACUUGCAUUUGAGAGAAUUUGAAGAGUUUGUAACACCUAUAAUGACUUAAAUUGUAGCAUGAACACCAUUCGAUUAAAGCUUUUUCCUUUUUCAUUAAAAGAUAAAGCUAAAACAUGGCUACAAAAUCUUAGGUCAGGAUCCAUUCGUGCUUGGGAUGAAAUGCAACAACAAUUUUUAAAGAAGUUUUUUCCAUCUCAUAGAACAACUCUUUCAAAAGACAAAUCACCUUUCACUCAAAAACCAGGAGAAACAUUUUACCAAUGUUGGGAUAGGUAUCGAGACUUGCUUAAUACUUGCCCUCAUCAUGGUUUUGAAACAUGGAGAUUGGUUUCACAAUUUUAUGAAGGAUUAACACCUAAGAUAGGCAAAUGGUUGAAUUGAUGUGCAAUGGAACUUUUGAAGAUAAAGACCCUAAUGAAGCAAUGGAGUACUAGACUUGCUAGCUGAAAAUGCUCAAAAUUGGGACACUAAGGGCACUUAUGAGGCACCAAGUAAAACCAACCUCAUACAUCUAGUGGAGGUAUGUAUAACCUUAGGGAAGAUCAUGACCUCCAAGCCAAGUUUACAUCUUUAGCUAGAAAAGUCGAGGCACUAGAAUUGAAAAAGAGUGGUCAAUUAAAAUCUGUUCAAGACAUUGUGUGUCAAAUCUGUGAAACAAAUGAACAUGCAACCAAUGAUGUCCAACUUUGCCUUCUUUCAAGGAAUGCUCCAUGAACAAGCCCAUGCUUUAAACAGUUUCCAAAGGCCCAAUCAUAACCCAUACUCGCAAACAUACAAUCCUGGUUGGAGAAAUCACCCAAAUUUCAGUUGGAAGAGUGAUAACAAUAAUGCACAAACUUCACAGCCACCGUUUCAAGCACACCAUAAUUUCCAAAAUUCUCAUGGAUAUGCACCUCCUUAUGCUCCACCUCCUAGAAGAAAUCUUGAGGAAACAUUGCAUGCAUUCAUUGAAAAGCAAGAGACAAUCAACACUCAACUUACUCAAAGCAUGACAAAUUUUAAAGAUGCUCUUGCAAAAUUCACAUCUGCUCUCAGUUUUCAAGAGAAAGGUAAGUUUCCAUCUCAACCACAGCAAAAUCCAAAGGGGCAAUACAAUGCAAAUGCAAGUAGUUCUGAAGCCAACACAUGGAUCAAGUCAAAUCAGUCAUCACUCUUCGAGUGGUAAGGUUAUUGAAAAACCCACUCUUGAACCUUGUGAGAAAGAUGAUGAGUCAAUCUCUGAGGGUAAGGAAGGGGUUGAAUGAACAUUGUGAAGAAAAGACUGAUUCUCCGCCAGCACUUCCAUUUCCUCAUGCCAUGACCAAACAAAGGAAAGUCAAUCACAAUUGAAAUCUUUGAAAUUUUCAAACAGGUAAGGAUCAAUAUACCUUUGUUGGAUGCUAUUAAACAGGUACCUUCCUAUGCUAAAUUUUUGAAAGAUCUAUGCACUGUGAAGAGAAAACUGAAUGUGAAAAAGAAAGCCUUUUUAGCCGAACAAGUAAGUGCCAUUCUUCAGAAAUAAUGCUUUGAAAUAUAAAGACCCUGGUUGUCCUACAAUUUCUUGCUUUAUUGGAGAACAUAAAAUUGAAAGAGCUUUACUUGAUCUUGGAGCUAGUGUGAAUUUACUUCCAUAUUCGGUUUUUCAAAGUCUCAAUCUAGGUGAGUUAAAACCAACUUCUGUAACUCUUUUACUUGCUGAUAGAUCUGUAAAAGUGCCUAGAGGAAUAGUUGAGGAUGUGUUAGUACAAGUUGAUAAAUUCAUUUACCCUGUAGAUUUUAUUGUCUUGGAUACACAACCUGUUGAAGCAUGUAAUUCAAUUCCUGUUAUUUUAGGACGUCCAUUUCUUGCAACUUCUAAUGCAUUGAUUAAUUGUAGGAAUGGACUGAUGAAACUAUCAUUUGGAAACAUGACAUUGGAGAUGAAUAUUUUCAACAUUUGCAAGCAACCUGGAGAUGAUAAUGAUUUACAGGAAGUGGACUUUAUUGAAAAAUUAGUUCAUGAUCAAUUUCAAACCACUUCUAGUGAAACUAGAUUGAUGAACUGACGAUUUGCAAAUGGUUUAUUUUCAGGAAGAAGCAAAGGCAUGUAAUUGGAGACCACAAAUUGAAGAAUUGCCAUCACGAUCAAUUGAGUCUAUACCUUCAAGUGUUCAACCACCAAAACUGAUUUGAAGCCGUUACCAGUCAAUCUCAAAUACUCAUUUUUGGGAGAAAAUGAAACUUUUCCGGUAAUAAUCUCUUCCAAACUUAAUGCACAUCAAGAAGGUAAGUUAUUACAGACUCUGAAAAUGCACAAAAAUGCAUUAGGAUGGACCAUAGCUGACAUAAAAGGAAUUAGUCCUUUGAUUUGCACACACAGGAUUUAUUUGGAGGAAAAUGCUAAACCAUCUAGAGAAAUGCAACGAAGACUUAAUCCUAAUAUGAAAGAAGUAGUGAAAAAUGAAGUCAUUAAGCUUCUAGAUAAUGGAAUCAUUUAUCCUAUUUCUGACAGCAAAUGGGUAAGUCCUACCCAAGUUGUACCCAAAAAGUCUGGAGUCACUGUGAUAACAAAUGAGAAAAAUGAGUUAAUUCCAACUCGGACUAUUACUGGUUGGCGCAUGUGCAUUGACUAUAGGAAACUUAAUUUAAUGACUAGAAAAGAUCAUUUACCUUUCAUGGAUCAAAUCCUAGAAAGAGUUGCAGGUCAUGAAUUUUAUUGUUUCCUAGAUGGCUAUUCAGGUUACAAUCAAAUUGAAAUUGCAUUGGAAGAUCAAGAGAAGACUACUUUCACUGUCCAUUUGGUACUUUUGCAUAUCGAAGAAUGCCUUUUGGAUUAUGUAAUGCACCAGCCACGUUUCAAAGAUGCAUGCUUAGCAUAUUCAGUGAUAUGGUUGAACGUUUUCUUGAGAUUUUUAUGGAUGAUUUUUCUGUUUUUGGUGAUUCAUUUGAUGAUUGUUUAACUAACUUGGAAAAGGUUUUGAACAGGUGUGAAGAGAAGAAUCUUGUACUGAAUUGGGAAAAAUGUCACUUUAUGGUAACAAACGGCAUUGUACUUGGUCACAUUGUUUCAUCGAAGGAAUUGAGGUUGACAAAUCUAAAAUCGAGUUAAUUGCCAACUUACCAACACCAAAAUCUGUUAAAGAUGUUAGAUCAUUCUUAGGACAUGCUGGUUUUUACAGAAGGUUCAUCAAAGAUUUUAGUGUAAUAUCUAAACCAUUGUGUAACCUUCUAUCAAAGGAAAUGUUUUUGAAUGGACUGAACAUGUGAAAAAGCCUUUGUUAAACUUAAAAACUUGCUUACUUCUGCUCCUGUCAUUCAACCUCCUGAUUGGUCAUUACCUUUUGAAAUAAUGUGUGACGCUAGUGAUUAUGCCGUGGGUGCUGUCUUGGGACAAAGAAAAGAUAAGAAACCUUAUGUGAUUUACUAUGCAAGUAAAACUUUAAAUAGUGCUCAAAUGAAUUACACUACCACUGAAAAAGAAUUACUUGCAGUAGUAUUUGCAUGUGACAAGUUCAGAUCUUAUCUUGUUGGCUCACCUGUUGUUGUUUUUAGUGAUCAUGCAGCAUUGAAAUAUCUUCUCUCUAAGAAAGAUUCUAAGGCUAGAUUGGUGCGGUGGAUUUUGUUACUUCAAGAAUUUGAUAUCACAAUCAAAGACAAGAAAGGCACCGAAAAUGUUGUCGCGGAUCAUUUGUCAAGAUUGACAACCGAUUCGAGAUCUGACAUCACACCAAUCGAUGACUACUUUCCUGAUGAAUCUUUAUUUUCUGUCUCUACGAUGCCUUGGUUUGCUAAUAUUGUUAAUUUUCUUGUUUCAGGACAAUUGCCAGCUCAUUGGAGUACCCAAGACAAAAGAAAGUUCUUGAACGAAGUGAAGAACUUUUAUUGGGAUGACCCUUAUUUAUUCAAAUAUUGUCCUGAUCAAAUAUUUCGAAGAUGCAUUCCUGACAAUGAGGUAAGUAGUGUCAUUAAAUUUUGUCAUUCUGAGGCAUGUGGGGGUCAUUUCUCAUCAAGAAAGACAACUGCAAAAAUCUUACAAAGUGGAUUUUACUGGCCCACCAUGUUCAAAGACUCACAUGCAUUCUGCAAGACUUGUGAAAAUUGUCAAAAGUUGGGAUCUAUUUCAAAACGUCACAUGAUGCCUUUAAAUCCUAUUCUUGUCAUUGAGAUCUUUGACUGUUGGGGUAUAGAUUUUAUGGGUCCAUUUCCUCCAUCAUUUGGUUUCUUGUAUAUAUUGGUCGUAGUAGAUUAUGUUUCAAAAUGGAUAGAGGCAAUUCCAAGUCGAACCAAUGAUCACAAAACAGUGAUAAAGUUUUUGAAAGAAAACAUUUUAAGUCGAUUUGGAAUCCCUCGAGCCAUGAUAAGUGAUGGUGGAACACAUUUCUGCAACAAGCCAUUUGAAUCUUUAAUGAAGAAAUAUGGAAUCACACACAAAGUUUUCACCCCUUAUCACCCUCAGACAGUGGACAGUAGAGCUUGCUAAUAGGGAGAUCAAACAAUCUUGGAGAAAACGUGAACCCUAAUAGGAAAGACUGGUCUUUAAGACUUAAUGAUGCACUUUGGGCUUAUCGAACUGCUAUAAAACAUCAUUAGGUAUGUCACCUUAUAGACUAGUCUAUGGAAAACCUUGUCACUUGCCUGUGGAAAUUGAACAUAAAGCUUAUUGGGCUAUUAAAGCUUUCAAUUCAAACAUUGAUGAUGCUAGUCAGCUGCGAAAAUUGCAAAUAAAUGAGCUUGAGGAAAUAAGAAAUGAUGCAUAUGACAAUUCAAGAAUUCAUAAAGCAAGAAUCAAAGAGUUUCAUGACAAGAAAAUACUGAGAAAAACAUUCAAUGUUGGUCAAAAAGUCUUGCUUUAUAAUUCUCGACUCCAUUUAUUUCCUGGAAAACUAAGAUCAAGAUGGAGUGGUCCUUUUAUUGUGAAACAUGUGUAUCCAUAUGGGGCCUGUGAUAUCGAAAUCCAAAGAAUGGAAUGUUUUCAAGGUAAAUGGGCAUCGUUUAAAGUUUAUUUUGACAAUUUUUCAGUUGAAAAUGACUCUAUUGAAUUGAGUGAUCCUGUAUAUAAAGAUUGAUUCUUUUUCUCACAUUGUUUUUGUGUGACUUUUUUUUGCUAGUCUCUCACCCCGGUCAAAUGGCGGAUAACGGUACUCCGUGACUUAAGUCGGUUCUUUCAGUUUCCCAAUAACUGAUAUCUGUGUAUAUAUUUUGCAAUUCUUGCUCUUUCUCCUUCUUUGAAUCUCUCCCCAAUUCUCAGUUGAAAAUGGACACCACUCUUGAAAAAUUGAAAAAUAUUUUCCCGCUCUGCCUCAAAUGCGAUUACAAAAAUUUACCGUGCUAGAUGUGCAAGAUUGAGGUUGUUAAUGAACAUGGAAUUCCUGAAGAUAUUCGCUGGCUAUUGAAGCAAAGGUCCGAUUAUCAGGUGAGUCCUCCAAUUCUUUCAUUUCACACAUGCCUGGAACAGGUAAAGCACUUUUGCAAAGAAACGUCGUGCAAAACGACUGAAAGUCUGUCACGAUGUGCCAGAUGGACUUGUAAUGCGACAUGUCGUUCUUUAGGAAUGGUAUCUGUAAACCGUGAAGAUAAAUACAAUUCAUUAAGGAUGGCCUGAGUAAGGGGUCUUUAGAUAAUCUUUUAUUGACCUUGAGACGCACCUAGUGGAGAUGUGCAUCGUGCAAUUCAUGAUUUAUGGCCCAAUUCCAUAAAGAACAUGCUCGACUUAGUCUUGGGAAUCUGACUAAAAAAGACCCUGUUUGCCAGUUUUUAAGAAAACUGGAUGGGAAGCCUAUCCCCGACCCAUAGAGGGCGUUUAAGCCGUUCUUGGACGUAAAACCAAGGGAAGAUGUGAGCCAUAAUCACAACUACCUGUACAUACAUGCUUUUUCAAAAUAAAUAAUUAAUAAAGAGAGAGAGAGAGUGUGUGUGUGUGUAGACUACAGCUGGCCUACAUAUAGGUGGUAUGAUUGCAUUUUCAAUUUCUCAUCUAUAAAUUCUUCUCUUCCUUCCCUUCAUUUCUACUCAACCCAUACAUUCAUCAAAUACAGAAGUGUGUAGAAAUGGCAGGUUCCUCAAGUCAUCACAUAAAAAAAUUUGUGUUUUUGGUGGAUCCAGUCCGGGAAAGAAAAAGAGUUUUUAGAAUCAGCAAAUCAUCUUGGUCGGUACUAGCUGAGCGAAAGAUUCAUUUAGUGUAUGGAGGAGGAGCCUUGGGUUAAUGGGGGGAGUGUCAAUGGCUGCAUUUUUAGGAGGUAGUCAAGUUUUGGGGGUUGUCCCCAAAGCUUUAGCACAAGGGGACAUCAUUGGAAAAACAAUUGGAGAGGAAUACAGGUCCCACAAUGUCUGAUCGACUGAAUCCAUGUUUAACCAUGCUGAUGCCUUCAUUGCCUUACCAGGUGGUCUGGGCACAUUGGAAGAGAUCUUUCAUAUUUCCUCUUGGGCCCAACUGCACAUUCACCAUAAACCCAUAGGUUUGUUAAAUGUUAAUGGUUUUUAUGAUAAGUUGUGUCUUUCUUGAUCAAGCUGUGGAACAGGAAUUUCUAACAUCUUCGGCACGACAAAUCAUAAUCUCUGCUGCUACUGCUGAACAAUUGAUUGACCAACUACAAUCUUUCAUCCCUGUAUUAUCCCUCAUGAGUCGCAUAAAUUGGUCAACUCAGGAAAGCCGUAAAAAGCUUAGAUUGGAUUUGAGCCUUUGUUUGUAAAAACUUUGUGUCUUUUGGUUUUAUUAUUGUGUUUUGUUGUUUCUUCUAUUUGUUUAAGUGUGUUUCAGGUUUGUCAGUAUUCGUUAUUUCAGGUGAUGUCUUCUAUACUCUAUCUUUCUACCUUAAAACAUUGAGGACAAUGUCUCAUUUUGGUUGGGGGGAAAGGGUAGUAGUAAAAAAAAAAAAAAAAAAAAACUGUGUUUUCUAUUUCAUAAACUAUUUGCAAAACUGUUGUUGCUAGGAUGGCAGAGUAAAAGGAGUUCUUUUGUUAAAGUGACUCUUGAGACGCAUCUUAGUAAACAUUCUUAACAAGGUCUAUCAGAAUACUUCUUGAAAUAUCUAAGUUUACAAACUCUCAUAUUGUUAAAACACCCCUUCGGGCUUAAUUGCUUAGGUUAGGGAGGCUACGAAACCAAACUUAUCUACGUUUUUAUUCAUCAUUAUUAUCACAAUUUUUUUUUGUUUUUUUGUUUUUUUUGUUUUUUUUAUGCAAAUUAUGUACUAUCCCUUUCCCUUAGUUGUUACCUUUAACAAAAGAACAUAAAUAAUGUAAUAAUCCAAUGUGCAACCCACAAUCAUAUGUUAAAGCGUGUGUGUGUGAAAAUGAAGAUUUAAGAAUACUUAUUAAAUGAGAUGUUGGAUGCUAUUGUGGAGAGGAUUGGAGAGGAAAAUAUGGUGCAAGUAGUCACUCACUGACAAUGCUGCAAAUUAUAAGGCAGCAGGGCAAUUGUUGAUGGGAAAAAGAAAAAGAUUGUUUUGGACACCGUGUGCUGCCCAUUGUAUUGACUUGAUAUUGGAAGAUUUUGAGAAGAAACUUGAGGUCCAUCAAGUAACUAUUGCUAAUGGGAGGAGAAUCACCUCAUACAUAUAUUUAAGAACUAUUCUCAUUUCCAUGCUCAGACACUUUACAAAAGGAAAGGAUUUGAUUAGGCCUGCUGCCACUAGAUUUGCUACUGCAUACUUAACUCUUGGAUGUUUGAGUGAUUGUAAGAUACAAUUGAUGACAAUGUUUACUUUCAUCCAAUGGAGGUCAUGUAGGUUUUCAAAAACAGAAGAAGGGAAGCGAAUUCAAAGUUGUGUUUUAGACAACAAGUUUUGGCAUGAUGUUACUACAUGUAUUAAGGCAGCAUAUCCUUUGAUAAAAGUUCUUUGAUUAGUUGAUUCAGAUGAAAAACCAGCUAUGGGUUUUAUAUAUGAAGCAAUGGAUCAAGCAAAAGAGAAAAUACAAGUGAAUUUUGGUUCUGUGAAAAAAAUGUAUUGAUUAUAUAUAUUGCUAAUUAUUUAUUUACUAUUAUCAGUUGAUUAUAAUGUUUACCAGCUAGGUCAUAUAAUGUUGAUGAUAAUAUUCUUAUUUUUAUUUUGUAGUUAUAUGCCUAUAUGGAAUAUCAUUGAUGCAAGAUGGGAACUUCAACUUCAUAGACCUUUACAUGCAGCAACAUAUUACUUGAAUCCUCAUUAUCAUUAUAACUCUAAUUUUAAAGUUAAUGCCAACAUUAAAAUUGGAUUAUAUUAAUGCUUAGAAAGGAUGGUGCCCGAUGCAAGUGAAAGGUGUAAAAUUGACUUGCAACUUGAUUCAUUCAAGGAUGCAAGUGGGUUGUUCGGUAUUAAGGCUGCCAAGAUAACAAGGGAUAAAAAGACUCCAGCUAAAUGGUGGGAUUCUUAUGGGGAUGAAUGUCCAAAGCUACAAAAAUUUGCAAUUCGAGUUUUAAGCUUGACUUGUAGUUCAUCUGGAUGCGAGCGAAACUGGAGUGCAUGUGAGAUGGUAAGUUUUUUCCUUUUUAAUUUUAAUGUUUUUAUAUUUUAUAAGAAUCUUAUAUGGUAUUAAUUUGAAUUUCUUACAUAGGUUCAUACAAAACGAAGAAAUCGUUUGCACCAGAAAAAAAAAGAAUGACUUGGUAUUUGUAAUGUGCAAUAUGAAAUUAAAUGAUAACCAAGUCAAAAGGCAAGCUAAUGAUUUUGGUGAAGUUUUUUAUCAUCUCUCAUCUGAUGAUGAUUGGAUAACCGAGGGAGAGAAACAUGAUGGUUCAUCCAACUUUGACUUGCUUGGUGUCAUUGAUAGUGCAACACGAAGGAAAAACGGCAAAGACGAUGAAAGUGAUGAUGAAGAAAAUCUUAAUGAUGUUGGGAUGGAGUGUCAUGGAACUGAAGAUGAUUUAGAGAUUCAGAAUGAUGUCAAUCCAAAUAAUUCAAGGAGCUUGGAGUUAAAUAUUGUUGACAAUAUUGGUGUUGGUCCUGGUACUAGUAGUAGCACUAAUGUUCCUAAUAUCGGUGUUGGUAAUAGUAGUAGCAGUAAUAAUCCUUUAGAUGGUAAUGAUUUUGAUGACUGUUUUAGGAAUAAUGAGGGAGACAAAGGCAAUGAGGGUGUGUUUAGUUUACAUGACACACCUACAAACUGUUUAUUUUAGAUGUGUUAACUUUUAGUAAUUAUUGAAAUACUAUGGACAUGUAUGAAUUAUGUAUUUUAAGAUGUUUGGAUAUUUGUAUUGUUUAUUUUACUUUUAUUUGAAUUAUGUAUUUUAAGAUAUUUGGAUAUUUGUAUUGUUUAUUUUACUUGUAUUUGAAUUAUGUAUUUUAAGAUGUUUGGAUGUUUAUUUUGCAAUUUUACGAUUUUAGUUAAAAUAUUUUACUUGCGAUUUUACGAUUUUUAGUUAAAAAAUUUUACUUCUGAUUUUACGAUUUUACGAUUUGAGUUUACGAUCGAGUUUAUAUUGUAUGUUCCGUGUCGUGUCAAAAAAGCGUUUUUGACAACCUUGCUUGGGGCUAUAAAUUGCAAGUCCUGGGUGGAUUCUUAUGAUAAAGUUGGGCCAAUUUGAAAUAACAAAGAAAAACAAUUUUGGCAUAUAAUUUUAUUAAUCUUUAUUGUUUGUAAUUUGCAGAGCAUAAUUAGGAAUGUAGAAUUAAAUUUUAUUAUUUUUGUCUCAAACCAGUUACAAACGAAGGAAGUCCAAUUUUGGAGUAAGUGAUUAUACAUAUUAAUAUUUAUGUGUUUAUAUAGUUGGAAAUAUAAAGCUAUUAAUAACAAAAACUGUUGGUGCAUCUAAGAGAAAAGUAUAGAAGUUUACUAAUUACUAAAGAAAUACCUUCCGAAAUUCAUAUUCUAUUUAAGAGCAUGCCGACCAAAGCGAUAAUUUGUCAGGCUUAUAAAACAAAUUAUUACUAAAUUAAUUUAAUUUAUUAGAGAAAUACCUUUCGAAAUGCAUCAUUAUAAGUAUGUUGUGUUUGUUUAGUAAAAAAAAUAAAAAUAUAUUUAACUAAAAAAUAAAAGAAAAUAUAUAAAAUCCAUAACAUAUGUCCAUACAUUUUUUCUGUUUUCAUUGUUUUUAUCUUUUUUAUUUUAAAAUAAUAAUAAUCAAACACCAUUUUUUAUUGAAUUUAAAAAUAGUGAGUGAAGCAAUCCAACCACAAAUGUAGGGGAAGAAAAAACAUUCAACUUAUUUACAAAUCAUUUUCAAAAGAAGGAAAAUUGAAAAACUCUUUAAUUCAUUCAUUGUAUCAACUUGAAAAAUAAGUAUUUGUAAAAAACAAUUAAUAAAAAAUUAUCUUGAGUUGCAAGAUUUAUGUUAAUUCAAGAAUAACUGAGAAUUCGGCAAAUUGAAUCCAGCAAACUUGGGGCAUUAAAUGUUGCAUUGCACAUCGAAGGUGGUUUUCUGUUUUUUGAGAAGAAAAAAACAAACACUUUUUACGUAAAAGUAACAAAUUAAGGAUGCCGCCUUUCAUAAUGAUUUGAUAAUAGGUUGUCGGGUAGAUUGUUUGUUUGUUUUUAUAUUUUAAAAAUAUUUUUUAAAAAUAAAUUAAGUUUAUUUUUUUAUUUUUUUAUUUUAAAUUAAGUUUUUUAUAUAUAUUAUUUUAAUAUACUGAUAUCAAAAAUAAUUUUUAAAAAAUAAAAAAUAUUAUUUCAAGUAUUUUUAAAUAAAACAUAUUUUAAAAAAUAACUGUUACAACAAUAAUAUUACCACAAUAAUAAACAGGCUCUUAAAAAAAAGAACCGUGAGAAUUGUUUAGAAUGAUUAGAAUGCAUGCAUACAACUCGGUCGCAUGUAAGAUCAAUUUUCAUUUAUUUUGAAUGUAAAAUGCAUGUCGUUGGUAUUAAAAAUAAUAUAAAUUAUAUCUUGAAACCUCACUUAAUAGUUUAAGCAACCAAGUUACAUAGGUUUUUGUCAUUAUAUUAGAGCCUUGAUGACCAAACGAUCACGAGUUCAAAUCUCAUCAUUCUCAUUUAUUUAAUAAAAAUUAAAAACAAGGUAAUGUGGCCUUAUGUAAAUUCAAGUCUAAAAUGCUUCCACUUGAGAGGGGUGUUAGAAAAUAAUAUAAAUAAUAUCUUGAGACCUUACCUAACAAUUUAAAUUAUUGGAUUGAAUUAAUUCUUUAACAGUUAGGAGAAAUUAGUUUUAAAACGUAGUUAUUGUAUUUAAAUUAAUGAAUUAAGAUUUUGUUGAAAAAUAUUUUUUUGCAUGAAUAUUAAUUAUAACAUGAAAUAUUAAAAUACUUAAAAUUAAUUAUAGAUAAAUAAAAAAUUAAUUUCAAAGAAUUCUGAAUGAAAUUGAUGAAAAAAAAAUCAUAUUUUUUUUGGAUAAAAAAAAAAUCAUAUUGAUAAGAAAUUAUUGGUUUUAUCUUUUAGAAAUAUAUAUUAUUUUUAAUUUAAAUCUAACACAUACACCCAAAACCAGAGUUACAAAAAUAGGCAGACUAGCGUUUCCAAAAUAAUGGUAUGGUUGAAAUUUUCCAGAGCACGUGCUUUCCGCAAUGUAAAAGUUUUAAUAUGGAAACAAUCCUUCCAUCCGCAAACAUGGGAUUAUCCUAAAUUUAAGAAGAAAAUCCAUACAUAGUAAAAUGUGAAUCUAAUUACCCCAAACCAAAACCAUGAGCAAAAACUGAUGAAGAUCUUCAAAACCCAGGUCGCUGCUGCCGCCGCUGCUGCUGCCGCAACUGCUGCCGCAACUGCCGCACCAGCUGCUGCCGCAGCUGCUGUCGCUGUCGCCGCUGCCGCAGCUGCUGUCGCUGUCGCCGCUGCCGCAGCUGCUGUCGCUGUCGCCGCUGCCGCAGCUGCCGCACCUGCUGUUGCUGUCGCAGCUGCUGGAGCACCCGCUGCGGCACCGGCUGGAGCACCCGCUGCUGCACCGGCUGGAGCACCUGCUGUUGCUGCUGCUGCUGGAGCACAUGCUGUUGCUGCUGCUGCUGGAGCACAUGCUGUUGCUGCUGCACCAGCUGGAGCACCCGCUGCUGCUGCGGCACCGGCUGGAGCACCCGCUGCGGCUGCGGCUGCUGGAGCACCCGCUGCGGCUGCGGCUGCUGGAGCACCUGCUGCUGCUGCAGCCGCUCCUCAUCAUCAAGCGGCUGCUGCCGCAGAUCCUCAGCAUCAAGCGGCUGCUGCUCCUCGAGCAUCAGCUCCAUCUUAGGUAUAGUCGAACUGUACAUGGAAUCGAUGUUACAUGUUUUGUUGGGUGUUAAAUUUUUUUUUUAAUAAAACAUUAACAGAUAAAUAUUUUCAACAUGUUUUUGUAUUUAAAAAAUUCUAGUGAAAAAAAAAUAUAUACAUAAAUGUAAUCAAAUAAAUCAAGAAUUAUGUGUGUUAAAAAAAAAAACAAUCAUAAACUAUAACUAAAAAUAAAAGUGGAAAAAUCGAGAAACAAGUGUAGAUUAAGAUAUUUAAUUUCAAAAGACGAGAUAUUUACGCGAUUGUAUUUACUAAAUUUAUUAAUUAAAAUAAGUUUUUUAUUCAAUCAAACGAUAAUAAAAAUAGAUAUACACAUUAAAUUGAUUGAAUAAAAUAAAAUAAAAAAAAUAAUAUACAAGGCUGCACAUAUUAGAAAUAUUAUUUGAAAAUAAAAAUUUUCAAAUAAAAAAAUUUAAACUGUAAAUUAAAAAGCUUAUACAUACAUGUAAUCAAAUAAAUUGAUAACUAUGUGAAUUAAUAAUAACAAAAAUAUAGUAACGAUAACUAAAAAUAAAAUUAAAAAUUCAAAUGUGUUAAUAACAUAACAUUUACACAGUUAUAUUUUUUUAAUUGAUUUAUUAAAAUUAAUCUUUUUACUCAAUCAAAUGAUAUUAAAAAAAUACAUGUAUUAAAUUGAUUAAAUAAAUUAAAAAUAGAAAAAAAUAUUACACAAGGUUGUUGUACAUAUUAUGUUAUCUGAAAAUAAAUAUUUUUUUAUUUUUUAAAUAAAAUUCUUUUAUACAAAAAGAUAAAAAAAAAAAUCAUUGAUGAAUCAUAAUACAUUUUUCAAAAAUUAAAUACAAACAACACCAUAAAAAAAUAUCUAUCCAAAAAUAAAUAAAUAAACAAAAAAAUAAUCAGAGAUGAGGAAUAUUAAUUAAAACAUAAAUUUAAAAAAUAUAUAAAAACAAUAUCAGAAAAAAUAAACAUUGUUUUGUUGUUGUGGCUUAACUCGUUAAAUCCAUGACCUGGAGUAUGAACUCAAUCGGGUUCAAUAUUGUUUUUCCUUUAAAUUCGUAUUCAACCUUUAACCAAAAAGAAAUUAAACAUGUGACCCAGACCAUGAACUCAACCAGACUAUAUUAUUUUCUCUUAAAUUUAUAUUCAAUCUUUAAAAACAAAUACAUACAACACUAUCAAAAAAUAAUUUAUAUUAAAAAAGGAUAUAUAAAAAAAAUAUCAGUAAAAAAAACAACAUUAGAAAAAAAAUAAUUGUCCAGUUAUUGUGGCUUAACUCGUUAAACUCAUAACUCAGUUCAUGAACUCAAUCGGGUUCAAUAUUUUUUUUCUUAAACCUUAAAAAAAAUUAUUAUAUGACCCGGAUCAUGAAUUGUUCAAUAAUUGUUUUUUCUUUAAAUUUAUAUUCAACUUUAAAAAAAAUUCAACAAUUAAAAAUGCACAACACUAUAAAAAGAUCAAUCUUUAUAAAAAAAACCUCAACCGGGUUGAAAUUUUUUCUUCUUAAAUUUAUACUCAACUUUAAAAAAAACUCGUGCCCUAGAUUAUACACUCAACCAGUUCAAAAAAAUUUCCCUUCGAAUUUGUAACAAACCUAAAAAACAAAAAUAAAGUAAACAAUAAUGUCCAUAUUAAAGCAUUUUGGUUUAAUCGAGACCAUAAACUCCAAUGAGUUUAAUAUUAAUUUUUCUGAAAUUCAUAAUCUACCUUGAAAAAAAAAACUUGUAACCCCAUUGUGUACUGAACCUUGCGUGGUGCUUUUCCCAUGCAAAAAAAAAAAAAAAAACAAAUUUGUUAACAUACCUUUGCGAUCCAGAUGAAAUCUCAAUUUCACUGAGAAUAUCCAUCCAUCUUUGUACCUUCUCCUCGUUUUCCCUGAAUUUUCUUCAUUCUUAUCAAAGACAAUUGUGCAACUCUCUGUUUGAUCAUCUAUCUUUGAUUGCUCGACAUCAUAAGAAACUGGAAACACAGUGUCCGAUCUCAUCUCAUCCAUGAAUCGACAAUCUUGACAAGUUCUUCAAAGCACCAAGGUAAAGAAGCACAAUCUCUUGAAAAUAUAAUAAUUGACAGCCCUGAUUCUUCAAUGGCCUCAAAGAGUCUUGAUCUAAUUGCCAUUACUUUCUCUGGUUCCUUCUCGACUGGCACAAUGAAUCUCAGCUAGAUCUGACUUUAAAUAGGUGACAGCAUUACUAGGGAAAACAUUGGCCAUCCAUUGAUGGUACGACGAGAAAAAGCUAAAGAAGCUUUAAUGAAGAAGCUACUUCUUUGCUUGUAACAAUAAAAUGGGCAGAUGGUUGGUGUAAUAUACACAGAAGAUAACAAACAGACACCACAAUUCUUCACCUUUACUCCUGGUGGAAAGAAUGAAAUGACAACUCAAUGUUGCUAAAGGAUUCAUGCUUCCAUUCUUUAAGCUCUUUAAGGUAAUCAAAAGAUAGAUAGAAUAGCCAAAUAUGAUCUGACAGAACUUGGAUAGAGUUACAACUAAUACACAUCGGCGAAGGAUAAUUCUCUCUUCCAUUGGCUUUGAAAUGACAAAAAAGAGAGGACUUUCACCAUUUGCACUGAAUGCAACACAGCAACAAACCCCAUGCUCCAACUAGGCACUUGCACACUAAUUGAAGAUCCCUUACUUUGAUGGUUAAACCAGCCUGGAAUUUCAUUUCCUGGAACAGCGAUACCAAAUCCAGGUCUUGGAUUAGACAAACCCUGUACCAUGAAAACCAAAAUGUUAGAUAGAUAGAGGGAGAGGGAGAGAGAUACAAAAGGUUGGGGUAUGAUUAAGAGAAGACCUUGAGGUAUCUUUCAAGCAUGGUAACCCCAUGUUGUCUUGGCCAUUAUGAUUGUACAAUUCCCAGCAGUUAAGACAUAUGAACUCUGAUCUUUUGGAACUGCUUAGCUUUAUCGGAUCUGGAAUUUCUUUUAGGCUUAUACAACCAUUCAAAUUUAUAGUUUGAACUUAGAUGGAACCUCAGGCAAUGAUUCAAGCAUCUGCAAUCCUCCAAGACAAGCAUUUCAAGUCCAGAAAGCUGAUUUAUGCUUCUAGGCAGGCUAACAAAGUUAUUCGGCUCAGAUCUAAAGACUUCAAUGAAGAUAAGCAGCCAAUAUCUUCAGGAAGUGCCCCUUCUCUUAGAUUGCAAGCACAUAAAUCCAGUACUUCUAAAGAACACAGACCGACAAAAAGGCAACCUUUGAUCCGUGGAUUCUCAGCUAUUCUUUUGCAUCCAUCAAAAGAUAAUACUUUAAGAUUCUUUAAAAGAAAAAUGGAUGCUGGCGGUUGUCUUAUUGAAGUUCCACUUACAUCAAACUCCUCCAAACUUUCAACUUUCCCCAAAUUCUCUGGUAUAUUUAAGUUCAGAGCAGCCAGACAAUCAAGUUUUUUAAGGGAUUUCAAGCAACCUAUGCUACUGGAAUGCUUUCAAGGUUCUUGCAGUUGUUCAUGCUCAAUACUUCUAAGCCAAUCAAAUGAUGAAUUGAUGAAGAUAGUUCUUCAAUACCAGUCCCAUCCAAACGAAGCACCAUCAAACAGUUCAUGUUUCCUACUAUAUCUGGAAACUUCUCAAGUUUUGAGCAGCCAUCAAGAAUGCAAACUUUAAGUGAUUCCAUUUCAAGGUUGUUUGGGAGAAUCCUAAUACUUUGCAAUCCAUAAGAUUCACAUAUUGAAGCUUCUUGUGAUAUGCAAGUGAUGGAUGGACCUCAGACAAACUUGUACAACCUUCAAGAAUAGACUCUCGAGAUUUGGAAUUCAGUAAAAUCUGGAGUCUUGGUCAGGUUAGUGAGUUGCUGAGAUUGAUGAUUUUCAAAUUAACUGCACUCUGCAAUCAGCAGGGAGAAAAAUAUGGAUACUAUCAUACAUAUAUAGGAAAACGAUAAAAAGAAAUACAAAGGCCUUUAAAUUAGUUGAUCUCACCUUACACCCAUACCAUAAUUGCUCAAGACUACUUAGCCAUGUGAAGUUCAACUAGCUCAUCCACCUGUAAACCAGCUGGCAAUGAUUUUGAAGGGUAAGAAUGCCAUUCAAGAAAUCAACUUAUUGGAAAGAUCUUCAGGUCCUUCAGAAAGCUGCACGUUGUGAUUUUGAGCAAUCUUAGUUGCUCAUUUUAGAGAAGGCUUUCAUGUUCCAUUGUGCCUCUUUUAUUCCAGGCAUGUCCAGGAAAAUGGCUUCUAUUUUUUCUUUUCCCUGUCAACAAAAGGAAUACAAGUAAAAAAAAAUACAAAGUAGAGAUGGAGCGUAAAUUAAAAUAAACUUCAUGAAAUCUUAUGGAUAAUGUUCUCUAUCAGCUACUCACUGUGUUGUCCAUCAGUGCAAGGCAGACAUCCUCGUAUGUCCACAAUCUACUCCCAGGUAUUCACAACGAACAAUUUCCUUACCCAUUAUCUGUAAUAAAUUAUGCAUCCAGACUUGAUCCCCAUAGACACUUAUGAGAGAUCUCUCAAUAAGAACUGGUAUUCCAAUACUGCAUGGAAUCCACAGCUGUCAAGUAUCCUUGUUAUUCGAUCUUUUUAAACCCCUUCAAGGAAACAGCAAUGUCUAAAAAUAUUUUCUAUCUGAUUCAUGGAGACCAUCAAAACUAAUACGCGAAGCACAUCAAUAAUUUUGCCGUCAGGAAUCUCAUUCAUUCGAUUAAUUGCACUCUCCAUUCAGGGAUACUUCUUCCAUACAAAAACGAACCUAUAACUUCAAGAGCCAGUGGAAGGCCAUUAGCAUAACCCACAACUUGCUUGGAUAGUUCAUGAAAUCUUAGCAGGCUGGUCUUUUUGAAAGCUUUCUGGCUAAAUAACAUAAGAGCAUCAUCAUCAUUCAAUUUCUCAGCCUCAUAAAUUUUAGUAUCAUCAUUUCCAGUUAACACAUUUGUAUCUCUGCUUGUUAUGAUAAUUCUGCUCCCUGGACCAAACCAUCCAGGCUCCUCAGCCAAGAAUUCUAGUUGUUUUUGUCAUCUACAUCAUCAAGGAUAAGAAGAAUCUUUUUAAGUCGUAACCUCCGCUUUAUCAUCUCAAUCCCUCUAAGAAUCCAUACAGAAGCACGUUCCAUUAAGAUUUCAGAAAGAAGUUGUUCCUGCAAACGGCGUGGUCCAUCUUUCUCAGCAAAAACUUCUCUGACAUUUGCUAAGAAGCAGCUACCUUCAAAUUGCCAACGAAUCCUAUCAUAUAGUACCCUUGCAACAGUCGUUUACCUAUGCCACCCAUUCCGCAAAUCCCUAUGAAGAUUGCUUGCCUACUUCUUCACCUAUAUACCAUUUAAUACCUCUAGACGAGAAUCUAUUCCAACUAAUUUUUUGCUAGUUGUUGGCAGAGUGACACUUAGUUUGUACGAUAUGUAUUCAACAAUUUUUGUAAUUGAUUCCAACUCAUUCCUGCAUAGGAGGGUGCAAAACAUUAAUCAUGCAGUGUGUAGAAAUCAAAUCAGAUAGUGAUAAUGGGAAAAUAAACAUUAGCAUAUUUUAGCUCGAAAAUGUAUGGUUGUUAGCCGGAAAUUAAUACACCAACCUUUGAGAAAGAACAGAGAGGAAAAGGAAAGAAUAAACUAAAAAAGGAACUAGGAUUGUAUUGAUGCUAAGAAUGGUCCUAACAAUAGCUAUCUUAUUGCCUAUAGAAUUAAUCACACAGUUACUAAAGAAGCAUGGACACAAGAACACAAGCUAGGAAAUAAAAUAUCCAUUAAGUUUGGUUUUAACAGACCAAAAGGCAAAUGGAAUUCUAUCAUAUUUUUUGACGACAACUAAGUUAUUUUUAAAAUUAUUUUUAACAAAAAUUUCAAUUAUCUUGCAUCAUUAACUUUUAAAAAAUAGCUUUAAAUUUAUUAAUUUUUAAGUUUUUUCCCAUAUUAGCAUAGUCCUUAAAAAUUUCCCAGACUAACAUAGUUUAAGUGGUUGCGCAAAUCCAAUCCACGCACCUUGACAUGCACUGAUAUCACGUAUGCUUCUCACAACUCAAAUUUUCAUAACCCAUUUCUUCGUCUUUCUUCUCUGUUUAAUCUUUUAUUUGGUCUUUCAAUUUUUAAACAAUCUUAAUAUUAAUUUCAAUGUAAUGAUCAUUUCAUUAAUAUAAACUUAUUUUUAUUUAAGUUGGACAAAAACAUAACAAUAUUUUAGGCAAAAAUUAACUCGUUUUUAGCGAUUGCAUUUGAAAUAAAUAUUAACUUUAAUUCAUAUGUUUUUCGUGUGCAAAAGAAUAGAUGAAAUGAUCGUAAUAAUGGAACUAAAGUUAACUAAAUAUAAAAAUUGAGGGACCAACCCAACAAAGAAAGAAAGGAAGAUUUUUUUGACAUGUGUGAAGUUGCCUAAUAAUGAUCGUAAUAAUGUGAAGUUGCCUAAGUGAGACCUAUGCAAUUGAUGAAACCGUGCUAGUUUGAAAAGUUUUUUCCCACCUAUAGUAUUUUGAGAAAUGGUUUUUUUUCAUGGGAAAAAAUUCAUGUAGCUUAUAAUUUGUCAUACCUUAAAAACUAAUGAUAAGUUGCCACUUGUUGAAAACUUCACUUUAAUGUGUAGUUCUUUAACUAGAUUUUUGGACUCAAGUGGACUAUUUUUUUCUAACCUUUAAAAAAUAUAAUAGUAUUUGAAAGUUAAAAAUUCAAUACAUGUAUAUUAAGAUAAUAAUAUAUUGGAUGAUAUAUUUAUUUAAAAAUAUAAUUGUGACGACAACACAUUAGAUCGAACUAGAGUAACUAUGGUUAACUUGUGAAACUCGCGAUCCGAAGCACAAAUCCAUGAAAACUCCAUGGAACCCAUAUCAAAAUAAAAUAGAGUCCAAUUUCAAUCAACCAAAUAUUAAAAGCUAAACAUAAAAAAAUUAUUCAAUUAAAAAAAGAAUUUAAAAAAAAUAACGAGAAAUAAAAAGACUUAAGAUAACCCUGAUUAUUUUUAAUUAUUUAAAAAUCUUAUAGAAAGAAAAUAAAAAAAUUAAUAGAUCCUAGUCUCUAAUUAAAUUAAAUAUUGAAUGAUAAAACUGGAAAAAAAACAUGAGCUUAAAAAAAAAACCUAGACAAAUCUCCUAAACGUGUCCCAAAUUCUUAAUCCGUUAAAUCCUAAAUCCAGACUCAACCAAAAAAAUUAAUUCAAUGUGAAAGUAUUAAAUCAAAAAUAAUAUAUGCCAAGGUAAAAAAACAUAACAAUAAAAAAUGAAGGAUGACAUCGUAAAAAAAAUAUUAAAAAAUAAUCUCACAUAAAAUAAAUAGUAAUCAAAAGAAUGAGAAUCAAAUCUAAUAGAUUAAAAAAUUAAAAAGUAUAAAAUUAAAAACAAAUUCAAUUCUAAAAAAUAAUUCAAAUAAAAAAUAUCAAUGGAAAGAAAAUAGACCAAAUAUGAAAAAAAAAAAAUCAAAUUAAAGGGUUACUAUACAAGUUUAGAAGGUAGAGUGCGGAAUUCGAGGAUAAAGACAAAAGAAAAGAAAAAAAAAGUCAUCUGGUGCCAAACCAAAAAGAAUUACUCCACACAUGCCACUAAGGGAGGUAGGUCAUGUCGUGGUGAAUCAAUAAACAUCAAUGAAGGCCUUUUUUGGGUGUCAUAAGCCAUUGCUCGUGCUGCUUAUUAGGAGUGAUCAUUUUCGGUUCGGUUUGGGUUCGUUUCGGUUCGGUUUUUUUCAGUUUCAGGCUUAAAAAUCUGAAACCGAACCGAACCAAUCGGUUUUUUCAAAAUUUUAAUCGAUUUUUUUUCAUGAUUUAUUUUUUUAGUUAUUUUUCCGGUUUCCGGUUUUCCUGUUUUAAUCGGUUUUCAGUUUUUUUUCUUAUCCCUACUGCUUACAUAAGGCAAAACAACUUACUCGCUUGUGUGUUCUACAAAAAAGCCAACCACUUUUCUUCUUCUUCUUUUUUUAAUCACAAAAAAAACAAAAAAACAAAAGCAUGAAUAAGCCAUUGAAAAAAGGUAAGUAUUUUUAAUUUUAAAAGAAAUAAAGUUAUUUUAUUGCACCCCGAAAAGUGAAAAAUCUUUAAAAAGCCCAUAUAGCUAAUUUAUUUAUUUUUACUUUUAAGAGCAACUAAGUAAUUAUACCGUAAAAAACAAUACCUAACUAUCCCUAUCAAUUCUAUAAUGACUAUUGGCCCUUAUAAGAAGACCCUAUUAUCCCUAAGUAGUUUAUUUUUUUUAGAAUGAAAAAUUAGUAAAUUCAUUGUUACAAUCCAUUAGUACAUCAAGACAUUUCUCAAGGAUUUUAAAUUUUUGUUAAUACAAUCGAUAAAGUUAUCCUCUAUUAUUCUAUAAUACAAUCAGGACAAAAAUAUUCUAAUGAUACUAAAAAUGUCUUUGUAAUAUUGACUUUUUCUAAAGAUGCCUCAAUAAAUUCAAUUUAGAUAAUUGAAAUUUUAUUAUCGAUCUAUUAAAUAAUAGAAAUUAGCAAAAAGUUCAAGAAUUUUUUUAAUUUGUUUUCAAUUUUUAUUUUAUAAAAAUUGUGACAAUUGAGAUUUGAGACGUGCUCUCUUUUAUUUUAAAAGUCAAAAUUAAAGAAAAACUAGGUUGAUCAUAGACAAAUGGGUCGUUAAAAAGCUAUUUAAUGAAUCAAAAAUAUAUACUAAUAAUUAUUUACUCAAGAAUUAGUUUUGAAACUCUUGUUGCAUUGUGAUUAUUUUGAUAUUUAAUCACACGUUUAAUUGAAAAACAUUGCAAAAAAAAGCUAUGAUCAUCAUUGAAACAAUACAGGGAGGAUUUGAGAAUAAGAAUAAGUAAAUAGAUGUUUACCUAUUCCGUACGUCCCAGCCUGAUAGAUUGGUCACCGUAGAGAGACAAUCUUUCCAGAUCUGAACCUUCUCCAAAUUUUCCUUUUGUUCAUGCUCAGCGAAGGCUUUCUCAUAAGUAUCUGAGGGAUCCACAUCAUAAAAAACUGGCAGAACAGUGUGCCCCAUCUCUUUCAUGCACUGAACGAUCUUGACAAGUUCAUCCAAACACCAUGGUGAAGAAGCGUAAUCUCUUGAAAAUACAAUGACAGAAAACCUUGAUUCUUCGAUGGCCUUCCAGAGAGCACGUUCUAUGGUCUUUCCUCUCUCGAGCUCCCUAUCAUCCAUGUAUACAUCGAUGCCUCUCUGUUUCAGAUUAGAAUAUAGAUGACUAGUAAAGUUGUCCCGGGUGUCUUUGCCUCUAAAACUAAGGAACACAUCAUACAUAUAUUGUGGAGGAGAAGAAAUGAAGAUGAGUAUUCCUUGCAUGCUGCUGGAAGCCAUGAAAAUCCCUAUAGCGAUAAAUUAGUACCGAUCCCUUCUAGCCUCAACUAGCUAGCGUGUAAGGCCUGCUCCUGUGGUCAAACAUGAAGCAGAAUGUAAGAUCGGGAAAUUUGGCAAUUAAAUCUACCAAUUAGCAAUUUCAAGCUCGAACAUGUACAAUUCUACUUAGAAAUCAGAAAACACCAAAUUUCUACGAGUAUUUCACGAAUCUAGACGAAAACAAACCGUGUGGUAAGUGUCGACUAAAGAGGCACAAGAUCCAGCCAAGCCCAAUAUUUUUUCUUCUUCUGGUAUCUUAGUAACCAACUUCGAAGCCCUUUUCUUUCUUUUUAUUCCAAUGACUUCGAAUUUCUUCCGGUUUCUUUAGAUCAAGAACUCGUACUGGUAAGUUUCCUGGAUUUUCUUACGGAUCUUUUUCUUACACUGUAAAGAAGAUGGAGUUUCGGUGGAGAAAAAGCAAAAAGAGAAAUGAAAGGGAUAUCGAAAUUUGAGUUGCACUGGCGGCAGAGGCACCUUCCUGUCAAGAGCAGGGGUUGGGCCACACACAUCACAAUUGAGUUGAUUUAUAUAUUUAAAAUAAAUAUUUUUGGACUUCUUUUGUCUCUUUCCCUUUGUUGCCUUCCUCUCCCUUAUAUAAUUCUGCACAAGAGCAACUCCAAUAAAACAUGCUAUUUUAAAAAGUUGAAAAUUAAAUUGAUAAAAUGGUUUUUAAAAUAAUAUAAGUAUAGUUUUAUUUAUUUUUGUGUAUUUCAAUGGUAAAAAUCCAUUUAGAAGAGCUAAUUAUAUUUUAAUAUAUUUUAUAUUAAACUAGUUUUAAUAUAAGUAUAUAACUUAUUUUUUAUAUAAUAUAAUCAUGUUAUUUAUUAUACAAUUAAUAUGAGUAACUUAUAAAAUUAAUGAAGUAAUACGAAAGUUUAAAAAUAUAUUUUAAAAUUUUAAAUUUUAAACUUUUAAAAUCAAAAUUUUUUAUAUUAAUAUUUUUAAUUUUUAAUUUUAUAUAAUAAUGUUAAAAUUUUUAGGUUUUGAGGUUGGCAAGCUUCUUUUCUUCUUGUUGUUCUGUUUUUAAAGAGAGAAACAAAAGCCAACCAUAGAUAAAGAGAUGUUGGCUAAAGGGUAUAUAUACUUUCUCCUUGUUUUUGACUUUUAUAUGUAAAUAUUUAAAAAUAGUAUUUUAGUAGAAGAAAAUAUAUUUUGGUUUUCUCUUUCCAAUGACCUCUUGCAUUGUAGUUGCUCUACUGCUUUUGAUGCUCGAUAACUUUUCGAACAAUUGACUUCAAAUUAUAAAUUGGAUGACAAAAUUUAACAAUUUAAGGCAUAAUAAAAUAUAAUUCAUAAUAAAUAUCAUAUUAAUAGCUUUGUUUUAAAUAUGUAUAUAAUUUUGUUGGUCUAGUAGGAUCGAAAAAGACCCUUUAAUGUAUAAAUUAUUGUUGUUGUUUAAAACAAUAUAUUUAGUCUAAAAGUUAGAAAAUAGCAUUGUUUUAAAUAUUUAUAUUAUUUUUUUCACAUAAAAUAUAUUAGUUAACAAAAAGCUAAAACAUGCAGUGAAAUUACUGUAACUAAUAAAACACUGUAGGUUUUGUCUUUAGUUUGUUGGAAAGUAAUGCCUUAUUUGUUUAAAGGAAACUCAAUUUCAGGAAUUUAUUUUCCUCAUUUUCCCUUGUUUCGCAACCAUCCGGAAAGUUAGUCAAAGGAAAGUUAAUUCCAGUCAACAAAAAAAUUGCUUUUACCUGCAGGAAAGUGUUUUCAUUUCCUUGUCAAAAGGAAAACACUUUCCUUUACUGAUAAAACACAUCUCAACCACUCUUUGUGUCUCUUUCUGAGAACAGUUGAAAAGCAAAGAAGAUCUGGAGAAUCACACUAACAUUUCAAGUAUUUUUUCCCUCAAAUUUCUCUAUUAUUUCUCUUUAUGUUUUUAUCUUCUUCGUAUUUUUUAGAUCUGUAAGAAUUAUAGCAAAAAAUCCUUGAUAUUGUUUAAUUUGUUGUUUGUUCCGAAAAAAACUAUUUCUUUGUAUUUGUAUAUGCUAUGCUAACAAUCCAUCAUGGUUGGGGAAGCUGCCUGUCAAUUUUUUCCCAGACCCAGUUUUCUUCUUCAUCUCCUCGUCACAUUCAAAUAAGCUCACAGAAAAACCCAACCAAAUUCAGCACAAGCAAAACAUAAAAAACACAAUUUUUCUUGCACAUUCGACAGCUUCCCCAACCAGUUAUACCCUGUUUCCCCGAACAAAGAGAGAUACGCAAACAGGAGGGGAAACUGCCGGGGGAGAGAGGGAUGAGAACUGGGACUGAGGAGCAGAUCCCUGAGAUAUUAGUUGUCCUGCCCAUUGCCCCUUGAAUCUGUGAUGUUGUCCUGCUUCUUCAGAAAAUAGGGGAAUGGCGAGAGAGAAUCGAGAGAGAACAGGGGAAGAGAAAGAGAGCCGAGAGAGAACAGCCACGAGAGAACUGUGUAUGCAGGAGGGGAAACCGAAUGAGGGGAAACCCAUGGGAAUGACAGGGGAAUGAGGGGAAACUGAAUGACAGUGGAAUGAGAGGGGAAUUAGGGGAAACCGAAUGAACUGGGGAAUGAUAGGGUAAUGAGAGGGGAAAUGAGGGGAAUGACAGUGGAAUGAGAGAAACCGAAUGAGAGGGGAAUGAAGGGGAAUUUGUGAGAAACCAGAAGAACUGGGGAAUGAGGGAAUUUGUGAGAAACCGAAUGAGAGGGGAAUGAAGGGGAAUUUGUGAGAAACCGGAAGAACUGGGGAAUGAGAGGGGAAUGAGGGAAUUUGUGAGAAACCGAAUGAUGUCUUUAAUUAAGUUAUGGGAGAGAGUUAGAGACUUGCAAUGCAAGAGCUGGGAACAGUGGGGUUUUUUUUAUAAUGCAAAGAUAUAGGCUGCUAUAGUUUGUUCAUGUGGUUGUAGUAGAACGCGGCACAUAUCAUGAGAACUAAUUAUAUUAUAUUUGUAAUUUCAGUUAUAAAUUAUGUGUUUAGUAACAUAAUGAAAUAUAAUGUAAUACAACUCUAAGUAGGUAUUGUUCCCCUAAAAAUAGAAAUUAACAAUAAAAUCUCUCUAAUUUGUAAUUGAUGAUUGGGUUGAUUAGUUUGUUUAUCAUACAAAUAUUAUGGACCAGCCUUGCCUAUCUAUUAGUGCCUAAACUCAACAAUCUCCAUUGUUACAACUAACAAAUCAAAAUAAAUAGAAUUGAACCUGGCCAUGAACUCGAUCUUGUGUUGUGUUGCUGCAUCACGAGGUGAUUUUCAAACUUAUGUUUAUUUAAUUAUUCGAUAAUCACAUUAUUUUUAAGAAUUAAAAUGAUUGAUCUUAUUGAUCGUUGUGAACUUAUGAAUUGUAUAUUGUCAGCUUCUUUGAGUAUAAUUUAUUGUAUUGAUUAUGUAAGUAUUUUAUAUGGAUUUUUUAAUAUUUAUUUCCCUAUAUUUUUAGGUUUUGUUAUCGGAAAACUUCACUUUCAUGUUAUGGAUAGUAAGAUAAUUCAUGCAGCAUGCAUUGGAGCAAUUGUAACUGUGAUAGCUACAGGGGUAGCUAUUAUUGAACAAGAAAAAAAAUACAAUUUAUAUACCAAGAGAACCAUGUAUAAAUGCAGUUGCUCAACGAGAAUUCUAUAUUGACAGCAUUUUGAAUCGAGGUGAUAGACAUUGCGUUGAACAAAUUCAUAUGAAACCUGUUAUCUUAUAUAGAUUGUAUGAUGUUCUCAUAAGUCGUGACCUGUUAUGAUCAACUCAAAAUGUAUCUAUUAGGGAGCAAGUAAUUGUGUUCUUACAAAUUGUAGGCCAAAACCAAAGAUUUCGGGUUAUUAGUGGUAUAUAUUAUAGGUCUGUUGAAACUAUCCAUCGUUACUUUAGAAUUGUUUUAAAAGCAAUUCUUAAGUUAUACAAACACCUUAUUAAAAAUCUAGAGGAUAUAGUUCCAGCAGAGAUAAUGAAUAAUAGAAGAUUCUAUCCUUAUUUUAAGGUAUGAAAACAAUACCAAUAUUUUUAUGAAUUAAUUAAUUACAUUAAGAAGAAAAGGUUAUAAAUUAUUUUUUCAUGUUUAUAUAGGAUUGUGUGGGAGCAAUUGAUGGUACCCAUGUUCCUACAAAUGUUCCUGUUGAGAUUCAAGGAAAGUUUCGAGGUCGAAAAGAAGGAACAACACAAAAUGUUUUAGCAGCUAUAACUUUUGAUUUGAAGUUUAUAUAUGUUUUAGCUGGCUGGGAAGGAAGUGCCCAUGAUUCACGGGUUUUAGGUGAUGCAUUAUCAAGAUCUAAUGGUCUAAAAAUUUCAAAAGGUAUAUAAUAAAGUAUGUAUUAUAUGCAAUAAACAUAUAAAAUGUCUUAUUACAUAAAGAUAGUAAUAGUUUUUUUUUAAUUUGUAGGGAAAUAUUAUCUUGGUGAUGCUGGUUACAGUAUUCGAAAAGGAAUUAUUUCUCCUUUUUGUGGAGUUCGAUAUCACUUGAAUGAUUUUAGAGAACGUUCACCAGAAAAUAAAAAGGAGCUAUUUAAUCUUCGACACUCUUCAUUGAGAACCGCUAUUGAGCGAGGGUUUAGUGUUUUGAAGAGUCGUUUUAGAUCAAUUGAUGGAAAAUCUUUUUGGUCUUAUGAAACACAAGUAGAUGUUGUGCUUGCAUGUUGUAUUAUUCAUAAUCACAUAAUGGGGGUUGAUCCUUACAACUUUCUUAUGGAAGAAAUAUGUUCGGAUAGUGAACCAAUUAGACGAACAAUCAACUUAAGUCAACGGGAGGAAAGGGAAGAGAAUAGGGAGUGGAUAACAAAAGGAGAAAUGAUUGCCUCAACCAUGUGGAAUGAUUAUAACACUCAAAGAAAUUAGUAAUUGAGUGUUAAUUAUAUGUGUUUGUUUAUAUUAUGUCUUGCUUGAGUUUGUAUUAUAUUUGUUAUGUAUUUGGAGUAGAUGUUGACCUUAUUAUAAUUUCUCUUUUAAUCAUUAAUUAUAGUUUUUAUAUGAAAUUUAUUAAAUCUAAAUAUUGUAUGAUUUUAUUUUGUAUAAAUUUGUAAUUUCUUUUUUGUAGAAAUGAGUUCCACGCAGAAUGAAAAAUGCAAGGGCAAGCACUUCACAUGGUCUAAGCCUAUGUCUCACAUGUUGCUUGAGAUAUUAGCUGAGGAGGCACUUAAAGGAAGCAAACCAUCUUCCACUUUAAAGCAGAAUCUUUUGUUAAGGUGGCUACAGAAAUCAGUCAAAAGUUCAACGUGCAAUGCGAGCCUAAGCAUGUGGACAAUCAUCCCAAGACUGUGAAAAAAGAAUGGGGAAUAAUAACCAAGCUUAAAAAUAAAAGUGGCUUUGGCUAGGAUGAUUGUUUGAAGAUGAUUACAGUUUUGAAAGAUAUAUAUGAUGAAGAAGUAAAUGUAUGAUAAAUAUUAUACUCUUUGUAAUUUUUAUAUUUACUUUUGUUUCUAAAAUGUUAUACAAUGAACUAAAAAAUUGCAUAUUCUAAACUUUAUGAACAGACACAUCCCAAUCAUGACAAGUAUCUCAACAAAAAACUUGAUAUGUACGAGGCAAUGAUAAUUGUUGUUGGAAAAGACAUGGCAACCAGAAAUUAUGCCAAAUUAUAUGUUGAUGUCAACUUGGAAAAGAACACUGAAGAGCAAUCAAUUUCAAUUGAAAAUGAAGGGAAUAUGAAGAAACUUCUAAGGGAAAAGAGACAUCUUCCUCUAGUACACAAAAGAGGCAAUAUAGGAAGAGAAAUCGCAAGUAUGAAGAUGAUGGUGUUGAAAAGUUGUCUAAACAGAUUGGAGAUGUAGCAUUUGCAAUUCAAAGUCUCAGCAAAAAUUAACUUGAUGUUAAUGCGUUGUAUGCGGAAGUGAUGAAAGUUGAAGGCUUUGAUGAGAUAACUCUUGGGGAUGCAUUUGAUCAUUUUGUCCAAAAUGAAAAGUUGGCAAAAGCAUUUAUGGCAAAAAAUGCUAAUUUGAGGAAAAUUUGGGUUCAGAAUUUUGUGAACCAACACUACUACAGGCCUGCUUGCUAAGAUGGUUUGACUAUGUUCAAAAUUUGAGUUCAGACUAUGUUUGUUAUUUGACAAGUAUGUUUACUUGUUUAAUUCGGUCUAGCAUGUUUAUGUUUGUAAUUUGAACUAAUAUGUAUGUAUAUGACAUCGAAACGUAAUAUUUAUGCAUGCCUAUGUUUGAUGUUAGGUAUUUAUAUUUAUUUCUUGAUGCUUAUUUGAUAUAUAUUAAAGGGAUAAUGACCUUUACCCGUAAAAAAAAAUAUUUAUCCAAAAAACCCAUCAAAAUAUUUUUGUAUCUAUUUAUCUUUUAAAAAAUACUUCAUACCAAAAAAAAAACCUAAUAUAUAAAUCUUACCAUAAACUAAUUUGGCUUUCUUCAUAUGAAAAAAUAAAAAACUUAUUUUAAGCUUUUAAAAUUAAAAAAUAUAUAUUAAUAGGUUUUACUUCAAAAAUAUUUCACAAGCUUAUUUCUAUAUAAUAUGAUAUGACAUAUAUAGUUAUAUUUUAUAAAAUAAGCUAUGUAUGAAUAUAACAUAUAAUAAAAAAAAAUUCAUCAUUAUACUUUUUAGAUUUCAUUCUUUUAUUGUAAGUAAUUAAAUAUUUAUAUUAAAUAUUAUAUAUAUAUUAGAUAAACUUGAAAAAAAAAUUAAUUCAUUAAUAAAUUAUUUUCCAGUUUAUUUUCCAUAACAUAACCAAACACUGGAAAGUAUUUUCCAGUUCAUUUUCCAUAACACUACCAAACAUCAAAAAAUACUUUUCCGGAAUUCACUUUCCCCGGAAUUCACUUUCCAAAAGGAAACAACUUUCCUGCAAACAAACGGAGCCUAAGGUUAUUUUUUAGGGUUGUUUUGGUCUUUUUAACAGGGAUAAAAAAGAGAGGUGAUGAUGAUUUUUGACCUAAGAAAAAGAAGAAUAGGAGGAAAGACGAGCUUGGAUUCAAUAGCUAUUGCGUCUUGUUCCCAGUUUCUUAUUGGUCAGGGCUUGUGCACUUUGAUUUACAGUUGGUUAGAAAAAAAAAAUGUUCAUCUCUAUGGCAUGCAGGGCGUUGUUUGUAAUGCUUCCUGUUUUUUGGAUCAUCAAUUUCCAAAUGAUUUGGAUGAACACCCUAUUUAUAUAUAUGGAUUGUGUUGUUCUUGCUAUUUUAGUUAAUGAAAGCAAAUAUAGACCCCUAUAACUUGCUUUCUGAAUCAGUUUUUUUUUUUUGUUGCUAUGAACAUGUUUUAUAAUGAAGUCCAAAAAAAUCCAAGUAUUUUAGAAAUAGGUUUUCAAGUUGAAUAAUUAGUUAAUUAAAUGAUCUUAACAAUCUGAUUCAUUAAUAGCUUCUGGUUAGUACCAGCAAAAGAUCUAAUUUGAUAAAGGUGAGAACCCUUUAAUACUUAAAUAAGUAUCUUUUAAAAAAAAAAAAUACAAUAAUAUUCUAGAGAGAGAUGCUUUGAAAUAUAUAUAAUAAAAAAUGAAGAUUAUGAACCUCUCUGUUUUGAAGGUCUCAUUGAGAAUUAUGUGUGUUAAUAAGUGAAAAAUAUCAUAAACGAAGACUAAAAAUAAAAAUGAAAAAAAUCAAGAGACAAGUGUAGAUCAAAAUAUUUAAUUUCACAAGACAUGCCAUUUAUACGGUUGAGUUUGCUAAAUUUAUUAAUUAAAAUAAUUUUUUUAUUCAAUCAAAUGAUAAUAAAAAUAGACACACAUAUUAAAUUGAUUGAAUAAAAAAAAAGAAAAAAAAUAGUAUGCAAGACUGCACAUAUUAUAAAUAUUAUUUGAAAAUAAUUUUUUUAUUUAAAAAAAUAAAGUUCAUCUAUACAAAGAUUAAAAAAAAAAUCAGAAAAACAUCCAAAAAAAUUAAAAAAUAAUUGUCAUUUCAAUUAGGCUUUCUGAAUAUCAUAAAAGAGAAAACACAUAUUGAUCUAAAUAUAAAUAAAAUAAGAUUAAGAUAAAUUUAAAAAAAUUGAAAAAAAUUUGUUAGCUUUUUCUUCUUUUUAGAUAUUCAAACAUAUAAAGAUUUGAUAUUUGAGGGUUUUGUUCAGGUUUUUAAGUGACUGUAUCAGUUAUUGGGAUUCUCAAUGAAUUGUUAAUGAGGUUAGAGGAAAAUAAUUUCAUGAGAACUGUCAUAACCCAAUUAUGGGUUAUUCCCCAAAAAUAACUUUUUUUGCAAAAUAAAAAUAAAAUAAUAAAAUAAAGGCUGGAAAUAUGGAGAAAGCAGGCCGGGGAAUCAAGCUGUAAUUUUUUUUUUGGAGGCAAUUCAAGGCCUAAUUGUACCCCAUCAUACCAAAAAUGGAGAAAACAAUGCAAAUUCAAGGUCAAAUUAAAUGAUUAUUGGACAAAUUUGCAUAAACAUUAAGUCUAAGGAUAAAAUUAAAUUUUUAAUAGGCCAAUUUGAUUUAAUCAUGGGCCAAAUUGAAUUUUAAUUAUGUUUGAGAAUUAAUUUUGGUUCAAUUAAAGGAUUUAAUUAAGUGCAAGGACUUAAUUAUACUUUAAAUGAGUCAAAUUAAUUUUAUUUGGGGCUUAAUUUGUGAAAAUAUUAAGUCCAAGGACAUAAUUAAUUUUUUAAUAGGCCAAUUUGAUUUAAUCAUGAACCAAAUUAAAUUUUAAGAAUUACUUUGGGUCCAAUUGAAGGAUUUAAUUAAGUGCAAGCACUUAAUUAUACUUUAAAUGGGUCAAAUUAAUUUUAUUUGGGGCUUAAUUGGUGAAAAAUUAAGUUUGGGAGCUUAAUUUGGGUUUAAUUGAGAAGAUUGGAAUUUUAAGAGACCAAAUUUAAUUUUUUUACCAAGUUAAUUGGUUGAAAUUAGGGUCCAAAUUGCAAGAAAAUUAAAGUUUUGGGGUCAAUUAGGGGUUAAAUUGACAAAAUUCAAAGCCAAGGACCAAGAUGCAAAAGGCGCCAAACUAUAGAUGCUUAAUUGACAAAAAUCGGGGGGCAAAAUUGAAGAGAUUGGAAGUUUGAUGGUCAAUUACGGGUUAAUUGGCAAAUUCCGAGACCAAGGACCAUAUUGUAAAAGUCGCGUAACUUCGGGGUUCCAAUUGAAGUUCAUCCAGGGGGUUAAUUGCAAUAAAUUAGAAGUUUAGGGUCAAUUAAGGGUUCAAUUGAAAGCCAUUGAAAGCUUGAGGACUAAAUUGAAAAUCAGUUUAAAUCCCUAAUUACCCCGAAACGGCGUCGUUUUAUGAAAAAAAAAAAAACAAACGACGCGUCGUCUAGCAUUGUUCAUUAUCUUCCCCGAUUUUGCCCGUGAAUGCUGCCUGGGCAGCUACUUUUCAGGCGCAUUUAAUGCUUCUUUUCUACAUCAAAUCUAACAAAACGUGCAAGCAAAUGAUCCCCCACAGUUUCCUUACAACCCCAACUGAGCAUUUCAGUCUAAAUAUCAACCAGACGGCGCCGGCUUGAACAGGCCAACUCGGGCAGCUUUUUUCUGCAAAUUAAACAGCUCAUGAUGCUCACUUUGAGCCAACGGUUGGGAUCCUUCUCGACCGAAUCAAGGGCUGAAAUUUUUCCCCAAUGUAGACAAGAUUGCUCUCUUCCACAUCCUAUAAAUAGAGGCAGAUUUGAUGGUCUGGGGGCGAAGAAAAUUGAACCCAAAGUUGGCCGAAAACCAGUCUUCCCUGCCUCGUUUUCCUACAACCAACCCUUUCUCUUCUUUCUCUCUCCGCCGUGGCCAUCAGCCACCACCACCAUCAUCACUUGUCUUCUCGCCGUCAUCUCCACCUCAAGCAGCCGUCAAAACAUCACCUGUGGUGGUUGCACCACUUAUCUCUCUCUCUCUCCUCUGUAAAACGCUUCUUCUCUGCCACCGUGGCCCCCGCAGCAGCCGCAGCAACCACCUGGCCCAGAAGCUUUGGUUCUUCCCAAAGGCCGCCAGGACAGUAGCAACCCUCUCCACAGCCACUCCAACAGCUCCAACCGCGAGUUUCCCCUCUCCUUUGCAAGCCUCUGCUUCUUUUUCUUCCAACUGCAACCAGAGCUAGCUGCUGACCUCUCCACUUCCAGCCGCUCCAGGGGCCACCAGCCAGGCCGUCAGCUCCUUCAGCGCCAGGUAAGUCUCCCUCCUCUCUUCUCCUUCUUCUUCCCUUCACUGCCAUUGCUGCACAUGAACAGUGCAACAUGAAUUAUAAUUCACGUUGCACUGUUUCAUGCAACUUAGUCACUGGGCUGUACAGUGACUAAGUUGCUUCGGGCUGGACCUGCCCUAGCCCAGCCCAGUUGGUUGGGCCGGGUCCAGCCCGUUCCUAAAAUACAGGGAGAAGGAUAUGUUGCGCCGAGUCUGGCCCAACUAGUUUGGGCCGGUAUCAGCCCACUUGUUCAUGGACCUGUUCUGGGUCCAGCCCACCGGUUUUAAUAAUGUUUAAUUAAUAUAUAAUGUUAUAUUAUAUAUAUUUUCUUUUUUAAAAAAAAAAAAUUCAAAAAAACGAAAACAAUUCCAAAAAAAUUCAAAAAAUCCUUUGAAAAAAAUUGUGAUUUUCUCAAAUAUUUUUCUACCAAUUUUGCGUAAUAUCGGGUUGUAUAUUUACACUGUAAAAUACAAAUCCAGUAUUAAAAUACCGUUUUCUCCGAAAUAUUUCAAAAAAAAAUCAAACAUUUUCAAAAAGAAAAAAUAUUUCAUUGCAUACGGCCAAAUCCUAAAAUUUUUCCAAGCAUGUUUUGCAUAAAUAAUAAUAGAAAUAAAAUAAAAAAAAAAAUAGAUAUCGUAACCAGUUUAUGAUUAUCCCUUAGGAUUUGGCCAACAUGUCAAAAAAAGUUUUCCAAUAUUUCUUAAGGUCUAGAUGUAAACUUUAAUAUUUGUGGGGUGUAAAAUUACACGAUAAAGUACACCCUCAAGUAUUAAAGAUACAAGAGGUAAAUAAAUGCGAUGCUAAUAUGCAGACUUUAGAACGGUUGGGAUUUAACCCAAUAAGGUAGAGACUUUCUCAUGAAGGGAGAUCUACCUUAAGCCUUAGAAAAGACCAACGAUUUGACACCCGACCUAGAAAAACAAUCAAACAACAAUGCAGCUUACCUUAGGUAGGGUGCACUGGAGGUGAUGCGUCUUCCCCUUGCACAACCAGUCCCUUAUUCAGACUCUUGCAGACCAUAGGUUCCUAGUGACCAUAAUACUAGGUGGCGACUCCUAAACAUUAAUCAUAAUUUUAUGAUUAAAUUCAAAAACCUUUCCCAACGCACAACACCUCUCACACAGGAGGCACGACAGAGAGCCUCCGCCGUUGCCAGACGAUGUCCCCCCGCGACAAGAACAACCAGACAGUACUAUUGUGCUUCUUAUAAUGAUUCAGGAGUUGCUUAGAGUUCUUGAAAACGGGCAUUUCUUGCAUUGAUGGAUGUCUGCUGUAUAUUUGUUUAUGACUUUUUAUUCUUUUGUGUGAAUAGCCCCCUUAUUCAUAAAAGCCUUAUGUAAUGUUGAAUUAAUAUGCAUAUCAAAAUAUUAAAAAAUGAAGGAGAAGGAGAAUAUGCUUUGUGGGAUUCAAUAGCUAUUGUAUGUUGAAGACAUUUUCAGAUAUAAGGGGUCCCAAAACAAGCGUGGUGGAAAACAGGUGUAUCUGUGGGAAGUUCAAAGCAAGCUGAUUCAUUGCAUUUAUGAGUGUUUGAUAUGUGGAAAAGUUAUUGUUGACUUUUAUAUAUCAUUUAUCCCAAAUUUAUUUUUAUAAAUAAAGAGUAAUAUUUUCUUUUGAGCCUCGGUUAUCUGCCUCUUCCUCUUAUAUAAAUUUCUCUUAAGUCUAGAUAAACAAGUAAUUUCUUUUGCUUUAUAUUUUAGGUAAAUUUCUUUCAUCUUUUCUAUUUAUUUUAUUGUUUAAUUUUACUUUUAUUCUUUUAUAAUUAGUUAUUAAAAAUAUUAGGGUUUAUGAUAAUUUAGGGGUUUUGAUAUGAAUGUAUUCAAAUAUAUUCAAAAUAAAGGUUUGAAUUUACUAAUUUAAUCAAUUAAAUGUUUCUUUUAUUAUUAUAAAUUAAUUAAUUAAUGUUCAUGCAAAACUACUAUUCUUGACGUUUCUUGUACUGACAAGGUAGAUUAUUAAAAUUAUUUAACUGAGAUCUCUUAAUUUACAAUAAUCAUGGAUUACUUAUUUUAUUAAGGUCUCUUAAUUUACAAUGUACAUAUAUUGAUUUUCAUUUUAUAUCACAAAUUUGUUUGUAAUUAAUUGUUAAUGAGAUGCUUGGAGUUAGGAUAGGGUAUCGGUUUAAAUCCCAUAAGCUACACUUUUUCCAUCUUGAUAUUUUGUCUUAUUUGAAAUUAGAGUUUAGUAUUAAAACUUGUUUCACAUAUUUGACUUAGUGAGUUCAUUCAAUUUUUUUGUGUUUGUCUAGAAAUAAUUUAAAUGUUUAGAAAUGAUUAAGUAUAAUUUUAUCAACAUACUUAUUAUAUGCAUAUAGAUAUGAAUUGAAAUGAGUUUUGAUAAAUUGAUGCGUAUUUUGCUAUGAAUUUAUAUAAAAAAUUUAAAAUUAUUGUGUAAUUCAACUAACUUUUGUUUAACAGUGAAUUAUUGUGUAGUUAUGUUGAUUAUUAUGUAGACAUUAAUGAUAAUAAAAAAAAUCAACAGGUUCAAUUAAAUCAACAUGUUACUAGACAAGUAUUUCAAGCAUAAAUCCCUCGAGGAUGAAGAGUUAUUCAAAGCUUCAAAUUAUGUAACUCAAUUAAAUUCAAAUAAAAGUCAUAUUAAAAAGUUAUAUAAUUUUUUUUUAGUAAUUUUCCCUCUCAUCUAAAAAACUUUGGCUCCGCCACUGUAUAGGCACUUGGAGCUUUUCCUGAAAAAGUUGUUGAUUGUGAUGGCGAAAUCAUCUAUAAUGUUUUUGAGGUGUUUUAAAAGAAAUAUAUAAAAUAAAAAUAUAAUAAAUUAAUAUAAAAUAAACAUAGAGAUCAUUUUUAGAAACUAAUAAAAAUCUAAAUCACAAAUAAAAUAUAAAAAACUUCAUAUAAAAAUAUAUAUAAAAAAGAAAAAUCGAUGUUUUAGCGAUGCUUUGAUAGCUAGAAAAUCGAGAGCCACCAUUCCUGGGCAUGCAAAAUGCCAUUUUCAAUUAUUUUUCAACUUUAAAAUCAAUAGCUAGAAAAUCGAGAGCUACCAUCUAAAUUUUUAAUUUAAUUAUUUUUUAUAGAUUAAAACUGAACUUAACUGAAAAUAAUUGCUUCUAAUUUUUAGUAUAAAAACCUCAAACCCAUCCUAAUAGUUUUUAUAGACCCAUUUUCAACUUCAAAAUCUAUUCUAAUCCACUUUAAAUGGUUUUAAAUUGAAGUUAAAGUUUCGAAGCAAAAAACAUAUAGGCUUUCAUCUAAAUUUUAGAUCAUGGAUUGGUUGUUCAUGGAAACUAAUCAAUUCAACUCAAUCAUAUGACUUAUAUUAUAUUUUUUUAUUUUAUUAUUAAUUAAAAUAGAUAUAACAUUUUAAAAUUCUUGAACUUUCUUAAAAAAAAAAAUUGUUGAAUUGUGGCCCCCCUAUCUUUUUCUCUCUCCUCAUCCAAUAUUGAGUGACUUUCUUUCUUCUCUUUCAAACAUAAGAAAUAUUGAAAUAUAAUUUUGGAUCAAAACUUAAAAUGCUAAAAUUAUAGAAACAAAAUGAAAAAUAUAUAAAGAAAAAGGAACAAAAGUGCAUUUCACUCUAAACUUUAGAAAGGUCAUGUGUUUUCUUUUAUCUUUUUUUUUUUAAUUUUGUCUUUAUGGAACAAAUUCAAACAUCAUCUUAUUAAAUUUAAAUUGAUUUCAAAUCAAGUUUCAAAAUCUAAUAAUAGAAAAAAAAGUAUGAGGAUAAAGAAAGGAAUCACUAUGAAUAAUUUUGUUACACUAAUAUGAUUGAAAAGACACUUUAAUGUAUGAACUGCUAGCUAUUGGUUAGUGCAAUAAGUGUUUAUAUAAUUAUUUUCACGAGAUGUAUGUUUCUAAAACUCAAUAUUUAUAUUUUUCAAAUCACUUCACGUCUGCUACAAAGAACAUUCAUCACAUUAAAGACGAUUAAUGACCUCUCUGACUGUUUUAAAAACUAAAACUGAAUUGAACUGGAAAUUUUUUAUUUUUUAAUUAAUUAAUUUGAUUUUUUUAUUUAAUGUUUUCAGUUGAUUUUUCUUAAUUGAUUUUUAAGUUUUCUUGAGUAUCAUUAAUGCUUAUUAUACUGAAAAUCAAGAAACCAAAUACCUUGAUAAAGUCUGCAAAAAAGCAAAGGGAUAAUUUGAUAUUAUCAGCAAGGAUAAUCAAAGAAAAAAAAGAUUAAAGCAUGCAAAACAAAAUAGCCAAGAAAAAACUAUCUAACUAAAUUAAGGAAGUUUACUUUUCAAAAAUAAAAUAAAAAUAAAAAUGAGAUGAACCAAUUAUAAGCACCUAAUCUAAUUUCAAUUCACAUAAAAGAGCAUAAGAGAUCAUCUCAGUGGGACAGUAUAAAAAAGCAAAAGAAAAAUUUAUUCAAGAGCGCAUGAGUGAUGAAAGUUAAUUUUUUGGUUACAAGAGAUCAAAUAUUUUAAAUUAUAUUUAUCCCUCAGUUUUUCUUGAUUUAGUCUUCACUUUACAUCAACAUUAUAUUCUAACAUUUAUUUUUCUAUUAACAAUAAAAAAAUAUUUCUUCAACCUAAACAAAAGUUAACAGUGCUAUUUUUGGUUACAAGAUGAAGAUGAGGUCAUUCAUUGCGCGCUGGUGGAAGCCAUGAAAAUCCCUAUAGCGAUAAAUUAGUACCGAUCCCUUCUAGCCUCAACUAGCUAGCUUUGUUCAGCCAUUGCUUUCCACGCUAUUGUGUAAGGCCUCUCCUGUGGUCAAACAUGAAACAGAAGGUAAGAUCAGGAAAUUGGGCAAUUAAAUCUACCAAUUAGCAAUUCCAAGCUGCAACAUGUACAAUUCUACUUAUAAAUCAGAAAACACCAAAUUUCUACAAGUAUUACACGAAGCUAGACGAAACAAACCGUGUGGUAAGUGUUAACUAAAGAGGCACAAGAUCCAGGCAAGCCCAAUAUUUGUUUAUUCGUCUGGUAUCUUAGUAACCAACUUCCAAAGCCCUGGAUUUUCUUACGGGUCUUUUUCUUACACUGUAAAGAAGAUGGAGUUUCGGUGGAGAAAAAGCAAAAAGAGAAAUGAAAGGGAUAUCGAACGCGCAUUGGGCAGCAGAGGCACCUUCCUGUCAAGAGCAGGGGUUGGCCCCACACAUCACAAUUGAGGUUUGCAGGCUUCUUUCUUCUUUUGUUUUUGGUUUUUAAGAGAAAAACAAUGCCAACUGUAUAUGUACUUUCUCCUUGCAUUUGGUUUUUUCUACAUAGAGAUGUAAAAAUAGUAUUUUAGUAGAAAAAAAAAGUAUUUUAGCGAUUCAAAUAGCUAUGCUCCAAUGACUUUAAAUUAUAAUUUGGAUGACAAAAUUUAACAAUGAAAGGCAUAAUAAAAUAUAAUCUAUAAUAAAUAUCAUAUUAAUAGCUUGUUUUAAAUAUUUAUAUAAUUUUGUGGGUCUAGUAGGAUCGAAAAGACCCUUCAAUGUAUAAAUUAUUGUUGUUUAAAACAAUAUAUUUAGUCUAAAAGUUAGAAAAUAGCUUUGUUUUAAAUAUUUAUAUUAUUUUUUUCACGUAAAAUAUAUUAAUCAACAGAAAGCUAAAACAUGCAGUGAAAUCACUGUAAAAUACUGGAGGUUUUGUCUUUGGUUUGUUGGAAAGUAAAGUUGUUUUUUGAGGGCUGUUUUGGUCUUCUUAAGAGGGAUAAAAAAGAGAGGUGAUGAUGAUUCUUGACCCAAGAAAAAGAAAAAAGGGAGGAAAGACGAGCUUGGAUUCAAUAUUGCGUCUUGUUCCCAGUUUCUUAUUGGACAGGACUUGCGCAAUUUGAUUUACAGUUGGUUAGAAAAAAAAAAGUUAUAAUCGAUCUUUCAGUUUUUCUUGAUUUAGUCUUCACUUUACAUCAAUAUUAUAUUCUAACAUUUAUUUUUGUAUAUAAUUCUUGAUAUCACAUGCAUCAAUUCUUCUAUUAACAAUAAAAAAAUAUUUCUUCAACCUAAACAAAAGUUAACAGUGCUCGCAUAUUUUUGCAAGAACAUGGUGUGCUGUGGUUUCUUCGAUGGUCAGAAAAUCAAGGGCCAUCAUCCAUGGGCAUCCAAACACCUUUUGCACUGUAAAGAAGAUGGAGUUUCGGUGGAGAAAAAGUGAAAAGAGAAAUGAAAGCGAUAUCGAACGCGCACUGGGCGGCAGAGGCACCUUCCUGUCAAGAGCUGGGGUUGGGCCCCACACAUCAAAAUUUAAAAUUUUAAAAUUGAAACUGAACCGGAGAAUUUUAAAACUGUAACUGAAUUGGAUUGAAUUUUUAUUUUUUUUAUUUAGUUUCUUUUCGUCAUUUGGUUUUUCUAGUUGAUUUUUUUUUUAGUUUAAUCAAUUUUUCAGUUUUCUUGAAUAUCCCUAAUGCUUAUUAUACUGAAAUAUGAUACUUGAAACCAAGGUUGUUAAAAUCGCGAUUUUAGAACGAAACGAAAAGCCGUUCACAAAAUCGAAUCGUAAAAACGGAUCGUAAAAUCGUAAAAUCGUAAGGAAUUUUAAAAUACAUUAAAAAAUUCAUGUUUCAAAUAAAAAUUCAUACAUAGUUCAAGCAAAUUAAAAAACAUGUUUCAAAUAAAACUUCAUACAUAUUUCAAGCCUUCAAAUAAAAAUUCAUAUAUAGUUCAAGCAUCUUAAAAUACACCAAAUAUUUAUGACAUUAUCUAACAUAAUAAAUUAAUAAAUUAUUUUUUAAUUUAUUUUUUAUGACAUUAUCAUAUAUUUAAAAAUAUUUUUCAAUUUAUAUGUUAUAAUAUCACCAAAUAUUAAAAAGUAAUUUGCCUUUCAUAAAUCCAUUUUCUAUGAAAAUUAUUUUCCACUACUUUUAUGAAGCAGUUUAGUUCUUCUUCUUGCUUACGUGCUCUUACACUAUUUUGCUGAACAUCACAUCCAAUCAUGUUUUCAGGUCUGUGAUAGGCUAUUCAGUAAAUUGCAGGAAGCAAUGAUGAGGCAGCCUGACAGGUGGAAUACCGAAGCAGACGUUAAUGGGAUGGGAUCAUUAAAUUAACUUAAUCUGAAGACCGAAGCGAAGACCGAAGACUGAAGAGUCACGUAAAUGGGAAAAGCAAAUUCCAAUAGGCGUCUGACAGGUGGACAUUAGGGGGGAAUUUUCAGUGCAGCAAUUCUAUUGAAAUCGUACAAUCGGUCCUGAUAUCGCGAUUUGACGCGAUUUCAUUUGAUUUUAACGAUUUUACCCGAUUUCAACUCGAUUUUACUCAUUUUUGAUUUUUUCAACCGAUUCAACCCGUAAUGCAUGUUUUGACUCGUAAAAUCGUACGAUUUUACGAGUCAAAACGCGAUUUUGACAACCUUGCCUGAAACAUUUCCGCUUUCUUUAUAAAGGUUAUAAAGCGCAUAACAAUCCUGCACAUUUGUGCAUCCUUGAGUUCUUUUUUAUUCAAAUUAUAUUCUUUUGAUCAGUAUUACUAGUUAAGCACAAUCACAUUAAAUAAUAAAUAAUCAUCAUUUUCAUGUAGUAUUAAGUAUACCUUAUUUGCAGAAACAAUUCUUGUGGGAAUUGGCCGAAAAUUUUCUUUGAGAGUGUAUUUACCUCUAUUUUGUUCUACAUUCUUUUCUUUUCAAUGUUUUUUUUCUUACUUGUCUAUUAAUACUGUAAUGUGGGAUUAAUACUGUGAAUAUAAAAUAUAUAUACUAAAAGACUUCAAGCAUAUAACAGACAUAAUUACAAGGGUGAAGAGUGGUGAAUUAGAAUUAUAACCUUUAACGCUUAUUGUCAAGAUGUAACUUUUAUCUUUUUUUCUUAUAUUACUUUAUUAGUAUAAAUAAUAUUACCCAAAUCCAUUUUUCUUCAACAAUAUUCUCUCCGUCAUCUACUAUCUCCCUCGUCUUCUUUCCUAUUCUACAUCAAUAGAAAAACUGACUAGUUCAAACACAAAUAUGAAAAAUUGCAGCCUAAGUGGAGAAUUGAGUCAUUCGCCCAUCUGUUAGAUUACUGUUAGAAAAUAACUAGGGGAGGAGGUAAGAAGAAAAGCACGGUACGUGAUAAUAGAACUCUUUCAUAUCAUAUACCGUAUUAUAAUUAUAAUUAUAUAUAAAAAAAACCCUAAAAGAGCUCAUGAAAACACUAUAUAUCUACUCUACUUUUAUUAUUUUACUGUGAAUUCUAGUAGUAUUUUUUUGUUUAUAUCGCAGGCUUUCUCACAUUUUUUUUUAACUCUCAUCUCUUUUGUUUUUCUGAACUUAUGUUGCUUGAAAAGAGUUGUUGGAUGCCCACCACGUUUAUUUUUUAAACUUUGUGUACUCUCUCUCUCUUGCCAUUUAUUUUUUGUUUUUUUUUUAAAAAAAUCGAAAUUGAUAUAUUAAAAGAUUAACCAGAAGAUAGCUAAAAAUAAAAUAUACAAAAGAAAAAAAAUUACAAAAACAUAAAGCAGACGAAAAAAGAAAAAAAAUAAAGAAAACAAACCAACAGAAACAUAACAGAAUGAAAAAUACAUCAAGUCUUAGCCCUUUCACAUAAGGGAAUGUGAGUUAGGGAAAUACUCGGUGUUUUUCUUAAAAUACACGUUUUUUUAACUCUCAUCAAGCCUUUGAGGACUAGUCGGUCACAUUGAAUAACACCAUAUUUUUUUGCGCCCUUCCUGUUUAAGAAAAUGCCAUUGUGCAUCAGUUAGGAGAAUUGAGCUCAUCGAGUCCUAAUGGGCAUUUUACAACCAAAAGCAUGUUUCUAAAACUAAUUAUUCUAAAACUAAUUAAAGAAUUGAGCUCAAUAUUUAUAUUUUUCAAAUCACUUCACGUCCGCAAUAAAGAACAUUCAUCACAUUAAACACGAUUAAUGAAAUUUAUGGUUAGAUUUUUCAAUAAUCACUGCUCACUGAACAAAGCUCAAUUUUUCAUUCAAAGAAUGAGCGAAUAUUUUUAGACCUGACUUAACAGCAUAAUAUAUCUAUUGUUCCACUUUUUACGAGCUAAUUUCUUGACACAUGAGAUGUAAUAAACACACAAACAACAAUUCAAAAUCACACUCAUGAACAAUCACAUAAUACACUCUUUUAGGUUCUUGUUCUCAUUGUUAUACAUUUGUUUUCUCAUGUGUGGUUGUUAACUUAGUUAUCAGAGAGUUGAGUUCUCUGUCCCAUGAAAAACUUGUUUUGUAGGAAUUCAUGAACCACAAGCCUAACCCAACUUAAAAAUUUUCAAAAUUCAUUACACCAGUCAUGUAAAAAUGGAACUCUCGUAAUUAAGGCCGCUAUUUUAUUAUGUAAAAACUCACAAGGAGGAAGAGAACCAACCAUCAGCGGCAUCACCCUCUUUGGGACCUUGAUUUUCAUCGGAUUAGCACACAACACAUCAAGUUGGCUGGAAAGGACUGCCAAGGUGUGAUUCUGCAUAAUUAUUUUGCUAUGAUUUUUUAAAUUAAGAUAGAAAAAAGAAGUAAAAAAAUUACAAAUAAAAAUAAUAAUUACAAAAUGGAAAUUUGGCAGAAGACUCCUUAUUUAAUUCCGUUCUCUUUCAUGUCUCUCUCAGAGUUUGAUUUCCUGUGUUGUUAUGAUCCUCAUACAAAUGAAGAGAGUAUGGCUAUUGCUGGUAUGGAUUGAUUUGUAAUGGUGAAUCUCAAAUGCGGCUAUCUGGUGGUUGUUAGUGUUUUGUUUUCUGUAUGUGUGGUGGCUAACGGGUGUUGCUUUGGUGGUUAAGAAGAUGCAUUGGAACUAUGGUGGGUCACAAUGAUCACAAGUCUCUUCAUUCAUUCUUGUUCAAUGCAAGAACCCAGCGAAGCCUAUUCCCAGAACAAAAUAAAUAUGCUUGCUAUACAACAGCAUUCAGAGCUGAGUCAAAACUCACAGACCAAAUGAAGAUCUUCAAUGCUUGACGACUCCUUUCAAGAAACUAUAUACAAUAGAGAGGCUAGUCUCUAGCAGGCAGUUCUUCAUUAGAUCACAGGUUUCCAUAGCCAGGCUUGGCAAGGAACAAAGAAUUAAUGACACCCAUAAAAGAAGGGGGCCACGUUGGUGUAGCAAUGAGAGGAGGACCCCUUGCACUGAAUCAGUUAAAGAAAUAAGGUGAUUCCAACACUUCCCUCAGCUCAAAGUCUCCCCGGUCAGGCAAAGGCGGAAAAGACAACGUGGGAAAAGACUUUUCAAAGCUCUCCAACAACUGCAUACAAAUCCAACAGUAUAAAUGAUGAGUUCUGCUAAAAAAGAAAAAACCCUCAGACUUGGAUUUGACACUGCACAAUUCUUUUAAAUGCUAAUUCAAGUUGAAAUUUAUAGGCAUUUUGUUUUAUCCCAAAACAUAAUUGAAACAGCAGAUGAGAACAUAUUAUAAGGAAUGCUUUAAUUAACUGCAACAAGUGUUGUUUCUUUAAACAUAUGGUACGUAUCUCUUUUCUUUGUUCUUUUAUUCACAACCAAAACAACCGCAAUCGAAUAAAGCUAGUAAAAAAUAAUUAAUUUCCUCUUAUCCGCUCUGACAAAUAAACUUCAAAAAUAUUGUAUUGGGUUUUUGCCUUCUACAAAUAUAUAAUGAUGCCAAUGAAUGGGCCAUUGCCCUUAUGAGUUUUAGAACAAUAUAGCAGUGCUAAUACUUACAUUCUCCAAUAUAGGUGUUUCAUAGAGUUCAACAAACUUUUCCCUCAGUAUCCUGUUCAUUUCAUCCACAUCACAUGCAUGCGUCCAAUAUGAAUCGUGAACUCCUGUGAUGGUAUGCCAAUAUACAGUAAUGAGAAAUCAAAACUAGGAAUAGGACAGCAAUUGAGACAAAAUCCAGCAAUGAGUGAAAAACCUGCAAAGUUUAAGCCUGCCCCUUUGCAGGCAACUGCAGUCAUCAUCAUAUGAGAACUAUCAAGGGAAUGAACAAAAUUUGGUGGGAAAGCUGUUCUCUGUCGUUGGACCAUAACCUGUAACAGUAAAAGAACUGCCAAACUUUGAGAUCCAAGAGCCAGAAGGUACAACCUUUUCCCCCUUUGUUUGAGUAUUUUGGUCACAGUCCAGACUAAAUAAAGAAAAAAAAUCAGGGCAAUUUAGCUAGACAAAAAGCCAAGGCACCCACUGAAGUCUACCAGAAGUCAUGUUCAGAAAAAUUGGUUCAGAAAAUGGGGAAACAGCUAGCAGAAUGUACCAAUGUAAGAUACUAUAUCCUCAAACAACAUUUCAGCAAUAAAAACAGGUUAUUUCAGAUUUUUCACAAUUUCAUGUGUUAUCAACAUCUUAGCACAGACUCGAAGUCAAAGUAAAUAUUAUGGAAUCUUGAUUACCAAAGCAGAAACAAGCAACAAAGUUAAGUAACGUUACCUUGUCAGUUUCUUUUUG